CUGAACUUCCAGGAAACUGACAGAACUCCCAAAGACAGAACUGAAGCUCGACAGGAACAAGCAAACUGCAACCGAACUGAAGACAAGAAAACCACAUAAAAGAACUACAGAACUCUGAGCCGAAGAACUGAACCUGGAUAAUGGCUUGACUGAAAACAGAAACACCACCAGAACUGAACUAACUGACAGAAAAAAAAAGAAACAGCCACCUAAAGCAAACCACAAGCUCGAAACCAAGCAAACAAGAUGAACACUAUGCAGCGGCAUGAAUGCACAAACAAAAUCCUAUGUUUCAUUAUUAAAUUAGAAAAAUGCUUAAAUGCCUAGUAAAUGCAAAAAUGACCUUAUAUGCCUUAAACAUGCAAAUUGUUUCUAGCAAAUUUUAAUAAAAUGCAAAGUUGUAAAUUUUGGGUGUUAUAUGUGAGGGGUUACGGAGCCGUUUUCAUCCUUAUCUUCAACAUUCUUAGGGCCUCCACCUUGAGCUCACUGAGCACUUUGCCGCCGCACUCGCUAACCCUAGGCGUGCCGCCGCAAUCCACAUUCCGCUCGCGCGCAUUGCUGCUGCUGCCCGAGUUGCCGUACCACCACCACCUGAGCCGCCACGCCGUCGUAUGCACAUCAAGACCCUAGUCCUUUUUAGAUCUAAAUCUCAAGGCAUCGAGCUUGAAGAAAUGGCGUAAUCCAAUGCCCCGGAGCAAUCUUCAAUCUGGAUGAAGUUCGUGAUGACACAAGAGCACAUCCAAUCCCUCGUUGACCGAGGCCUCCUCGGACCACAAGCGCUGCUGGAGUGGAAGCCCAUUGCCAGCCAAGAGUUCCUAUUGGAGGACACGGUGGAGAUGUUGGUGUUCGCGCUGUUCUUCAAGCGCAGAUUCAGGUUCCCAACAGGAGACUUCUUCCACGGCCUCCUCCACUACUACAAGAUUGAACUGGUACACUUGAAUCCAAACUCAAUCUUGGAUAUAUUUGUCUUAAUCCAUCUAUGUGAAGCAUACUUGGGCAUCCCUCCACACUUUCAUCUGUGGCGCUACUUGUACCAAUUGAAUCCCGUGAUUACUAAGGGGAAAAAAGACCGGGUUAUUGGGGGUUGUGGAUUCUCGCUACGGCCCAAGAAGGUGUAGGAGUAUUUUGAUCUGCAGUUGAGGGAGUCCAACCAGGGGUGGCACAGCGAGUGGUUCCUCAUCGCAAAUUAGCAUCCUGAGCUACUGCCGCGCAAAGGGUAUGGGCUAGUGUCUACGCCCGAGUGGUCAAACUAGCCCACCUCGAAAGAGCAGGUCCAAGUAGAUGAGCUGCUAGCGAAGAUCGCAGACUUGAAGGCACGGGGACUGACAUCCACGGCCAUCAAUAUCAACUUCUGUCAAAGGGCGAUGCAACCGAUCAAGUACCAAGUGCAUCCGUCGUACGAGUACUCGGGGCUAGAUGAUUCGACCCGAGAGGUUCAUGGCAAGGUGCCCAACAAAGAGGUCAUCGACAGGGUGUGUGAGUUCUUCAAGGGUGUUGUUAGUAACAGGGACAUCCCCAAAGCCUUCUCAAUGAAAAGGCCGUCGCCCACCUUGGUAAGAUUGUCGUCAGCAUUUACUUCAUGCAUUAUAUAUACUUGUGAUGUUUCUAAAUGAGUAAAUGAAUUGAUUAGGAUGAUGUGUUUGUUUACUUUUGCCCGACGCCACUGCUUGGAGGGGUUGAGGUGAGGCCACCCAAGAUCUGUCCGACCGAUGUACCAGUUGCACCACCCGCCGAUCUUGAGUGGAACUCGGAGUCUUCUUUUGGGUCGAAAGUGGGGGUGACGAAAGAGGUUGGCCAGGACCAAGGCACUGAGCAGGUUGGGUGGUGGACACGGCAGGCCAUCUCCAAGGCACCGCAGCCAGUGGGAAGAGGAAGAAGAUGGCCGGCAACAAGAAGGAGAAAGCUGCACCGAGUCUUGCUGCCUCAACCAGGUCGGUCAGUGAGGCAGAGUCCGACACGCCAAGCCCGGUUGCAAAGAAGAAGUCGGAGCUCCAAGAGACCAUCGCAGCUAACGCGACCCAUGUUAAGGAGGCGCUGAAGGUAAAGAUGCGCAGCGGAUCCAGCGAAGAUACAUCCGUGCCACCUUCGCAAUUGCACCCCAAGUUCUGGGUGAAGAAGAAGAGCACCCUAUAAGUGUCGCCAUCUUAAUACUAUCCAUGUUUAUGAUUGCAGUCUAACUUGCAUGAAUUGCUUGGUUGUAAUGAUGAUGCAGGACCGGUGUUGGGUCUAACGGUGCUAGCGCACAGUUGACCAGGUGCUCGGGCCAGACCGAGGCGACCAGCUGUGGCACCGUCGAGUAGCUGCUGGCCACAGAGGUCAGGAUUGUUGAGGAUGGUCGCACUGUAGAGGUUGCGCCGAAUCCAACACCACAAAGGGAUGAGGCUGUCUCCAAAGAUGAAAACGCCACCAUGGUCGACCCCGAGGUCGAGAAGAAGGCUGAGGUAGAUGCUAGAGUCAAGCCUUAGCAGGAUGAGCUACCCAGGGAUGAUCCGCCACCGGAAAGAUCCAGCAGUGGUGCCGACAUUGGCAUGUAAGGCACUCAUAGGGGUCGACCUCUUGGAGAAAUAGGAACUCGUGCUCACCAGUUUCCUCUGAGAGAACUCGGACAUAUUUGCGUGGAAGUCAUCCGAUAUGCCUAGUAUCCCUAGGGAGCUAGCUGAGCACUCCUUGGACUUGAGCAAGACUACACAGCCGGUCAAGUAGAAACUUCGUUGCUUCACCCAAGAUCGCAAGGAGGCCUUUAGGGUAGAAUUAAAUAAGCUCCUAGUUGUCGGAUUCAUUCGUGAAUAUAAGCAUUCUGACUAGUUAACCAACCUAGUUCUUCUAAGAAAGAAAACUGGUAAAUGGAGAAUGUGCAUUGAUUACAUUGACCUGAACAAGCACUGCCCUAAGGACCCCUUCCCUCUUCCGUGCAUGGACCAAGUCAUAGACUCUACGGCAGGGAGCAUCCUGCUCUGCUUCCUCAACUGCUACUCAGGCUAUCACCAGAUUGCUCUUGAUCCAGCCGACCAAGACAAGACGACAUUCAUAAUGCCCUUUGGCAUCUAGUGCUACAAUAUAAUGACCUUCCGGUUGAAAAAUGCCAGCGCCACCUACCAGAAGGCAAUCCAGGGUUGCCUCGCAACACAGCUGCAGGAAUGCUGAGGCUUACGUCGAUGAUGUGGUUGUCAAAAAAAAAGGAUGAGGAAAGUUUCAUAGCCGACCUCGAGGAGACCAUCAACAGCCUCCGGGCUUACCGCUGGAAACUCAACCCCGGCAAGUGCAUCUUCGGUGUCCCAUCUGGAAAGCUCCUGGAGUUCAUGGUCAGCCAGCGAGGCAUCGAGGCCAACCCUGUCAAGGUGGAUGCAAUCCGAAACAUAGCAAAACCAUCUAACAAGAAGGAGAUCAUGAAACUUACUAGCAUGAUGGCAGCCCUUAGCUGCUUCAUCAGCAAACUUGGAGAAAAAGGUCUACCCUUCUUCAAGAUCCUUAAAAAGGCAGACAAAUUUGUGUGGGAUGAUGAGGCCAGCAAGGCACACAAAGAGCUCAAAGCUUUCCUCAACACUCCUCCCAUCAUGAUGGCCCCGGCCCACCAAGAAAAGCUGUACCUCUACAUCUCCACAAUGACGCAUCUUGUCAGGACCGUGCUAGUUGUAGAGCGCUAGGAGCUCGACCAUGCUUACAUGGUGCAACGGCUAGUGUAUUCUGUCAGCGAAGUCCUUAGCGACACCAAGACACGCUACACCCAGGUUCAGAAACUGUUCUACACAGUGCUGAUGUCAUCAAGAAAGUUGCGCCAUUACUUCCAGGCACACAAGAUUUGCGUAGUAUCUUCGUUCCUUAUUGGUGAAAUCCUACAUAACAGGGACGUCAAUAGUCGAGUUGUUAAGUGGUCUGUGGAGCUCAGCGAAUUCGACCUUGAUUUUUGCCCAAGUCACGUGAUCAAGUCACAAAUCCUGGCUGACUUCGUGGCUGAGUGGACAAAGAUCCAGAAGCCACCCUCUCUGGAGAGGCCAGAACACUGAACCAUGUACUUUGACGGCGCCCUGAACCUCGAAGGAGCCGGCGUGGGGGUCCUCUUCAUAUCCCCUAAAGGCGAGCAACUCAAGUAUGUGCUCUAGAUCUACUACAACACCACCAACAAUGGCGCCGAGUACGAAGCUCUGAUCCACAGCCUCCACAUCGCCGUGUCCCUCGAAAUCAAGCAUAUACUCGCUUAUGGCGACUUCAAGGUUGUCAUCGAGAAAGUCAACAAGUAUUGGGAUUGCACCAAGGAAUCCAUGGAUGCUUACUACAUGGAAAUCUGCAAGCUCGAGGACCACUUCAAUGGCCUUGAGUUCCAUCAUGUCCCCAAGGACCAUAACAUCGCUGACCGACAUCCUGUCCAAGCUCGGCUCCAAGCGUGCGCAGGUUCCGGUUGGCGUAUUUGUACAAGAUCUCUGGAAAAUCUUCCAUCAAAAUUCUAGAUCCGGACCAAGCCAACGACGCUGGCGCUCAGGGCCCGGCUGACCCAAAACCCACUGACGUCAUGAUGAUCAAGGCAGAAGAAGAUUGGUUGCCCCAUUCAUAGCCUUGAUCACUGACCAGAUGUGCCAGAGGAUAAGAUAGAGCAUGAAAAAUUAGCUCGGCGCAGUGCAAACUAUGUCUUCAUUGGCUAGGAGCUCUACAGGAAAGCCGCAUCCAUGAGAAUCCUGAUAAAGUGUAUCCUAUGCAAUGAAGGCAUCGAACUCCUGAAUGAAAUCCAUUUGGGAACAUGUGGCAACCAUGCUGCCUUGGGCACUUUGGUCAGCAAAGCCUUCCGCUUUGGUUUCUACUAGCCAACGAUGCAAAGGGUGUCAAUUCUUCUCCAAGCAGCAGCACUUUUAAGCUUAGACCCUGCGCACCAUCCCACCAUCCUAGCCUUUCGCAUGCUGAGGGCUAGACAUGGUCGGACCAUUCAAAACUGCUUUGGGCGGCUACACACACAUCUUCGUGGUAGUGGAUAAAUUUACCAAGUGGAUUAAGGUCAAGGCUAUUACCAGCACUGAGUCGGCUAAAGCCGCCUAGUUUGUGGAGGAAAUUAUGCACCGCUUUGGAGUGCCAAAUAGGAUCAUAACCGACCUUAGCAUGCAAUUCACAAGCUCCAAGUUGUGGGAUUUUUGCCAAGACAACCUCAUCGACGUGUACUACUCCUCAGUAGCGCACCCACGCUGCAAUGGUUAGGUUGAACGUGCAAAUGGGAUGGUCCUCCAAUCCCUCAAAUCACGCAUUUUCGACGACACGUCCAAGUACGCCAUGAAGUGGCUACGUGAGCAAUGUUAUCUGGGGUCUACGAACGCAGAAAAGUUGGGCUACCAGCUACACCCCUUUCUUCAUGGUAUACGGCUUAGAGGCCGUCCUAUCAUCAUACGUGGCCUUUGUCACCCCACGCAUCCAGUACUACGAGAAAGGCGAUGCAGAAAAAAGUCAGCGGGUCGACAUCGACAGCCUUUAAGAGUAUCGUGUGGCAGCCCUCAUCCAACAUGCAUGCCAUAAGCAGCAGAUACAGUGCUACCAUGAUUGAAAUGUCAGGGAACGCUCCUUCAACGUUGGCGACUUGGUGCUUCACCGGGUCCAAUCCACCAAGAACAUGCACAAAUUGGCUACCCCCUGGGAGGGCCCCUUCAUCAUCAAAGAAGUCAUCCAGCCAGGCACCUACCGACUACAAUUGGCAGACGGCUUCGACACCCCUAAUCCAUGGAAUAUCGAGCAUCUAUGAUGUUUCUACCCGUAUAAAUAUAAAGCUAUGUACCCUAUUUCCCUUCUAUAAUAAAUAAAUAAAACCUCAGUGGUUCUUUCUACGUACCUACUAUCUUAUUGUUCUCCUUCCCAAGCUAUCCCUGACGCUCGGGGGUUGUCCGACCUGUUCAACAGCCCGCUUGCUGACAAGCUCGGGGGCUUUCCCCAGGCGCUAACCUCUGGGUCACGAAUUUUUCUCCUCCCCCUCUCAAGCUGUUGGCGCUAGAAAUCGGUCAACCGAAUCCCAGCGUCCGACACACGACCCGGGAGAAUCUGCUUAACUCCUGUUCGGGUGAUUGCCCUGGUGCGAUUCGCGCGGCGUGCCAGCCAAUCUGACCUGUUGAUUGGCAAGGAAGAAUACGUGUCAGGUCCAAAAAUCACGAUCGGCUAAGUUUCCGAUCUCGAGAAAGCUUAUCAGCGAAUCGGCCGAUUUGCCGUAAUAAAGAAAUCGGCUAUAAGGCAGCCGAUCACUGUAGCCUUGUAGACGGAAAACUACUAGAGUAAUCGACGCAAAGCUACGAUAACAACACUAGGAAUAGAUCUAAUCGGCAAUACAAAAUAGAUGAAUUUAAUAGCAGAACGUGAAGAAAGCCGAAACUACCGAUUCCUAGCUGGAUAACUGGUGAUAAAACUAGAAAGACAGGUAAAACCUAUGAUUCUAGCAAAUAUCGAUAACUAGUGAAUAAAUCUAAACAAAACAACAGCGAUACGCCCGAAGUUAAAGCUUAGAUAUUACUCGAUAAGCGGAACUUACAGAAUCGGCCGGAGAUCAAGCUGAUGCAGCCCUGCCAACCCGCACGAACUCGUGAAAGAGAGAAAAGUAUUGGCGAAGUCGCCUGCUUGAAAGUAAGUACGAGGAAAAAGUAGUUUGUUGUAUUGAUUUGUUGAUGAUUACAGAUUUACAAAGGUAGCUAUUUAUAGCCCCGUACAGAUGACUUCUUAACCGACUAGAAUUCUAUCCCUAAUUCAAACAGAAAACGAAUAUUUACAAGCACGAUUCGUGCUAGGUUGGUUACUCUGCGCUUCAUGGGCUGAUCUCCCCCUUAUCCUUUUAUUCCUUUCCAAGCCCAUACAGGCCCAAUUAAACCAACCUCCUAAUCGGCCGAUUCCUUAUCGGCAAAAGGCAACCGAUUGGGACCCCGGCACGUUCGAUCCGAAGCGAGACAGAAGUCGUCGGCCGAUCUCGCACUGUAGCACCAUUCGACCGAUUCCCAACUGUGCUUCUCCGAUUCCCUCUCUUCUUGGCACCGAUUUACUAGUGACGAAAUCUGGAGUCAACACAUGCCCCCCAGUUUCGGAGUAAAACAUAGUCUUUUACUUCGAAAUUCUUUAUAACCUCCUCUCCGAAACGGGCGCAGUAAAAAUAUCCUUCCGUUUCGCGGUCUUCUAGCUGAUGAUUGCAAUCUUUUCGAAACGGGCGCCCACGACAGCCACUACUCCCGAAAAACUCGAAACGCCGGCGCGGUGAAAAUUCCGUUUUUACCCUCCUUCAGGCAUCCUUUAAAUAGCGCUUCACCCCGCACUUCAUCUUCAAGCUCACGUCUCUUUUUCCAAGCGCGCGCGCCCUCUUCUCUCUUCAGCAUCCUUCCCUUGCCGCCGAAGCCUUCUAGCGCCAUCCUCCUGUUACUUUUCCCCUUCUCUUCCAAUGGCGGCUCCUUCUGGCAGCUCUCCAGCGCGCGACGUUCCAGAAGUAGCGCCUCCAGCGGUAGUGGCGACGGCCGUUGCUCCAUCCACAGAAAAAGGAGCUUCACCGGAGAUCCCGAUGGCGAUCCCCAUCACGGCCUCAUCGUCCGCACCUGCACCGGCGACCACGCCGACCACACAGAACUUCAUCCCAGAGGUAAAUACCGAAUCUUUCUUCUAUCGGCAAUGUAUUUACUUUAGAUCUGUUUCUUACUUUUCCUACACCCCCCUUUCCUUUUUUAGGCAGUUAGGCAUCGUAUUACCAUCCAUCUCACGGGCAAUCCCGGCCUUAUUUGUCUCGGACCUAUGGGGAACCCAGAUCCAAUAGAGCUUAUCAAUUUGGAAACCCACAGGAUACCCUUCACACCGGCCGAUCUCGCACUGUAGCACCAUUCGACCGAUUCCCAACUGUGCUUCUCCGAUUCCCUCUCUUCUUGGCGUUGAUUUUACUAGUGACGAAAUAUAGCGUCAAUACAAGGAUAUACGACUAACUCAUGUGGUCGGUGUCCUAGCUCGUGAAACCUAGACAACAUCAUAUUCACCCCUCCUACAAGCUCGAGAUUCGGUCUCAGCAGGACGCUGGCCAGGCAAGGUUAGGUGCUUAGCGGCUACAUGACAGCUACAUGCUGUCAUGUCGUAUACACCAAGGGAGGGAUGGAGUUUCUCUUCAUUACAUAUAAUUAAGAACAUUGCAUUCAACGUUUCAUCAAACAGCUUGAUACAUCUUAAAUGUUUUUCCUACAGGUCCAAGUCAUUUACAAUGGUCUCAGCCACAUCAUGGUACUGCUCAACCACCUCAGGAAUCAAGUCUUCUUCGAAGUCGGCCGCGACUCCUAUCACAACACGUUCCAAGGGAAGUUUCAGGAAUUAUGAUGCCAACAAAGCAAAGGUGUUCUUGAUGCAUUCCAAUGCAGUAUCCUUCAGUAGCGCCUUGAGCCGACCUGGUGCAUCCUUGAGACGGUCCAGUAGCAGCAUUGGUGCAGAUGGGUCGGCGUCUGCUUGGACCAUGUCCAUCACAUAGCUGGCUGCCUUCCACAGCUGCUCCAUCUCUAACUCCAACCCUGCAAUUACACGCUGGUCAUUUUGGAGAUUACUUACAGCAGCCUCUAAGCAGCACUCGGUUUCCUUGCGUGCAUUGGCUUCGUGGGCCAACUUCUAUGAUACUGCAUACUCACGCUUGACUGCCAUGUCAUGCUCCUGCUCAAGACGUGUGUUGGAUUGUUCGCACUCCUUGAGGUGCUAUUUCAGCCUCUCCUCCCUCAGCAUGGCAUCUAUUUGUCCGACCAAGUCUACAUGAGCAUCAAGAUAUCCAAGAGAAAUAUGAUUUAACAAGUCGGCACAGCAUACCUCUCAAGUGCGAAGUGAAAACUUCCUUCUCAAAAGCAAAGUCAAUCCUGUCCUUCAACAAGUGAUUGGCCUACUUCAUGACAUCCUCCUUGGCCUUCUUAAGGUUGACCUCGAGUCACUCCACCUUAAGGCAGUAGUGGUCAGCUUGGUGGGCCGUAUCCGCCCACUUCUGCGCUUGUUCGGCCAGACCUUGCACAUAUCUUCACAUUUAGAAUUCGGCAACUAAAAGGGAUUUCUGCAACAGGUCUUCUAGGUUGGUCAGCAAACUUACACUCAAAAACUCGAUGAUCCUCGAGGACGACUGCUGCAGCUCGGCAAGAGCCUUGUGGUCCACCUCAACGCCUUCACCAACGCCUUGUGGCCCGGAGGGUCUUCUAGGCCGAGGCAAAUCUUCUUGAGUCGGGGGUCGGGCUGCAGCGUGUUGGCUCCUUACUAAUCUUUUGGGCCUUGGUUACCAUGGCGGUGGCCUUAGCUGAUAACUCCAGUGCUUCUGCGAGCUGAACUGCCUCAGUGUCGCAUCUGUAUGACGUCUCCACAUCACCGUAGAUGGAGAGGACUCCGUUUGGGCCCGGCAUCUUGAGGAAAAGGUAGGUGUGGUGCAGGAUUGCCAUAAAUCUUGCUAGCAUGGGCCGACCAAGGAUGGCAUGGUAGGAAGUCUUGAAAUUUGCCACCUCAAAUGUGAGAUGCUCCGUGCGGUAGUUGGCCUGUGUGCCAAAAGUAACCGGCAAAACAACUCGACUAAUGGGGUAAGAUCCUUUGAUAAGGACGAUGUCGUAGAAGGGUUCUUCACAAGGCUGGAGCCGCUCAAAGUCGAAGUCCAUGCACUUCAAAGUCUUAGUGAAGAUGAUGUUUAGGCCACUGCCACCAUCAAUUAGCACCUUGGGGACUAGGGCCCAAUCUAUAGUCAGGAAAACCACUAGUGGGUAGGACCCGGGAUGUGCGAUGUGGACCUAGUGAUCUUGCUUGGAGAAAGUUAUGGACUGUUCUGACCAGCGCAGAUACUAGACUGGCUAUACAGAGACAAAGUGCACCUCUCACUGGCGUAACUUCUGCUAGCGCUUGCAGCAAAAGGUGUUACGGCCACCCAUGAUGAUCUUGACUUGGUGCUCUGGUCGCUGGAAGUCUUUGUUCUAGUCGACACCGAGCUGUGGGGCGUCUUGAUGUGGCUGGUCGCCGUGCUCCUCUCUGUUCUAGUUGUCACGGUCGUCGUGUCUGCUGUUAUUGUGGUCUUCAUGGUUGCCGCGGUUGUCGCGAUGGUGGCCGUUGCGGUCGUCGUGGUGACGGUCAUCAUGGUCGUUGUGGCGACGGUCGUCGUCACGGCUACGGUAGUCGUGUUUGUUGUGAUCCCGAUGGUAGUGGUUGCGGCGGGGUCGCUUGUAUUCCACCGGGGUGCCGAGCUCUUUCUUUAGGACUGUGCAAUACCGAAAAGUAUGACGUGCGUCCUUAUGGAAGGGGCUUGGAGCACUGAGGGUUCUGUCAAAUUCUUCCCGGAUGAAAGUGGUCGGCCUAGCCGGAUCUCCUUCAGCAACAUAGACCUCUGGGGCCCUUUUUCGAAGUCGGGACUCCGAGCGUGCAUGUGGUUUGUCAUGGAUUGGCUGAUCGUAGUUGUCGACAGUGCAAUGCUUGAUGUUCUGGAACUAAACUUUUGCCGCCUCCUCUAUGUCUACUUGUCUAUUAACAACUUCCAUCAUCUGCCCGACCAUCUUGGGAGCAGCCUCGUACAACUUGCAGAACAUGGGGUGGUUCAUCAAGCCAGAGCGAAAAUACCAGAUGAUAUCACGAAAUUUGAUGCCAGCUAGUGUGUUGCGGUUCUCGAAGAAGCAGUUGGCAUAUUCUCGAAUAGUUUCACAUAUCCUUUGACAAGCUUGGCCCAGUUUCUCCCUAUUACCAGGUCGGCUAUACGUGGCCUUGCAAUUCUAGGUGAAAGCUCUAGCAAGCUGACCCCAACUAUCGAUGCUAUUCGGAGGGGGAUUCUCCAGCCACAGGAGUGGAGCAGGACCCAUCACCAUCGGGAAGUAGGCGACCAUUUGGUUGUAGGUGCCAUUCGCAGCUCUCACUGUGAUACCGUAUGUCUUGAGCUAGAUGGCAGUGUCGGAGCAACCAUCAUACUUUUCAUUAAUGGUCGGCUUGAAUGUGGCUGGCCAAUCAACAGCCCUAAGGUGUGGGGUGAAAGUAGCGAAGCCAUCGAUCAUCAUGUCAUCAUCGUAAUCAUCAUCGAUGUAGUGUUGGAUGGGUGGGGCCCUGUGGCGUCCGCUAUAAUUGUGCCUGGGCAGGUAGUAGGCAUCUUCGGGAGCGCCGUACAUGUGGUCGUAGUCGCACCUUGUCCGGUUGUAGGAGUCUUCAAGGGCGUAGUAUACACGAUCGCAGUUGGUGUGGCAGCGCAUCUCAUCUUCCUGGCGACAACGGUCCUCACGCUCCUCAUUGCGGUUUAGCCCAGGAGCGCCAUAGUCACGGUUGUGCUCGGCACGGCGAUGGAGCUUGGCCCCUUCACGCUCAUGGUGGUAGUUGUUGAGGUUGGCAUGGAUGUCACGAUGCUGGUGGAGGUCGCGCAGCUCAUCACGGAGAUCACAUUGCCAUUCUGGUCGACCUCGGUUGUCAUCAUUGCCUCACCUGCCAUGGAGGCGGUUGUCGUUGUUGUCGUACUGGCAUGCGUUGUUGACGUUGUUGUGGACAGGUGGAUUGACAUGAUUGUUGGCCGGUGGGUUGGCAUUGUUGUUGACAGGUGGGUUGGUGGGUAGGAUGCUGUUCUGCUCCACCUCCUCUUCACGGAUUGGCUCCAUCUGACACCGAAAAUGCAUUUGGUAGGGUUAAGUUUCCAGCGGAAAGCUCGCAGGCUUGAGAAGAUUUCCUCCAAAUCAAUGAUUAGGUCUUCCUUAUUUCUUGUUUUGAUGACUACAUCGUCCACGUAAGCUUCUAUAUUGUGAUGCAAUUGUUUUCAAAGCACAUCUGUAUGGCGCGUUGGUAAGUUGCGCCUGCGUUUUUUAACCCAAAUGACAUUGUUUUGUAGCAAAAAGCCCCAAAUGGAGUGAUGAAGGCUGUUUUGGUUUGAUCUUCUUCUUUGAGACUUAUCUGGUGGUAGCCUGAGUAACAGUCAAGAAAGCAUAGCAAGUCGCAUCCGGCAGUAGAGUCGACUACUUGGUCGAUCCUGGGUAGUCCGAAAGGGUCCUUUGGACAACGUUUGUUGAGAUCCAUGUAAUCGACACACAUUCUCCAUUCAUUGUUUUCUUGCGAACUAGUACAGGGUUGGCUAGCCAAUCAGGGUGAAAGACUUCUUUGAUGAACCCUGCUGCGAGUAGUUUGGCUAACUCUUUUUUUAUUGCUUCUCGUCUGUCUUGGGUGAACCUUCGGAGGCGUUGUUGUUUUGGGGUAGCCUUGGGAUCAACAUUUAGAGAAUGCUCAAUCAGUUCGUUGGGCACACCAGGCAUGUCAGCUGGUUUUCAGGUGAAGAUGUCGUGGUUAGCCCGAAGAAAACUGAUGAGCGCGGUUUUCUAUUUGGGAUCCGUCCUAUCCCAAUCAGUGCUGCCUUAGAAGGAUCGCCGGUCUUGAGAUCGACUGCUUUGAAGUCUGUCUCAUUUGUUGCCUUCACUUUUGCUAUCCCUGAAUUGUUUUCUAGGAUUUCAAGUUCUGUUGGAUGAAGCUUCUUUGAGGCUGAAAAAACUUGUUGCAUGGGACUGGGCCCUUGUGAAGUUGCUGCAAUUUCCACGGCUUCGGUGUCGCAUUCAUAAGAUCUUCUUAGGUCUCCUCGUAGUGUUAAUUCUCCCUUGGGUCCUAGCAUUUUGAGUACCAGGUAGACGUAGUGUGGAAUAGCCAUGAAUUUAGCCAGAGCUAGUCUCCUGAGUAUGGUGUGGUAAGAGGUUUCGAAGUCGGCGACUUCGAGUCUGAUGUACUCGGUUCGGUAAUGCUCCUUAGUGCUGAAAGUAACUGGUAGGAUGACUUGUCCUAGUGGUAUAGCUGCGUUGCCUGGUAUGAUUCCGUAAAAGGGAGAAUCUGUUGGAGUGAGCAUUUCCGUGACGUCGAGACACAUUUUUCUUAAUGUCUUGGCAAAAAUGACGUUGAGUCCACUUCUGCCAUCGAUGAGUACUUUUGUUAGUUUUGAGCCUACCACGACAGGAUCGAGUACUAGGGGAAAUCGGCCUGGCUCUAAAAAGUUUGUCCAUUGGUCCUUUCUGCUGAAGGUUAUGGGUACCUCGAACCAUUUUAGCGGUGUUGGAUCUAUCGGUUCGAUGGCCAUGAUUUUCCUGAGUACCAACUUGCUGGACCGCUUCGAAGCGAUACCCGGGAUUCCGCAAAAGAUGAUGUUGACUAUUUUGGAGGCAGUCUGGAAGUCUCCUGCUCCUUCUUCAUUCUUAUGGACUUUGUUUUUUCCUUUAUCUUUUUUCUGGAUGUACUCCUCGGGAGGUGGUGGUGCGGGUAAUUCUUGCAUUGCUCGGCGCAUGCUGUAGCAGUCUAUGGCAGAAUGUUUGCUGUUUGGGUGCCAUGGGCACUAUUUUUUGAGCAAUUCGGUGAAGCUAGGUCCUUCAUCAUGUUUGCAGGAUCCUUUCUUCCCUGAGUUGGUCAUGGAAGUAAUGGUGUUGUCAGGUUUCCAUUUGCGAUUUUGGUUACUCAAAAAGUUGUUCCGAGUAUCGCUUUGUUGUUUCCUGUCCUGUUCGUGGCUGCUAUUGUCGCACCCACGGCUGCGAUGGGAGCCGAAUUGUUCUUGCUCUUUAUCUUCUUCGUCUGCCCAUUGUUGUACCAUUAUUUUAAGGUCCUUGACAGUGCCUGGUCGUAGUCUACCAAAGUCCUGAUACAUUCAACGAUCAUAGAGGCCAUUUUGGAAACACUCGAUGACGUCUGUUUCUGAAAUGUCGACUAUUGUGGCCUUCUUUUCAAAGAAUCGCUGUAGGUAGUCGCGUAGUGUUUCGCCUUCUUUUUGUUUUACUCGGCUUGGAUCGAUCUUGUUGCCUGGUCUAUUCAUGGAGCCUACGUAGUUGUUGGUGAAUGCUUUUGUCAGAUCCUCCCAAGAGUCAAUUGUUUUGGGCUUGAGUGGCUCAAGCCAUGUUAGGGGUACGGGUUCCAUGCAUAUGGGAAAAUGGAUGACUUUGGUGUCAUUGUUGCCUCCGGCUGCUUGGACUACCAACAAGUAGCAUCAGAGCCAUUGAAUUGGGUCUUGCUUGCCAUCAUACUUGGUGAUUCUUGUUGGCUUCAAUUUUUCGCGUAGUCUUGUCCUCAUUACCUGAGCUGUGAAGGUGGGGAAGUGGUUGUAGUUGUCGACUUCUCAUUCUCGGCGACUAUUGAUUAUUUCGCGUAGAUUGCUGAAAUUUGACACUUUGUAAUUGUUCCUAAUGUGGCGAGGGCUUUUUGCUGAAUUGGUCUAGCUAGCCUCUCUGAGGUCUUUAUGUCAUGCUGGAACUUCAUGUUUACUCUGUCCUUGGCUAAGCUGCCUUGGUUGGUUGAUUACCUCAUUGUUUCUUUGUGUUUUGUGAAGGCCAUUGUCGAUUGCAGUGCCCCUGCUGCCCACUUGAUGAGCCGUGUUGUGAGGGAUAGAUGGGAUUGGUGAUUCUUUAUCGAGUAAUUUGUAUGCUUGCUAUGCGAGUUGCACAAUUAGCCCAUUGCCUCGCUGCACGAGUUGGGCCGUUACUUUAGUGUCUCUAUUUCGAGGUAUCAGAGUUAAUAUGAGAUUGAUUGAGGCAAUCGCUGCAAGUGGAGUGGUGUGUUCUUGAGCUUGUACUGCAUCAAAUGCUCUUUCAAGGUUUGUGAUGGGAAUGUUUGUAGCUAGUAAUUGUCGGCACUCUGCCCGAUUAAUGUUUCGUAUCCUUCUUUGGUUUCUUUGAUCGGGAGUUUCGUCUUGUGGAGCGUUAGCCGAAGACUCAUCUUCUGAAAUGUUGUCGAGCUGCGCUAUCCGUCGAGGUGUUCUCUGCUGGCUAGUACCCACAUUGUUAUUUUUAGUGAUGACAAAGACUUCUCUGUCCGGGUAGUAGCUUCCAGAGCUUGAUGUUGUGAUUUCUGUGGAGCUCUCCUCGCGGCUUGAUGUAAGCGAGGUGCCUUCUUGGUAUGGAAGGUUGUCUAUGUGAGCGACAAGGCGUGACUCGUAGUCGCGGGUAAGGAAAGAUGGCUUCAUUCCUAGCCAGUGAAUGAAUCUGCCUUGUGGUAUUGAGGUUAUUACCAAACCUUGGGUUGGCCCUGAUAAUGGGGUUUCUUGGAUAUAGUCCGAGUCAAAGUCAUGGUCCUCGUCUUCCCCGAGUUCGAGUUGAGUUCGGGUGAAGAGAUCUUGGUAGACUUCGGCUGUAUUACGAAGUCCAUAUGGGAAUCACUUUUGAGUUGAAGUCGACUUGUGAAGUGACUCGGGCUCCAGCUUGUGUCGACUAGUCCGAUCUGAGGCUGAGUCCGGAGUGUAGUCGAACUCGGGGUUGUUGACUUUGAGAAUUUGGCUUUUUUUGAUGAACUCCCUUGUUUUCGGCUGAGGAAACCUUUUGUCGUGGGGUUUCUUCUCCUGGAUGCUGACGAUCUAACGCUGAAACGAUCCAGUGCCAUCGGCGAUGCAGAGCCAGGAUCCAAAAACGAAGGUUGCGCCUGCCUCGAAGGUGAAGACAGGCUUGAUAACGAUCGAUGCCAUUGAACUCGCGUAGGGAAACUCGGCGACUACCCCUACCUGGCGUGCUAGCUGUCGGUGUUUUAGACCAGUAACCCACCUAGAGGGUACCCUAGGAGGUCUUUUGUGCAGUAGGUGUUGGAGGUAUGCCCUAGAGGCAAUCAUAGAGAUGAUGAUAUUCCAUUUGUAUCCAUGAUUUAUAUUGUGUUCCUUGAAUAUCCAUUAAAGGCUACUUGAAUUGAUUUGCAAUUAUCUGAAUUGUAUGUGAAACUCUUUACUUGUAUGGUUAUUCUAAAGUUGUCCCUAGUCGGAGUUCAUGUGAGGAUACACAUGAAUAUUAGACUAGCACAUAUAUUAGUUGAUGACUAUGUUUCAGGAGUCAUGGAUAUGGAGAUGUUGAACUAAUAAUGUGGGCACAUGUGGAGACAUGUGCUAGGACUGACCCAACACGAGAAGUAGUUCUCUCUUUACACAACAUAUACACUUUGUCCUUAGACUUGAGAUUGUCGCAUGUACUCAAGAUGUGGAUCGACUUACUUAGGGGCUAUCCAACGCUACGCCGUAACAGGGUAGUCAUAAAGGUACCUUUCAGGUUUGUCAAGAAGCAUGCUAUGAGACAUGGUCAAUCAAGAUGGGAUUUGCCCCUCUCUGAUUGAGAGUGAUAUCUCUCGGCCCCUCGAGUGAUCGGAUCCGAAAAUGCAUGGCCAUGCUACGUACGGUUAAGAGUUAACCUACAAAGGGAUUCCGAAUCAUAGGAUCGAGAAAGAGCAGUCGGCUUGAAGCUAGACCAAAUAUCGUGAGGCAAAGGGAAUAACACAUAUAUAAUGUUGUGAUGGUUCGUCUGAUAUGAUCUUCGUGUGCGUAUAGGAGUUGGCACGUCUUGCUAGAGGCCGCUACCGACUAUUGGGCCGAGUAGGAGUACUCGAGCCAUGUCUAUACGUAUCCGAACCCAUAGGGUCACGCACUUAAGGGGCUGGAAGCCCAAUUCAGAUGUGAUCCGAGUUGGAUUAGGUUUAGAAGUACUAAUGGGCCUCGAACCCAGAGGCCCGUUAGGAACCUCUAUAAAUAGAGGGGUAGGGGCGCCCUAGGGUUUACACCUUUUUGGCGAAACACAUCUGUUGCACCUCCCAUGCCCUCGCUUGCGAUGCUUCCGACCUAGCAGUCCGGCUUGCGAUGCUUCCUCCCUGCACGUGUGGAUACCUUGGAGGUGUUGCGCCUGUAGCACUUGGACGAGCCGCUGACGAGCCACGAUGAGCCGCCAACGAGCCACGAUGAGCCGACGACGAGCCGCGGCACGAGGGCGAUCUUGCUGCACGUGGACGAGCUGCUGAGGAGCUGCUGGACGUUGAUGUGAUCGACUACAUACGACUACAUUGAUCAACUUCGCUGCAUCAACGCGAAUCUACAUCUUCCGCAUCAGUGCGUCGAGUGGUAAUCCCGUGAUCCUUAUACGGCAAUUUUUCUAGUUUACGCGGUAGAAAUUUUUGAUUUGCGCUAGUGUAACCUACCUCAUAUCCCAAUAGUGGUAUCAGAGCUGUAGUUGUUUAAGUUUUAGAUUCAGGAUAUGUGCAUAUGGAGAUAUGUGAGUUUUCAGUUUGAUCUAUGUCCUGGUUUCGUGUUCUUGCUGCAAUGGUUGUGUAACGACGUACUCCUACCGGUCGGGUUUCCACCAUCGGAGUUAAGUGAUACAUGUAAUGCUAGUUGUAGCGAGCGAAGAUCAAUGUGAAUGGUCAAAUCGAGAUCCAGGUUCAUACCCCAAGCACAUGAGAUGUGCAAUAGUAAAUUGAAUCUACUACCAGGUCGGGAUUUUGCCGUAUGCGAGUGCUUCGGUAAAUCAGCCGUAACUUUUUGGUACGAUCUCGGAUCGGGGCGAAUUUUAUAUGAAAAUUGAUCUACAGAAAAAGUUACACAUGAACAUCAACCACUUCGCCAUUUUCGACAAAAUUAGAGUUCCCAAAUUCAUCUUGGAAGAUGGAGUUUCGGGCCUCCGAAGUUUGGAAUGUUAGAACGCCUAACUCAUUCGUGAUCAGUAUGUAUGUAUCUUGUGAUCAGUAUGGCCCUUUGUGUAUGUGAUGCAUGUGUGUAACUCAUUCGUGACCUGCAUGUCGCGUGUACGGCAACACGGCUGGAGCCAUAUGUGUUGUCACUUUAAUGUAUUUAAUGGUCUGCGUACCAAUCUGUGAUGAUCCAAGCAACUAUGUAAUCUUCAUUACUAGCUUCUUUACUAGCUAUUAGGCGUAAUAGCAUGUUCUAGUUCUUGGAGGACUCAUCACUAGGAGGAUGGCGCACAUGGAACAUGGAGAUGGAGAUCACCAUGGUGAACAGGUUCUGUGGAGAUGGAGAUCACCAUAUGAAAACGGGCCAUACUGUGUCACAACUGUGUGAAUGCUAUUCUGUUUAUGUUUUACGAUCUGCAUGCUGUGAUGUUAGAAGUAGAACGAUCCCUCACAAAGUUUAAGGUAGUAUGCCCUCCCAACUAAAACUUGCACCGUCCCAUGUCUUGUACAAUUAGUGGUGGGUCUAUGAAAUUAGGGUGCCACUAGUUUUCCUUGACUAGACGGGUUUGUGUCGGACACAUACAAGCAUAAGGGUUGGUUUUCUUAACAAGGUUAUCUUAAUGGUUAAGGACCUUAGGGCAUAAAGGUUGGGCGCCGAGACAUGAAAAUGUCACCCAACAACAGGAGUCAUAUGUGAUAUGAUUAGCAAAAGUUGCUUACCGAUCUACCUUGUUUGCUAGCGGUGAUGCUAAAGCUCACUACUAGACUUGUUAGUUGUGGAUCCUGAAUCACUAAGUUUCAAUAGAGGGAUAUUGAUGUUAGUGGGAGUAGAUUCUGUUAAAAUAAGUUUAAUGUGAUUUGCUCUAUCAUGGAUACGUUUGUCUUAGUGUAUUUUGCAUUACUUUUGUUGUAGAUUAAAUGGCACCUAACAGCACUACACCGUUUGCUUUGUGUUUGGUCCUUGAGAAGGACAAGUUGAAUGGAACAAAUUACUCAGAUUGGAUCCAUAACCUGAGAAUUGUUCUCAGGGCUGAGAAAAAGGAAGAUGUUCUAGACAACCCACUACCAGAAGAACCUGCUGAUGAUGCACCCGCUGCUGCUAAGAAUGCUUACAAGAAAGCAUGUGAUGCUAACCUUGAAGUAAGCUGUCUUAUGCUUCCUUGCAUGGAACUCGAGCUGUAGAUGCAGUUCGAAACAAACCAUGAGGCGCACGAUAUGAUCAUGGCGCUUAGAGACAUGUUCCAAACACAGGCCAGGACUGGAAGGUUCAAUGUGUCUAAGGCCUUUGUGGAGAGCAAGCUAGCAGAAGGCGCAGCAAUAGGACCACACGUAAUCAAGAUGGUUGGUUACACUCAACGGUUGGAGAAGCUGGGCUUCCCACUAGGCCAAGAGUUGGCCACUGAUUUCAUUCUUUCGUCUCUUCCGUCUAGCUAUGGGAACUUCAUCUCGAGCUACCAUAUGCAUGGGACGGAGAAGGGUCUGAAUGAGCUGUGUGGCAUGCUUAAAAUAGCAGAGGCUGACAUCAAGAAAAGUGCUAGUAGCAGCCAUGUGAUGGCUAUACAGAAUAAGCCUAGCUUUAAGAAGAAGGGAAAUUCUUGGAAGAAGAAGGGCAAGGCUGGAACGUCCAAGCCAAACCCAGCGCCCAAGGUUAAAGCUGGACCUGGACCUGCUCCAGACAAAGAGUGCUUUUACUGUCAUGAACUUGGUCACUGGAAGAGAAAUUGCAAGUAGUACCUAGCUUCAUUGAAGAAUGGUGGAAGUAAGAGUACUUCCACCUCAGGUACGCUUGUUAUUAAUGUUAUAGACAACAUAUUUCUCGCUGAUACAAUUAUUAAUUCUUGGGUAUUUGAUAUCGGAUCGGUUGCUCAUAUUUGCAAUUCGAUGCAGGGAAUGAUAAGAAGUAGAAGCGUGGAAAGAGGAGAAGUUGAUUUCCGCGGAUUGGUUGCUCAUAUUUGCAAUUUGAUGCAGGGAAUGAUAAGAAGUAGAAGCGUGGAAAGAGGAGAAGUUGAUUUCUACGUGGGCAAUAAUGCAAGAGUUGCUGCGUUGACUAUCGGGACGAUGCAACUCCACCUCCCGUCAGGAUUUAUUAUGGAGUUGAAUAAUUGUUAUUUCAUUCCUAGUUUAAGUUGAAACAUUUUGUCUCCUUCAUGCUUGAUGAAGGAUGGUUAUUCAUUUGCGAGUGAAAAUAAUGGUUGUGUGAUCUCUAAGAAUGAUAUGUUUAUGGCUUUUGCACCCCACCUCCUGUCAGCAUUUAUUAUGGAGUUGAAUAAUUGUUAUUUCAUUCCUAGUUUAAGUUGAAACAUUUUGUCUCCUUCAUGCUUGAUGAAGGAUGGUUAUUCAUUUGUGAGUGAAAAUAAUUGUGUGAUCUCUAAGAAUGAUAUGUUUAUGGCUUUUGCACCCAUUGUGAAUGGAUUGUUUGUUUUAAAUCUUGAUGGUUCACCUGUCUGUAACGUAAGUGCUAAAAGGCAUCGGCCUAAUGAUUUGAGUCCUACCUACUUGUGGCAUUGUCUUUUGGGUCAUAUAAGUGAAAAACGCAUGAAGAAGCUCCAUUCUGAUGGACUUCUAACUUCGUUUGAUUUUGAAUCAUAUGAGACAUGUGAGGCUUGCUUGCUAGGCAAGAAGACCAAGACACCUUUCACAGGAUUUGCUGAGAGAGCAAUAGACUUGUUCGAACUCGUACAUAGCGAUGUAUGCGGACCAAUGAGCAUGACGGCUAGAGGAGGAUUACAAUACUUCAUAACUUUCACUGAUGAUUUUAGUAGAUAUGGCUAUGUCUACUUGAUGAGGCACAAGUCUAAAACCUUUGAAAAGUUCAAGGAAUUUCAGAAUGAAGUUAAAAAUCAGUGUGGCAAGAAAAUUAAGGCCUUACGAUCUGAUCGUGGAGGCGAGUAUUUGAGCCACGAGUUUAGCAAUCAUCUAAAGAGUUGCGGAAUUGUUCCACAACUUACGCCGCUUGGAAUUGUUCCUUGAAUAUCCAUUAAAGGCUGCUUGAAUUGAUUUGCAAUUAUGUGAAUUGUAUGCGAAACUCUUUACUUGUAUGGUUAUUCUAAAGUUGUUCCUAGUCGGAGUUCAUGUGAGGACACACAUGAAUAUUAGACUAGCACAUAUAUUAGUUGAUGACUAUGUUGCACGAGUCAUGGACAUGGAGAUGUUGAACUAAUAAUGUGGGCACAUGUGGAGACAUGUGCUAGGACUGACCCAACACGAGAAGUAGUUCUCUCUUUACACAACAUAUACGCUUUGUCCUUAGACCUGAGAUUGUCGCAUGUACUCAAGAUGUGGAUCGAGUUACUUAGGGGCUAUCAAAUGCUACGCCGUAACAGGGUAGUUAUAAAGGUAGCUUUCGGGUUUGUCAAGAAGCAUGCUAUGAGACAUGGUAAAUUAAGAUGGGAUUUGCCCCUCUAUGAUUGAGAGUGAUAUCUCUGGGCCCCUCGAGUGAUCGAAUCUGAAAAUGCAUGGCCAUGCUACGUACGGUUAAGAGUUAACCUACAAAGGGAUUCCGAAUCAUAGGAUUGAGAAAGAGCGGUCGGCUUGAAGCUAGACCAAAUAUCGUGAGGCAAAGGGAAUAGCAUGUAUAUAAUGUUGUGAUGGUUCAUCUGAUAUGAUCUUAAUGUGUGUAUAGGAGUUGGCACGUCUUGCUAGAGGCUGCUACCGACUAUUGGGCGGAGUAGGAGUACUCGGGCCAUGUCUAUACGUAUCCGAACCCAUAGGGUCACACACUUAAGGGGUUGGAAGCCCAAUUCGGAUGUGAUUCGAGUUGGAUUAGGUUUAGAAGUACUAAUGGGCCUCGGACCUAGAGGCUCGUUAGGAACCUCUAUAAAUAGAGGGGUGGGGGCGCCCUAGGGUUUACACCUUUUUGGCGAAACACAUCUGCUACGCCUCCCACGCCCUCGCCUGUUUCAAUUUGCGGAUCUAGCAGUCCGGCUUUCAACGCUUCCUCCCUGCAUGUGUGGAUACCUUGGAGGUGUUGCGCUUGCAGCACUUGGUUGAGCCGCUGACGGGCCAUGACGAGCCGAUGUCGAGCCGUGGCACGAGGGCGAUCUUGCAGCACAUGGACGACUACGCUGAUCAACUUUGGUGCAUCGACGUGAAUCUACAUCUUCCGCAUCAGUGCAUCGAGUGGUAUUCCUGUGAUCCUUAUACGACAGUUUUCCUGUUUUACGCGGUAGAAAUUUUUGAUUUGCGCUAGUGUAGCCUACCUCUAUCCCAACAGUGGGUGCCAUUGAGAAUUAAGGAGUCAAAUGGUGACACAGGGAACACGAUUUAGACAGGUUCGGGCCGCUAGAUCGCUGUUGACGCCGGAUUUCGUCAUCAGUAGAAUCGGCGCCAAGGAGGAAAAGAAGUCGAGGAAGUACGGAUGGAAUCGGUCAGAAGAUGCUAUAAUACGGAAUCGGUCAGUAGCUUUUACUUCGCUUCAGGGUGGAUGCACCAGAUUCCCAAUCGGCAAUCCUUUGCCGAUGAGAAAUCGGCCGAUCUGGAAGGUAGACUAAGGUGGGCCUGUAUGGGCUUGGAAAGAUGGAGGAACAAGGUGGAGUUCAGCCCACGAAGCGUGGGGUGAUUAGUUUAGCACGGAUUGUGUUUGUAGAUAUUUGUUUUCUGUUUGAAUUAGAGAUAGAGUUCUAGUCGGUUAAGAAGAUUAUUUGUACGGGGCUAUAAAUAGCUACCUUUGUGAAUCUGUAAAAACAAUCAAUCAAUCAAUACAACAAGUUACUUUCUUCUUCGUGCUUACUUUCGAGCAGGCGACUUCGCCAUCAUUUUUUUCUUCUCACGAGUUCGUGCGGAUUGGCAGGGCUGCAUCAUCUUGAUCUCCGGCCGAUUCUGUAAGUUCCGUUUAUCGAGUAAUACCUAAGCUUUAACUUCUGGCGCAUCGCUGUUGUUUCGUUUAGAAUUAUUCAUCAGUUAUCGAUAUCAACUAAAUUCAUAGGUUUUUACCUGUUUUUCUAGUUUUUAUCACCAGUUAUCCUGCUAGGAAUCGGUAAUAUUGGCUUUCAUUACUUCCUGUUGUUAGAUCCAUUCAUUGCCGAUUAGAUCUUUUCUUAGUGCUGUUAUCAUAAGCUUUGUACCGAUUACUUUAGUACUUUUCUGUCUACAAAGCUACAGAGAUCGUGCUGUUUUAUAGCCGAUUUCACUAUCACAGUAGAUCGGCCGAUUCGCCGAUAAGCUCUCUCGAUCGGAAACUUAGCCGAUCGUAGUUACUGAAUUUGACACGUGUUAUUCCUUGCCAAUCAACAGGUCAGAUUGGCUGGCACGCCGCGCGAACCGCACCAGGGCAUUUACCCGAACAGGAGCUAAGCAGAUUCUCCCGGGUCGUGUGUCGGUCGCUAGGAUUCGGUUGACCGAUUUCUAGCGUCAACACACUUUUGGCACGCCCGGUGGGACCAAUACAACCGCUGUCAUGUCGAAAGCUGCUGACGUCUCCGAAGAUAACGUCAUUGAAGUGACGGAGGCAGAUCUAAAGGACGACCAAAAAGAAGAUCUGAAUCAGUAUUUGGAGCAAGUCCGUAAAACUUGCUUGAAAUCCUUCAGUCGUUCCAGGAGCGGGGAAACUAUUAAAAAGUCUCCUUUCCCUACUCCUCGCCAGAUCACAAUUUCAGAAGAUUCGGAUAAAAUGUCCGAUAUGAUUCAACAAUCUCUUCAUCACGCCUUCAUCAAUCAAUCCCCGGUACUUUCAAACAUGGUGCACAAUGCUGUUGUCAACUCCUUCGCCGGAAGUAUACCACAAGGGUACAGGGGACCUACGUAUUUUCAGCCGAUUCCACCAAAUCAGGCUUAUCAGGCUUCUCAGCCGAUCCAAUCCUCUGUCGGAGGAACCGGUGCUUCUACGUCAUCAACUCCUUUGGGAUAUGGCUCUAUCCAACCGUCCUCUGCACCACUCCCUCCAGUCAUUCCUCUACCCUGGGGAACGCCUUUAAACACGACCGGUUUGAAUCAAUCGGUCAGUCAAGGAAAUCCUCCGUUCCAAACACCCUCCCAAACGGCCACUCGGCCGAUCAUACUACCAUACCAGCCUAUCACUCCGGAGGUCAACAAGACGUCAGAGCUCAUGAUAUAUGAUGAAACAAGUGGUGCCUACAAGCAGCCGUCCUUUACUACACCACCGGCCUAUACUCAGAUACCACCUUUUCAUCAAUCUCCUUUUAAUCAACCUCCGAUUUAUCAGCAUGUGCCGAUCCCACCGCCAACUAUUCCCCAGCAACAACCAGAUUGGUCGGCGCAAAUCGCGGAGGUAAUGCAAGAACAAUUCGGCCUGAAGCCGAAGGUGCAAUCGUAUACCUACAGGACACCAUACCCAUCUACGUAUGACUUGUUGCCGUUUCCCCAUCGGUACAAAGUUCCUGAUUUUACCAAAUUUUCGGGGAUGGAUGAUACUUCUACCGUAGAACAUGUGAAUAGAUUCAUCAUCCAAUGCGGGGAGGCAGCUACGCAAGAUGCCCUGCGGGUACGGUUGUUCUCGUCAUCCUUGUCCGGAUCGGCCUUCCAAUGGUUCACCACUUUGCCACCAAACUCAAUUAUAACAUGGGCCGAUCUAGAAAGGCAGUUCCACAAGUACUUCUAUGCUGGGGUCCACGAAAUGAAGCUGUCUGAUUUGACUAGCCUCCGGCAAAGAAGUGAUGAGCCGAUACCCUCGUACAUACAGAGGUUUCGGGAAAUCAGAAACAUAUGUUACUCCCUGGCUCUAACCGAUGCACAGUUGGCCGAUAUAGCUUUCCAAGGCCUGAUGCCACACAUUAAAGAAAAAUAUGCUUCACAAGAGUUCGAGAGCCUGAGCCAGAUUGUCCACCGAUUGUCCGGACAAGAAGUGCGUCCAUUCGAUUCAAGAAGGAAUUUUCAGAAGAAAGUGGCAUUCCUGGAAGAAGUAGAGGAUGAAGAAGACGCCGAAAUCGGACUCGCAGAAUGGAUUAAAGGAAAGAAGCCAAUAUCAUGUCCUUUUGGCAAGAAGGAGCCGGAAGCAUUUGGUUUCGAUACAACUAAAGCCGACAAAAUCUUCGAUCUUCUACUCCAGGAAGGGCAGAUUAAACUCUCGCCUUACCACACAAUUCCCUCUGCCGAACAAUUGAAGAAGAUGAAGUAUUGCAAGUGGCACAAUGCCACGUCACAUGAUACCAACGAGUGUAAAAUCUUCAGACAACAAAUACAGUCGGCCAUUGAGCAGGGCAGACUCAAAUUCGAAGUGCCGGCAAAACUGGCCAAACUAAUGAAAAUCGACCAGCACCCUUUUCCUACCAACAUGGCUGACACGGAAAAGAAUUCUCUCACAACAAAAGUGCUGACGUCCGAGUCGGCCAAAAAGAGUGGCGCUGUCGAUCCCAGAUAUCAAAUCACGUCUGAAGGCAUCAAGGGAAAGCGACGAAUGGAGGACGAUGAUGGUGAGUCAGAAAGGCCACGCAUUACCUCCCAAUUCCUGCUCCAAAAGUACCAGCGCCAACAUGAGCAUUCAAGGUCACGAGAAGAGGCGAUGCGUCGGCACGAGGAGCACUGGAGAUGCCCAUUCUUCGUACAUUGUUGGGAAAAUAACCUCAGGCUACCAUCGGCAGAUACUUGCCCGGAGUGCAACGGUCCCUAUCGAGGCAAUCGGCCGUUCACCAGGUCUCGCUCCAGAGAUAGAAGGCCAGAACCGAUCAGCAGGAAUUGGCGCAACCCAGAUGAGCAGCGCCCUCCCGUGCAUGAUCGGCUGGGGGGCAGGAGUGACCAAUAUGAUCGGUCAAAAGGAAGAAGCCAUAAUAGGCAGGGGGGCAGGGCCGAUCGUCAUGAUCAAUCAAAUAGCAAAGCCAGCGUUCACAGCCGGCUCGAAGACAUGGCCGAUGUUCGGGUAACGGAUGAGAACCCAUUAGGACGAGAGCCAGAAUGGGAACGCGCCAGGAAAGAAGGGAGGCCAAUAAACCCCAGAUGGUGCCCCGAUGGUUUAACCAAAUCACAAAAAUGGAGAAUCCAACGCCUCCGCCAAUGGGAACAGCAAGAAGAAGAGAACGCGAUGGACAAGAAGGAAGGGAGGCCUCGGGUAUGGCGCCCCAAAAGAAACGACAAGGACAAUGAUGAAUCGACGGGUGAUGAAUCGGCAGCCGAAAUCGGUAUGGUUUUCAUAUUGCCGAUGGAGUUCAUGACCCCUGCCGAUCAACAAGACGUGUCGGCGAUAGAGGAACAAACAGCACGGUUGGUUUUAGAACCAAUGAUGGCCACGUUCGAAAAGCCCGAAGACGACGAACGACAACAUAUGAAGGCAUUGUUCCUUAAAGGGCAUGUUGACGGUCGUCCCCUCACUAGAUUGAUGGUCGACGGGGGAGCUGCCGUCAACAUCAUGCCAUAUGCCAUACUCCGAAAGUUGGGAAAGAGCGACGACGACCUAACCAGGACGGACAUGAUGCUCAAGGACUUCGAGGGCAAGGUGUCAAACGCUCGCGGUGCCCUCUGCGUCGACCUCACCAUCGGCAGUAAGACCCUUCCUACCACGUUUUUCGUCAUUAAUGGCAAAGGGUCCUAUAAUAUGCUUCUUGGCCGAGACUGGAUACACGCAAACUGCUGCAUCCCGUCAACUAUGCAUCAAUGCCUUGUACAAUGGGUCGGUGAUAACAUCGAGGUGGUCAAAGCCGACUCCGCGUACAGCAUCGCAGCAGCCGACGCACAGCAAUGGAGCUGCGAAACCGUCAGAUGCAUAUCAGGUAGGGUGUGGGAAACCGAUUUCCUGAAGGUCACCGAUUUUGGCCUACAGCCGAUCCGAGCAGUCGGCUCCGAAGAAGCGCAAUAGAUGGAUCAGUUUGCCCGAGAGGACGGGAAGCUGGGACACGGAUUCACGUCGGCCGAUUCAUUAGAGAUGAUAGACUUAGGUGACGGGACCAAACCAAGGCCGACUUUUAUUAGUGCAAAUUUAGACCCAGAGUAUAAGUGUAAAUUGACGAAUUUAUUAAAAGAAUUCAAGGAUUGUUUUGCUUGGGAGUAUCACGAGAUGCCCGGAUUAGAUCGAUCUAUUGUUGAACAUCGGCUACCCAUAAAGCCAGGGUAUCGGCCGUACCAACAACCCGCACGGCGGUGCAAUCCUAAAAUUUUACCAGACAUAAAAGCCGAAAUAACUCGGCUAAUUGAGGCAAAAUUUAUUCGGCAAUGUCGUUAUGCCGAAUGGAUUUGUAAUAUCGUGCCGGUGUACAAGAAAAAUGGGAAGCUACGCGUCUGCGUCGAUUUCAGGAAUCUUAAUCAGGCCACACCGAUGGAUGGUUACCCCAUGCCUACGGCCGAUGUAUUGAUCGACGCUGCCGCGGGACACAAAAUUAUUAGCUUCAUGGAUGGAAAUGCCGGAUACAAUCAAAUACUUAUGGCUGAAGAGGAUAUACCCAAAACAGCUUUCAGAUGUCCAGGCCAUCUUGGUCUAUUCGAGUGGGUGGUGAUGACUUUCGGCUUGAAGAAUGCCGGUGCUACAUAUCAGAGAGCCAUGAACUACAUUUUUCACAAACUCAUUGGCCUCCUGGUGGAGAUCUACAUCGAUGACGUUGUGGUCAAGUCCAAAAGCCACGAGGAACACCUAGCCGAUUUGCGAAGGGUGCUAGAGUGUACCAAAAAGCAUGGUCUUAAGAUGAAUCCCAACAAAUGCGCUUUCGGCGUUUCCGCCGGACAGUUCUUAGGAUUCAUGGUGCACGAACGGGGUAUAGAGGUCAAUCAGAAGACCAUAACGGCCAUCAACAAAGUCGUUGCUCCACAGAACAAAACUGAGCUACAGUCUCUAAUCGGCAAGGUGAACUUCAUCAGAAGGUUUAUAUCUAAUCUAUCUGGACGGAUUCAGGCGUUCACACCACUUCUGAAGUUGAAGCCAGACCAGGAAUUUAUAUGGGGAGAAGAACAGCGCAAGGCGUUAGAAAACAUCAAACGAUACUUGGUCUCACCCCCAGUCCUGGUUCCCCCUCAAACGGGUAAGCCGUUUAAACUAUAUUUAUCAGCCGAUGAAAAAGCUAUUGGGUCGACUCUAGUCCAAGAAUUUGAAGGCAAAGAACGGGUAAUUUAUUACAUUAGUAGAAGACUCCUGGAUGCCGAAACAAGAUAUCCUCCAGUGGAGCGUUUGUGUUUGUGUCUUUACUUCUCGUGCACCAAACUCAGGCACUAUCUACUGUCGGCAGAAUGUAUAGUCGUAUGCAAAGAUGAUGUAGUAAAAUACAUGCUGUCACUACCGAUAUUGAAAGGACGAAUCGGUAAGUGGAUCUUAGCUUUAUCGGAAUUUGACCUGCGGUACGAAUCGGCAAAAGCCGUCAAGGGUCAAGUCAUGGCCGAUUUCGUCGCCCAGCACUGUGGGCUGGAGGUCGCUUUCGUGGAACUAGCGCCUUGGCAAUUAUUUUUUGACGGGUCAUCAUGCGGGGUCGGAUCAGGAAUCGGCAUCGUUCUCAUAUCGCCUCGGGGGGCAAGAUAUGAUUUUUCUCUGCCGAUAGAGACCGCCGCCACAAACAAUCAAGCAGAGUACAGAGCUGUAUUAAAAGGCUUACGAUUAUUGAGAGAAGUCAAAGCCGAUUCUGUUGAGGUCUUCGGAGAUUCGAUGCUAAUCGUGGAUCAACUAACCGGAAGGGCCGAGUGCAAAGAUGACAUAUUACGGAUUCAUCACGAAGAUUGCUUACAGCUUUUAAAAGAAUUCAGAUCGGCAACAAUCGAGCACGUCCCAAGAGACCGCAACGAGGAAGCAAACAAGCUCGCUCAACACGCAUCUGGGUAUCGGCCGAUUCCAGGCACCAUGGCCUUAGAACUUGCAGCUGACGACUGGCGUAAGGAAAUUGCCGAUUACCUGAAGGAUCCGUCCAAAAAGGUGGAGCGGCGAGUGCGCUUUCAUGCCACCAAGUACGUAUUGCUCGAAGAUGAUCUGUUCUACCGAACGAUCGACGGUGUUCUUCUUAAAUGCCUUGGGAUGGAAGAAGCCAAGACUCUAAUGGGGGAAAUCCAUGAAGGGGUAUGCGGAGCUCACCAAUCAGCACAUAAGAUGAAGUGGAUGAUCAGAAACAACGGGUACUAUUGGCCUACGAUCCUCGAAGACUGUUUCAAAUAUUAUAAGGGUUGUCAGGAGUGUCAAAAGUUCGGAAAUAUCCAACGCGCACCCGCGUCGGCCAUGAACCCCAUCAUCAAACCAUGGCCAUUCAGAGGGUGGGGAAUAGACCUUAUCGGCCAAAUUUAUCCACCAUCGAGCAAGGGGCACAAGUUUAUUCUGGUUGCUACUGAUUACUUCACCAAGUGGGUGGAGGCAAUCCCAUUAAGAACUGUGACUUCGGCUAUCAUGGCCGAUUUCGUAAGGGAUCAUAUCGUCUACCGAUUCGGUAUCCCUCAAACCAUAACAACCGAUCAAGGAACAAUGUUCACAUCGGGGGAAUUUGAGGAGUUUACAACCGAUAUGGGCAUCAAAUUGUUAAAUUCUUCUCCGUAUUACGCCCAGGCCAAUGGUCAAGCAGAAUCUUCCAACAAAGGAAUAAUCAAGUUGAUCAAAAGGAAGAUUGAAGAAUACCCGAAGAAGUGGCACCUGUGUUUGAUCGAAGCCCUAUGGGCAUACAGAAUGGCCUGUCAUGGGGCUACCAAGUUAUCCCCCUAUCAGUUGGUAUACGGUCACGACGCAGUACUUCCGUGGGAGUCGAGGGCAGGAUCGAGGCGCAUUUCACUUCAGGACCAAUUAUCAGCCGAUGACUACUCAUCUCUGAUGAAAGAAGAACUUGAUGAUUUGGCCGGCCAACGACUAAGGGCUCUGAUAAGUAUCGAAGAGAAUAAAAAGAGAGUGGCCAGGUGGUACGAUAAAAAGGUCAAAGUCAAGCAGUUCUCCCCUGGAGACUUGGUAUGGAAGUUGGUGCUACCGAUUGGGUCGAAAGAUCCUAAAUUCAGCAAGUGGUCUCCUACCUGGGAAGGGCCGUAUAAAAUCGGCAAAUGCGCUCCAGGGAAUGCCUAUAUCUUGGAAACAAUAGAAGGAGAAGAAUUCACUAGAGCUCUGAAUGGGAGGUACUUGAAAAGAUAUUACCCAAGUAUAUGGGUCGGUGCCUAAGGAAUCAACACGAUCAUACAUGACCGAUACGAGUCGGUUUUGAGGCGCACAUAAAGUCGACCAGAACGGCCGAUUACAUUCAUUCGGUUCGGGCAACAGAUCACAUGGCCAACAAAACGCUUAGUCGCCCUUAGAACAAAAAAUACAGCAACUAAUUAUUCUUUUUCUUACGCUCCCUCUCAGCCCGACCUAACUCUAUCAUGAGUCGGAGGUAUUCUUCUUCUAUGGCCUUCAUUGAAAUCUCCGCUUCGGCUUGGCGGGGGGAAUCUACGGGAGGGCGCGAAGUCCUUGCUCCCGCGUCUUCAAGAACGACUUGCCGAGGGAGUGGAUGACUCCUGUCGUUGGGAAGUCGCCGGCUGCCGUUCCUCUCCACGAAGUCCAGGAUCGUUCGGGCCGCCGUGACGGUGUCGUCUUCAAGAUCGACACAACGAUGGCUCCUGACGGGUGGAGAUUGAUGGUUAUUUUCACUCACCACGGAAUCCAAGACCACGCGAGCCUCCGUGGUAAUGUGGUCCCGGAGCUCCUCUCGGUGAGCCACGAUCAGCAACUUGUCCUCCGACGUUAAUGGAUCUUCGGAAUGAAUGCACUCAAUGGCGCGCACGAGCUCGGGGCUAAGACGUUGAGGCUGAAACAAAGAAGGAAUGAGGGGGGGUAUUUUCUUCCUUAGGGUCUAAAAAAGAAGGGAAGGUAGAGGUCAAAGACUUCACCUGGUUAACAGAGGAAGAAGAAGACGACGAGGCCAUGGCGAAGAAAUUGCGCCGAUGAAAAGGGGCAGAAAAGUUAAACCGAGAGCCAAGAUUGAUGCUACCAGGAGUAAGCGCCGAGGUUGGUGUUUAUAAAAGGAUGCAUGGAAAUCUGGUAAGGCUACGUCCCAUCGGUAAUAAGAAGGCAAUAAAUAGAAAGGGCGUCGCGAGGGGCGGUCAAAGAAGAUAGUAAAUGAUUCGUACAAAGCGGUCAGUGUUUUACAGAUUACCCAGAAGGGUAUCGAUAGCCGUGAUGGCCCGACGCCGGAUCUGAUCGGCAGAGUCAAGUACCCGUUGGUCUUCUUCCGCCGAUCCAGGAACCUCCGAUGCGCUGCGAUGGAGUCUCAGUGCCUCGUGAGCAAAGCGUUGCCUCUCCCGUGUUAAAUCGGCAAUAACAGAGGGUAGCUCUUGGAGUUUGUUCUCUUCGGCACUGAUUGCCUUGGUCACUUGCUCCAUUUCCUUGGCAAGCUCCGCCCUCCGACGCUUGAGACGGUCUAUUUCACCUAUGAUCGCCGGGCGGGAAUCUUCUAGGACAUGGAUACGCCGGUUCGCCUCUUGAGCCUGACGUUUGAAAGCGUCUUCCUCUUCGCGAGCCUUGAUCAGCUUGGCGCGAUCGGCCAUGUGACAAAGGGUUCUGAAGACCGGGACCCUCAUAGACUCGAUGAAGGCCGCCGGCGCCAAGGCCUCCUCCGCCUCUUCUGGUACUCGUCCGCUGACGUCAUUGAAGAGCUGCCGAAUCGGUGAAGCGUCUUCUACUAAUCGGCCGAUGUCCCCUUGAAGGAGGGAUCGGAUGCUGGAAAGUUUGGCUCGGACGUCAUCAGGAACGGAACUCAAGGCGACUUGGCGAGAAGCAACUUCUUCGUCAUCAGAAAGGGCGACCGCAAAAGAAAAGAGGCUGUUGUCGGGGGUAUCCUGUUCCUGAAGAUAAUAAAGAAAAGAAAUAAACCAGCUGCAAGAAAGAGUAAAUCGGCUAAGAUAGAAGCCGAAACAGAAAAUUACCAUUUUGAAGCGAAUCUCCUCAUGUUGCACUUGAGAAGCCGCCAUGCCUUGCUCGGGGGCCUGCGCCAUGGGUUCAUCAGAUGAAGAGGACUCCACGAUAAUCGGCGUAGUGUUUGGACCAACCUCCUGACAAGAAAUCGGCGAUCGAGGAGCGAUUGAUGUGCCGAUGGCCUGUGUCAGAAGUUGGAAUAAAUACGUUACGAGAAUGCCCAAAGGAAAUCGGUACGAGAGGUUCUAUACCUUAACGGAAGGAAAUGGGGGCGCAUCAAUAGCUGGAGGGGCUGCUGCCGAUUGUGGUACUUCUGUAGGGAUGCUCUGUGCAGUUUAAGGUUAAAGAAAAGUUAAUAUCAAAAUAAUAAUCGGAGGCAGCUCAACUCAGUGUUACCUGUAUGGCCUCCAACAACAACGAUGCGGCGGCCGCCCCAGCUUGCGUCAUGGUUUGAGCAUCGGCGCCUUGAAUGACCUGAGAAGGUGGUACGGCCGAAGUUUCUGCCGAUACGCGCACAGGAGGAUCCGCCGAUCCCGUACGAGCCCGGACUCGGCGACUGGUCUUCUUAGUGGUCCUUUUAUGAAUUUGUUUCGAUCGGCCAGUAAUCAUGUCAACAGACGGGGCGUCAUAGCCGAUAAGGGGAUAAGUAGUGUAUGGAUAACUCUCUAUUAGUCGUCCGCUGCGGCUGUGUGUUGGAGGGGUCCGAUUCUCGGCCUAGAAUAAUAAAAUCAUUAGUACUCGAUCAUGUUAAGAGGAAUAAAAGGGAAUAAAAAUCGGCUAUGUGAAGUACCUCGGCGUUUGGAUCAAUGUUGGUCGGGUCCAGAAGAUUGCAGUAUGCCGAUGCCGAGUUGCAGAAGAGGAAUUGCUUCCAAUCGGCCCACCAAAGUUUGAACGGCUGGACAGCAAAUGGAGCUACUAGCCAGUCGUUCAAGUUAAUUGUACUGGAGUCUGGAAUUCGGUCUCGCAACCGACCGUAAUCUAGGCCAGUUGUGAGCUCAUCCCUAAACUUGAUUUUGCCAGCAAAGUACACCUGAAUCGGCAACUGACCCAUGCCGAAUUGUCGUGCUGCAGCAGAAGGGUUGUAGAAUUCGUAUGUAGGGGCAUCCUUCCCUGAGAAGAAGUUGGCCGGUAGGAGCCCUGGCUUGAUCAACCCUUCAUAGAGAUCUUCAUCAAACCGGCCAGAAGUUGAAUCGAAACAGGAGGGGAGCUCGAAAAUUGGGAUGUCUCGCUGGUAAGGAAACCAGAUAGUUGCGUCCUCAUUAAAUCCAUUAUAAAAGCACCGAAAGUACUCGGUUACCUUUGUAGCGGAAUACGCACAACCUGGGAAAGCUGAUGCCGCUUCACCAUAAGACAUGCAUCGGCGACGCUCGGUAGGGUCUUCUGCCGAUUCAAUAUUGGGAAACGUCAUGUGGUCCACUGGCUGCCGGGUGAUCCUAUUCAUAUAAAGGUUCAACCAUAGAUUGAUGAACCACCAAGGCCCGCCUGGGUUGCCGAUUGGUUCUCCCUUGGAAAGUUUUGUGCCGAUUUGAUGGAGCAUGUGGUACACAGCACCCAGAAGAUGUUUCCUGAGAGGAAUGUGGCUUCCUUUGGAUAGUGCCUCGGCUAAAGAUUGGGUGUUGGUUGUUGGGCCGGCGGCUCUUCCACAGAAAAGGUGUUUUUCUAGCCACAUCAUCAGGAAAGCGGUGUGUUCCCUGUUAUCAACAGUACCGGUGUUCUUGUUAUUACUAAUAAAGCCCUUCCAGCCGCCGAUUCCUCUUGUGUCCAGCCGAUGCGAUGGUACGGUCAGAAGUUGGAAAGGCGUGUCAGGGGAAGAUAUGUCCAGGCCAGUCAAGAGGACCACAUCGGCCAGAGUAGGGGUCAUGGGACCGUGUCCAAAUAAGAAUGCAUUAAGUGCGUCAGACCAAAAAUAGGAAGCCGCCAUCACUAGCGGUUCGUUUCUCUCCAUUUGCGACAGGGAAAGGUUGAUACAUUGGCCGAUUUUGAGCUCAUCCCACGAGACGCUCCUUGACGCGGCUACCCGUUGGUACCAUUCCCUCCAACCUGGGGUCUCAUGCGGCCAAGAUCUAAAAGUGCUGGCCCAUUGAUCUAAGUUCAUAUCAGAUCGUUUGAAAGGUAUCCGGUCAGUUUCCAAGUUUAUGAAGUCUGCUAGGUCCGGGUCUCCCAUAGGACCAAGGCAAACAAGGCCAGGACUACCCGUAAGAUGAAUAGUAAUUCUAUGUCUAACUGCCUAAAAAAGGAAAAGAGGCAUAAGAAUAUAAAGAGUAGAUCUAAGACAAAUGUGUUACCGAUAGAGGAAAGAUUCGGUAUUUACCUCCGGUAUAAAAUUCUGAGUAAUCGGUGUGGUCGCCGAUGCGGAUGCGAAUGUUGGAGUCGCAAUAGGGAUCGCCAUUGGGAUCUCUGAUGAAGCUCCUUCAUCUGUGGAUGGAGUGACGGUUGUCGCCACCGUUACCGGAGGUGCGACCUCUGGGGUAUCGCGUGCAGGAGAGCUGCCGGAAGGGGUCGCCAUUGAAGGGAAGGGGAAGAAGUGACCGGAGCUGGAACUGGAAGGCUUCGAUGGCAAGAUUGAAGAAGGAAGGAGGUGCGCGCGUUGGAAAAAGAGACGUGAGCUUGAAGAUGAGCUGCGGUAAAAUCUUAUUUAUAGGGUGCCUGAAGAAAGGGUAAAGAUGGAAUUUUCACCGCGCCGGCGCGUCAAGUUUUUCGGGGAAGUGGCUGUCGUGGGCGCCCGUUUCAAAAAAUUGCAAUGAUCAGCCGGGAGACCGCGAAACGGAAGGAUAUUUUCACUGCGGUCGUUUCGGAGGGGAGGUUAUAAAGAAUUUCGAAGUAAAAGGCUUUUACUCCGAAACUGGGGGGCAUGUGUUGACGCCGGAUUUCGUCAUCAGUAGAAUCGGCGCCAAGGAGGAAAAGAAGUCGAGGAAGUACGGAUGGAAUCGGUCAGAAGAUGCUAUAAUACGGAAUCGGUCAGUAGCUUUUACUUCGCUUCAGGGUGGAUGCACCAGAUUCCCAAUCGGCAAUCCUUUGCCGAUGAGAAAUCGGCCGAUCUGGAAGGUAGACUAAGGUGGGCCUGUAUGGGCUUGGAAAGAUGGAGGAACAAGGUGGAGUUCAGCCCACGAAGCGUGGGGUGAUUAGUUUAGCACGGAUUGUGUUUGUAGAUAUUUGUUUUCUGUUUGAAUUAGAGAUAGAGUUCUAGUCGGUUAAGAAGAUUAUUUGUACGGGGCUAUAAAUAGCUACCUUUGUGAAUCUGUAAAAACAAUCAAUCAAUCAAUACAACAAGUUACUUUCUUCUUCGUGCUUACUUUCGAGCAGGCGACUUCGCCAUCAUUUUUUUCUUCUCACGAGUUCGUGCGGAUUGGCAGGGCUGCAUCAUCUUGAUCUCCGGCCGAUUCUGUAAGUUCCGUUUAUCGAGUAAUACCUAAGCUUUAACUUCUGGCGCAUCGCUGUUGUUUCGUUUAGAAUUAUUCAUCAGUUAUCGAUAUCAACUAAAUUCAUAGGUUUUUACCUGUUUUUCUAGUUUUUAUCACCAGUUAUCCUGCUAGGAAUCGGUAAUAUUGGCUUUCAUUACUUCCUGUUGUUAGAUCCAUUCAUUGCCGAUUAGAUCUUUUCUUAGUGCUGUUAUCAUAAGCUUUGUACCGAUUACUUUAGUACUUUUCUGUCUACAAAGCUACAGAGAUCGUGCUGUUUUAUAGCCGAUUUCACUAUCACAGUAGAUCGGCCGAUUCGCCGAUAAGCUCUCUCGAUCGGAAACUUAGCCGAUCGUAGUUACUGAAUUUGACACGUGUUAUUCCUUGCCAAUCAACAGGUCAGAUUGGCUGGCACGCCGCGCGAACCGCACCAGGGCAUUUACCCGAACAGGAGCUAAGCAGAUUCUCCCGGAUCGUGUGUCGGUCGCUAGGAUUCGGUUGACCGAUUUCUAGCGUCAACAAUCGCGUAAUACCCUACGUCCUGUGUGUUGAUUGUAUUGAACUUGGGUGAGUUGGGAGUUGUUGUCUUGAGGAGGUCCCUGCCCGCCCUUAUAUAAUCGGGGGAGCAGGGUUACAAGCGAGAAGCCUAGUCGGGUACGGUUACAGAGUUCUACUUGGGGUAGACACUACCUUCCAUAUACCUAACUAGUCUUCAGGAGUCCGAGUGGGAUACGCCUUGCUGCAUAGCCCCCAUCUGAAUUCUGUGCGAGUACGACCCUUGGUGGGCCGCACAAGGCCUACUCGCGGGCCUGGGAUCCAUGCCCAACAUCUGCUAUGCCCAAACCUGCUUCGAGAGUGCUAGGAAGUUGUGGACCGAGAAUGUGUGAGUCGGUUAUUAAUUUGCUCCUGGAUGUGGGUGUUGGUGACUUGGAGUCACGCUUUGAAUCCGUCAUAUUUGUUCUAAAUCUAGAAAAUUUUCAACCUCGGCAAAGGUAGCCCCCAGGUUGGUCUGGGGUGUGGCAAAGAUGUUGUGGCCGACCUGCUUAAGGUUGGCUAGUAAAUUGCAGGCGCGUAUAGGGUGCCUGCGUUUUUCUCGAGGCCAACUUGGUCGGCGUUGUCGCGGUCGUUGCGCGACUACUGGUGCUGCUCACCUGCUGUGUCUGCGUCAGCAACAGGUUGUUGUUGGGUGUCGAGUUGCUCCUGUUGGCGUCAUGCUGCGCGGAUCUGGUUCCUAGCAUUACGACCUUCUUCUUGAGAUUUUGUUUUGCCAUCCCGAGGUGGCUCAUCAGCAGAGACUACGAAAGCUUCAUGAUCUGGCGUGGAGGAGUUUCUCUCAUCACCGCUUCCGUAGGGAUUUGGUGUCAGAAUGAUGUGAGGCACCUAGAAUUCACCACACUCUGAAAACUGGGUGGGUUUGUGUGGGUCUCCAGAUUGGAUUUGGAAAACCUGGUCAAGCUCGACGGAGUACUCGGUGCUCGAUUUCCACAGACUAAAGGGAUGGGUCCUGCGUCGACCUUGUGGAGCGUAGCACUGCCUCAAAUAAUUCUAUACACUUAGCAAUAGUGCUGCUGAUAUGAUCUAGCCCCGUGAUCAGGUCGGAGGGCAUAGGUGGGUGGGUGCCGGUGAGUAGAUCUGGAACCUUCUCGUAGAGAGAGAGUUCGCCGACUUGCUAGGCGAGUGGCAUCAUGAUCUUUGUGUGGAGAACUUGUUCUGCCAGAGCAGAUCCAAUGGAAGUUGAGUCAGUGUUGGGCACCAAGUUGACUGUAGUUGUCGAGUCAACGGGAGUUGCCGAGUCGACCGAAGAAGUGGUCGGAUCGGAAUCCGCGGUCAUGGUCCCGAAUUGAAUUUGGACUGGGUUGGUGAGGAAGUCCUUCAUGCUCUCAAGAAAAACUACACCGGGACGGGAUGCCGUCGAGGUCGCAAGAAGGAUCUCUCAACCCCCCUACCUGGCACACCAACUGUCAAAUUUAUAAGCCCGACAGUUGACCAGGGGGUUACCUAAGUGGUUGAUUCGUAGAUGAGAGUGAUUGCUAAAUCAAGAACUCGAAGGUGAUCACGAGAACACGAAGGGGACACAAGGAUUUUAUACAAGUUUGGGUCUCCGGAGAGUAAUACCGUAUCUGAUGAUGGGGAUACGCUCGGGAUUGUAUUGCUCGAGAUUUAUCUGAUGAUGAGGAUACGCUCGGGGGAAACCUUAGCCACCUUAUAUAGGCUGACAACCAAUAGUUACAAGUCAGUUUGAAUCUAAUCUACUCGGUAGUUACAUGGAAAGAAAUAUGAGUCAGAUUGUAAUACACGUUCCAUGAUAUCCAAGUAGGUUUGGAUAGUCUUGGUGCCUUGACGUGUACUCCAAGUAACUUCAUGCCCUCGGCCCGCAUGCCCUAGUCGGGCGGGCCCACUUGUAAGGUCCGACCAGUAUCCAGGUCGGUGCGGACCCAUAGAGUAGCCAUAUCCCUCAACAUCUGGUAUGGUCACUGUGCUACCGGUCCUGCGCCGAGUACUAGGUCAAUCAAAAACUCCACAUUCUGAUCUAGAGGUAAUUCUGUCAGCUCUUCUGGAAACACGUCGGGAAACUCACACACCACGGGUACCUCUUCAAGGGUCUUGGAAUACAAACUGCAUAGUAUCGGGGCUAUCUUGGGGUACACGGCUCAAACUGUACUUGAACUCUGCUCGGACGCUCCAAUCUGAUGAAGCAGGGGUUACACAAAACCAGUCCCUUGUUCUUAUCCAACCAAUCCAUUCCCAAGAUCACAUCUAUGGCUGAAGACUUCAACACUGUCAAAUUUGUUAGGAACUGUUGCUUCUCGAUCACCAACGGUACUGCCGUGCAUUGUAAGGUGCUCCUAACUUCUCCUAGGGGAGAACUUGUGAUAAUAGGCCUUGGUCGAGGUGUAGUGGGGAGAGACUGUUCUUCCACAUACUUGGUUGAAACAUAGGAAAACUUGGCACCAGUAUCAAACAAAACUAUAGCUUUGAUUAAAUCAACAAGAAACUCACCUAGAGCAAUGUCUGGAGCUACUGCGGCGUCCUCAGCGGUCAAGUGGUUCAGGCAUCCUCAAGUAGGUGGCGGUGCUGUCCUUGCUGGAUUCCUCAGUGGUGGUCCUCCUGGUGCUGGUGUCUUGAUGGGCAUCUGGUACUGGCUGCUGCAGUUCUAUCCUCCUGCCUAAGUCUUCUGUGGACACUCAUAGGACUUGUGCUCGGGCUGUCGCCAUGUGUAGCAGAUGACCAACUUUGUGCCCUCAGGUGCGGUAGGUUGCUGGGGCCUUGGCUUCCAAGUACCUAAACUUCCUCCUCCUACACUGGGGUUCUUGUACUACUGCUGUUGUGGAAGGUAGCUGCGUGGCUUCUACUGCUGAAACGGUGAGGGUCCCGUCCUCGGCCUCUGAGACCGCUCCUGACGCUUCCUCUUGUGUCCACGGAACUCCUCGAACUCCAGCCUCAACUUCCCCACUCGGAGUGCCUUGCCCACAAGUGCGUGCAGAGUAGGGCAGUUGUGAGUGGACAAGUGCAUCUCUAUGCCAUGUGAAGUCCCUUGCGAAACUAGUACAUCUUCCUUUUCUCCAUGUUGGAGUCAUCCGGUGUGUACCUCAUCAGCUCCUGGAACUUGUUGGCAUACUCUUGCACUUUCAAGUUCCCCAUCUUCAAGUUUCGGAACUCAUCUACCUUUCAAUCCAUGACUGCUUCUGGGAUAUGGUGGUUGCGAAAAGCUGCAGCGAACUCGUCCCAUGUGAUGUGAGCUUGGUCUGCGUGAGAGUCACAGAAACUAUCCCACCAAGCACAUGCUGUCCCAAUCAGCUGGUGAGUGGCCAGCGCCACACACUCCUCAUCUGUACAAUAUGUCAGGUCCAACUUCUUCUCAAUCUCCCUCAGCCAAUCGUCUGCAUCCAGUGGGUUAUCAGAGUUGUCGAACGUGGGUGGACGAAGCUUGGUAAACCCUUCAACCUUCCUCUGCAAAGUCUCAACUGGUAGGUUCCUACACUUUCCUCCCUCCUAGUUGUACUAGAGCAAAGCAUCAACCAUGGUCUGCAUCAACUGCGUCUGAAUGGCCAUCACCUCUGCAAGGUUAGGUGACGGUGGUGCCUGCUGGUCCUCUACACCUCCAGCAUUCAUGUUCUGCUCCUGUUCCUCCUGACCCUCCUGGUGAGCUUCUCCCUUAGCACUAGCUGCGUCUUCUCGUACCUCCAUCUCUGGGACAUGUCCACCCCACCCUCUGUGAUGACCUCCAUGAAGUCCACCUCAGGGACCACGACCUCCACAGUGACCACGACCUCUACCGGGGUUAAACCCAUCCUCGUUGGCCGCCUCUUCAAAAUGGUGCAGCAGCCGUCCCGACCUCCUUAAUCCUGACGUCUAUUCCAAAUGAGAUCGUAAUCAGUGGUUACUCUUAAGAAAUUAGGUAGGGGGUUAAUUAAAUUAUAAGAGAAAUACAAAGAUAUAUAAAACACACAAAUAAUUUCACACAGACAAUAAGAAGCAUAAGAACCAUAAAAUCCAUAUCACUCAAGCAAAGGCACCAUACAAAAGAGGUGUAUCUCGAGAUCUACAAUAGAAGCCUUCAAGAUUACAUGAGGAUCAUCAUGCUACUACAUCGAGAAUCAUGGGGGUGGUAGUCUCUAAAGCUACAACAUCAUAGUGAGCCUAACUUGAACCUAGCACUAGAUCAGAAGCGGUCCUAUCAGUCGGAGAGCGGGAAGUCGUUGUUGUCCACGUCACCAUCUCUAGGGUGGUACUCAGGAGUAGGGCCUCUCCAUAGUCCUGACUCAUCAUCCGAGGGCACAGACAGCUUCAGCGGGUCUCCUCCGUAUAGCCGUGAGAGUGUAGACAGGGCUCUAGUCAUCUCCUCUUUGGCAACCCUGCCUGGCGGGUACAACACCUGUGUGUACAACUUGGACAUUGUUAACUCAAAGCUCUCCACACAAGGCUCCUCUUGUACUCGACUGGAACCUAAGCACUCAACUCCUCCAACUCCAUCAUCCGCUUGCGGUUAGAAUGCUCCCACAUGUGUUGAAGCCUCUCUGCCAAGUCCCUGUUACAGUAACAACGUGAUCCACCAGGUUGUAGUAGUUCCUAUGCAAGCGGUGGUGUAGCUGCUCGACGACACCAUUCAUGGCAGCGAGAGCGGCGUCCAAGGUGUCAACCAGCUCCUCAUUCUCCUUGAUCAUCGCGUUCUUCUCAUUGAUCAUCUAGUCCCUGGUCUUCAGAGCCUCCUCCAUACGAGCGACCCUCAUCUCUAGCUUUAGGAUCUUAAGAGCAUCCCUCCCAUCAUAGGGGUUUGGUGCAGUGUUGAUCUCAUGACGAAGGCAAAGAUUCAUUUGGUCCAGACUCUCCAAAUAUCAAUCAAGUCCCUUGAUCUUGCCCUCCAGCAUGGCGUUGGCUCCGAUGCAGUCAUCCCAACCCUUGCGAAGGACCUCCAUCUCUCAGUCGCACCAGAACAGUGCAAGGCCCUGAGCGUGAAUGGAGCAGGAGGCAACUUUUAACCUCUCAUCGUGCUCUUCGUAGGCGUCCUCCUGGUUCUGCCAGGCUGCUCUCUCAAAGUACACCUUGGGUAGGCAGCGGUAGGGAGUCUGUGCCAGUCUAUCUCGAAGCUGCGCGUGCACCUCUCGCACGGCGAUCCUAGCUGCAGUCCGGUGAGCCUCCGACACUGAAAGCUCGAACGCAAACACCACAACCUUCUCUAGCUCGGGCACCCUGGGGUCCGCAGGCACUGUCAACCUCACCUCCAUCAGCACUGUUGGGAUACAAGGUAGGCUACGCUAGCGGAAAUCAAAAUUUUUCUACCGCGUAAACCAGGAAAACUGCCGUAUAAGGAUCACGGGAUUAUCGCUCGACGCACUGGUGCGGAAGAUGUAGAAUCGUGUGGGUCAGCAAAGUCGAUCAGUGUAGUCAAACGUAGUCGAUCAUGUCGAUGUUGAGCAGCUCCUCAGCAGCUCGUCCACGUGCAGCAAGAUUAUCUUCAUGCCGCGGCUCGUCGGCGGCUUGUCGUGGCUCGUCGACGGCUCGUCCAAGUGCUGCAGGCGCAACACCUCCAAGGUAUCCACACGUGCAGGGAGGAAGCGUCGCAAGCCGGAGUGCUAGGUCCGCGAGUUGCAACAGGCGAGAGAGUGGGAGGCGUGGCAGAUGUGUUUUGCCACAAAGGUGUAAACCCUAGGGUGCCCCCACCCAUCUAUUUAUAGAGGUUCCUAAUGGGCCUCUGGGUCCAAGGCCGACCCAGAGGCCCAUUAGUACUUCUAAACCUAAUCCAACUCGGAUCACAUCCAAAUUGGGCUUCCAGCCCCUUAAGUGUGUGACCUUAUGGGUUCGGAUACGUAUAGACAUGGCCCGAGUACUCCUACUCGGCCCAAUAGUCGGUAGCAGCCUCUAGCAAGACGUGCCAACUUAUAUACGCACGCGAAGAUCAUAUCAGACGAACCGUCACAACAUUAUGUACAUGCUAUUCCCUUUGCCUCACGAUAUUUGGUCUAGCUUCAAGCCGACCCCUCUUUCUCGAUCCUAUGAUUCAGAAUCCCUUUGUAGGUUAACUCUUAACCGUACGCAGCAUGGCCAUGCAUUUUCGGAUCCGAUCACUCGAGGGGCCUAGAGAUAUCACUCUCAAUCAGAGAGGGGCAAAUUCCAUCUUGAUUGACCAUGUCUCAUAGCAUGCUUCCUGACAAACCUGAGAGCUACCUUUAUAACUACUCUGUUACGGUGUAGCGUUUGAUAGCCCCUAAGUGAGUCGAUGCACAUCUCGACUACAUGCGACAAUCUCAGGUCUAAGGACAAAGCGUACAUGUUGUGUAAAGAGAGAACUACUUCUCGUGUUGGGUCAGUCCUAGCACAUGUCUCCACAUGUGCCCACAUUAUUAGUUCAACAUCUCCAUGUCCAUGACUCGUGAAACAUAGUCAUCAACUAAUAUAUGUGCUAGUCUAAUAUUCAUGUGUGUCCUCACAUGAACUCCGACUAGGGACAACUUUAGAAUAACCAUACAAGUAAAGAGUUUCACAUACAAUUCACAAAAUUGCAAGUCAAUUCAAGUAGCCUUUAAUGGAUACUCAAGGAACACAAUAUAAAUCAUGGAUACAAAUGGAAUAUCAUCAUAUCUACGAUUGUCUCUUGGGCAUACCUCCAACAGUCUCCCACUUGCACUAGAGUCAAUCUAGAAGGUACCUAAUACCCAUAGCUCUUACACGCGCAUCAUUCUUAGCCUGCGGGAGUGGUUUUGUCAACGGAUCAGAAAUGUUCAGAUCCAUGUGUAUUUUGCAUAUCUUGAUCUCACCCCGGAUAACGAAGUCUCGAAUGAGAUGAAAUCGCCGCAUUACGUGUUUGUUCUUCUGGUGGUUCCUUAGCUCCUUUGCUGGCGCAAUUGCCCCAUUGUUAUCACAGUAGAGAUUCAAUGGGCUGGACGCAUUUGGGAACACACAAAGCUCAAUGAGGAAAUUCCUUAUCCAAACACCCUCCUUCGCGGGUUCCGAAGCCACGAUGUACUCAGCUUCUGUCGUAGAAUCGGCUACCGUCUACUGCUUGGAACUCUUCCAACUAACAGCACCACCAUUUAGUGUGAACACAAAUCCUGAUUGUGACUUUGAAUCAUCUCUGUUGGUUUGGAAACUAGCAUCGGUGUAACCUGUUACAAUGAGCUCCUCCUCACCUCCAUAGACGAGGAACAUAUCUUUAGUCCUUCUCAAGUACUUAAGAAUGUUUUUCACUAUUGUCCAGUGACUCUCACCUGGAUCAGACUGGUGUCUGCGUGUCAUACUUAGUGGAUAUGAAACAUUUGGGCGAGUACUUAUCAUUGCAUACAUGAUAGAUCCAAUAGCCGAGGCAUAUGGCACUCACUCAUGCGCUCCCGCUCAUCAGCAGUCGAAGGACACUGAGUCUUGCUGAGAUGUAUACCAUGUGACAUAGGCAAGAACCCUUUCUUCGCCUCUUCCAUGCUGAAUCGCUUCAACACUUUGUCAAUGUAAGUAUCUUGGCUUAAUCCUAUAAGCCUUCUCGAUCUAUCUCUAUAGAUCUUAAUGCCCAGAAUAUAUGCCGCUUCCCCUAAGUCCUUCGUCGAAAAACUAUUUUUCAGUGAAGUCUUUACGGGCUCAAGUAUAGGAAUGUUAUUUUCAAUCAGCAAUAUGUCAUCCACAUAUAAGAUUAGAAAUACUACAGAGCUCCCAAUAACCUUCUUGUAAACACAAUACUCUUCUUUGUUCUUUGGAUAUCCCACGAAAAUGCACUUAUCCGACUUGGGUGUGAUCUUGUCCGACUGAAGUCACUUGACAAACACUUCACAUCCCCAAAUCUUUAGAAAAGACAAACUGGGAACUUUCUAGUCCACAUCUCAUAUGGUGUCUUAACUACGGAUUUAGAUGGUACCCUAUAAGUGUGAAAGUUGUUGUUUCUAGAGCGUAUCCCCAAAACAAUAAUGGUAGGUCCGACUGGCUCAUCAUUGAUCGAACCAUGUCUAACAAAGUCCGAUUACGUUGCUCGGAUACACCGUUUCUCUGAGGUGUUCCAGGCGGCGUAAGCUGUGGAACAAUUCCGCAACUCUUUAGAUGAUUGCUAAACUCAUGGCUCAAAUACUUGCCUCCACGAUCAGAUCGUAAGGUCUUAAUUUUCUUGCCAUGCUGAUUUUCAACUUCAUUCUAAAAUUCCUUGAACUUUUCAAAGGUUUCAGACUUGUGCCUCAUCAAAUAGACAUAUCCAUAUCUACUAAAAUCAUCAGUGAAAGUUAUGAAGUAUUGGAAUCCUCCUCUAGCCGUUGUGCUCAUUGGUCCGCAUACAUCGCUAUGUAUGAGUUCCAACAAGUCUACUGCUCUCUCAGGAAAACCUGUGAAAGGCGUCUUCAUCAUCUUGCCUGGCAAGCAAGCCUCACAUGUCUCGUAUGAUUCAAAAUCAAACGAAGUUAGAAGUCUAUCAGAAUGGAGCCUCUUCAUGCACUUUUCACUUAUAUGACCCCAACGACAAUGGCACAAGUAGGUAGGACUCAAAUCAUUAGGUUGAGGCCUUUUAGCACUUACGUUACAGACAGGUGAACCAUCAAGAUUUAAAACAAACAAUCCAUUCACAAUGGGUGCAAAAGCCAUAAACAUAUCAUUCUUAGAGAUCACACAAUCAUUAUUUUCACUCGCAAAUGAAUAACCAUCCUUCAUCAAGCAUGAAGGAGACAAAAUGUUUCGACUUAAACUAGGAACGAAAUAACAAUAAUUCAACUCCAUAAUAAAUCCUGACUGGAGGUGGAGUUGCAUCGUCCCGACGGUCAAUGCAACAACUCUUGCAUUAUUGCCCACGCGGAAAUCAACUUCUCCUCUUUCCACGCUUCUACUUCUUAUCAUUCCCUACAUCGAAUUGCAAAUAUGAGCAACCGAUCCGGUAUCAAAUACCCAAGAAUUAAUAAUUGUAUUAGCAAGAAAUAUGUUGUCUAUAACAUUAAUAACAAGCGUACUUGAGGUUGAAGUACUCUUACUUCCGCCAUUCUUCAACAAAGCUAGGUACUGCUUGCAAUUUCUCUUCUAGUGACCAAGUUCAUGAUAGUAAAAGCACUCUUUGUCUGGAGCAGGUCCAGGUCUAGCUUUAACCUUGGGCGCUGGAUUUGGCUUGGAUGUUCCAGCCUUGCCCUUCUUCUUCCAAGAAUUGCCCUUCUUCUUAAAGCUAGGCUUGUUCUAUAUAGCCAUCACAUGGCUAGAACUAGCGUUUUUCUUAAUGUCAGCCUCUGCUAUUUUGAGCAUGCCACAUAGCUCAUUCAGACCCUUCUUCGUUCCAUGCAUAUGGUAGUUCGAGAUGAAGUUCCCAAAGCUAGGGGAAAGAGACGAAAGAAUGAAAUCAGUGGCCAACUCUUGGCCCAGUGGGAAGCCCAGCUUCUCCAACCAUUGAGUGUAACCAACCAUCAGUAAGCAAGCAUAAGGCAACUUACUUCGAGGUUAGCAUCACAUGCCUUUUUGUAAGCAUUUUUAGCAGCAGCAGGUGCAUCAUCAGCAGGUUCUUCUAGUAGUGGGUUGUCUAGAACAUCUUCCUUUUUCUCAGACCUUAGAACAAUUCUCAGGUUAUGGAUCCAAUCCGAGUAGUUUGUUCCAUUCAACUUGUCCUUCUCAAGGACCGAACGCAAAGCAAACAGUGUAGUGCUGCUAGGUGCCAUUUAAUAUACAACAAAAGUAAUGCAAAAUACACUAAGACAAACGUAUCCAUGAUAGAGCAAAUGACAUUAAACUAUUUAACAGAAUCUACUCCCACUAAAAUCAAUGUCCCUCUAUUGAUACUUAGUGAUUUAGGAUCCACAACUAAUAAGUCUACUAGUGAGCUUUAGCAUCACCGCUAGCAAACAAGGUAGAUCGGUAAGCAACUCUUUGCUAAUCAUAUCACAUAUGACUCCUAUUGUUGGGUGACAUGUCCAUGUCUCGGCGCCCAACCUUUAUGCCCCAAGGUCCUUAACUGUUAAGAUAACCUUGUUAAGCAAACCAACCCUUAUGCGUGUAAGUGUCCAACACAAACCCGUCUAGUCAAGGAAAACUAGUGGCACCCUAAUUUCAUAUACCUACCACUAAUUGUACAAGAUAUGGGACGGUGCAAGUUUAAGUUGGGAGGGCAUACUAACUUAAACUUUGUGAUGGAUCGUUCUACUUCUAACAUCAUAGCAUGCAGAAAGUAAAACAUAAACAGAAUAGCAUUCACACAGUGGUGACACAGUAUGGCCCAUUUUCUUAUGGUGAUCUCCAUCUCCACAGAACCUGUUCAGCAUGGUGAUCUCCAUCUCCAUGUUCCAUGUGCGCCAUCCUCCUGGUGAUGAGUCCUCCAAGAACUAGAACAUGCUAUUACGCCUAAUAGCUAGUAAAGAAGCUAGUAAUGAAGAUUACAUAGUUUGCUUGGAUCAUCACAGAUUGGUACGCAGACCAUUAAAUACAUUAAAGUGACAACACAUAUGGCUCCAGCCGUGUUGCCGUACGCGCAACACGCAGGUCACGAAUGAGUUACACACAUGCAUCACAUACACAAGGGGGCCAUAAUGAUCACAAGAUCCAUACAUCCUGCAAAACAGAGUUAGGCAUUCUAACGUUCCAAACUUCAGAGGCCCGAAACUCCAUCUUCCAAGCUGAAUUUGGGAAAUCUAAUUUUGUCAAAACUGGCAAAGUGGUUGAAUUUCAUGUGUAACUUUUUCUGUAGAUCAAUUUUCAUAUAAAAUUCGCCCCGAUCCGAGAUUGUACCGAAAAGUUACGGUUGAUUUAUCGAAGCACACGCAUACAGCAAAAUCCCGACCUGGUAGUAGAUCCAAUCUACUAUUGCACGUGUGAUGUGCUUGGCGUAUGAACCUGGAUCUUGAUCCGACCAGUCACAUUGAUCUUCGCUUGCUGUAACUUGCAUUACGUGUAUCACUUAACUCCGAUGGAGGAAACCCGACCGGCAGGAGUAUGUCAUUACACAACCAUUGCAGCAAGAACACGAAAUCAGGACAUAGAUCAAACUGAAAACUCGCAUAUCUCCAUAUGCACACAUCCCAAAUUCAAAACUAAACAACUACGGCUCUGAUACCACUGUUGGGAUACAAGGUAGGCUACGCUAGCGCAAAUCAAAAUUUUUCUACCACGUAAACCAGGAAAAUUGUCGUAUAAGGAUCACGGGAUUACCGCUUGACGCAUUGGUGCGGAAGAUGUAGAAUCGCGUCGGGGUAGCGAAGUCAAUCAGCGUAGUUGAACAUAGUUGAUCACGUCGAUGUCGAGCAGCUCCUUAGCAGCUCGUCCACGUACAGCAAGAUCGUCUUCGUGCCGCGGCUCAUCGGCGGCUCGUCGACGGCUCGUCCAAGUGCUGCAGGCGCAACACCUCCAAGGUAUCCACACGAGCAGGGAGGAAGCGUCGCAAGCCAGACUACUAGGUCCACGAGUUGCAAUAGGUGAGAGCGUGGGAGUCACGGCAGAUGUGUUUCGCCAAAAAGGUGUAAACCCUAGGGCACCCCCACCCCUCUAUUUAUAGAGGUUCCUAACGGGCCUCUAGGUCGGAGGCCCAUUAGUACUUCUAAACCUAAUCCAACUUGGAUCACAUCCGAAUUGGGCUUCCAGCCCCUUAAGUGUGUGACCCUAUGGGUUCGGAUACGUAUAGACAUGGCCCGAGUACUCCUACUCGGCCCAAUAGUCAGUAGCGGCCUCUAGCAAGACGUGCCAACUCCUAUACGCACGCGAAGAUCAUAUCAGACAAACCGUCACAACAUUAUGUACAUGCUAUACCCUUUGCCUCACGAUAUUUGAUCGAGCUUCAAGCCGACCGCUCUUUCUCCAUCCUGUGAUUCGGAAUCCCUUUGAAGGUUAACUCUUAACCGUACGCAGCAUGGCCAUGCAUUUUCAAAUCCGAUCACUCGAGGGGCCCAGAGAUAUCACUCUCAAUCAGAGAGGGGAAAUCCCAUCUUGAUUGACCAUUUCUCACAGCAUGCUUCCACAUGUGCCCACAUUAUUAGUUUAACAUCUCCAUGUCCAUGACUUGUGAAAUAUAGUCAUCAACUAAUACAUGUGCUAGUCUAAUAUUCAUGUGUGUCCUCAGAUGAACUCCGACUAGGGACAACUUUAGAAUAACCAUACAAGUAAAGAGUUUCACAUACAAUUCACAUAAUUGCAAGUCAAUUCAAGUAGCCUUUAAUGGAUAUUCAAGAAACACAAUAUAAAUCAUGGAUACAAAUGGAAUAUCAUCAUUUCUAUGAUUGCCUCUAGGGCAUACCUCCAACAGGCACAGAGUCCAUACUACCCCUCAUGUGGCCCUCUUAGAACACGCCGUCAGUGCCAACCCCGGCCCUCUCCAAGCACUCGUUGAGGAGAGUGCAAAAGCCUCCAUAGCGCAUUCUGUCUCUAGAAAAUGAAUGCCACUCCUUAGUCAUCAUCUGAAACACAUAGUUAAGGGUUGUUAGAAAGUCAUAUAAGUCAGAGUAAACAAGGUAAUAAUAGUAACAAUUCAAGGAGUUGUAUAGUAAUCAAGGGGUAUAUACUCAAUCAAGGGUAGUUUGGGCUUCCUGAACUAACAUGCUAGGGAUCAUCCUACGGUAAAGUAUGGCUGUGAUACCAGCUGAAAUGGACCCAAAUUCCCAUUUCUGAGAAUUCAAGCCAACGCACAUUGGUGAUAGUCCCAGGAAGGCUAUCACAUGCAAAUCCUUGUCUCAGAUAGUACAAAUCCAUACCAACAUAGAAACAGAGAGAGAAACAAAGUACAAAGAUCAUAGUUAACAUGAGUACGAGUACAUCUCAGCAGCACAUGCCAGUACAAGUCCAUCAGGACUGAAUCAGGAAAGGUAAAAUAUCUACGUAGUGGAAACAAAAGCUAUGGUGAUGUCCAUCUUCACAGGUGACUCGAGCGAAGAACGGUCCCUAGUCCUCCCAACCGUCAUUGUCAAAGUCAUAGUUAGGCUCUGACCCUAAAAAGCCAGCAUCUACCCAAGAAGCGGGUAGGCCAUGACAACUCCUAAAAGCAACAAAGCCAAGGAAAUGGAGGAAUUAUACUAUAUGCAUGAAUAAGACCUAUAUAUGGUUGUAGAGGUUUAUGCAGCAGCAACAACAACAAUCAAGGUAGCAGCAAAGCAACAUCAUCUUCGAGGUCAACACUCAAACAAGAAAGUUGGCACAAAUCACCAAAUCUUUCACCCAAGGGUCUGGCACCCAAACACACUAGGUGAUGUGAGAGCUCCCUUCCCUCACAUCUCAACAACAAACACUGGCCUAUCUCAAAAAGGGGAAAGGUAGAAGCACGAGAAAAGUCUAGUUAGAAGUAGCAAUAGACAACAGCACUGUCCAUAACCAAUGGACAUGGACUAUAGCUAUAGCUUUAUACACUCUACAGAGGUUGUACAACUGUACCCGCAUAGAUAAAGCCUGAGCGGUAGCGAUCUGUCUAAACCCCACCUAUCAGCCGGAGCCCUAGUAAGUGGAUAGCUCUCUCUUGUUUCCUCGAGUCUGGAACCAUCCUCAGCUGCAGGGCACGUUGUCACCAGUGAGGACCUCAAAGCUGUGAAACCUACCCAUGCCGAGGUGCAGUUUGGUCCAAGCAGGACAAUGCCUCAAACUCCUAAAAUGAUCCUCCAAUCCGCCUACAGGCAGAGCACUAUCUAUUACUAGUCUCAAACCGAACCCUGCCCAUAACGUAAGCGAGUAGUAAGUACGAAAAGUAGCUACUGUGAUUGGUGGUAAACUGACUCGGUCCUUAAGCUGCUGAGAGCAAGCACUCUACCAACAAGUAUGUGCCAAAGCACCUGCAACGAACAAGUAUGCCACCUGCUCCUCAGUAAUAAACAAGGUACCCGCCACAGGUACGGGGUAUAGAGAGAGUCCAGAAAGCUCUCUCCCGGCUAGGCACUUCUCUAUACCAACCAUGGCUCGCUCCCGCCAAGAACACAUCAAGGAGUCACACUCACCCAAAACACACGUGAGAGUGUUCAAGGAAUCUGUUGACGCCGGAUUUUGACAUGUGUUAACGUCGGCAUCAAAGGAGAGGAAGGUGGUCGAUGCGGUAAGCAAGAAGCUACAGUUGGAGAAUCGGCCGAUAGAGCUACAGUGUUCCGGCCGAUUGGCCGAGGGAGUCAAUGAAGACUGGCCGAUUGGGAGCCAGAACGGCUUGGCCAAUGUGGACCUAAAAUGGGCUAGGGUGGUGAUUAGCCGAAGAUGAAGAUUGGCCCGUGGAAAAAUAAUAACCAACUCUGAUGCGGGUUGUGUUCGUGUGUAUAUAUUUGUGAUUAGAGAUAGAUCCGAGUCAGUUAGGAAAUCAGUUGUAACAGGGUAUAAAUAGGUGCCUUGUAAGGUUUGUAAAAAAUACAACUAUAAUCAAUACAGAUCUACUCUUUCCAUGUACUUUACUUUCAAGUCGGCGACUUCGCCAAACCCUUUUCCUUUUCAUGAGUUCGUGCGAGGUUGCAGGGCUGCACGACCUUCGGCCAAUUUGUAAGUUCCACAUAUCAAAUAGUAUCUAAGCUUUAACUUCAGGAGCAUCGACGUUCUUUUUUUUAGAUUUAUUCACCAGUUACCGAUAUUAACUAGAAUUAUAGGUUUUACCUGUUGUUUUAGUUUUUAUCACCAGUUAUCGAGCUUGAGACACGAAUUGUCAGCUUUUUAUCAAUAUCUUUGUUUAUCACUAUAUAGCCGAUUAGAUUUGUUCCAAGUGUUGCUUUUGUAGCACUGUUUAGGUUGCUCUAGUGGUUUCUUUUGCAAUCGCUACGUGGUCAUCGGCUGUUUUAUAUCCGGUUAUCUCUACAGUAAAUUGGUUGAUUCGCUGAUACACACUUUGAAAUAGAUCGGAACAUCAGCCAAUCAAAACCCUAGACGCCUUUCUUUCCUUGUCAAUUAGCAUGUCAGAUUGACUGGCACGCCGCGUGAACCGCACCUGGGAGACAACCCGAACAGGAGCUAAGCAGAUUCUCCUGGGAUGUGUGUGCGACGUAGAAGCCGGAAUCUCCGUUCGAUUUUUAGUGUCAACACACUUUUGGCAUGCCCAGUGGGACACAAACAAGAUCUAACAUGUCGAAGGCUGCUGAAAUCUUGGAAGACAAUGUCAUGGAGAUCACUGAGGCAGAUCUGAAAGACGACCAGAGGGGUGAGCUGGCAAAGGCUAUGGAAGACUACAAAAAGGCAUGCCUGCAAUCCUACAGUCGCACCAGAAGCGGGGAACCCAUUAGAAAGACCGCUCUUCCGAAUCCUCACCACAUCACCAUCGCUAAAGACUCAGGGAAGAUGUUUGAGAUGAUCCAGCAGUCUAUCCAUCAGGCCAUGAUCGAUCAGUCCAAGGUGAUGACCCACACAGUGUACAAUGCCGUCAUCAGCUCCAUGGCCAAUGGCGUCGCUCAAGGAUAUCAGGGGCCAGCUUACGCCCCUCCCGUCACCUCACCGGUCAGAGGCUUCUUGGCGGAGCCUAACGUGUCUCAAUCGGCUCCUCAACCGAUGCAGAUGCAGAGUGGGGGGUACAACACCAUGAUACCCCUAGGUUAUAACGGUGCAACACCCUAUCAAUCGCAAGCGUCGUUUACCCUGCACCGGUCACCCCCGUGCAGCCACUGUUUGUAACAUCAACGCAGUGGGGAAUGGCGGGAAUACCUGCCGAUCUAGAUCCGUCUACCAGUUACGGAAAAUCUCUGGUGUAGGCGUCGUUUCCAUCGGCCUCUCGACCGACAGCUCCACAGUACCAGCAGGCUACCCCGGAGGUCGGUAGGGCGGUAGGCGCUCCAGAUCCCCUCAGAACUGCGGCGCCGAUAGUAUUGUACGACAAGGUGGCAGAUGCACUACAUCAUGUUGAUCCCACAUGACAGCAGCCAUCGUCUCCUCAGCCGGUAGUCCAGCCGCAAGUCCUACAGCACGCUCCGGUCUAUCACCCAAUCAUGGUGCCGCAACAGCAGCAUCAACAGUAGGUGGACUGGAUCACAGGAAUAACUGAUAUAAUACAGGAUCAGUUUGGAUUAAAGCCAAGAGUGCAGACUUAUAUGUACAGGACACCAUAUCCACCCACCUACGAUCUGUUGCCGUUCCCUCAUCGAUACAAAGUGGCAGACUUCACCAAAUUUUCAAGCUAAGAUGAAACAUCCACGGUGGAGCACGUUAACAGAUUCAUCAUCCAGUGUUGAGAAGCUGCUGCACAAGACACUCUGAGGGUAUGGUUGUUCUCGUCAUCCCUGUCCGGGUCAGCCUUUCAAUGGUUUACGACGUUGCCGCCCAACUCCAUCGUGACUUGGGCCAAUUUGGAGAAACAAUUCCGCAAGUGCUUCUUUGUAGGGGUCCAUGAGAUGAAGCUGUCAGAUCUAAUUAGCCUCAAGCAGAGAAGCGAUGAGUCGGUGGCCAGCUACAUACAGAGAUUCAGGGAGGUUAGGAACAAGUGCUACAUCCUGGUCUUGACCGACGCCCAGUUGGCCGACACCACUUUCCAGGGACUCCUACCGCAUAUCAAAGAGAAGUACGCGUCCCAGGAGUUUGAGAGUUUGAGCCAAAUUGUUCACCGACUAUCCGACCAAGAGGUGUGCCCCUUUGAACAAUGAAGAAAUUUCCAGAAAAAGGUGGCAUACGUGGAAGGGUCCGAGUUAGAAGAAGAGGCAGAAAUCGGCCUAGCAGAGUGGGUUAAAGGGAAAAAACCAAUCUCAUGCCCAUUUGGUAAAAAGGAGCUGGAAACAUUCGACUUCGAUACAUCUAAGGCCUAUAAGAUCUUUGACUUGCUGCUACAAGAAGGACAAAUCAAGCUUUCACCCUACCAUACGAUUCCGUCGGCCGAACAACUCAAGAAGAUGAAGUACUGCAAGUGGCACAAUGCUACGUCUCACGACACCAAUGAGUGCAUAGUCUUUCGUCAGCAGAUACAGUCGACCAUCAAGCAAGGGAAACUUAAGUUCGAAGUCCCCACAAAGCUAACAAAGCUGAUGAAGAUCGACCAGCACCCCUUCCCUGCCAACAUGGUCGAUGUUGGAAGGAACGCGCUCCAGACCAAGGUGCUGACGUCAGAAUCGGCUAGACGGAGUGGCGUGGUGGACUCCAGAAAUCAAACCUCGGUCGAAGAUGUUAAGGGAAAAGGCCGGGUGGAGACGGAAGGCAAAAGCUCGGAGAGGUCCCGUCAGCCUAUCACAUCUCGAGAUCUGCUCAACAAGUACUAGAGACAACGGGAGGACACGAGGCGCCGCGAAGAGAUGAUGCGUUGACACGAAGAUCAUUGGAGGUGUCCAUUCUUCAUCCAUUGCUGGGAAAACAAUCUCAGAUUGCCAUUGGUUGACAACUUCCCUGAAUGUAACGGUCAAUAUCACAGCAGCUGCCCAUUCAAGUGAUCACGCUCCGGGGAUCGAGGACGAGAGCUGAUUAGCAGAAAUAGGCUCAAGCAAGAAGAAUGGCCCAUUUCAGUGCAUGAUCGACUGGGGGGCAGAGUAGACCAGCGUAAUCGGCUGGGGGGCAGAGUAGACCAGCGUAAUCGGAUGGGGCGUAGAGCCAACGCACAUGAUCGGUUAGGGGAAAUGGCCGACGCAAGGGUUUCUGAUGAGAAUCCGUUGGGCCGAGACCCGGAAUGGGAGCAUGCCAAGCCGCCGAGUAAACCAGUGAACUCUAGAUGGUGCCCAGAUGGUUUGACCAAGUCCCAGAAGAGAAGGGUCCAACGUUUGCACCAAUGGGAACAGCAAGAAGAAGAACAAGGCAAGCGGUAGACAGAAGAGGAGUCAAAUCUCAAGUUUGGCACCCUAGAAGAAAAGCUGAUGAAGAAAACGAUGAUCAGGAUUCGGCUCUUUACGUCAAUAUGGUGUUCAUCUUGCCGAUGGAGUUCAUGGAUCCCGUCGACCACAACAAUGCAACAGAAAUAGAGGGGCAGAUGGCACAAUUGGCUUUGGAGACAAUGACCGCUACUUUUGAAAAACCUGAGGAUGAAAAAUGCCAGCAUCUCAAGGCUCUGUUCCUAAAAGGCAAGUCAACGGACGACCAAUCACUAAGCUGUUGGUGGACGGAGGCACUGCCGUGAACAUCAUGCUAUAUGCUAUGUUCCACAAGCUGGGCAAAGGGGAAGAAGAUUUAAUCAAUAUGGACAUGAUGCUCAAGGAUUUCGAAGGCAACAUAUCUCCGGCCCGGGGGGCACUCUGCGUCGACCUCACCAUCGGUAGUAAGACCCUACCCACCACUUUCUUUGUUAUUAAUGGUAAAGGGUCCUAUAAUAUGUUGGUCGGGCAAGAUUGGAUCCAUGCAAACUGCUACAUCCCAUCUACGAUGCACCAAUGCCUCGUCCAAUGGAUCGGUGACACCAUUGAAGUAGUCAUUGCCAACUCCGCUUACAGCGUUGCUGCAGCCGACGCGCAACAAUGGAGUUACAAGCACAUCAGAUGCAUAUCUAGCAGGACUUGGGACACUGAUUUCUUGAAAGUGUCCGAUUUCGAUCUACGUCCGAUCCAAGCAGUUGUCUCGGAAGAAUCAGAUUAAAUGGAUCAGUUCGUCCGAGAAGAUGGAAAGCUUAGGCACGGGUUUACGUCGACCAAUUCAUUAGAGAUGGUGGACCUUGGAGAUGGUAGCAAGCCAAGGCCGACAUAUAUCAGUGCUAGGUUAGACCCCAAGUACAAGCGCGAGUUAAUAGAUUUGUUAAGAGAAUUUAAAAAUUGCUUUGCUUGGGAGUAUCAUGAAAUGCCUGGUCUAGACUGGUCCAUUGUUGAACACCAGUUGCCUAUAAAACCAAGGUAUCGGCCAUAUCAGCAGCCUGAACGAUGUUGUAAUCCUAAAAUUCUAUCUGAUAUAAAGGCCGAAAUCACAAGAUUGAUUGAAGCGGGGUUUAUUCGGCAGUGUCGAUAUGCUGAGUGGAUUUCUAAUCUUGUUCCUGUAUACAAGAAAAAUGGAAAGUUGCGUGUAUGCAUUAACUUUAGAAAUCUUAACCAGGCUACACCGAUGGACGGGUACCCAAUGCCGACGGUAGAUGUUUUGAUAGAUGUGGCCGCGGGGCAUAAAGUCAUUAGCUUUAUGGAUGGUAACGCUGGGUAUAACCAAAUACUAAUGCCUGAAGAAGAAUCUCAAAAACGGCCUUCAGGUGCUGUGGUCACCUCGGCUUGUUCAAGUAGGUAGUUAUGACUUUUGGAUUGAAGAAUGCUGGGGCUACGUAUCAAUGGGCCAUGAAUUAUAUAUUCCAUAAGCUUGAUGGUGUCCUAGUGGAGAUUUACAUUGAUGUUGUCAUCAUCAAGUCAAAGGGGCAUCGACAGCAUCUGGCUGAUUUGCGCGAGGUAUUGGAGUGCACAAGGAAGCAUGGGUUGAAAAUGAAUCCAAACAAGUGCUCUUUUGGCGUUUCGGCUAGUCAAUUCCUGGGCUUCAUGGUUCAUGAGCGCGACAUUGAGAUCAACCAGAAGAUUAUAGCCACCAUCAAUAAAGUUGUGACCCCACAAGACAAAACUGAGAUACGGUCCUUAAUCGAUAAGGUGAACUUCAUCCGGAGAUUCAUAUCGAACUUGUCUGGGCGCAUUCAAGCUUUCACCCCAUUGUUGAAAUUAAAACCUGACCAAGAGUUUGUUUGGGGCGAGGAAUAGUAGAAAGCAUUAGAUGACAUCAAACAGUAUCUGGUUGCCCCACCGGUGUUGGUUCCUCCGCAGGCUGAUAAGCCUUUCAGACUAUAUCUAUCGGCCGAUGAGCAAGCUAUCGGCUCGACGUUGGUCCAGGAGUUCAAGGGAAAAGAAAGGGUAAUUAAUUAUGUCAGUAGAAGAUUUUUGAAAACUGAGACUAGAUACCCUCUGGUGGAAUGGUUGUGCCUUUGCCUAUAUUUUUCUUGUACCAAACUCAGGCACUACCUGUUAUCGGCAGAGUGCGUAGUUGUGUGCAAUGAUAAUGUUGUCAAGUAUACGUUAUCUCUGCCAAUCUUGAAAGGGAGAAUUGGAAAGUGGAUUCUAGCCCUCUCGGAAUUCGAUCUAAGGUACGAAUUGGCCAAGGCUAUAAAGGGUCAGGUAAUGGCCGACUUUGUAGCCCAGCACUGUGGACCAGAGAUUACUGUAGUCGAACAAGCUCCAUGGAUGCUGUACUUCGAUGGAUCUUCAUGCGAGGCCGGAUCAGGAAUUGGCAUCAUCCUCAUAUCGACUCGGGGGGCAAGUUAUGAUUUCUCUUUGCUGAUUGAGGCAUCCGCCACUAAUAAUCAAGUGGAGUAUCGGGCUGUCUUAAAAGGUAUCCAGCUAUUGAGGGAGGUCAAGGCCGACGCAGUAGAAAUAUUUGGGGAUUCCAUGCUUAUCGUAGAUCAGUUGACUGGAAAGUGUGAGUGCAAGGAUGAUAUUCUAAGGAUUUAUCAUGAAGAGUGCCUCCAGUUACUGAAAGAGUUCAAGACAGUAAUUAUUGAACAUAUCCCCAGAAAUUACAACGAAGAAGCCAACAGACUUGCUCAACAGGCUUCCGGUUACAGGCCGAUUCAAGGUGCUAUGGCUCUGGAGCUUGCGGCCGAUGACUAGAGGAGAGAAAUUGCCGACUAUCUGAAAGAUCCAUCCAAGAAAGUCGAUCGAUGAAUACGCUUUCAGGCUACAAAAUACGUACUGCUUAUAGAUGAUUUGUUUUACCAAACAAUUGAUGGGGUAUUACUCAAAUGCCUUGAAGUAGAGGAAGCUAAAACUCUGAUGGGUGAAAUUCAUGAGGGUGUAUGUGGGGCCCAUCAAUCGGCUUAUAAGAUGAAGUGGAUGAUUAGAAAUAAUGGGUAUUGAUGGCCGACGAUACUUGAGGAUUGUUUUAAAUAUUAUAAAGGGUGUCAAGAUUGUCAGAGAUUCAGCAAUGUACAACGAGCACCGGCUUCGGCUAUGAACCCAAUAAUAAAGCCAUGGCCAUUUAGAUGCUGGGGAAUCGACCUCAUCGUUCAGAUCUAUCCACCGUCAAGUAAAGGACAUAAGUUCAUAUUGGUGGCCACUGACUAUUUCACUAAAUAGGUUGAGGCAGUUCCCUUAAAAGUCAUGAUGUCGGCCAACAUGAUUGAAUUUGUGAAAGAACAUAUAAUUUAUCGGUUUGGUAUUCCUUAGACUAUUACGACACUAUUACAGCUGAUCAAGGGUCGAUGUUUACCUCUGGAGAAUAUGGGAAUUAAGUUGUUAAAUUCUUCUCCGUAUUAUGCUCAGGCCAAUGGUCAGGCCGAAUCGUCUAACAAGGGGGUCAUUAAAUUGAUUAAGAGAUAGAUCGAAGAACAACCAAGGAGGUGGCGCAUACGAUGCUGAAUGAGUCCUUGUGGGCCUACAGGAUGGCUUGUCACGGUGCCACCAAGGUGCCCCCUUACCAGUUAGUAUAUGGGCAUGAAGCAGUACUGCCUUGGGAGUUGAAGACUGGGUCUAGACGCACAUCACUUCAAGACCAGUUGACCGCCGAUGACUAUUCCGUUCUCAUGAAGGGGGAGUUGGAGGAUUUGGCAAGCCAGUGGUUGAGGGCCUUGAUUAGUAUUGAGGAAAGUAAGAAAAGAGUCGCCAGAUGGUAUGACAAGAAGCUCAAGGUCAAACAGUUUUCCCAAGGAGACUUAGUCUGGAAGUUGAUCUUGCCUAUAGGAUCUAAAGAUCCAAAAUGUGGGAAGGGCCGUACAAAAUUGGUCGAUGCGCGCCAGGUAAUGCAUACAUAUUUGAGACCCUUGAGGCAGAAGAAUUUACAAGGGCCCUUAAUGGAAGGUAUUUGAAGAAGUACUACCCUAGCAUAUGGGUAGAAGCUUAGCCAGUAAUGUAGCAUAUCAGGUUCUUACGGCCGAUACCUAUUGACCCACGUUCAUAUAGCUGAUACAGAGGGUAUCGCCUUAACGAUAAAAAAGUAAGAAAGCAUUCAUGCAAAUAGGCCAGUUAAUGUUCUGUACAUUAACUGGAUACAUGGCUGACAUGGUACAAGUCACCCUUAGAAUAAAAAGUACCAAUACACUCAUAAGUCAUAGAUAUUCAAAGGUGUUUCAGUUGGGCUUUUCUUGCGUUGAUCUCUUUCUGAAUCCUGCCCAGUUCAAUCAGAAGGUGGGUGUUUUUCUCCUCUAUUUCCGUCAUUGCAUCCUCGAGGGCGAUUUGAUGAGGUAGUUGGUGACUCCUUUCGACCGGCGGCUGGGUUGGCCUCCCGGAAGUGUUGGCUUCAAUGUUGUCUACGAUCUUCUUGAUAUGCGUGGGGAGGUGGUCCUUGAGUUCUUCGCGAUGAGCCUGGAUUAGAUCUUUGUUCGCCUGGGUCAGCGGUUCAUCGGAGUGCAUAAUUUCAAUUACUCGUUCGAGUUCGGGGAUGAGCCAGUUUGGCUGAAGGGAUAAUAGGAAAGUCAAUCAACAAAGCAAAUCAGUCAAGAAAUGAAGGAGUUAAUGUUGCACCUGAUUGACUGAGGAGGAAGAAGCCAUCCGGAUCCAUGAUUGGAGAUCUGGAAGCGUCUAUAGGGGGGAGUAUAUGGGUGUUAUGUGAGUGCCUCUAGGGAGGAUGUGAAGGUCUCGUAUUUCUAAGAUGAGAAGGCGAUGAGCAACGGUUAGUAAAGGAAGGUAUUCAAAGCAAAUGACUAUUGAGUCAAAAAGCUGUGGAGAAAGCCAUUCGGAUUCAUAUUCACAUAGAAACGUUGAAAGUGUUAAUGCUUUACAAGACAUUCAAAGGGUGUUCAAGUUUAGUACAGUUAUCUGAGGAGGGCAUUUAUGGCCUCAAUCGCCUGUAGGCAGAUCUGAUCUACCGAAUCUAAUACUCGCUAGUCGUCAUUGGCUGAUCCGGGGAUUUCUGGCAUGUUGCGGUUUAGUCGGAUGGCCACGUGAGCAAGGGUUUGCCUUUCCUGUUUUAAAUCGGCAAUGACGGCCGGGAGGUCUUGGAGCUUCUUCUCCUCAGCAGCGAUGGCCUUCACGACUUGCUCCGUCUCUUUGGCGAGUUCCGCUCUACGCCGUUUAAGUCGAUCUAUGGCACUGACAAUGCUUGGAUGGAAAUUUUCAAGAGCGCCGAUCCGGUGGUGUACCUCUUGAGCUUGGUGCUUAUAAGAUUCCUCUUCCUCGUGUGCCUUUUCCAGCUUGGCACGAUCAGCCAUAUUUCGCAAAGCUCUGAAAACUGGAAUUUGCAUCGACUCAAUAUAUGCCGCAGGCGCAAGAGCUUCUUCCACAUCUUCUGGAACUCGGCCUUUGAUUUCAUUGAAUAUACGCCGAAUUGGAGAAGCAUCCUCUACCAAUCGGCCGAUGUCGUCCUGGAGAAGGGCUCGUAUGUUCUAGAGCUUGGCACAGACCUCUUCUGGUAUUAAGCCCAAAGCUAUCUAGCGUGAAGCAACUUCCUCGUCAUCGGAGACUGCGACCGCGAAGGAGAAAAGGCUAUUGUUGGUCGUGUCUUGUUCCUGUGAGAAAUAAAGGGAAAGAGUGCCUUAACCGACAGGAGUAAAAAAUUGGCCGAUAGAGGUAGAGGUUCCUUACUUCUUUGAAACAGAUUUUCUCUGCUUGGGUUGGCAAGAUUGCUGCUCCCACUUCAGGAAUCGGUGUCGGCAGUUCACCAGAAUAGGAGGAUUCAACAAUGAUUGGUGCGGUACUUGGUCCUGCCUCCUUGAGAAUGGGAAGAGAAGUUCUUAUGAGUAUGAAAGGAUAAUUGGAUCUGGGAAUGGGUUUUAGUUAUCUCACCUCUGAAAACCACACAACCAAUGUUUGCUUGAAGGGUACAAUCAAUGUGUUCGAGAUAUCUUGCGCCAGAGAUCAAUCAGUUUUAGUUAAAGAUUGGGGAAAUCAAGUGAAAAGCAUACUCUUCACCUCAAUUGGGAGGUUUGCUGGUGCAGUCUCUUCUUGAGGAUCGGCUGGUUGAUGAGUGGUUUGCUCCGGAAGAAGGUGCACAACCUAAUAAGAAGAGGUGGAAUUAAUGUUGACAACAUACUUAGAAGAGUUAGAGCAUGUGAGAUUACCGAUGCAACUUCCACCAGCAGAGAUGGAGCUGCUGAUCUAGCUUCUGAAACCACUUGGGGGUUAAUCUCCUGAAUUGUCGGCACGACUUCUGAUGGGGCUAGUAUGGCUGAGGGCUCGACCGAUGGCGUCGCCGAUUGAUCAACCGUCAGAGUUACUGUUGAUUCGGUACGGGCUCGUACUCGGCGGCUUGUCUUCUUUGAAGUAGACAUCUUUAGCUUAUGCUUCAAUUGACCGGUAGCAAUGUCCUCCAUUGAUGGUGCGUGAUAGCCAAUGAGUGGGUAAAGUGUGUACGGAUGACGGUUUUCUAUCGGCCUACCACUUCGGCUGCGUGUUAGAGGUGCCUGGCUAUCGGACUGCGCAAAGAGGGGGAGUCCGUAAUGAGAACCUUGUGGCAUAACGAGGUGAAAAUGAGAAAUCGGUCGAAAAGGUUUUGUUACCUCUGCAUUUGGGUCGACAUGAGCAGGGUCCAACUGAUUGCAAUAUACUGCAGGAGCUGUGCAAAAAAGAUGUUGCUUCCAUUUGGCCCACCAUAAUUUGAAUUGUUGAGUGGAGAAGGGUGCUACCAGCCAAUUAUUCAAGUCAAUAGUGCUGGAGUCUGGUAUCAAGCUGCAUAAUCAGUUAUAUUCAAACCCUCUUGAAAGUGACUCUCGAAACUUCACCUGGCCGAUGAAAUAAAUUCCAAUAGGCAUCUAUCCUAGGCCAAAUUGCCGGGCUACCACCGACAGGUUGUAGAAUUCAUACAUCGGGGAGUCCUUUCCAGAGAAGAAGUUUGCUGGCAAAAUCUCGAGCUUGAUAAAGAUCUCCAUAAUCCUGUCUUCAAAAGAAUUGGUGUCCAACCCAAAGCAAUCAGGAUUCUCAAAAAGUGAAUCCUCUCUCUGGUGCAGGUACCACCUCGUGGUCUCUUCACUGAAGCCGAUAUAAAAGCAUCUAAAAUAUUCGGCUGUCCUUGAGGGAGUGAGUUUGCCUCCUAGAAAAGAUGAUACGGCUUCUCUGAAGGAGGUACAGCAGCGCCUUGCUGUUGGGUUGGUCUCUGACUCGAUGUUGGGGAAGGUCUUGGUCUCGAUCCGUUCUCUGGAGAUUUUGCUCAUAUAUAAAUUAAGCUAAAGGUUAAUAAACCACCAGGGACCGCUAGAGUUCCGAAUGGGCUCUCCAGACGAUAGCUUUAUAGCAAUCUGGUGCAUCAUGAAGUAAACCGACCCCAACAGAUGUUUUCCCAAAGGAAUAGUAGCACCUCUUGCCAGCGCUUCAGCCAAGGUUUGUGUGUUGGAGGUGGGGCCGACCGAUCUGCCACAGAAUAAGUGUUUUUAUAGCCACAUCAUCAAGAAGGCCGUAUACUGUCUGUUAGUAAUGGGUCUGGUCUUCAUGUUCUUUUCAAUGAAACCUUUCCAUCCGUCGAUGCCCUUUGUUUCCAAAUGGUGAGUUGGCUUGAUUAGAAGGUCAAAGGGCAUAUCGGUGCAGGAGACGUCAAGACCAGUCAACAUCAGGACAUCGGCCAGAGUGGGAGUCAUCGGCCCAUGGCCAAAAAGAAACGCAUUGAGGGCGUCGGACCAGAAGUAAGAUGCUGCAAUGAGUAGGGAGUCGUUCCUCUCCAUAUGAGACAGGGACAAAUUUAUACAGUGGUUGAUUUUCCCCUCAUCCCAAAAAACUCUCUUCGAGUUUGACAUCCUUAAGAACCAUUCUCUCCAACCGGGGGUUUCGUUCAGCCAAGACCUGAAUGUGACUAUCCAGUUAUUCAAAUCCAUCGUUGAUUGCUUGAAAGGGAUUCUGUGAGUUUCCAGAUUAAUCAGCUCAGUUGGAUCAGGGUUCCCCAUGGGGACAAGUCCGAUGAGGCCAGGAGCGUCAGAUAGGGGGAUGGUGAUUCUUUGCCUAAGCUCCUAAGAAGAUAUGAGAAAAAACUUAGAACAGAUCUAAGAUUCGCAGAACGGUGAAAAGUAAAAAAGGGAGAGUUUCGGGGAAUUUACCUCCGGGAUGAAAACCAUAGUGGCUGAAGGAAUCGCCAUUGGAGUUUGAGGGGCUAGCGCAAUUGAUCAAAGGAUGAGAUGGGCUCAUCGGAGGGCACUGGAAUGCUCCUAGAAGCGGAAUGGGCGCCGGAGUGCGUUGGAAGAUGGUUCACCAGGAGAGAAAACUUUUUAGCUCGGGGAAGAAGAAGAAGCGGAAGAGGUGAGUAUUUAAAAGAUGGUUUGAGAGAAGGGUAAAGAUGGGAUUUUUACCGCGUCGUCCACGCAAAUUUUGAAGAGAGUGGUUGCCCGCGGGCGCUUUAUUCAAGAAAAUGCAAUCAUUAAAGAGUAGACUCCGGAGCGAAAUGGGUUUUGCCGCGUUUACUAUUGCACUUUCUCCAAAGGGAAGAGUUGGAGUUGAGACACUCUGAAAUUGGGGGGCAUGUGUUGACGCCGGAUUUUGACAUGUGUUAACGUCGGCGUUAAAGGAGAGGAAGGUGGCCGAUGUGGCAAGCAAGAAGCUACAGUUGGAGAAUCGAGCGAUAGAGCUACAGUGUUCCGGCCGAUUGGCUGAAGGAGUCAAUGAAGACUGGCAGAUUGGGAGCUAGAAUGGCUUGGCCAAUGUGGGCCUAAAAUGGGCCAGGGUGGUGAUUAGCCAAAGAUGAAGAUUGGCCCAUGGGAAAAUAAUAACCAACUCCAAUGUGGGUUGUGUUCGUGUGUAAAUAUUUGUUAUUACAGAUAGAUCCUAGUCGGUUAGGAAAUCAGUUGUAACAAGGUAUAAAUAGGUGCCUCGUAAGGUUUGUAAAAAAUACAACUAUAAUCAAUACUGAUCUACUCUUUCCACGUACUUUACUUUCAAGUCGUCGACUUCGCCAAACCCUUUUCCUUUUCACGAGUUCGUGCGAGUUUGCAGGACUGCAUCAACACGACCUCCGGCCAAUUUGUAAGUUCCACGUAUCGAAUAGUAUCUAAGCUUUAACUUCGAGCGCAUCGCUGUUGUUUUGUUUAGAUUUAUUCACCAGUUAUCGAUAUUAACUAGAAUUAUAGGUUUUACAUGUUGUUUUAGUUUUUAUCACCAGUUAUCCAGCUUGAGACACAAACUGUUAGCUUUUUAUCAAUAUUCUUUGUUUAUCACUAUAUAGCUGAUUAGAUUUGUUCCAAGUGUUGCUUGUGUAGCAUUGUUUAGGUUGCUCUAGUGGUUUGUUUUGCAAUCACUACAUGGUCAUCGGCUAUUUUAUAGCCGGUUGUUUCUAAAGUAAAUCGGCCGAUUCGCUGAUACACACUUUGAAAUAGAUCGGAACUUGAGCCGAUCGAAACCCUGGAAUUUAAUACCUUUCUUUCCUUGUCAAUCAAUAGGUCAGAUUGACUAGCACGCCGCGUGAACCGCACCAGGGCGACAACCUGAACAGGAGAUAAGCAGUUUCUCCUGGGACGUGUGUGCAACGCAGAAGCCGGAGUCUCCAUCCGAUUUUUAGCGUCAACAAAAUCCCAUCACCAAAUCCAUGGCAAAUGCCCAUCCAUAACUCAAAAGCAUGUAUAUGGAUAAAUGAGCGGUGGACUAGCUAGGGGUCGGUAGCUAGUCCACAAAAGUAGGUGAAUAAGGAAAACAUGAUAAACAAUUAUCAAGGUAGGACUAGAAACAUUGGCUAUGCAAUCCAUCAUCAUCAAGCAUUAUAAAUAAAGCGCUAGCCACUAAGCAUGCAUAGGAUCUAUAUGAUUGGGAGUGACAUGACAUCUUGUCCGUAGUCGAUCGGGUCCUCCUCGACGUAGUUGGGGUCUUGAAGGUCUUCCUGGUCAUAGCUCGGGUCUGAAUAGAACGAGAUACGAGGAAGCGGAAGCAUAAAUUAAAUGGCAAUAUAUCUAGGAAAAAACUCCAAGAAAGCAAGAUUUUGAAGAUCCAAAUAACACCAAACUAGCUACAAACAGCACGGGCUCAAUUUUACGAAUUUAAUGCAAUUGGUUUCAUAUUUUUUUGAGUUAAAAUGAACUAGUUAUGAAUUUUUAAAGAUUAAAGAAUUUAUUCAAUUAUUUAAUAAUUUCAGAAAAUAUUUAUUUCAAGGUGACACAUGUCAGCUCGGGAUUGGUCCAUGUGGUAGCCCUAGGGUGCCACUUGUCCAGCUGACGUCACGCUGACAUCAGCGUUGACCGGUCAACGAUCAUAGUGGGCCUGGCCUGGCCACAUUAAUGCCACGUGGUGCGUAUGUGGCAGCCACGUGGGCUGCGGCGGCAGUGUGGGCGUGCACGGUGCGGCACGCGGCGGCCGUUAGCGUGCACAGGCGAGUGAUGAGCUGCAAGCACGCGGGUGAGAGCGCGAGCGGGUGUGGCAUGCAAGGCACGGGUAUGACAUGACGCUGAGCGUGCGGGGUCUCAAGCGUAGGUGAGCGCGAGCGGCAAGCGCGGGUGCGGCGGCCCUUGCCCAGCCAAAGGCGGGGCCUUUGGUCAUGGCGAAGGCGCGGGUGGGAGGCACACGUGUGCGUGGGCACAGGGCUUGCCCUGGUCACGGCACAGUCGUGGUGGCGUGCAAGGUCCUGGCGCUACGGGCCGUGGCGGCCGGCGGCAAGGCGGCGAUGGCGGCAGCCUACGGUUACAGCUAUACUACCAAGGCAAAAAUAGAGAGAGAGAUGGGAGAAGUGGCUCACGGCGCAGGCUUGGUGGAGACGACGGUGUUGGUGGCAAGUGGCGGUGACAGCUUCGGGCGGUGGCAUGCACGGCGCGGCUACAACUUUUCUCCCCAUGAACAACCUCCUCCUUCCUUCUUCUUCUUCCUCUUCUCCCCCUCUUCUUCUCCUCUCUCCUUUCCUUCCCGUAACGCUCUUCUCCCUUUCCUCCUUGGUGGCGGUGGACGGGCGGAGCCUGAAUGGAUGAUGAGCGGGAGGCACCGGGGGUGCUAUUUAUAGUGGCAAGCAGCUAGGGUUAGGGCUCGGUUAGGUGGUGGAGGCUUCUGGAGCAGCCGACAGUGCCCUAGGGGGUUGGUGGCGUGGCGCCGGCGACGUGGGUGGCCGGGAUGCGCCGGCGGCUCGGGCGCGGCGGCGUGGCGUGCAUCAAGGGCUCCCAGCACAAAAGCGAGGCACGGCCGGGGGUCACGUGCGCGUGGGCGAGCGCGGAAGUGCACUCCAGCUUGGCGCGGCACGAUGCUUGCGACGCGUGUGAGCGGGCACGGCGGUACGACGAGGUGGAGAAGAAGAAUAGUACAUGACUAACCUGUGGGCUUGUGGCGUUGACAAGAGAAGGAGGGAGUGGCCCAGGCGUGAGCUGGGCUGACUGUGGCCUACUGGGCUUGGGGGCAGCAUGGGCGAGUAGGCGGGUGAGCGCGGUGCGGCGAGCUAGGCUAGCAAACGCAGGUGCGCGCGCCGCACGUCAGGGCGACACGAGCUGGGCUGAGCGGUUAGCGGGCCGGCGAGCGGACCAGGUUAGCGGGAUGAGUUAGUUUAGGUUAGAUUUAUUUUUUUUUGGUUUAGAUUUUAGGUUUAAUUUAGUUUGAAUUCAAAAUUCAAACAACACUUAAGCAUGAACUCCAAAUGAAAUUCAAGAAGAUCCAAAUCAUGCCACACAUAUUUUUGAAAUGGAAUUUAGGGUAAGAGAGGAAAUAUCUAGCUUUUCAAAUGAGCACACAGUUCAAACAAGAAGUUUUAAAUUUUUGCAAAAAUUCACUCAUUCAAAUAUUACAAAUUUUGGAGUAUUACAGGCGCCCCCCCCCAAACCGGGGCCCUUGCUGAUGCAAGCCCGGGGCUUGCUGGUACAAGGGCCCCUUUUUUACUGUUUUAAUUUCAUUAAAAUUGUGUAUUACUAUUUUUAUUUAAUUAUAAUUGUGUCUUACUGUUUUAUUUAAUUAGCUUCAAAUAGUUUAAUUGUUUACUAGUAUGGAGUAAUUCAUUAUAAUUGUGUAUUACUGUUUUUAUUUCAUUAUAAUUGUGUACUAAUUGCUUUUAUUUAAUUAUAAUUAUGUAUUACUAUUUAUGUAAUUACUAUUUUACUGUUAAUUGAUAUUCCUAUUAAUAUGGAGUAAUUAAACUUAGAGUUAUGCUUCAAUAUUUACCUACAAUAAACUUAGCUUCAAAUAGCUUCAAGUAAUUUCCAAAUCCAUUUACCCGAUAUUCCUAUUAAUAAAAGACGCAAUUUCCCUUAUAAUAUGAUUCAUUUAUGCUACAUCACACUUUGAUGCUGAAUGAUUCAUUGAUGCUAUAUCAAAGUCUAUGAUACAAUUUUUAAUUUAAUGUAUCUAUGAUUUCAUGUGUUUAAAUUAGGUGAGAUGGGAGACGAAGAGGACACUACUAGAUUUUUAGCCUAUGGCAAGGGUGGAAAAAUGUGGCAAUAGGGCCAAAAUAGUGGCAAUAGGUAGCAUUUGCAUCAAUGUCAGUUUGGUUGGCAGCCGUUGCAAAAAACUUCGUGGUAAUAGGUGCAUUGCAAUGGGUUUUUUUAUUUUGGUGCAAUGUUAUGGUAAUUACCACACACUAGUUCAUUGCAUUAUAGAGUAUUGCAACUUUUGAUGCUGUGGCAUUAGCAUGUAUUGCCACGCAACUAGGCAUUGCUAUAGUAUGUAGUUGCAAUGGACUGACACUGUGGCAAUAUUGUAUUUGGCCAUGACCAACAUGGUGGCAAUAGAAUAUAUUACCACGCAUAUUUUACGUUGUGACAGAUCCUACGGCAAUACAAUUUCUUUCGUGGAAAUAAACUAUAUUGCCAUGGAAACAAGUUUGGUGGCAAUAAUUUGUUUUGCAACGGAAAAUAUUUAGAAGCAAGAAAAUAUGUUGCAACAAAAUAUUGGUGAAGGUUAUUAAGUAUUAUAGCAUCUUUUUUCAUUUGUGGCAAUAAGUUGUUUUGUAAUGAAAAAUAAAUAGAGGUAAGAAAAGAUGUUGCAACAAAAUAUAGGCCGUGGCGCACUAUUUGUUUUGCAAUGAUAUAUAUUUAUGUCAAUAACUUAUAGCAACCAACUAGAAUUGUUGCAUUUAUUUCUUUUUGCAACAGGAAGAUGUAUUUCUUUUUGCAGCAGGAAGAUGUAUUUCUUUUUGCAACAGGAAGAUGUAUUUCGCAACACAUAUUGCAUUUUAUAUAUUUGGAUAUUGAAUCAUUUGUGCAACAAAUGAUUUCAUCAAAAUAUGAAUUGUAUCAUCAUGAAUAUAAAACGAAGCCAUCCUGACAAUCAUCAAGUAAAAGUGCCAACUACAUUCUCCAAAUCGAAAAUAGUUCAUAACUAGUGUUGGGUGAUCAAUAGUACUAAAUCUAUCUUAUGUAGACUACAGCAAGCAUGCACUGCAUUGAUUUUCCUUGUGUCGAUCAUGGCAUGACUCUGAAUCUGUGCGAUCCAUUCAAGAUGAAUGUUCCUGUUGAAAAAAAAGAAUGUAGUGUAUCAGCAAAAUUCAUGAGUAAGUCACAGCCACAUAUGCUGUCACAGCAAGAGCAAAGGUCAUUCAAUUCUGAUAAUAAGAAGGCAUUAAUUUGUCAUGAUUAUAUUAGUUAUAACCAAAAUAUGUUCAGUUAGAAAUAACAUUCAAUGCUAGAAACCUUCAGCUCUUAUUAGGUCACACACAGUUCAGCUCUUUAUAUUAUAACGACACACAGUUCAGGUCAGCGGUGGAUCCAGCGCUCUUUAACCUUGAGGCGUGAUUCAUUUACAUGAACCUUAUCAUUAGGUUUUGUAUCACCACAUGAACCUUGCUGCAGUUUUAUUCCUCAAAUACUGAACUGUAUCCAGUGACAAUGAAGUGAGGGCCAUGCUGGAUACUGAAUUGUAUCCAGUAUUCUUACAUGCUUGUUCAGGCUAUUACAAACUUGCAAUGCAAGGACACCAAAGUGUUUCCAGAUUACUACUAAAAAAUCCAUGAUGUCUAUGUUAAGACCAGUUGACUUACAUUUUCAUAAACUACAUCCUGGCUACUAAUAGUUUCUGCAUUAGUCUAGUGCUGCCAUGAUUGUUAUUAGCAAGACAGAUGUCUAAACUGUAUGAUUGUUGCACUGAAUUGUUGUUAGCUUUUGAUAAUGUAAUGUGAUCAUAUUUUACAGGAAUAAAUUAUAUUUCUAUAUGAUUUCUAACCAAGUACAACCCUUGUUUUGUGUAGAAAAACAAAGAGGCUACUGGAUGCAGCACAAGACUUUCUUGUACCGGGAUGUGAUCAGCUUGGUAUAUGGAAAGGACCAUGCAGCAGGUGAUGCAGUGUGGACUACAGCAGAAAGAUGAGAUGAACAAGGAACAGAGUGGCAACAAAGAGCCUACUUCAUCGGUAACUUCAGCGAGUUUUAAGAGGCAAAGGUCUGGUGAUUCUUGAACUUCAAUGAUGGCUGAAAAUUUGGAUAAAUUUACUGAAGCACUUAAACAAGAAGCACCUAAAGGCCCAACAUCCAAAGAGAUCCUUGAUUCACUAAACAAGAUAGACGAACUACAUGAAGACACUCUGUUGGACCUAUUUGAUAUUCUAACAAGUGACUAAUGCAAGUAUCAGUCUCCUUUGGCCCUACCAGUGAAGAUGAGAAAAAGAUGGCUGACAAUGGAUGGUAUUGGUAAGUCUCCAUAAAUUAUAGUAUAUACCUGACCUGUCAAGUGAAUGGAUGGUUUGCAUCCAGAUAAUUGGUGAAAGUUACCCAUUUCUGUUCGUGCGUUAUUUGAUAUUACUAGUGUAGUAGUGCUUUUGCAAAUUUAUGGCAUAUUUGAAAUCCAUAAAUUUAAGGCGUUGAGUCAGUCUGCUGCUGUGGUUGCUCCUUUGGGUUGUGUUGGAAGCUAAAAGCACAAGACCAGCAGCAGGUACAUCUCCCCGACCUCAUUACUGACCCCCUCACAUUGGUGCCUCAUUUGUCUAUGCAAUGCAAAUGUGACUCCCAGACUCGCGGCUGCCAGCCUGCCUUAUGCCCAGCAGCUAUGCAUGGCCUAAAGUCCAUACUACAGGCUACAAGCCCUGCUGAAUAAUGCAUGAGCACUUUGAUUUAAGGUAAAAAAAGGUGUUGACAACAUUAAGAAAUUAUGUGAUAAACAAUAUAGGGAAGUUUUGACAUGGGAUUAUUUCUGUGCCACGCACAGAUCCAGCCCCCAUCACAGUCGAUUUCUGGAUCCGCCACUAGUUUAGGUCAUAUAGAGUUCGCAACAUAGAUUAGAAAUUAGAUUUGCUUUUUCAUACAUGUUGGCUUCUUGUGCAUACAUGUUUCGUAGCAGCAUUCAGUAGUUGAUGUCAAGUAAUAAAACCUCCUGCCAUAUUGCUUUUGCUGUUUUGAAAAAGACCUCGAGACACUGUACUAGUUCUAUAUUUGCUAGCAUUUUUGUCAAUUAUUGGCGUAGCUGCACUUGGGAUGAUGCUCCGUGGGUCAGUCUGCAUAGGAAAAACAAGUGGAAGGAAUUUUGCUACAAAACACAUUCCAAUAUGCUCAUGUGUGUAACAAAUAUCCAAAUUGCUUUUACCUGAAGUAAUGGGGUUUGUCUCUAUUCUACAAUCUUUGAUAGCAACUCUAACAUGAUUUCUUCCCUAAGUGCUUGCCUUUUCCUUUUCUCUUCUUGUUGAAUCUGUACCAAUUUUUCUUCAAAUAUCCUUUCCCUUUCAGCCUUUUCAUUUGCAAGUUGUUCUUCUAACUUGUCAACCUUAUCUUGGAGCACAUUAUUUCUCUGGUUGGCUGCAUUUGUAGCAUGAGCUUGCUCUUGGAUCUGAGCGUUCAGCAAUUCACUGCGUGAUGGAUUUUUAGAUGGAUUUUUAGACAAGUAACCAUGACCAUAUUUUUUGGAGGUUUUGCAUCCUGUACUUUGCUUGUAGGAUGUUUGGAAAACAUCAUUUUCCUCUGCAAUCAAGAUGGAAUAUGUAUCAUGAUUGUGUUCUCUCUCCGAAAGUAUUAGGCAUGCAUUGUCCUAAUUGAAACAGCAGCAUUGGUGUUAGCAUUGGACAUAAAAAAAUAUUAUGAAUCUUGUUGUUACCAGUGAAUUGUGUAAAUUACUUACAUAGACAGGCUUAGAUGCUUCAUCUGACCAUUGCCCAUUCUUCAUAUGAGUACUCAUCCAAAUACUUAUAUCACUUGGUUCUUCUCCUGUAUCCAGGUCUCUUUAAGAUGGUAUGAAUGAAGCACAUUAGUUUGACACGUAUGCAAAAAGAUCAUACAGUAUGUCAAAUCAUUACCUGCUCAUGGCUAAUUUUGGAAAAUAGUUUGGACCCUAUGAUAUGCUUUGUCUUUUGUUCCUUACCGUUUUUUGGAAUUCCAGUUUCUAGCUUUCUACAUAAGGUUUAAGUAAAAAAAUACGUUAGUAGUGCACUCAUCAAAAUAAUAAUUCUAACAUAAGAUUUAUGAAAGGAUGAAAAGGAAAUGCUAUCAGACCUUGAAAUCAGGAGAUCCAAAAUACAACAUCAGGUAGUGCCAUUCAGCUAUGUUAAUGUCUUCUAGCUUGUGUUUCAUUCUUGCAACAUAAUUGUUGCACACCUUGUACGUAGCACUGAAUGUUGAUCUCCAUCAUUUGUAUCGCUCCUUCGCGAUGGCCCAAAUCUUCUCCUUUCUUAUCAUCAACGUUUAGUAGAUCCCACCUAUUUUGUUUAUGUGAGAACACAUUCAAAAGGGGAAGUAUUUGGUUAUUUGAGAUUUCUUAUAGCAAUCAGGCAACAGAAUUAAACAUCGUACAUACCAAUAUGUCAGAUGCUAUAGAUUUUUUCACAUUUUGCUCUAUGUCUUUCCACUUUUUUACUCCAAUAAGUGGAGCCCUUUUCCUUGUAAACAUUACCACUUCAUCCACAAAUGACCGGUUGUUUGGGCCUAUGGGACCUCCCAGCCUUGUGGAAAAUUCAACUUUCAUUUUCUGUGAGCCGCUCUAUAUUCUCUUUGUGGCUUCUGAUAAACCCUUGAGGGCACCACGUCCACCUUUAUUGCGCCCUUCACCGGAGUCUCCUACGAAUCCAUUAGGUAAAAAAUGGCCAGAUAAUUUUAGCAGGGAAGAUGACAUUAAAAAAAAUUUACAAUGCAUAACACACCAUUUCUCACUUGAUGCCUUAACCAUUCUUAAUAUGUCUUGAUGGUUUCAUCCCUGUAAUUAUCUUUAAAUUCUGCACGUAAUGAAUAUAUAAGUUUACUGGAUAAUGACACACGUAUCUUAUAUUAAUCAUUAUAAGGAACUUUACUUACCCGUGUCUAGUUGAUCUUGUUGCAGGGCUGCAAACCAAUCCUUGUAUGCAUCAAUUGGUUCUUCUGUACCUGGUCCAUCAAUUGGUUCUUCUGUAUUUCUGCCCCUUGCUCGCUUCAUGGGUGUUAUGCUCACUAGCAUGUCAGUAUGUUGGUCUUUUGUUAGCACCAUCUUGACCCGCCUCUCUCAUAAUCAAUAGAGAUUAGGCUUGCUGUGUCCCUGCCACAUCACUUCUUGUAGUACAUGUAGUCCCGCCUAGAAUACCGGAGCUUUGAUUUUAUAGAAAUCAAGUUGUAAAAUGUGAUAUCAGCCCUAUCACAAUCAAACUCAACAUAAUCUUUAGGCUCAGAUACACCGAUGCAUUGCAAAUGUAGAGUCCACUCCUGACCUGUGAGUCUGCAACAUCAUUAAUACGGUCAAUGUUAGUAUAUUAACUUAAUGUUGUGGUCACCAAUUAAGAAUAAAUAAUAUUCGAUGUACUGCACAAUUGAACAGCCUUUACACUACAUGUACUGUUUGAUAGCAAAUCUGAUGGAAAAAUGAUAAAUGUGCAGUGCUGGUUAUAUUUGAAGCAACUGCAAAUCUGAAAUCGAAUGUUAAUGUACAGUUGAUGUUAAUGUUAAUGGUUAAGGGUGAAGUAUAUGACAUUGGUUUAAAACGAACCAGAUUUAUGGCUUUCUUUGAUUUACAGAUGAGGGAACUGCCACCGCACAUUAACACCAAGGAUCAUCCCAUGCAUAUUAAUGGAUGCUAGUACAAGCCAUAAAAGUUCAGAGUACAAGCAAUCAACAAAGAGUUGUUUUCUGAUCAACUAAUGUCAAUUCUACUACCAUCUAGCACCACCAUGAACCAAAUCGUAUCAGUGCAAAGUUUGAUCACAACCUUGGCAUAUUAUGCAGCAAACUAACAAUAUAUAUUCAGAAAGCUAUUUCUGUUGAUUGCUUUGUCUAUCAGCCAUCAAUUUUGACUGAUCUGGAAUGACAUUAGCAUAUGGCUGAAACUUGUGUCAUGGUUAUGCCAUAAUAUAACUUCAAAGUAGACUAUGUUCGGUAAAGAGUGCUACUGCCCAAACAUGAAAGGCUGAAACUAUUUAUAGAACCAAACAAAACCUAACAUUAGUUGAUUUUUUUGGACAUAGAGAUUAACUUCCACGAAAGCAUAGUGAAAAUGAUCUACAAAAGGACAUUGUAUCUAAUUUUCUUCCACCCAAAUGCAUAUGACUAGAAGUAAUUAAGCUUAGAAUCAAAUUAGGGCACAGGGAACUAACCUCGUUGGGGGAUUAAGAAAUCCUAACCUCAUCCCCAUGAUUGAACCCUACAGAACGAAGGCCGUUGUUGGUUGCAUUUGGAGCUGGAGCCCCUUGGUCGGCGGUGGCAGCAUGAGGACCAGGAGACCCUUGGCUGCCGGCAGCGUGAACAUCAUAAGCACCACAGUCACCGGCGGCGUGAAGAGGAGUCUCGCGACCGGCGGCGUGAAGAGGAGUCUCGCGACCGGCGUCGUGAGGAGUAGGAGUGUCAUGGCCGGCGGCAUCAGGUACAGGAGUGUCGUGGCCAUGCGGCGCGAGGUGGAGCAGGAGUCCAUCGGUUUGCAGUCUCCAUCGGGAGGAAUAGAUGGAAACGGUGCCCCCUCCCACACGUAUGAGUCUGGCGAUUUUAGGGGAAGGAUUGCCGGCCUUUUAGUAUAUCUACUCUGGAAAAUAUGGAGGGGAAAUUAGGUGGGGUGGUGAGAAUCGUGGGAAAAAAUUGGGGAGAAGAGGUGGGAGAGGUUUAGGGCCCCUUUGGUAGCAUGCGCGCGGAUGGUAGGGGCCAAGCGGCGGAUGGUGCGAUGAGCGAUGAGCGGGGCACGAGGCCGGGUGCACCGGCGUGCGUGCGUGGCACGGCAUUGGCUAGCGGGUAGGGGUCGGUGCAGCGCGGGCAUGGGGCUGGGGGGCACGGCAGGGAGGUGGCGGUGUGCGGUGCAGCCAUGGCGCGAGGCGGGGUGCACGCGUGGCGAGCGGCAGGGCAUAGGGCGCACGGUGCGGCCAGGGGCGAGCGGGGCGUGGGGCCAGCCUGGUGGGAGCGCAGCAGGGUGCAAGGUGGGGCUGGGGCACGACAGGGGCGUGAGGUAGUGCCGUGGUGGUGCCCCUGUUCCAGCAGCACUAGUAGAGAAUUGGCUUUCGAUCCGCCCCCUUUUGUCCCGGUUUAAAGUUGGCCCGGGACAAAAGGGGGUGCGCCACGGUAGGCAAAAUUGGAGGGGAGCUUUACUCCCGGUUGGUAAUUGCAACCGGGACUAAAGGCCCCCCUUUAGUCCCGGUUGCAACGGCUAGCUGGGGGGUGUCGGUGGCGGGACCCUUUUAUCCCGGUUGGAGGCACCAACCGGGAUAAAAAGGUUAGUCCCGGUUGGUGCCUCCAACCGGGAUAAAAGGGUGUCCCUUUUAUCCCGGUUGGAGGAUCCAACCGGGACUAAACUUCCAACCGGGACAAAAGGUGUUCCUUUUUGUCUCGGUUGGAGUUUUUAACCGGGAUAAAAACUCAUCCCCAUUAUAUACGGCCAAGAUAGAGGACUUUCUUCCUCCUCCAGCCCGAGCCAGUCCAGCACAUUGACAGAGAGAGCUGAGCUUCACCUACUCUCCAGUGGUGCCGAAGCAAGCAAGGAAGGUGCUGCCCGAAGUUUUUUCCCUCAUUUUCGUGGGAAUUUCACUCGGCCAACACAAGUGUUGCGAAGGUUUGCUACUUCAUCCUCGUGUUAUGCUUUGAUUUAUGCUUUGGAGAUGGAAAGAUUAUUUGCUACAAUGUGAUGAUGAAGUAGAAAAAUGGAGAGGUAUUUUAAGCUAGAAUGUGAGGGAGAUUGAUGUGUCAUAUAUAGUAUGCAUUAUUGCAGUGGUUUAAAAAUGAUGCUACCUUGUCUAGACGGUUUAUCUUAUCAAAUUCAAUAUGGUUUUUUAAAUCCAUAUACUUGUUGAACUUGCAUACCGUGUUCAUUUCGGCGAGAAUGUUCUCCGCCGAGCAGCAACGUAUGUCAAGAAGGAGGUUCGAUUCUACGAGAAAGAGUGGAUAUGGACAUCGUGACCGUGUCCCCUUUUUCGUAGCAUCUAACCUCUUUCAUGACGAAGUGCGGUGCCGCCCAGCUGAGGACAUCCUCGCGAAAUGAACACGGUCUUCAAGUUCAACAACUUCUGUAGUGGUAAGGAAAGAAUUUUUGUACAUAGAUGACUUCUGCUACUUGUUGAACUUGCAUACCGUGUUCAUCUCUCCGAGGAUGUUUUCCGCCGAGCAGCAACGUAUGUCAAGAAGGAGGUUCGAUUCUACGAGAAAGAGUGGAUACGGACAUCGUGACCGUGUCCCCUUUUCCGUAGCAUCUAACCUCUUUCAUGACGAAUACCGGUGCCGCCCAGUUGAGGACAUCCUCGCGAGAUGAUCACGGUCUUCAAGUUGAACAACUUAUGCAGUGUUAAGAUAAUAAUUUUUGUACAUAGAUGGCUUCUACUACUGGAGGAAGUGGCGAUGGUGGGGACGAUCGUGGUUCCUAUUAUGGCAAGGUUCCAAUCAUAGUUGGACCUCAGCAUAAGCCGAAGAAAAAGAGCGCGCUGGAAAAAGCAAUGCUUCAUUAUUUGCAGCAACGUCAUGAAGAAGCUGUUGCCGCGGGUCAGGAACUUCCUUUUGGUGGUCGUUAUGAUCCACCCUCAAUCCCGAGUGUUUCACGUCCACUUAGUACUACCGUUUCAGGCGGCACAAAUAAACCUAAGGAUGAGGUUGGGUCAGCGGAACCUUCGUCUUCACCGUCCAAGGAUGCUUAAAGUCCUCCUUGAUAAUAACCAGUGGAUGGCUUGUUGUAUUGUAUCAUGUUGUUUGGGACUUUAAUUUAAAUAUGUGUAUUUGGAUCUUCAUGUUGUUGUAUUGUACCAUGUUGUUUGGAUCUUUAAUCGAUUUUCACGUGUAAUCCAUUGUCAAGUGUAAUCCAUUUUCAUGCGUAAUACGAUGCAGAUGGACCGGCAAUGGAUGUAUAAUGCAGACAGGCGGAGCAAGGCGUUUAUUGAUGGCUUGCAUUAUUUUCUCGAAGUGGCAAAAGCGAACAAGCCAGAGAAUGGGUUCGUAUGUUGUCCAUGCUUCCAAUGCAAUAACAGGAAGGAGUAUUCAAAGGAUUCCUGGGGGACUAUUCACAGCCACUUGUUUAAAUACGGUUUCAUGCCUAACUAUUUGGUUUGGACCAAGCAUGGUGAACUAGGGGUUGUAAUGGAAGAUGGCGAGGAGGAGGAGGAAGAUGACACCAUUCCGGACUGGGUUGCAGGCCAAGCUUUUGCAGGUACUACAAUGGGCGAGGCUGAUGAAGAUGAGUUUGCAGAAAAUGACCCUACUGAUGACCUUGGUCAGGUGAUACGAGAUGCAUACAGAGAUUGCGAAACUUAGAAGGAAGCAGCAAAGUUGCAGCGCAUGAUAGAUGAUCAUCAAAAAUUGUUGUACCCAGGUUGCCAGCAGGGCCAUAAAAAACUAGGUACGACACUAGAAUUUGUGCAAUGGAAGGAAAAAAAUGGUGUGUCCGAUAAGGCAUUUCAGGGGAUGUUGAAUAUUGUCAAGAAGAUUCUCCCCGAGAAUAAUGAAUUACCGUCCACAACAUAUGAAGCUAAACAGAUUAUUUGCCCUCUCGGAUUGGAUGUUCAGAAGAUACACGCAUGCCCUAAUGAUUGUAUCCUCUAUCGUGGUGAUGAAUACGAGAAAUUGGAUGCUUGUCCCGUCUGCGAAGCCCUGCGGUAUAAGAUCAGGCGAGAUGAUCCUGGUGAUGUCGAGGGGCAGUCUCCCAAGAAGAGAGUUCCCGCGAAGGUGAUGUGGUAUUUCCCUAUAAUACCACGCUUGAAGCGCUUGUUCAGGAACAAGGCGAAUGCUAAGUUGAUGCGAUGGCACAAAGAAGACCGUAAGGAAGAUGAGAUGCUGAGACACCCCGCAGAUGGGGCACAGUGGAGAUCAAUUGAUAGAACAUUAUCAGACUUUGAAAGUGAAGCAAGGAACAUAAGGUUUGGUUUAAGCACUGAUGGAUUCAAUCCAUUCGGUGAGUUGAGUAGUGGCCAUAGUACUUGGCCUGUGACCCUUUGUAUGUUCAACCUUCCUCCUUGGCUGUGCAUGAAGCGGAAGUUCAUUAUGAUGCCGGCGCUUAUCCAAGGCCCAAAACAACCCGGCAACGACAUUGACGUGUACCUAAGGCCGUUGGUUGAUGACCUUUUACAGCUCUGGAAGGAAGAAGGUGUACGUGUGUGGGAUGAGGAUAGACAAGAGAUCUUUAAUCUACGAGCACUGUUGUUCGUAACCAUCAACGAUUGGCCUGCAUUGAGUAACCUUUCAGGACAGACAAAUAAGGGAUAUCGGGCAUGCACCCACUGUUUAGACGACACAGACAGCAUGUACUUGAAGCACUGUAAGAAGGUCGUCUAUAUGGGUCAUCGUCGAUUUCUCCCUGCUCACCACCAGCUGAGAAAGAGCGGGAUGCAUUUCAAAGGGGCGCCAGACCAUCGUAAAAACCUGCACACCGUAAUGGAAAGCGUGUGUUCGAGAUGAUGAAGGAUGUAUAUGUAGUCUUCGGAAAGGGACUUGGUAGCCAACCUGUUCCGAACGAUGAUAACGGACAUGCACCCAUGUGGAAGAAAAAGUCAAUAUUUUGGGAGCUACCUUAUUGGGAAAUCCUAGAGGUUCGCAACGCAAUAGACGUGAUGCACCUGACGAAGAAUCUUUGCGUGAACGUGCUAGGCUUCAUGGGUGUUUAUGGAACCUUAAAAGAUACAUUGGAAGCACGACAGGACCUGAAAGCCAUGGGGCAACGAGAUGACCUACAUCCAGAAAAGAGAGAUAAUGGACAGCACUACUUACGUCCUGCCAGUUACACUCUCAGCAAGGAAGAGAAGGAUAGCAUGUUUGAAUGCUUGAAUAGUAUGAAGGUCCCGUCUGGGUACUCCUCGAAUAUAAAGGGAAUAAUAAAUAUGAAACAAAAGAAGUUUACAAAUCUCAAGGCUCAUGACUGCCACAUGUUGAUGCCCAGUUGCUUCCGGUUGCACUGAGGGGUGUUCUACCAGAAAAUGUCCGGUUGCCGCUCGUAAAGCUAUGCGCGUUUCUCAAUGUGAUUUCGCAGAAGGCAAUCGAUCCAUCCAAGCUAUCAAAGCUACAGAACGAUGUGGUGCAAUGUCUUGUCAGUUUUGAGUUGUUAUUUCCACCAUCCUUCUUCAAUAUUAUGACGCACUUACUGGUUCACCUAGUAAAAGAGAUUGGUAUUCUCGGACCUGUAUACCUGCACAAUAUGUGGCCUUUCGAGAGGUUCAUGGCAGUCCUAAAAAACUAUGUUCUUAAUCGUGCCCGUCCAGAAGGAAGCAUCGCCAAGGGAUAUGGAACAGAGGAGGUGAUCGAGUUUUGUGUUGAUUUUAUUGAUUCAAUUGACUCGAUUGGGGUUCCAACUUCACGCCACGAGGGGAGGCUCCGAGGAAUGGGCACCCUUGGAAGGAAAUCAAGUUUGAGCAAUGAUACUGAUUUGUUUGACAAGGCACACUACACUGUUCUACAACAGUCAUCCUUUGUGUCUCCGUAUAUCGAGCAGCACAGGCAGAUGGUAGCUUCCAAAAACCCAACCAAAUCCGAUGCUUGGCUUACCCGUCAUCACAUGGAAACUUUUCCCUCCUGGUUGCGCCAACAACUUAUGGGUAACUCUGAGAUUCACCCACAGCUUGCCUGGUUAGCCAGGGGACCUACUACCACAAUCGUCAAAUUCCAAGGCUAUGAGAUAAAUGGUUACACAUUUUACACGAGAGCCCAGGACCAGAAAAGCACGAACCAGAAUAGUGGUGUCCGCAUAGAUGCCAUGGACAGAAAUAAUAGCAAGGAGUCGUAUUAUGGUUUCAUGCAGGAGAUAUGGGAACUCGAAUACGGACCGCUGUACAUCCCUCUAUUUCUUUGCAAUUGGGUGAAGCUAACUGCCAUCACCAAAGAUCAGUACGGAAUGACAAUAGUAGAUCUGAGCAAGACCGGAUACAGUGAUGACCCAUUCGUACUUUCCAAUGAUGUGCAUCAGGUGUUCUAUGUGAAGGACAUGUGCAGCAAACCCAAGAGGAAUCCAGAAGAGACAUGGGAGCCAAAGUGCCACAUAGUUCUUCCAGGUAAAAGAAAAAUCGUGGGAGUUGAGGAUAAAACAGACCAAUCAGAUGAUUAUGAUCAGUUUGAUGGCAUGCCUCCAUUCGCCGUUGAAGUUGAUCCAAGCAUCCUGCUAUCCAAAGAAGAGGCUCCGUACUUACGCCGCGAUCAUGAUCAAGUAACUUUCGUGAAGAAGAAAUUUUACAACGCUGUAUUGUAAUGCAUUAAAUGUACAUGACCUUUGUGUAUUAAUUGAUACAAUUUGUAAUUUACCCUAUGUAUGAUUUCAUGUGUUAUUAAAUUUGGUAGGUGAAGAUUUUUUAGAUAAACAUGAACAUUGUUAACCACAUACUAACAUGGAUUUUUCUGCGCAUUGAAAUAGUUUAAUUGAAUAAUUUCUUGAUCACAGCAAUGCAGUAAAAUAAAUAUUUUACAGGCUAAAUGAACUGGUAUAGAAUUAAUGAUUAAUUCAUACUUAUUAUCAAUUCACUCGUUAAUUAAAUAUAUUUUUGCAUGUACAAAAUCUGUGAAGGUUUUGUUUUUCAUCCUGAAAUGCAGUGAACAGAUAAAAUAAAAUCCAUUUCCAAAAUACAGGCGGGAGAAGAAAAAUAGGAAAAAAGACCUUUUGUCUCGGGUGCUAACAGCAACUGGGACAAAAGGCCCCCCUUUUAUCCCGGUUGCAAACGACAACCGGGAUAAAAGGGUACGUUUCGUCUCCCGCCCGAACGUACCCUUUUAUCCCGGGUCCCGUCACCAACCGGGAUAAAAGGCCCCCCCCCUUUUAUCCCGGUUGGUGACGGGACCCGGGAUAAAAGGGUACGCUCCCAGCCCCACCUGGCGGGGGCACCCUUUUGUCCCGGGUCCCGUCACCAACCGGGAUAAAAGGGGGGGCCUUUUAUCCCGGUUGGUGACGGGACCCGGGAUAAAAGGGUGCGCUCCCAGCCCCACCUGGCGGGGCACCCUUUUGUCCCGGGUGCCAUUACGAACCGGGAUAAAGGGGGGGUUUAAAAGGCACUGUACUCCCUUCUACCCCCCGCCAGUUACACACUUAGCCAAAUUUUCGCCAAGUCCCGUGCGUUCUCCGCCGUCGCCGCCCGUCCGCCUCCCUCGCCGGCCGCCGCCGUCGUCGUCCCCCAUUGCGCCGUCGAUGUCCCCCAUUGCGUCGUCGUCGUCCCCCGGCCGGCCCGCCUCGAUCCCCUCCUCGUCCGUCGACGCGCCCGGCCCCCAGCCCCCUCGUCGCCUCCGGCCACCGGCUCCACAUCCUCGUCGCCGGCUCCAUCCUCGUCGCCCCUCGUCGCCCCUCGUCGUCGUCUCGUCGCCGUCCCGCCUACGCCGCCGUCGUCGUCGUCGCCUCGGCCGCCGUCGUCCUCGUCGCCUCGGCAGCUGCCGUCCUCGCCGUCCCGGUCGCCGCCGUCCCGCCGCCCGGCCGCCGCCCCGCGCGCGAGAGGUUCGCUGCCGCGCCGGCCGGCAGCGCCGCUGGGAGGGUUUUCUUUUUAGGUUAGAAAAUUAAGUUUUAUUUUUAGAUAGAUUUCUAAUUUUGUUAAGUUAGAUUUUUAGAUUUCUAAUUUUGUUAAGUUAGAUUUUUAGAUUUCUAGUUAGUUUGUUAAGUUAGAUUUCUAGUUAGUUUGUUAAGUUAGAGUUGAUACAGAGAAAAUGAAGUUAGAAAUUCGUAGGAUGCACCGCCGUCCCCUCCGCCGUCCCGCCGCCGUGAUCGCCGCCGUCCCGCCGCCCGUCACAACCUAGUUCCGGUGAACCGUCCGCGCCUCCGCCGUACCGUCACCGCCUCCGCCGUCCCGUUCCCGCCUCCGCCGUACCGCCGCCCUGACCGCCGCCGUCCCGCCUCCGCCGCCCUGAUCGCCGCCGUCACAACCUAGGCACCGCACGUGGAUAUUGUUACAAAUUCGUAGAAAUUCGUCAAAAUUCGUAGAAAUUCGUAGAAAUUCGUCAAAAUUCGUAGAAAUUUGUAGAAAUUUGUAGAAAUUCAUAGAAAUUCGUAGAAAUUUCUAGAAAUUCAUACAAAUUCGUAGAAAUUCAUACAAAUUCGUAGAAAUUCGUAGAAAUUUGUAGAAAUUCGUAGAAAUUUGUAGAAAUUCGUAGAAAUUCGUAGAAAUUCGUAGAAAUUCAUAGAAAUUUGUAGAAAUUCGUCAAAUUCAUAGAAAUUUGUAUAAAUUCGUAGAAAUUCGUAGAAAUUCAUAGAAAUUUGUAGAAAUUCAUCAAAAUUCAUAGAAAUUUGUAUAAAUUUUGUAGGACUUUGUACAAAUUUAUAGUAAGACGAUUUCUAUGACUGUCAUGUAUGAUUCCAUGUAUGUUUCCAUCAAUAGUUGAAAUGGCAGACGAUGAGAUCGCAAGGUAUAUCAUGGAGCAGAUAAUCGCUGGUGAUGGUAGUGGCGACAACGUUCCACUAUCAUACACGGAUGAAGAGGGCACCCAGGCGGACAUGUUCCUCAACAUGUCCGUCGAUAGGAAUGAAGAGCAACAGCCACAGCAACAACUUGCCGUGGCGGAAGGUUCCGGCGAGGUAUAUACAACCAUUCUUGUAUUGUUUCACGCCACCGUUACUACUACGUACUAAUUAACGAAUCUUGAACUGUUAGCCCUCCGGAUCGACACAAGGGCAGAAGACCCGAGGUCGUACAAAGGUGAUGGAAGGGAGGCUUGUCAUCACCGAAGUUACAGAAGAGGGCAGGACGGUUGCUCCCGAGAAAGUAGCAAAGAAGUACGUGAGUCAAAUCGAGGCAAUCGUCCGGGACAACGUGCCUAUCAGCAUCAGAGAAUGGAAGGGCAGAAGCACUAAUCCGUACAUCCUUCCAGAGACAGAAAAGAAUAUGCUGUGGGAAGACGUGAAGAGACAUUUCAUAUUCCCCGAAGGAUAUAGUGAGAAGGAUGUCAAAGCUUGGACGCUUAAGAAGAUGGCUACUCAAUUCCAGACAUUCAAGAAGAUGCUGGAUACCCACUACAUCAAGAAGGGCAAAACUCCAGACUUCAACGCGUGGCCAAAGUUGAGGGACCACUGGGAUGCAUUUGUUGAAUACAAGAGGAGUGAAGAAGAUGUGAAAAAGAUCACGACCAACAUAGCAAAUGCUAGUCAAAAGGGCUACCACCAUCAUUUGGGGCGAGGUGGGUAUGGCUCAGCAAUUCCCAAGUGGAGGAAGAUGGAACAAGAUCUGAUCGAACGGGGAAUCGUACCUGCAACUAUUGAAUGGCCCGAACGAUCAAAAAAUUGGUACUACGCUCAUGGAGGCUCCCUAAGCCAAGAGGAUGGGACGUUGAUUUUCAAUGACACAAUACGUGAGAAGGCCGAACAUCUCAUGAAGAACAUUGAAGAUUCCAAGGCUAGGAGGUUGAAGGUGGACUGAGAAAAUGAUGAGCUCACAUUGGCCCUCGGUAAUCCAGAGCACCCAGGACGUUGCCGAGGGUUCGGGGUGGUUCCGUGGAAGUUCGCUUUCCGAGGCGACAACGCCUCUUACAGAAGCUGGAAGCGAAGAAAGGAACAGAUCGAGGAGAGCUGGCGGCAGAUGCUAGAACAAAGAAUGAUGGAUGAAAUCAAUCGGCGGGUGGCCGACGCAGUUGCGGAGUUGGACCAAUCUGGAGCAAUGCCGAUUCCUAACACCGCCAGCCCUUCUCAACGCCUCGGGAGCAGUUGUGCUUCUACAGGGGUCCCCGAUGCGCAGACGCCCAGGUUACCCGUGGAGGAGCAACGAUUCCCCGUGGAUGCCAUCACGCAAUGGACCUCAUGUGAGUUGCAUGCACCGGUCGGCAACCUAACUAUUAAGGUAUACUUAUACAUAAUAUUUAUGCAAUCUUGUCAAUUGAUCCAGGCCUCGAGAUCGGAGUUCAACUUGUUUACUUCUGCUAUAUGUACAGGUAGCGUACGGGAGUGCAUUAGCAACCCUGGCAGGGCAGAGCAGUCAUGGCAUGGACAUUCCAACAGGCUACGCCAGCGUCUGCGUCGAGCAAAUAGUUGAUCCCCAGUAUGAAGGUCUAGAGCUCGACUUCCCGGGAGGCGACGGGGAAAAGACAUUGGCAAAUGCGCUUCAUGGGAUCAUUCUAUGGAAGAAACGCUACAUCAUUAUUCCCAGCACGGAGCCAUCUCCUCAGACCUCAAGACCGCUCCCUGUAGAUCCCCAGCAGCGACCUUCUCCUCAUACCUCGAGACCGGCAUCUCCUGCUCCAGGACCGUCCCUUCCAUCUGUAUCAAGGUCUCCAUCUCCACCACAUCCUGGUGCUGGGAGCGACGACGACAAUAACAACACCCCUCCCCAAUCACCAUCGCCGGCACCAAGAGCGGCCCCCUUGAAGGAACCUGCAGCACCACUAAAGAAGUCACGAGCACCGCCUCCCAAGCAAAGACAAAGAAAGAAGAAAACAAAGGAGCCUGAAGUGACUCGUAAGGAACACUGGGAGGCAAUGUCUCAUGAAGAACAGUGGGCAGAAAUCCAACGAGAGGCCAGUGAGUGGUUCAAGAAACAAGCCGAAUUAAAAAAGGCAAGGGAGAUGGAGCCACCGCCAGUAAGUCGGCGAGAUUUAAACUUUUUUAUCAGGAUGGAAGAAGGAGCCAAGAAAAGGAUACCACUCUUGUCAAACUAUGAACGAGCUCUAGUAAAGGCUGAUGAAAAGGAUAAAAGGAAAGGAAAAUCAUCCUCCAGCGGUCCAGUCCCCGACCUCAGCCAUUUAUCAAAAAAAGAUGCUCAACGGGUAAAAGCAAUGCCCUUGGAUCAACAAGCAAAUGUAUUGAAGUUUAUGGAAGAAACAGGUCUGGGACUUGAUGAAUGCAUAGGGCAAGUUGAGACGCCAACUGCACCGCCCCCUGAGCCAAAGUGGCCUUAUGAGCUAGGCAAACCUCUAGUAAAGCCUUCAUUGGUACGGAAGCUAUCAACAAAGAUGUACGAAUUCCAUCAAUGGUACAUGAUGGCAUCCGCCGACUCGAGGGAGAUGAUCGGCAUGAAGGUAAAACCGAUAGAUUUUCACGGUGAAGGGGAGAAAGUGCUGUGGCUAGACUUCAAGGAUAUAUACGAAGUGUACCAUCAUGAUGCCCUGGACGUCUCUCUGAUCAGCGCUUGGAUUCUGUAAGUGUCCGUUUAUCUCUACAUGUAAAUUUUGACGUGCGUCACCGUACUAACUUCAUCUUCCAUUUCAUGUAGGAUGCUAAUUCAGACAUGCCGCCGAGAUGCGUACCUACAUAUAGGCUUCAUGGAUCCAUCUGUAGUUAACCAACAACAGAUACAAUUAGCGCCGGAAAAAACCUUUGAGGAAAUAUACAAUUUCCUACACAAACAAACAUUCAAGGAUUUCAUACUACUUCCAUACAACUUCAAGUAAGUGUGUGUAUACCGUCUACUUUCGAUGUCUUUUUCCUUAUCUCUACAUGUUAGUUAGCUCUAAUAUGCAUGAACAUUUUACGCACGCAGCUUCUACUGGAUCCUUAUUAUAAUUGAGCCUGAAAGAAGCCACGUCACUGUCUUUGAUUUGUUAAGGAAAGAUCUGGUGGACUACCAAGAAUUGCAAGACAUGCUAGGCUUGUAAUAAUUCUGGACCUUUAUCUCUAUGCAAAAAUUUAUUUCCUAAAUUUUAUCCCUGUUACACUAUGUCAUUCAUUAUUCUAAUCCGCAGCGCAUGGAAACAAUUCAUAAGGACACACAAAGGUCCAUUCAAAGAAAAUCUUACAUGGAACAUAGACUUCCCGGUACGUAUGCAGUCUGCACAUUUAUUACAUUGUAUAACACGAAUAUUUCAUAACUUAUUUUUUUCCGCACUGAAGUGCUUAAGACAGGAACCCGGGAAUAAUCUAUGUGGCUACUACAUCUGUUAGCACAUGCACAAUUUUUUGGGACCCAAGCGACCGAAGAUGACGCCGCACAACUUUAAAGUACGUAAAAUAAAUAUAUUACUAGUUAAUUAUUUUCUAGCUCCUUAUAUGUAUUUGUUCAUGUAACAUUCACAAAUUUCAAAAUUAUAGAUGUUAAAUAUUCAACAAGGACUCUUGAAGGAAGAAAGAGUAGCGGCAAUAUGUGAAGGUCUCAUUGGAUUCAUAAUGGACGAGGUGGUAAAUCCAAAAGGAGAAUUUUAUUACGAUGGACGACAAUUAGACACUCCGAUCAGCAACACCACGACGGGAAGAUUGUAGGAAGAUACUUUGAUUUAUUUGUAUAUAUAAUACGCGCUAAUUAUGAUCGAUUUGUACUAAGCUAGUUGAAUUGUGUAUAUGAAUUGUGUAUCAGGAUUGUGUAUAUAUAUAGUAAUUGUAUAAUUACAAAUCCCAUUCGUUUAAAUACUAGUUGAUUUCGUUCUAAAAAAAUCUCAACUACAAGGUUAACAAAUUAAAAGGGCCGCGGUACUACGUAUACGUGAUGCAUGCAUGAAAAAUUCAGGCAUCACGGCAGUGCCAUGCAAGCGCCAUUUAGUCCCGGUUGGAAUCGAGCCGGGACUAAAGGGGACCCCUUUAGUCCUGGUUGGGAAAUCCAACCGGGACUAAAGGGACCCCUUUAGUCCCGGUUGGUGUCACUAACCGAGACUAAAGGGCCUGCCUGGCGUGACAGGCCCUUUAGUCCCGGUUGGUGACACCAACCGGGACUAAAGGGGGACCUUUACUCCCGGUUAAAAGACCCGGGACUAAAGACCCCCCCUCCUUUUGUCCCGGUUGGUUUAUCCCGGAUGGAUUUUCGAGAGAUAUGCACCCUACCAACCGGGACUAAAGGCCAAUUCUCUACCAGUGCAGGUAGAUGGAAACAGCGCCCCCUCUCAAUCUACUCAGAUGGAGAAGGCAAUGGAAGCAGAUCUCGGGGAGACGGGGAGGUUAAUGUACAGGUGGGAAGUUGAGCGACACGAUUUAAUCGCUAAUCUUGGGAUGCGCUGGCCAUUAGGUGGGGAAUAACUGCAAUCAUCUUGGCGGCAUGUGAAUUUUUAGCUAAAUUCAUUGUGGCAGGUGAAUUUUUUCAUUGUGGCAGGUGGCAAAUUGAAUGUACCAAGUUAAUGAUUUUAUUUGUAUGCAUGAGAAUAUUUUUUUUAAAUAUAGUUUGACAUACAUCUAAAAAAAUUACUAAUUAAUAAGUUAUUGAUAUUCAUGACUACCCAUAUCUUAUAACAAUGAUUUUAUUUUGAAGCAUUGGAAAUCUUUAAUAUUAUCAUAUUCAUACUCAACGAAAGAAGAGGACCAGAAUGAUAUAUUGAUAGAGCAAGUGGCGUGCUAUGGUUGGACUUGGUAUAAUAAUGGCUUUCAGAGUGGCACUCAUUCGGAAGUAACGACAAAAAGAUACGCUAAUAGACCAAGUGAUGUGUUACAGUUUAGGCUCGAUGUUAAUAAUAAUCUGAAAAAGAUGACAGGAAAGAUAUAUGAUGGACGGUGCAACUUGGAUGAUUGUCUUUGAUACAAGUGACGUGGAUGUACCUGUCCGGUAAAUAAGGGAGCUAGCGGCGUGAGGGGUGGGGUCUCGAUGCCAUCGCCAUAGGCCACCGCUUCGACGAGUGAGCAAGCAUCUGCUAUCGACAAGCUGCUCCGUCAGUCGUGCACGGGCAUCCGCUACGGAGUUGCUGCUUCGUUGCGCCACUCUUGCUGUUCUUGCCAACUGAACCGCCAUCGUCCUCGUUGCUGAUGCGGUGAGCUCGCGAGGUCAAUCCCUCCCUGCCACCUGGAUCGUCUUGGAAGCGGAGCUCGCAUGAGGAGGAGGCAGGGCCUGAGACGCAGCCACACGAUAUGGUAGACGCGAAGCAGGCUGGAGCUUGGCUGCCACCGCGAUGAUCCGUUCCUCGACCUCUGACGCAUAUAGGAGUCGGGUGUCGGAGCAGGGAGAUGGGAGAUGGGAGGUCGAUUUCAACAAAUACGGAGGAGGAACGUUCGACACUGUGGAAAGGUCUGCUGUAAUACGCCCAAUACGGCUUGGUAUUGGAAGGGUUUUUCAAAUUCCAAUUCCAUGAACAUCCAAACUAAGAUAUUGAGUGUACCCAAUACCAAUUCCAUUUCCCAAGCUUCAAUAUCUACAUCCAAAUGGGGUGUUAUACUUUUAUAUCACCUAUAAGAUUUCUAAUGAUUGCAGGAUGAAGCCAUAUAUUGGAAUCGUUAUUGCAAACUGCAGAAAAUUCAACAUUAGGUGUUUCUCGGAAUUAAAAGAAUAGCAAGUUUAAAAGGGUAGAAAGAUAAAAACAUAGAGCUCCAAAUAUGGAGUCGAUCUGUUACAUCCAUGUUCGAAACCAUGACGCUAGUGAUGCCUAUUAUGACAGGCUAUAAGAAAUAUAUAUAUAGAUAGAUAUGUUUCUCGCUAGCUACAGAAUAGUCAAUUCUAUGGUCAGAUCAUCCAACCCAGCGGAUCCACCCAUGCUUCGGAGCUUCAGUUCAACCCAAGGGUGAAUGAUAAUGCACGCUCUGUGCUUGCAUAAAUACCCCAGCAAAGCUGAGGACCAGCACGGGCAGAGCAUAGUUCAUUCGUUUCUCUGUGCAGGUUUGCAGCGGGAGCAAGAAAAGAGUUCAAACCUGAACUACAGAUGAGGUUGAAUGCUGCGUCAUGCAGGUCUUUGCUUGUACGCUCAAGAAUCCCAUUUUUGACAGCCCUCGAUGAAAUUCUUUUUUCUGUCAAAUCUUUUUUCUGAUAUAGUCAAGGAGCAAGACUUAUCUACUGGUGCCAGUUAGCUAGUGAUGGAUUUGCUUUGAGUACAAAGUUAUUCCUACAGAUUUCAAAGUAUUAAGAAAGCUCUGUAAAUUUCUCAUUAUUUACUGUUGAUGUACAUGUACUACUCAAUUUGGCAAGGAAAGAUAUAUCAUAUAUUAUUUGGCUUUGAACUGUGUAUAAGAGACUAAAUUGUAAAAGUAAUCUUUUCCUGUAAUAUGGACUCUGAUUCUGAACGAAAGAACUUAAAGAAAGUGGUAAAUUGAUUACAAUAGUGUCUGGUAACUACCAUUGUCAUAAACUGAUGACGCUACACUUGUAAAGACCUCUGGUAAAUUCAUGACACUAUUUUUGUAAAUACCUUUUUGGUAAGUUGAUGACGAUAUUCCAGUAGGUACUUUGUGGUAAAUUGAUGAUGCUAUUCUGGUAAGUACCUUGUGGUAAAUUGAUGACACCAUUUUGAAAAUAUUAUCAUCUGGUGCCAUUCGACUUACACAGUAAAUGGUUUCCUGGAAUAGCUUGACAAAAAGUUGUGGUACCUCCUGAUCCUGAUAUAAAGUAAAUUUUCAGACAUUUCUCAUGCAGUAAGUCCUAUUAUGCAUCAUUGUUAUACAUGCUUCAUUUUUUCGAUUUUCACCAGGAUUGACUAGUUGUUGCUGCCUCGCAUUCCCAGAAACAUUUGUGUCUUGAUAUAGUUCAGUCCUGAUUAUCUUAAACUAAUAAUGCAGGAAAAUGUGCCUCACUAUGUCGUAGCGGCUCUGAACCUUUACCACCCACUGAACAGAAUCUAGAAGCUCCCUGCUGGACAUGAGUCGGCUAGAUCUUGAUCUUUGCUGAUGGUUGUAGUCAAAGUAAAUACUGACAGUAUCUUAGUUGCCAUCAUUUGUGUUUGUUUUACUCCCAGGGAUAAAAGGAUGAGUACCCUGUGCAACAAAACAGUGUGUACCCAACACUUUUUCUGAAAGCAACGUUUUUUUGUUUUCAGACACACCAAUUCAAUUAUGGUGACUUUUGUAUCGCUGUCAUUAUUUGUGCCUUGGCACUUGUGGUAAAUCACCUGCCACAGUUUUGUCACUAGACUUUUUAAUUAUGGUAAAUACCCAUUGCCCUUAUGCCUUGUGUGGUAAAUCACUUCAUAACUAUCGUCAAUAGACAGUUGAAUUAUGUCAAAUUGUACCAUUUUGCAUCACUAAAUCAUCUCUUCAAACCUCAUUUUGCUCACUCGUGGUAAAUCACCUGCCACAUUAUUGUUACUAGACGUUUAUUAUAGUAAAUCACUAUUAUUGUAAAUUGAUUCCUCAAUGCUAUAGCUUGUGUAAAUUGUACCUCUCGUUGUAGUAAGUAUGCAUGAAACAUCAUGUGCUAUUGCUUGCAUUCUCGUAAAUAAUCCUCUAUCUAUUUUUAAUUGUGUCCAAAAUAUACUUGAAAACAACACAACUAGCACAUGCCGUUUAGUUUCUUGUAAGUGAAUUACCUUGUUUACUACUACUCGCUGAGCAAAACAGACUAGUUUUGUAAUAGCCGGGAAUCACUGAAAGCGUGCAAGCGCUGGGCCUCCAUCUCCGGUAAAUAUGCUGCUGAAAUCGGAAGGACUGAUCCGACGCUCGGCUAGUUAAUUGCCAUAAUAACACUCGGCUCCGCUCGGUCACCUCGCUCGCUUGUGGGCUCACGUCCAGACCCGAUCUAUCAUAAUUAGUUUAUGAUAAUCUCGUCAUUGCAGUAACAGGUUCCUCGCAAUAUGAGAAUGUCUUGUCGCAUAUAUUGUACAUCUAUAAGUUAUAGAAAAAAUUCCAACUUUCAAACUUUGGAUCCAAAUAAUAAAAUAAAGAAAAGCUACUGACGUGUGCCUGCUGCAGCAGACGUGCUCCGCCCACCUGCCCGUGGCGGCGUGCUAAUGACACUAAUGACGCUAAUCAUUGUUAUGUUUGGCUCGUAAUGACGCUGCGUUCGGCUUGUAACUGCCGGCUUGCCUUGUCGGACCACCGGCGGGGACCUCGCCGCUCGGCUUGCGACAACCAGGAGUGGACGAGUCGGGAGGAAAAAAGGGAAUAGUGGCAGAUCGGACCAGUGCUGGCUGUCGGAUGGGGUGGCCACAGAAUAACCUAUGCUAGGAUCAGCUACAGAAUUUACUCUUCCUAGGCAAAGCUACUCACGUCGUUUCACAUAGCAACAUGGGUUUUUCUAGUAGUGAUCCCAGAACUCAAUUCAGUCACAAGAAGGCAAAAUUAACAAGAAGGAAAUUGUACAGCUACCAAGAACUACGAAAAGAAGCUACAAGUAACUUGUACCAAAAUUUUCACUUAGUAAGCAUAUGGUCUACUACCAAUCACUUCCUGCAACAUAAGACCAUGGAUCAGUAAGUGUUUUUGUUAAACAAACUUUCCUCUGAUUGUUAAAUAAACAAUGAUAUAUACUUGUAGGUGAUAGUAAAACUUACCAUAUAGAUGAGGCACAGGGAUGCUUAUAUAGUGUUGGUAAUGGUUGGCAGGCUGGGAUGCCGAUCUGGUUGUUGUUCAACUUGGACAAAAUAUAAAGGGUACAUAGAACAAGAACAUAUCAGAAAAUAUCAGAGAACCAAAAAGGAAAAAACAGAGCAACAAAAAGAAGAAAUAUGUCAUAUGCCUAUAAAUUGAACUAUGAUUUUAAUUAUACCAAAGAACUGAGCCUGAUGAUUGAGUGAACCAUGUAGUGCCAUCCCGCCCGGAAUUACAGGGCACAAUACGAAAUAAAAUCACCCAUGACCUCAUACCAUUCCAGUGAAUUUUUGUUGGCAAUGACUACAUGGUUCAAGUAGUCAUUAGGCUAGUAACAAGCACAUUUUUCUGAAACUCUAUGAAUCCAAUCAACAGCUAAGUAUGUAUCCUAUCACCAACUACAAAUCACAAAAACUGUAUAUAAGAUCAUUGCUUCUAGUUGAAUCCACUGGCCUCUCAUUAGUUCUAUGGUAACCAUGACAGAAAACAAAAAUUUAGAAACCAAAGUAUGUUCAGGCAUCAAAUAGAUCACUAUUAUUUUGGGCAAUCACAACUAGCAUGCUAGGAUCCUUGUGAGCAUCUUUCAUGAGACCCCCUUCAAAUCCCUCAUGAAUUUGACUUGGAUUUGAAGUUUUUCCAAAAAUUCAUGUUCUUGGUAGGGUCUCUGUUUUCUCCAAAAUCCAUGAUGAAUAUUUGAGCAUAAAAUCCAUGAUGAAUAUUUGAGCAUUUUGAGAUCCACCGCCAACCCUCCAUUCAUUCCCCACCGUCGCGCGUGCUACCUUUUCCUCUGAAAUCAGCUGCCCCGCCACCAACCCCUUCUUCCAUUCCUCCAAAUUGCCGCCGCGCGGGCUCCCCUCCCCUCCGAAAUCAGCUGCCGUGCGGGCUCCCUCCCCUCCAAAAUCAGCUGCCCUGUCCCUCCCUGACCUACAAAUCUCCCGCAACCCCCAAAUCCUGCGCCUCCCUCCCCUCGCACGCAUCCUCGCCCCUCCCCACCCGCAGACCCUCGCACCGCCCCGGCAUUGAUGAGUACCUGCGCCAUCCCAGCAUCAACGAGCUCCUGUGCCGCCCCGGCUCCGUCCGCAACCAAGGGGCUCGCCACUUGGAGUCCGACCCCGGCGCCGCUUCUAUGCUGACCCAGAGCUGGAUGCCGGUGCCUCCCUGAUUCGACCCCGAGCAGGAUGCCUCCACCGCCUCCCCAACCCAACUGCCAAUCCACACCAUCGCCACUUACCCUACCCGACCCACCCAAGCGCCACCACCUGGAGACCAACCCACACACCACAACCUGCUCCUUCUAUCGCUCGGCACAUCUACCAUCACUUUCAGAUUUACUCCUGCGCACGUUUGUGUGCUUUGAUUUGGUCAGGUAGUCAUAGAUUUUGAGCCUUUCGGUGAUGUUGAUGCUUAGUAAAUCUGUUAAGUAAGAGAAUCUACACAUGAUAUGAAAUAUUGCUAAGUUAUGAAAAGAAGUGAAGGUACCAAUUUUCUUACUGGUUGCUUUAUUUAUCUGUAAUCUAUGUCUUCUAUGUCACUUAGUGUUGCCUGCAGAUCAUAUCAGUCUUACUGUUUAUUCUUUUUUUCUUCAUUUAGGCCAGCCUGUGAGAUAUGAGGUGUAGGGUACGACCACACUCACCUUCAUUGCAAAGAAGUACCCUCCUCCAUGCUACUGCCAAGCGUUUCUACAUCUCAUCUUAGAGGUAUGUUACAACCUGAAAUAUCUAGAGAAAAUUGAUAUCUUCACUGCUAUGCUCAUAUGGAAGUCAGAAGUGUGCUCGUUUGCAGUGGUUGUUACUAAGGAUAGCUAUAUAUUUGCAUCAAGUGUUAUCUACUACAAAUUAAAAAUUUAUAAAAUGAGUAUUCUAAUUAAUCUUUCAUAAUUUCUAUCUUGGCCAAUGUCUUAUUGAUGCAAUGAAUCUACAUGAAAUUUCAGUGAAUGAGUAACUUGUGGGAUUGAUGAGGUAAUUAAAAAUGAAUAUUCUAAUUAACUUUCAGAAUCUCUAUACUUAAUGUUCUUGGCCAAUCUCUGAGGUAUGAAAGGAAAUGCGUGUGACCUUUUCUUUUAUGGAAUCUGUCACAUCGUGUGCCACUAAUACGCUUUUCUAUAAGGUGUGCUGUUUAAAAAAUGCACGUGCUGAGUAAAUGAGUAACCUGUUGGUCCUUAACCAUCCCUUUUCAGAUAAAAACUGCUGAUGUAGAAUUUUCUUCCUUGCAUUAUUUUAAUCAACAGUUAUGCAAAUGUUGUGAGAAUAGGAGUGGCGGCGGCAAGAAAAAUGGAGGGCAGCAGGAGCAAGAAUAGGAGUAAGUUAUGCAAAUGUUUUGCCACUGAGAUUGAAAAAGAAGAGGUACUGAAAAUUACAAAUGUCGGGUUAUCAAGGGUCCAAUGAAGGCAGGGGCGCACACCCUAGGCAGAUGCGCGGAUGGGACUAUGGUAAGUUCAUGCGUCCAUGUAGCAGGUAGAACAGUAGGGAUUGACCAUUGGAUUCAGUUCAAUGCUGAAAACAGAACUGUGCUCGUUCAAAGCUGAAAAGUUUAUUUUUAAUUAAAACAGGUCAAACUUAGGUGCUACAAAUUAUCACACUUAAACAUAAAACACAUCCUCCACUCCUUCCACGGUAGAAUUCACAGGUGCAAUGUAUCCAUCAUCAAUGUAGUCGUCGGUAUCAUCUUCUUCUUCUUCAUCUACUAAGCCAAUAGUUCUUGGUUCAUGUAUGGAUGCAGCAAGUGCUUUUUGAAUAACAUAAGCGGCACCAGUGACACCUUCAAUGCCUGACCUAGUCUAAUUUGUCAACUCUUCAUGUCUGCCCGAAUCGAUCAUAUCUCCCACUCCGACGUCAAGUGAGUCAACAUCAAUUUCUUCCUCGUUAUAUGUACUUACUUAUUUGGUGCCUCAUCGCAAUUUGUUAAUAUCCAGUGCCUAAUCCGCUGCAUAUCUAGCCUAGAAAUUGAGUCAAUUCAAAAUCCUUUCUUAAUAUAAUCAAUGUUGCUAAAUAUGCUUAAACCAGCCGGUGGUUCAUUUACUACCGCUUUCAUGACGCUCUGGACGAUUAACCUUGGUGUCGACGUCAUCCAAAAAGCGAGAGCAAAAAGUCACACACUCCUCUAGUAUAUAUCCCUCUGCUAUUGAACCUUCAGGAUAGCCUUUGUUCCGCACAUAGCCUUUCGAUGUACGUAGAAACCUCUCUAUUGGAUACAUCCAUCUAUAGCAUACAGGUCCUCCUAGUUUAGCCUCUUUAGCAAGAUGAACCGGCAAAUGCAUCAUGAUAUCAAAAAAAAGCUGGUGGGAAGAUCAUCUCAAGAUGACAAAGAGUCUCUCUAAUCGAAAUGCUCAAUUUUUCUAACUCUUUGGUGCUCAACUCCUUUGAACAUAUUCCACUGAAGAACCUACUAAGCUCAAUCAAUGGUUUAACAACCUCUUCUGGAAGUAUGUUACAAACCACAAUGGGUAAUAGUUUCUCAAAUAUAAUAGGCAGUCAUGAGUCUUGAGUCCAGAAAGGUUACACCUUGCCACAUCCACACAUCUCUUGAUAUUAGAUGCGUAACCAUCAAGCAUUUUGAUACUUUGCAGAAAUUUGCAUAAAUAUACCUUGUCAUCUUGAUCCAAACUGUACAAUGCUGGAGGCAAAGUGUAUUUGUCAUUCUUCACCAAAGGAUGUUGAUCCUUCCUCAUGCCCAAAUGUUCCUUGUCAAGACGAGCCUUCUCGCUAUCCUUGGGUUUACCUGCCAUGUCAAGCAAAGUUCCCAAAAUGCUCUCACAGAUAUUUUUUUCAAUGUGCAUCACAUCCAAAGUAUGCCUUACAAGCAACUUUUCCCAGUAAGGCAGUUCAAAAAAACUACUCUUCUUCCUCCAAGUGUGCCAUCUAUUAUCCAUUUCACGCUGCUUCCUCUUUCUUGUCGUGUUCCCAAAUGUCACUUGCUCAAAGCUUUCAUACUGUUGCAGCACCCCUUCCCCAUGUAGUGGCACUGGAGGCUCCCUAGUUUCCACCUAGUUGUUAAAGCUAAUCUUGUUGCGGUGCCACCUGUGAUCCAUUUGCAAAAAGCAGUGAUGACCCAUGUAGCAAUGCUUGGAACCAAGUUUCAACCAUAAAUAGUUAGUAUCCUUGUGGCAGUAUGGACAUGCAAACUUGCCUUUUGUGUUGGGAUAUGAGGUAGGCUACGCUAGCGCAAAUCAAAAUUUCUACCGCGUAUAACCAGGAAGAACUGCCGUAUAAGGAUCACGGGAUUACCACUCGACGCACUACUGGUGCGGAAGAUGUAGAUAUGCGUCGGUGCAGUGAAGACGAUCACGUAGUCGUACGUAGUCGAACAACGUAGUCGUACGUAGUCGAUCACGUCCAGCGGCUCCUCAGCAGCUCGUCCACGUGCACAGCAAGAUCGCCUCCGGUGCCGCGGCUCGUCGUCGGCUCGUCGUGGCUCGUCGGCGGCUCGUCGAUGGCUCGUCCAAGUGUUGCAGGCGCAACACCUCCAAGGUAUCCACACGUGCAGGGAGGAAGCGUCGCAAGCCGGAUUGCUAGAUCCGCGAGUUGCAACAGGCGAGGGCGUGGGAGGCGCGGCAAGUGUGUUCAGCCAAAAGGUGUGUGACCCUAGGGCGCCCCCACCCCUCUAUUUAUAGGGGUUCCUGAUGGGCCUCUGGAUCCGAGGCCCAUUAGUACUCCUAAACCUAAUCCAACUCGGAUCAGAUCCGAAUUGGGCUUCCAGCCCCUUAAGUGUGUGACCCUAUGGGUUCGGAUACGUAUAGACAUGGCCCGAGUACUCCUACUCGGCCCAAUAGUCGGUAGCGGCCUCUAGCAAGACGUGCCAACUCCUAUACGCAUACGAAGAUCAUAUCAGACGAACCAUCACAACAUAAUAUACAUGCUAUUCCCUUUGCCUCACGAUAUUUGGUCUAGCUUCAAGCCGACCGCUCUUUCUCGAUCCUGUGAUUCGGAAUCCCUUUGUAGGUUAACUCUUAACCGUACGUAGCAUGGCCAUGCAUUUUCGGAUCCGAUCACUCGAGGGGCCUAGAGAUAUCACUCUCAAUCAGAGAGGGGCAAAUCCCAUCUUGAUUGACCAUGUCUCAUAGCAUGCUUCUUGACAAACCCGAAAGCUACCUUUAUAACUACCCUGUUACGGCGUAGCGUUUGAUAGCCCCUAAGUAGGUCGAUCCACAUCUAGAAUACAUGCGACAAUCUCAGGUCUAAGGACAAAGCGUAUAUGUUGUUUAAAGAGAGAACUACUUCUCGUGUUGGGUCAGUCCUAACACAUGUCUCCACAUGUGUCCACAUUAUUAGUUCAACAUCUCCAUGUCCAUGACUUGUGAAACAUAGUCAUCAACUAAUACAUGUGCUAGUCUAAUAUUCAUGUGUGUCCUCACAUGAACUCCGACUAGGGACAACUUUAGAAUAACCAUACAAGUAAAGAGUUUCACAUACAAUUCACAUAAUUGCAAAUCAAUUCAAGUAGCCUUUAAUGGAUAUUCAAUGAACACAAUAUACAAAUCAUGGAUACAAAUGGAAUAUCAUCAUCUCUAUGAUUGCCUCUAGGGCAUACCUCCAACAGUUUGUACUCCAACUGGAUAGCAUGUCGUAUGCUGGGUCAUUAAUUGUCCAAAGUAGAAUAACACGUAGAGUGAAAUUCUUCUUUACCUUUGCAUCCCAUGUCUCAACACCGUUGAGCCAAAGAUAUUUUAGCUCAUCGAUGAGGGGCUGCAAAUACACGUCAAUGUUAUUCCUAGACGAUUUUGACCCCGGUAUCAAUAUUGACAUCAUCAAGAAUGGUUGUUUCAAACACAACCAAGGAGGCAAAUUGUAAGGGAUUAGGAUCACAGGCCAUGUAGUGUAUGUCAUGUUCAACAUCCCAAAUGGAUUGAAACCAUCAGAUGCAGGACCCAUCCUUACAUUACGAGGAUCCAAAGCAAAUUCCUUAUAAUUUUCAUCCACUUGCUUCCAUGCCAUAGAGUUAGCAGGGUGCCACAUUUUUCCAUCUUUGACAAGUCCCUCCUUAUGCCAACACAUAUAUUCAGAUGUGGUCGCUCUCAUGUAUAGCCUUUGCAUACGAGGGGUCACUGGAAAAUACCUUAGGAUUUUUUGUGGAACAAGCUUCUUUGGUGUAGCAUCACCACUCGCUGCCUCCUUCUCACUUGAACCAGCAGCUUUCCAUCUAGACUCUCCACAUGUUAGACAUUUAUCCAAGUCAGCAUAUUGCUUUCUAAAUAAAAUACAAUCAUUGAUACAUGCAUGUAUCUUUUUGUAGUCCAGGCCAAGAUCAUGAACUACCCUUUACACUUUAUCCAAAGUAUCUAGAACACAACGACUGUCGAGCAUGCUCCCCAGGCCCACGAGUAGACCUUGGGCAGCCCAUAAGGGACGUACUCGGGCAUGAUCAAAACAAGGGGAUAGGCUUAUCCCGAUCGGACUAGUUAAGUAUGUAUAUGGAAACUACACAGACCAUACCAAGUAGAACUCUGUAAAUGUACUCGACUAGGACUCAGACUUGUAACCCUGCCCUCCCGUGUAUAUAAGGGUGGGCAGGGACCCCCUCAAAGAACAACUCCAAGGUAUCUGAGAUCAAUACAAACAAACAUACAAGACGUAGGGUAUUACGCGAUCUAGCGGCCCGAACCUGUCUAAAUCGCGUUCCUUGCGUCACCAUCGACUCCUUGAUUCUCGAUGGCCCUUACUGCACAAAAUACCACCUAGGGUACCCCUUAGGUGGGUUGCUGGUCUAAAACACUGACAGCUUGCGCGCCAGGUAGGGGAGCUCAUUGAGUUUCUCAGCGUGAGCUCGAUGGUGGCCGUUGUUUUUAAGCCUGUCUUCACCAUUGAAGCGGGCGCAACCUUUGUUUUUGGAUCCUGGCUCUGCAUCACCGACGAUGCUGGUUCGUUUCGGCGCCAAGUCAUCAAUGCCCAGGAGAAGAAAUCGGAGGAUUCGGUCAGGAAAAGCCAAAACUUCAAAGUCAACAAUCCCGAGUUAGACCACGCGUCGGACCCGACCUCAGUUCGGACUAGUCGGUCCCAGUCACUUCCCAAGUCGACUUCGACUACAAAACGGUUUCCACACGGACUCCGCAAUGCAGCCAAAGUCUACCAAAGUUUCCUCACUCGAACUCUACUCGAACACAGGAACAAUGAAGACGACGACUCCGACUCGGUCUACCCCCAGAGAUCGGACUAACAGGACCAGCCAAGGGACUUGUAAUAACUUCGACAUCGCAAGGCAGAUUCAUUCACUGGCCAGGUAUGAGACCAUCCCUUGCUCGCGACUACGAGUCGCGCCUUGUCGCUCACAUAGACAACCUCCCAUUCCAAGAAAGCGUCCCACUCACUUCAAGCCACGAGGAAAGUUCAACUAAAAUUGCAACAUCAAGAUCUGGCAGCUACUACCCAGACAGAGAAGUCUUUGUUAUUACUCAAAAUAACAACCCGGGUACUAGCCAAAAUAGAACCCCCAGGCGAUUAGCACAACUUGACAAUGUUUCAAAAGACGAGUCAACAGCUAACACCCCACAAGAUGAAACUUUCGAUCAAAGGAACCAAAGAAGGAUGCGCAAUACUACUCGGGCUGAGCGAUGACAGACACUAGCUACAAACAUUCCCAUCACGAACCUCGAAAGAACAUUUGACGCAGUACAGGCUCAAGAACAUACCACUCUACUCGCAGCAAUUGCCUCUAUCAACCUCAUAUCAACACUCAUACCUCGAGACAAAGACAACGAAGUCACAGCUCAACUCAUGCAACGCGGUAACGGACUAAUCGCGCAACUCGCAGAGCAAGCUUACAAGCUACUCGAUAAAGAAUCGCCGAUCCUGUCUGUUCCCUACAUCGCAGCUCAUCAAGAAGGCAGUAGAGGUGUUGUAGCUAACGACAACCCCAAUGAAGUGCAAAGGAAUGACAACGAAGUUGUAAACCAACCAAGGCAACACAACCAAGGUCCGAGUAAACACAACGCCCGAAUACACCAGAAGGAUGUUGGAGAAGUCAGCUGCACUAACUUGUUGGAGGUAUGCCCUAGAGGCAAUCAUAGAGAUGAUGAUAUUCCAUUUGUAUCCAUAAUUUGUAUAUUGUGUUCAUUGAAUAUCCAUUAAAGGCUACUUGAAUUGAUUUGCAAUUAUGUGAAUUGUAUGUGAAACUCUUUAAUUGUAUAAUUAUUCUAAAGUUGUCCCUAGUCGGAGUUCAUGUGAGGACACACAUGAAUAUUAGAAUAGCACAUGUAUUAGUUGAUGACUAUGUUUCACAAGUCAUGGACAUGGAGAUGUUGAACUAAUAAUGUGGACACAUGUGGAGACAUGUGCUAGGACUUACCCAACACGAGAAGUAGUUUUCUCUUUAAACAACAUAUACGCUUUGUCCUAAGACCUGAGAUUGUCGCAUGUAUUCAAGAUGUGGAUCGACCUACUUAGGGGCUAUCAAACGCUAUGCCGUAACAGGGUAGUCAUAAAGGUAGCUUUCGGGUUUGUCAAGAAGCAUGCUAUGAGACAUGGUCAAUCAAGAUGGGAUUUGCCCCUCUCUGAUUGAGAGUGAUAUCUCUGGGCCCCUCGAGUGAUCGGAUCUGAAAAUGCAUAGCCAUGCUAAGUACGGUUAAGAGUUAACCUACAAAGGGAUUCCGAAUCACAGGAUCGAGAAAGAGCGGUCGGCUUAAAGCUAGACCAAAUAUCGUGCGGCAAAGGGAAUAACAUGUAUAUUAUAUUAUGAUGGUUCGUCUGAUAUGAUCUUCGUGUGCGUAUAGGAGUUGGCACGUCUUGCUACAGGCCGCUACCGACUAUUGCGCCGAGUAGGAGUACUCGGGCCAUGUCUAUACGUAUCCGAACCCAUAGGGUCACACACUUAAGGGGCUGGAAGCCCAAUUCGGAUCUGAUCCGAGUUGGAUUAGGUUUAGAAGUACUAAUGAGCCUCGGACCCAGAGGCCCGUCAGGAACCUCUAUAAAUAGAGGGGUGGGGGCACCCUAGGGUUUACACCUUUUGGCGAAACACAUCUGCCGCGCCUCCCACGCCCUCGGCUGUUGCAACUCGCGGAUCUAGCAGUCCGACUUGCGAUGCUUCCUCCCUACACGUGUGGAUACCUUGGAGGUGUUGCGCCUGCAGCACUUGGACGAGUCGCCGACGAGCCACGAUGAGCCGCCGAUGAGCGACGACGAGCCGCGGCACGAGGGCGAUCUUGCUGCACGUGGACGAGCUGCUGAGGAGCUGCUGGACGUUGACGUGAUCGACUACAUAUGACUACGUUGAUCGACUACGUACGACUACGUUGAUCGUCUUCACUGCAUCGACGCAAAUCUACAUCUUCCGCACCAGUUGUGCGUCGAGUGGUAAUCCCGUGAUCCUUAUACGGCAGUUCUUCCUGGUUUUACGUGGUAGAAAUUUUGAUCUGCGCUAGUGUAGCCUACCUCGUAUCCCAACAUAACUCUAUAAAAAGUCCUCGCCCUACUCGAAAACAUCAUGAAGUAUCAAAUUUCAGUGAUCUACGAGAAAUUAUCAACAGUCAGCGUGAGUGAGAAGUCGACAACUACAACCACUUUCCUGCUUUCACAAAUUGGGUAAUGAGGACACGACUACCCGAGAAGUUCAAACCAACAGGAAUAACCAAGUAUGACGGCAAGCAAGACCCAAUUCAAUGGCUACGAUGCUACUCGCUGGCAGUCCAAGCAGCUGGGGCCAAUAACGACACCAAAGUUAUCCACUUUCCCAUAUGCAUAGAACCAGCACUGCUGACAUGACCUUCAGGGAGCAUAAGCGAGAAUAACUAAAGUAUAGCCUCUAGUGCACUGUUACUAAGACCAAACAUGCACUUAAUCUGAAAUAGCCUGACAAUGAAUGAGACCUUAAUAGCCUCCUUGCAACCCACAUAUAGUUCCUUCUACGCCUUUGUUAAUAAUUUAAAGAAUUUCUUAUCGCUUUCAUUUGGCUCUUCAGUUCCACUACCUAUGAUGUCUCCAUGUAUUGCUCCACUGAUUAGUGACGAAACCAAAUCCUUCAUAGAAGGACCAUCACCUGAUUCACCAUCAUUGCCAACUCCUUCAAUGAUGCUCUCAUAUGAAUCAUUUUCUUCUCCUUCCCCUUGGAUAAAACUUUCAGAAAAUCCUCUAAAAACCAAAUGACUUCUAACUUUGUUAACUGUUCUGUAUGACAUGGAACGGCAUCUUGAACAUGGACAUGGUGCCGUAUCUCCGUUAGAUGUGCCUGCAAAUCUAGUCUCUAUAAAUUGCUUGAAUCCUUUUUGCCACUCAUCUUAUACAUAAAGCAGUCGCAUCUAACUCCUAUCAUCAUUAUGCGACAUACUUCCAACUCUUUACAAAUCAAAGCCACACACACUGAUUAAUCUCUUGCAUAUAUACAACAAAAGAAAGCACACAAUUAAACUGUGAUUGUACUAGGGUUAUGAAAUUGUAGUGGGAACUAGACCAUAGUGUUUGUUCAAUUGUCCUGUAGUAAAAUUCUUUUGAAAGGGCAUUUGUUUUCCUUCUAAGUUGAGGCACGUUGUAAUACGAAGUUGUAGCUCCAUUUUUUUGGUACAUUUCACUCCAUGAGCAUAUUUAGUUUUUCAUUUGAAAAGCAGAAGAAAAAAUGCAUGUGCUCAUUCACUUGCCCUUCCAUUGUCUGCGGCUAUACUUCUGCUCCUUUGUGUUUGUUUCUCAAAGGACAGUGACAAAUUUAACCUGCAUUCAACUUAUUCUAACUUAACUUGCCAUCCUUGUUCCUGUUAUUCUAAGCUGGUACUACCUGUGUCUAGAUUGUUUUGUAAGGGUAUCUGUGGACAAAUCUGCACAUACUUGGCUUCUGCUCCUGUAAUAGUCCUCGAAUGUUUGUAACAUGAUAUUUGUCUGAACGAAAAUCAAUAGUUUUCUUCCAGGAUUUUUCUUGCUUUGGAGUUUGCAAGUUGCUGGCUACAUUCUCAGUCUCCUUUAGUGAUAGAUAGUGUGCUUAUCUGGUCUUUUUCUUUGCUAGGAAUAUCUGUAUUGUUUACAAAGUAUAACUGUUUGGUUAUCUAUCUUCCUCCUAGAGCCCAGGCUGACAUGUUAAAAUGGGCCAUUUGCAUGUUCGUACAUAUGCCUGAUGCUCUAGGAUUCUCACCACUUACAUGUUUGUUUUUGGAACUAAUGAGCUCAUAAUUUAAGUGUGCAGAGAAUGGGUGUCAUCCUUCAGGAUUUCAGCUUUGGAGCUAACUGAACUUAACUCGAGCGCUUUGGCUAGCACAGUUAAACUUUCAGAAGAGCGUUGUUAUAAAAAAAAAACUUUCAGAAGAGCGUGAAGGAAACACCGAAUCCCAAAUUACCUUAGCAAGCGCCGGAUAGCAGGACCGAUGAAGACAGGUAGCAGCCGAAGCAGAGAGCAGCUCGCCGUGUCAACAAUGUGCGAAUGGCUCUUUUGAUUCCAAACUCACGUCACCAUGACGCGUUAGUUGCAAGUCAGCAAGUGAUUAGUAUUAUACGUCGAGUGAUAAUUCGAGGCACGGUGACAGUUAAUUUUGAAUGACAGCGUAGCUUUAGGUUUAUGGUCAGCAUCUUGCUUUUGCAUUUGAAUUGAAUUCACCAUGAACUAUCCAUAAAGUGCUUUGCAUGAUAUUUUUUAAAUAAUAAUUGAUAUUUUUUCAAAUUUUGUGCCCGUGGCAAAGCACGGGCUAUUACCUAGUAGUAUUAAACACUAUUCUUGAAGACCAUGGUGAAAGAUUGGGGCCUUAUAUGCUGGGGUUUAAUUUUGAGCCAAAACAUCAAUGGUGUUUACUUUACAUCUCCAGAUGUCAAAACAGGUGCAGAUUAGUUCCUGAGGAUGGUUUCAUGGGUACCUUUGGGUCACUCUGUGGCCAUGUCACACUGUCCUCCACUUGGCAGCAGACCUGUAUAUCAGUGGCAUAUUUGCUAUAAUCUCUACCUAAUAUUAAUAUUAAAGUACAGAACAAAACCUUCAUUCUGCCACCUUAGUUUCGACCGUCAUCCUUUGAAAAGUGGUCUAGCACCAUACAACAUGAGUUGAGAACGAACUGAUGGCAACUUUUAGACGAUAAGGAUCCGUAGCAACGCACGGUCAGUUCUACUAGUUUUACUCACUCCCCACAUGGAUAUCAAAGAAUGGGAAACAUAGCAUGCAAUUAAUUGAUUUUGCUGUAGUAGACCAAGUGACUAAAUUAUAACUCAUAAAAGAUUACCAUGCCACCAGAUCAUCACAACUAAAUAAAUUAUAACCACAAUGAAAAAAAUCGACAGCUGCUCCCAAGUCUAAAGGACGAUUAUUGUCGGCUGAUGAGAAAUCAGAAAAAAAUUCGUGCAGGAGCCAUGCAUCAAUUUAACUUGCCAAUUAGCAAUGUUUCCAGAUGAUUAUUAUAGAGGAAUAUACAUGCUGGAAGAGCAAUUUGAUUAGAGGGGCCUGGACAUACGAAUGUAGACUCGCAGUUGAGUUAAUUUGCAUUCUAAUCUAAAUUCACCUGCACGUCGACCGGCCAUCCUUUUCCCGUCAUGCUGCUGCCGCCUCACAGGUGACCACACGGUAUGGAGGACCUGCUGCCACCCUCACCAACGAGUAACACCGGCCGAGCAGUCAGCACACUUGCGCCUAGGAUCGGAGUCAGUGACCUCCAAUCGUGCGAUCUGGAGGUGGUGCUGGGCACACCGAGCCGCCGCUCCCCAGCCCUCUUGUCGCGAGCUCACAAGGAAUUUCAAGAGCGACCUUCUGGAGAGAAUAGAUGAAACACGCACAUGGAGAGAGGCCUCCUGGAGAUACACACGUACAUGUUUUUGCUCAUGCGCGACGUUCAUGUGGUUCUUUGAUGACGUCCUGUCUAGGAUUUGCCCAACUCAAUUUUUGGUCUCCACAUAUGCAAUGCCCACCAAAAAAUUUGUGGCAAAACCUUGAACCAUUGCAACAACAUAAACUACCAUGUACCAACAAAAAUAACUAGUGGCAAUAGCAUUUUCUUUCAUGCAACCACACUUAGUUUUGUUGCUAUAUAGACAAACAUACCGCAACGCACAUGCGGAUUAAGACAACACACCAAAUUUGUGGCAAUACUGUUUACGACUUGCAACCAUUUUGAAUUUAAUGUCAAUAAGCCUUGCAUAUAACAGCGAAAAAAAGUUUAUAACAACGCAAAAUAAUUGUGGCAAAUUUUUCAGCGACUUGCAAUCAUUUUUCAACUGGUGGUGACAACAUUAAUCUUUUGCAAUGGAAUGAUAAAAUGGUGGCAAUAACACCUAUCUAUUGCAACAUAUUUUCUGUUGUUGCCAUGGACUCUGUUGCAAUAGACCAAAAAUCUAGUAGUGGGAUGCAAGGUAUAUAAUGGAGCAGAUUAUUGCCGGUGGUAGUGGCUCCAACAUUCCAAUAACGUACACCGAGGAUGAGGGUAGCCAGGCGGACAUCUUCCUCAACAUGUCCAGUGAUGGCAAUGAUGAGCCCGAGCACCGCGUUGAUGACAAUGCGGUUCAAAACCUUGCCAUGAUGGAAGGUUCCGGCGAGUGUUGACGCCGGAUUGUGACACGUAUGAAAUCGGCGUCAAGGAAAGAGAGGGCUGGCCGACGCUGCAGAUUAAAAGGUCACGAUUGGGAAUCAGCCGAUUGGUUCUACGAUUGGGGAUCGGCCGAUUGGAAGGCUGGAGCGAUUGGGCCAAUAUGGGCUUAAAGUGGAUUAGGAAAAGAAGAUAGAGUAAUAUUAGCCCGCGGGAGUAUAAUAACCAACUCCGAUACGAGUUGUGUUUGUAAAUAUUCGUUUUCGUUUAAGAUUAGAGAUAGAUCCUAGUCGGUUAGGAAAUUGGUUGUAACAGGCUAUAAAUAGCCGCCUUUAGAGAUUUGUAAAGAACACAUCAAUCAAUACAAACAAAUCUACUUUUUCAUUGCACUUUACUUUCAAGUCGGCGACUUCGCCAAUACUUUUCUUCUUUAACGAGUUCAUACGGGUUGGCAGGACUGCAUCAACACGAUCUCCGGCCGAAUCUGUAAGUUUCGUUUAUCGAGUAAUAUCUAAGCUUUAACUUCGGGCGUAUCGCUGUUGUUUCGUUUAGAUUUAUUCACAAGUUAUCGAUAUUUACUUGAAUUAUAGGUUUUAUCUGUUUUUCUAGUCUUAUCACCAGUUAUCCAGCUUGGGACUUGAGCUAUCGGCUUUGUUAUUAUUAUUUUCAUUCAUCAUAUAGCCGAUUAGAUCCGUUUCAAGUGUUGCUUUCGUAGCCUUUUUCAGUUUACUCUAGUAGUUUCCUUCGCAAUCGUUACGUGAUUGUCGGCUGUAUUAUAGCCGAUUAUAUUCAUUUAGCAAAUCAACCAUUCACUGAUACGCUUUUCGAGAUCGGAACCUUUAGUCGAUCGUAACCCCUGGAAUUUGACACGUUGUUCUUCCUUGACAAUCAACAGGUCAGAUUGGCUGGCACGCCGCGCGAACCGCACCAGGGCAAUCACCCGAACAGGAGCUAAGUAGAUUCUCCCGGGUCGUGUGUCUGACGCUGAGGGUCAAUCGGUUGACUUUUAGCGCCAACACACUUUUGGCACGCCCAGUGGGACCAAUACAACCUCUAACAUGUUGAGAGUUGCCGAAAUCUCUGAAGACAACGUCAUCAAAGUGACGGAAGCAGAUCUCAAGGACAAGCAGAAAGAAGAGUUGGAAAAGCAGAUAGAACAAUACCAGAAAACAUGCCUGCAAUCUUUCAGUCGUACCAAGAGCGGGGAGACCAUCAAGAAAGCUCCUUUCCCAACUCCCCGCAAGAUCACCAUCGCUGAAGACUCGGGCAAGAUGUCCGAUAUGGUUCAGCAAUCCGUCUACCAGGCUUUCAUUGAUCAAUCCCCGGUGAUGGCCAACACAGUAUACAAUGUCGUAAUCAGCUCCCUAGCCAAUGGCGUAUCUCAAGGAUAUCAGGGGCCAACAUACGCCCCGCCCAUUACGGCCCCAGUCAGGAGCUUUCCAAGCACAUCUCACUCGGCUCCUCAGCCGAUGCCAACUCAACAUGGAGGACACAAUGCUUCACUGCCUUCAAUGCAUCCAGGAUAUAACGGUGCGCCAUGCUUUCAGUCGCAAGUGCCACCUCAACCUGCUCAAAUUUCCUCCGCGCAAUCAUUGCCAUCAAACUCAGUGUCUUGGGGGGGCACCGUCGACAGCGGCCGUUCUAGAUCAAUCGGCCGGCUCUGGAGGCCCUCCGAUCCAAGCACCAUUCCAAUCGGCCAUUCGGCCGACGGCUCCACAGUAUCAACCUGCCACGUCAGAAAUCGGCAGGGGAACAGACGCUGCUGAGGCUCUCCGAAGUGCAGCGCCGAUGAUGCUGUACGAUGAGAUGGCCGGUUCGCUGCGCCACUAGAUGUCAAUCGCUCAGCCGGCCACGUUACCACAGAAUCCGCCACACGCUUUGAUUCAUGACCCGGUCAUCCCGCCGCCAAUCCACCAACAUGUGCUGAUUCCCAGCCAGUAAUUCAUCAGCAGCAAGUAGACUGGACGGCAAGGAUAGCAGAGGUGAUCCAAGAUCAAUUCGGGUUGAAGCCAAAGGUACAAACUUACACGUACAAAACGCCGUACACACCUGCCUACGAUCUACUGUCGUUUCCCCAUCGGUACAAAGUUCCCGACUUGACUAAGUUUUCGAGGCUGGAUGACACCUCCACCGUGGAACACGUAAACAGAUUCAUCAUCCAAUGUGGAGAGGUGGAUACACAGGAUGCUUUGCAGGUGCGCCUAUUCUCAUCGUCCCUGUCCGGGUCGGCUUUCCAGUGGUUCACUACGCUUCCGCCCAAUUCCAUCGUCACCUGGGCCGACUUGGAAAAAUAGUUCCACAAGUACUUCUACGCGGGAGUCCAUGAGAUGAAGCUCUUAGAUUUGACCAGCCUCAGGCAGAGGAGCGACGAGCUCGUGACCAAUUAUGUGCAAAGGUUCAGAGAAGUCAGAAACAAAUGCUACACCUUGGUCCUGACCGAUGUGCAGCUGGCUGACAUUGCCUUCCAAGGCCUUCUGCCAAAUAUCAAGGAGAAAUACGCUUCCCAUGAGUUCAAGAGCCUGAGUCAGAUCGUCCAGCGAUUGUCCGGUCAAGAAGUACGCCCCUUUGAUCAGCGAAGAAAUUUUCUGAAGAAGAUGGCAUACUUAGAGGGAUCUGAAUCUGAGGAGGAAGUGGAAAUCAGCCUAGCAGAGUGGGUUAAGGGAAAGAAGCCGAUAUUGUGUCCUUUCGGAAAAAAGAAACCGAAGGUGUUCGGUUUUGACACGUCAAAGGCUGACAAAAUUUUUGACCUACUUCUCCAAGAGGGUUAGAUCAAACUCUCACCUUAUCAUAUGAUCCCAUCGGCCGGACAACUAAAAAAAGAUGAAGUAUUGCAAAUGGCACAAUGCUACAUCCCAUGACACAAACGAGUGCAAAAUCUUCCGACAGCAGAUACAAUCGGCCAUUGAGCAAGGCAGGCUCAAGUUCGAGGUUCCGACAAAACCAGCAAAGCCAAUGAAGAUCAAUCAGCAUCCUUUCCCCACUAACAUGGUUGAUACGGGAAGAAACGCGCUUCAAACCAAAGUGCUGAUGUCGAAUCGGCUAAAAAGAGAGGCGCUGUGGACCCCAGGAAUCAAGCUACGAUCGAAGACGUCAAGGGGAAGAGACAGGUUGACGAUGAGGGUGAAGGAUCAAAAAGGCCGCACAGACCUAUUACCUCCCAGUUCUUGCUCAACAAGUAUCAGCGGCAACAGGAUAGUUCGAGAUAUCGUGAAGAAAUAAUACGACGACACGAAGAUCAUUGGCGAUGUCCUUUCUUCAUCCAUUGCUGGGAAAAUAACCUCAGGUUGCCAUCGGUUGGGUCUGGAUUCCCCAUAGGACCUAGACAGAUGAGGCCAGGGGCUUCGGAAAGGCGAAUGGUGAUUUGGUGUCUAACCGCCUAAAAAGGUAAAAAGGAAAGAACUAAGAAUGGAUCUAAAACAAAUGCCUGGGCGGUAAAGGUAAAAAGAAAAAGUUUCGGAUGAGUACCUCCUGGAUGAAAGUCAUCGUCGCCGAUGGGGCUGUUGGUGGGGCUACCGCCACUGGAGCCUCUGUUGCUAAUGGAGCUGCUGCCGCCACUGUUGGAGCUGCCGCUGGAGUUUCUGUUGCUGGUGAGGUUGCUGAUGGUGCCGCCAUUGGGAAGAUGGAGCAGAAUGCAGAUGAAAAGGGGGUCGCUGGAAGAUGUGGUUGGAAGCCAAGAGGGCGCUGGAAGAAGAUGGAAACUAGUGCACCAAGAAGAAAGUUACUGGCUUGUGAAGAAGAAGUACGGGGCGUGCCAGUAUUUAAAGGCAGUCCGAGAAGGGGUAAAGGCGGGAUUUUUACCGCGCCGUCUACGCGAAUUUUGGGGGAGUGGUUGGCUCAGGCGCCUGUUUCGAAAAGAUUGCAAUCAUCAGGUAGGAGACCACGAAACGGAAGGAGAUUUUUUGAUGCAUUUGCUUCGGAGGAGAAGUUCAAAAGGAAUUUUGAAGUAAAAGUUAUGUUUUACUCCGAAACUGGGGGCAUGUGUUGACGCCGGAUUGUGACAUGUAUGGAAUCAGCGUCAAGGAAGGAGAGGGCUGGCUGACGCUGUAGAUUAAAAGGUCACGAUUGGGAAUCGGUCGAUUGGUGCUACAGUUGGGGAUCAGCCGAACAGGAGCUAAGCAAAUUCUCCCGAGUCAUGUGUCCGAUGCUGAGGGUCAAUCGGCUGACUUUUAGCGCCAAAAAGUGUGAUUGCCCUGGUGAUUGCCGAAAAGUCAGCCGAUUUACCCUCAGUGUUGGACACAUGACCCAGGAGAAUCUGCUUAGCUCCUUGUAACGGAUCUAAUCGGCUAUAUGAUGAAUGAAAAUAAAAUAACAAAGCCGAUAGCUCAAGUCCCAAGCUGGAUAACUGGUGAUAAAACUAGAACAACAGAUAAAACCUAUAAUUCUAGUAAAUAUCAAUAACUUGUGAAUAAAUCUAAACGAAACAACAGCGAUGCGCCUGAAGUUAAAACUUAGAUAUUACUCGAUAAACGAAACUUACAGAAUUGACCGGAGAUCGUGUUGAUGCAGCCCUACCAACCCGUACGAACUUGUUAAAGAAAAAAAGUUUUGGCGAAGUCGCCGACUUGAAAGUAAAGUGCGAUGAAAAAGUAGAUUUGUUUGUAUUGAUUGAUGUGUUCUUUACAAAUCUCUAAAGUCGACUAUUUAUAGCCUGUUACAACCAAUUUCCUAACCGACUAGGAUCUAUCUCUAAUCUUAAACGAAAAUGAAUAUUUACUAACACAACUCGUAUCAGAGUUGGUUAUUAUACUCCCAUGGGCCAAUCUUUCUCUAUCUUCUUUUCCUGAUUCACUUUAACCCCAUAUUGACCCAAUCACUCCAGCCUUCCAGUCGGCCGAUCUCCACCAACUCUGUCCGCCAAAAUACUGUAGCGCCAAUAAGCCGAUCCCCAACUGUAGCACCAAUCGGCCGAUUCCCAAUCGUGACCUUUUAAUCUGCAGCGUUGACCAGCCCUCUCCUUCCUUGAUGUCGAUUCCAUACGUGUCACAAUCCGGCGUCAACACAUGCCCCCAGUUUCGGAGUAAAACAUAACUUUUACUUCGAAAUUCCUUUUUAACUUCUCCUCCAAAACAAACGCAUCAAAAAAUCUCCUUCCGUUUCGCGGUCUCCUACCUGAUGAUUGCAAUCUUUUGGAAACAGGCGCCUGAGACAACCACUCCCCUGAAAUUCGUGUAGACAGCACGGUAAAAAUCCCACCUUUACCCCUUCUCGGACCGCCUUUAAAUACUGGCACGCCCCGUACUUCUUCUUCACAAGCCAGUAACUUCCUUCUUGGCGCACUAGUUUCCAUCUUCUUCCGGUGCCCUCUUGGCUUCCAACCACAUCUUCCGGCGACCCCCUUUUCAUCCGCAUUCUACUCCAUCUUCCCAAUGGUGGCACCGUCAGCAACCUCACCAGCAACGGAAACUCUGGUAGCAGCUCCAACGGCGGCGGCAGUAGCUCCAUCGACGACACAGGCUCCACUAGCGGCCUCAGUGGCGGUAGCCCCACCAGCAGCCCCGUCAGCGACGAUGACUUUCAUCCUGGAGGUACUCAUCCGGAACUUUUUCUUUUUACCUUUACUGCCUAGGCAUUUGUUUUAGAUCCAUUCUUAGUUCUUUCCUUUUUACCUUUUUAGGCGGUUAGACACCAAAUCACCAUUCGCCUUUCCGAAGCCCCUGGCCUCAUCUGUCUAGGUCCUAUGGGGAAUCCAGACCCAACCAAUCUGAUAAAUUAGAGACUCACAGAAUUCCAUUUAAACAAUCCCCAAUGGAGUCGGACCAGUGGUCAGGCACCUUUAGAUCUUGGCCGAAUGAAACCCCCGGUUGGAAAGAAUGGUAUCAAAGGAUACCCAACUCCAAGAGAGUUCAAUGGGACGAACAAAAAAUCAACCAUUGCAUCAAUCUUUCUCUGUCUCAGAUGGAGAGAAAUGAGCCCUUGGUGAUAGCAGCCUCCUACUUCUGGUCUGAUGCCCUUAAUGCGUUCCUCUUUGGCAAUGGGCCUAUGACCCCCACUUUGGCCGUUGUUGUGAUGUUGACCGGCCUUAACAUUUCUUCCCUGGAUACCCCCUUCCAUUAUCUGGUCAAGCCGACCCAUUGGCUGGAGACAAAAGAAAUCGGCGGGUGGAAGGGGUAUAUCAAGAACAACAUGAAGACCGGGACCGUUUCAGAGAGAGAAUAUGCAGCCUUCCUGAUGAUGUGGUUUGAGAAACACAUUUUUUGUGGCAGGGCAGUUGGUCCGUCUUCCAUCACACAAGCUUUGGCCAAAGCAUUAUCAAGAGGAGCCUCUGUCCCCCUCGGGAAGCAUCUACUAGGAUCGGCAUAUCACAUGCUGCACCAAAUCGGCGUCAAACUAUCCAACGGAGAGCCGAUUGGAAACCCAGGUGGCCCCUGGUGGUUAAUCAAUCUCUGGCUCAAUUUGUAUAUGAGCAAGAUCUCACAGCAUCGGGUGGAGCACAUGACAUUUCCCAACAUUGAGUCAGAAGAAAACCCCACCGUACGGCGCCAAUGCACUUCUUUCGCGUGAAGCAGCAUCAGUCUUCCCUGGUUGCUAGCUCACUGCCACCAAAGUAGCUGAAUAUUUCAUAUGUUUUUACAACGGCUUCAGUGAAGAAACCACCAGCUGGUAUCCGUAUCAGAGGACAGAGCCGCUUUUUGAACUCCCCUUUUGUUAUGAUUCGACGUCCAACACCUUUGAUAAUGAUAUCAUGGACAUCUUGAUCAAACCAAGGAUCUUACCGGUGAACUUCUUCUCGAGGAAGGAUGCCCCUACUUACGAGUUUUACAAUCCAUCCGUUGCAGCACGGCAGUUCAGCCUAGGUCAGCUGCCGAUUUAUGUUUUCUUCGCCGGUCAUGCAAAAUUCUGAGAUGAGCUCACCAAAGGUCUUGAUUACAGUCGGCUGUGCGAUCGAGUGCCCGACUCCAGCACCAUCGAUCUGACCAAUUGGAUACUAGCACCUUUUGCUAUCCAACAGUUCAAACUAUGGUGGGCAGAAUGGAAACAGCACCUCUUUUGUGCAUUUCCUGCGAUAUACUGCAACAUCCUGGAUCCCGACAACAUUGACUCGAAUGCAGAGGUAUCGUUCUUCCCUUAGCCGAUUUCGAUGCCAUUUUCCUUUUUAUACUACUAACUCUUAUUUCUUUUACAGUCCGAGAGUUAACUCCCUCCAAGGCGCAGCCGGAGUGGCAGGCCGAUAGAGAACCGUUACCCGUAUACGAAAUUCCCACUCAUCGGCCAUCACACCCCAUCCAUUAAUGACAUCACCACUGGCUGAUUAAAUCAGACACUGAAGAAAACCUUAAAGAAGACAAGCCACCGAGUGCGCGCCCGCACGGAAUCGGCCGAUCAGUCUGCGGCAGCAUCGACGGAAUCUUUGGCUGCGUCGAUUCUCCCGGUCAUCGAGGAAGUUGAUCCCCAAGCUACUACAGAAGCUGGAGCGGCCGCUGCAUCACUGCUAUUAGAAGCCAUUCAGGUAACCUCGUGUUCACAUCCUCUAGAGUAUUCUCCCGAUACUGACUUCUCCUUUACAUUAGGCCGCACAAGUUGCCCCAGUGCCUCCAUAGCAAUCGACGAUACCCCAAGCAGAAAUCGGAGCACCAAUAAUUCCUUCCACUGAGGUAAAGAAUCCCUUAACUCAAUUUUUUUAUACUUAAUCAAAAUCUUGACCGAUUCUGAUGCAGGCUACCCUUGGUACGUCAAUUGUACCUUCUCAACAGCCAUCAGUCAGGGAAACCACGGAGGUACGGCAAUCACCACAUGUCAUCAGAUCUAACCAUCUAUAUUAUACUCAUAAGAACUUGGUCCUCGUACCUUUCCAGGAGGCCAGUCCGAGCAGGACACCAAUAAUCAUCGAAUCCUCCUCCUCCGAGGAGCUGGUCGCACCAGUUCCUGAACCAAGGACAGCACUCCCAUUGACGCAAACAAAAGAAAUCCGCUUCAAAGAGGUAAGAGACUUGUCACCCGAAUUGGCCGAUUUCCCUAUUACCAUCAGCUAAUCGAUGCUUAUCAUUUUACUUUCUUGCAGGAACAAGAUACCCCCAAUAAUAGUCUCUUCUCCUUCACGGUCGCACUUUCUGAUGAUGAGGAGGUUGCUUCACGUCAAGUCACUCUGAGCUCAAUUCCUGAUGACGUCCGCGCCAAGCUCGAAAGCAUAAGGACCUUCCUCCAAGAUGACAUCGGCCGAUUAGUGGAGGAUGCCUCGCCGAUUCGGCAACUCUUUAGCGAUAUCAGAGGCCAGGUUCCCGAGGAGGCAGAAGAAGCUCUGGCACCCGCCGCAUAUAUUGAAUCAAUGCGGAUCCCAGUGUUCAGGGCCUUGCGCCAUAUGGCUGAUCGCGUCAAGUUAGCUAAAGCUCGUGAGGAGGAAGGCUCUUACAAGCACCGAGCCCAAGAGGUACAUCAUCGAAUCAAUUUCCUUGAAAACUCCCGCCCGGAUAUUGUUGGUGCUAUAGAUCACCUCAAGCGCUGAAGGGCAGAGCUCGCCAAGGAGAUGGAGCAGGUGACCAAGGACAUAGCCAUUGAAGAGAAGAGACUCCAAGACCUCCCUUCUGCCAUCGCCGAACUGAAGCAAGAGAGACAAAGUCUAGCCCAUGAGGCAAUCAGACUCCAUCACCAUAUGCCAGAAGUCCCAGGAUCGGUCGAUGACGACCAACGAAUUUUAGACUUGACCGAUCAAGUUAGGCAACCAGCGAUUGCGGCCAUUAAUGCCCUCCUUGGGUGAACUGUAAAGGUGAUGGCUGCUCUGUAAAAACAUUAAUAUCUUUUGACUGUUUGACGUGCGAAUCCAAUCCUGACCCGUCCUUCAUGGUGGAUUUUCAUUUAUUACCCCUUUUAAUCUGAUGGGACGUGUCUUACCAAACUCUCGCCUCUUUUCUUUCCAUAAGUACGAGACCCGAUAUUGUUUCCACAGGCAUUCGCCUUGCUCGUCCUCUUCUCCUCUAGUAGUUCAUACCACCAGACUAUUCACCAAGAUGUCUUCUUCAUCUUCCUCCUUUUCCUCCUUCUCCGUCAACUAGGUACGAGAUCUUCCUACGCCCUCUAUUCCUCGGUCUGACAUUUUAACCGGUCUGACGUCGAGCGGUUAUCCGUUAAUUUUUUCAGCCGAGACGUCUUAGUCCCGAACUGGAACGGGCAAUCGAGAUCAUGCACUCUGAUGAACCGUUGUCGCAGGAGGACAAGAACUUGAUCAGAGCCCAUCGUGAAGAAAUCAGAGAUCAUGUCCCUGCUGAAGUCCAGAGGAUCUGGGAUCAUAUCGAUGCCAACUGCUCCAGGCGGCCGCCAAUCGAAAGGAGUCAUCCACUCCCCCGCCUAGUCACCCUUGAAGACGUCGUAGCGGGAACGUCUCAACGACCGCUUGAUCGGAGCCAUCCUGUUCCUCGCCAAGUUGAGGCUGAAGCCGCGAUGAAAUAUCUAGAGGAAAGGAGCAUCCGCCUCUAGAUAGAGUUAGGUUGGGUAGAGAGGGAGCUUAAGAAAAAGCGUGGUUAAUAGAUGUGUUGGUACUUUUAGUUCUUAGGGUGACUUGUACCGUGUCAGCCGUGUACCCCAUCGUUCACACCAAAUAAUAAAUCGGCCAACUCGGACAAAUGUUUUGUUCUCAAGGUGAUUUUAUCUUUGCAUCGGCUAUAAGAUCUAAUAGGAACUGGCCGCGCCAUCUUGAUACACUUCAUAACUAGUUAUGCAUCGACCCAUAUACUAGGAUAAUAUCUCUUCCAGUACCUCCCGUUCAAGGCCCUUGUGAAUUCCUCUGCUUCGAUCAUCUCCAGUAUGUAUGCGUUUCCCGGAGCGCAUCGGCCAAUUUUAUAUGGACCUUCCCAAGUGGGCGACCAUUUAAUGAACUUGGGAUCCUUGGAUCCUAUUGGCAGUACCAACUUCCAUACCAAUCUCCUUGGGAGAAUUGCUUGACUUUGACCUUCUUGUCGUACCACCUGGCCACCCUCUUUUUAUUCUCCACAAUGCUGAUCAGAGCCCUUAAUCGUUGACCUGCCAAAUUGUCGACCUCUCCUUUCAUGAGGAAGGAAUAGUCAUCGGCCGUCAACUGAUCUUGAAGCGAUGUGCGUCUUGACCCCAUCCUUAAUUCCCAAGGCAACACUGCCUCGUGACCAUACACCAAUUGAUAAGGAGAUAUUUUAGUAGCCCCGUGGCAGGCCAUCCUGUAAGCCCAUAAAGCCUUGGUCAAACAUAAGUGCCACUUCUUAGGUUGUUGCUCAAUCUUCCUUUUGAUCAACUUAAUUAUCCCCUUAUUGGAUGAUUCAGCUUGGCCGUUAGCUUGAGCAUAAUAUGGAGAAGAAUUUAGCAACUUGAUUCGGCAGUGAACUCCUCGAAUUCUCCCGAAGUGAACAUCGUCCCUUGGUCGGUUGUGAUGGUUUGAGGAAUACUGAAACUAUAAACAAUGUGGUCCCUUACAAAAUCGACCAUAGUGGCCGAUGUCACGGCCUUCAAUGGGAUUGCCUCCACCCAUUUGGUAAAGUAGUCAGUGGCUACCAAUAUGAACUUGUGCCCCUUACUUGAUGGAGGAUAAAUCUGUCCGAUGAGGUCUAUUCCCCAACCCCUGAACGGCCAUGGCUUGAUUAUCGGAUUCAUAGCCGAUGCCGGCGCACGUUGUACGUUGCCAAACUUCUGAUAGUCUUGACACCCUUUAUAAUAUUUGAAGCAGUCUUCGAGUAUCGUCGACCAAUAAUAUACAUUAUUCCUAAUCAUCCACUUCAUUUUAUGAGCCGAUUGGUGAGCUCCGCACACGCCUUCAUGGAUUUCUCCCAUCAGGAUCUUUGCUUUUUCCGUCCCCAGGCAUUUGAGCAGAACUCCAUCAAUCAUUCAGUAAAACAAAUCAUCAUCGAGUAGUACAUACUUUGUGGCUUGAAAACGCACUCGCUGAUCCACUUUCUUGGACGGGUCCCUUAAGUAAUCAGCGAUCUCCUUUCGCCAAUCGUCGGCCGCGAGUUCCAGAAUCAUGGCGCCCUGAAUCGACCGAUACCCGGACGAGUGUUGGGCAAGCCUAUUGGCCUCUUCAUUAUAAUUUUUGGGAAUAUGCUCAAUAACUGCAGUCUUGAAUUCUUUUAAAAGUUGGAGACAAUCUUCGUAGUAAAUCCUCAGGACAUCAUCUUUACAUUCUGAUCUUCUUGUUAGCUGGUCUACGAUGAGCAUGGAAUCCCCAAAAAUCUCCACAGCGUCGGCUUUGUUCUCUCUCAAUAAUUGAAUGCCUUUUAGGAUAGCUCGAUAUUCCGCCUGAUUAUUGGUUGCGGAAGCUUCUAUCGCCAGAGAGAAAUCAUAACUUGCUCCCUGAGGCGAUAUGAGAACGAUGCCGAUUUCUGAUCCGGUGCCACAUGACGAACCAUCAAAGUAUAGAGUCCAUGGAGUCAUCUCAACGACAGCGAUUUCUGGUCCGCAGUGCUAGGCCACAAAAUCGGCCAUGACUUGACCUUUGACAGCUUUGGUUGAUUUGUACCUUAGGUCAAACUCUGACAGAGCCAGGAUCCAUUUUCCAAUUCGUCCUUUCAAAAUCAGCAAUGAUAGCAUGUCCUUUAUCACAUCAUCUUUGCAUACGACUAUGCACUCUGCCGACAAAAGGUAGUGCCUGAGCUUGGUGCAUGAGAAAUAAAGACAGGCAUAGCCGUUCUAUCGGUGAAUAUCUUGUCUCGGUGUCCAGAAGUCUUCUGCUAACAUAAUAUAUCACCCAUUCCUUUCCUUCGAACUCCUGUACCAGCGCCGAUCCGAUGGCCCGUUCAUCGGCCGAUAAGUAUAGUCUGAAUGGCUUGUCAACUUGUGGUGGGACCAAUACAGGUUGCGAGAUCAAAUAUUGCUUGAUGUCUUCCAGUGCUUUCUGCUGCUCCUCUCCCCACACAAAUUUCUAGUCGGGCUUUAAUUUCAAUAACGGCGUGAAGGCUUGAAUACGCCCGGACAAGUUGGAUAUGAAUCUUCUAAUAAAGUUUUAUGUCCGGGCUGCUGAUAUGGCCGAUAUCCUAGUUUUAUGGGCAACCGGUGUUCAACAAUGGACCGGUCUAGGCCAGGCAUCUCAUGGUAUUCCCAAGCAAAACAAUCUUUAAAUUCCUUUAAGAAGUUUGUCAAUUUACACUUGUAUUCGGGAUCCAAGUUAGCACUAAUGUACGUUAGCCUUGGUUUGGUGCCAUCACCUAAAUCUAUCAUCUCUAAUGAAUCGGCCGACGUAAACCCGUGCCCCAGCUUUCCAUCUUCUCGGACGAACUGAUCCAUCUAAUCUGAAUCUUCAGAGCCGACUGCUCGGAUCAGCUGUGGGCCAAAAUCGGACACUUUCAGGAAAUCGCUGUCCCAAGUUCUUCUGGAUAUGCACUUGACAUGUUCGCAGCUCCACUGCUGCGUAUCGGCCGCAGCAACACUGUAGGCGGAAUCGGCGGUGACUACCUCGAUGUUCUUACCGACCCAUUGUACGAGGCAUUGGUGCAUUGUAGACGGGACGUAGCAAUUCGCGUGUAUCCAAUCGUGUCCGAGCAACAUGUUGUAGGACCCUUUGCCAUUAAUAAAGAAAGUAGUGGGAAGGGUCUUACUGCCGAUGGUGAGGUCGACACAGAGCGCCCUGCGCGCGGGAGACACGUUGCCCUCGAAGUCCUUGAGCAUCAUGUCCAUCUUGGUUAGAUCCUCGUUGCUUUUACCCAGCUUCCGGAACAUGGCGUACAGCAUGAUGUUGACUGCAGCGCCUCCAUCUACUAGCAGCCUAGUGAUAGGUCGACCAUUGACGUGUCCUUUGAGGAACAGUGCCUUGAGGUGUUGCCGUUUUUCAUCUUCGGGUUUCUCAAAAGUGGCUGUCAUUGGCUCCAAAGCCAAUUGUGCCAUCUGUUCCUCCAUCUACGUCGUGUCGUACCGAUCGGCGGGAGCCAUGAACUCCAUUGGCAAGAUGUACACCAUGCUGAUGUCAGCUGUCGAUUCUUGGUUGCCAUCUUCUUCAUUGUUGUUUCUUUUGGGGUGCUAGACUCAAGACCUGUCGUCUUUCUUAUCCACCACCUGCCUCUGCUCUUCUUCCUUUUGUUCCCAUUGGCGCAGGCGUUGGAUCCUUCAUUUUUUGGAUUUGGUUAAUCCAUCAGGGUACCACCUGGGGUUCACCGGUUUGGUCGGUGGCCUGACGCGCUCCCAGUCUGGUUCUCGUCCUAGGGGGUUUUCAUCUAACACCCUAGCAUCAGCCAUCUCCUCUAGCCGAUCGUGUGUGCUGACUCUGUGUAACGGCCUCGGACAAAAUCCUUCACGUCAAUCUUAAUCCGAGUCCCUGAUCACCUGUCUUAGUUUUUUUUUCCAAGCCUAAGUGUUCAACCUCCAGAUCUUCCAACCCCUGCGAUCCGACCCCUCGCCGUGGUCUCCCCAGUUCCGACCCCGCCGACCCCCAACCCACCGUCGGAUCUUUCUAAGCCAUCCCGCAGCAUCACCCUUCAGUCCGAGCAGUGGACCACCGAGACUGACCGGUGGGCCCAUGAGAUCUUUUCCCCCAGAUCUCCCGCGACAGGCGCACUCGAGUUGCAUGCCCGCUUCAGAGUUCCCCCGCCACGUGGCUCAACUCCUCCGACGUCCGUUGCUCCGCCUCGUCUUCGGCCCGCGACCGGGUGGAUUCUCGCGCCCCCUUCCCCAAUCACGGCGGAAGCUCCUUUGCCACCCUUUCUGCAGCACCUCACCACCCGCGCCCAUCAUCACAUUGCCAGAUCCCGGCCGUAGAGCCCGAUGCCGCCUGUCUUUUCCGUCACCUCGCCACUGUCGCACCGCCCCGGUCUUCGCUACGCGAAGAUUCCUCCUCCGCCAACCCAGACCGCGGCAGCGACAGCUCCUUUUCCCGCCCUGUCAGAAGCCGCCCCGACAAUCUGUUGCUCCGCGCUCGCCCGCGUGCCCGCAGCCGCCUGUCUUCUCACCUGUGCGCCCUUGUUCCUAGCGCCGUUAUCCCGGUCACUUCCAUCAGAUCCACCGCAUGACGACGCCCACCUCCGCCAAAUCUCAACCACCGGCAAACCCGCGCUUGCGUCGCCCUAACGUCAGUGCCCAAUGACCACUGGCGUCAUCCCCGAAGUCCUGCUCCACCGCCCUCGUCGCGCAAUCGCCGCCCGGGCAGAGCACUCCAUCGUUUCUUCCCCAGCCUUCGCGCCUCUCCUCCCUCCCUCUUCCACGCCGCUAUAAAAGGGAAUGCAGAAGUUCCGCCGGAGUUCCCCCUUUUUCCUUCGCUGCCAUCUCUCUUACUCCCUGUUCGAGCUCACAGCACCACCAGCUAAGUCUGAGGAACUCUCCUCUCUGCUCAAGCACCGCCGCCGCCGGAAUACCGCCGGACAUCCUCACCACACCCAAGCCAUUAGUCCUUUCCACCCCAAGCCUUCUCUGUAAGACGAAGGUAGGCUGCCGACCCCUGCUCGCUUCGUCCGACCCCUCUUAUACGCCCGACCCUGGUUCCGUCUCGCCGGACCCUGUCUGUUCCGCCGACCCUUCUCCGCCUCGCCUGAGGGCUCGGCUGUAUCUUUUCUUUGAACCGAGGGUGUAUGUGUAAAACUUGGGGACCUUUCAGCGUUGAGUCUGAGGACCCCUAGUACAUCAAAUCCUCUAGAUUAAGGGUCAGAUCAUAAGUUUCUUCCUUGCACCCCUUACAUCCUGAUCUCCAUCAACUCCAUUGAACCUCCCCACCCUCCUGUAACUUGUCGCAAGUUUCUGGGCUCAAACUUGCAAGUGUUGCUGUUGAAAUAACUGUCUAUGCUAACGAAUGCAUUGCAUUUGUGUAGAACUGCGUCUUGCCGACGGCUACUAUGAGCUGCACCCGGUGCCAGAAGACGAUGGUGUAGCUGAGCUCCUGCUUCCCGAAGCCGAAGCUUCCCAAGAAGACGUGCAGUUCCCUUCCUCCUUGCUCGAAGGCAAGCCCCGGAUGCAUGAAUCCCCUAUGUUUUACCAGACUUGCGCAUGCCUUCUUUAACAUGCUUGUGCAUUUACAUAUAGGAUUUGUUUGGAACCCUAGAUGCAUAACUUAGCUCCCUUGAUCUGAACACUAGCUGUUGGACCGAGUAGAUGCUUUGCUUAAAUAGGAAACGGUAAAAGCCGAGUUAUUCCCUGUCACUCGCGAGUUGUAGGAGUUGGAUGUUUACCCUUCUGUCACAACUAUAAGGAUGAUGGACGGGGCAGGGUUUGAGGUAACCCUUUGGUGGUCGGUUGAUCGCCCUGUCUGUCUAUGCAACUUGCUAAGGCCCGACAGUGGUGGUGUUCGUGAUCAAGUGUUUGAAAGUACUAAUCUCAUACCUAGUAUGGGAUGGGGAAGCCUAGUACCUGAUUGAACUAGGGCGUGGCUUAUACCCCUGCUGUCCCUGGAACGAGGUUCCCAUGGUGCGUCAUGUGGGUGCAAGUGCGGUCACAGUACGGCAGAGGCCGGGACUGUGGAGCAUUGCAUGCCAAGGGAAGUUUGGACCUGACACGCGCCUGGGAAUUGAUGGGGAUGGCCAACACAGGAAGCGGCCCUGGUGGUACGCGGAUGUCGUGAGAUUAGGUUCGCCAUGCAUGGUUAAGAAACUCGAAUCGAUUCGUCUGCCUCUCACAGUUUGAGACUGCUUGAUCGCUAUGUCACCCUGAGUAAGUAAGGAAUCUGAUGAUGACAUGGUUUUGUUGAUGAUGUAUAUAACUUUUGGUUGGUUCUAUGUUUGCUUAGAAUAGGUUGCAAACUUAGAACGGAUAAUGAACUUAGAACCGGAGCUAAAACUUGAAAGUAGGGAUACAUCUAGCGCUUUUGGCAAACAAACCCCUCAGCCAAAAAGCCUUGCAUGUCUAGAAGAGGUAGUUUAGAGCGCUCCCUGUCGGUUAAGUCUUGUUGAGCUUAGUAGCUCAGCCUUGUUGUGGCUCUUCUUUUUCAGGUGAAGUUGUUGCUUCUGAGCCCCCUUCUGCUGGCACUUGGCCGCCCCAACUCCCUCCGGGUUGGACGGUUGAGUGGGAUCCCUCCUCAGACGGUGAGGAGAGGGAUCAUUGACGUCCCGGUUGGUCUCACCAGGGAUGUCCGACCCCGACGAAGUAGCUUCCGCUUGUUGUUUUAUCUUUUGUGGUUUUCUUUCAAACCUUGUAAACUCUGAUGAUGUUUAUAGCCAAACUAGAUGGUUAAAUUGCUUAACUUAGUGGACUUGCUGUAUUCUCUGGAACCGCUCACCUUCAUGUGGGUUUGCUAUUCGGUCCUGUUCAAGUGGUUAAAUCGGAUGAAAUCCGACGGCACUUCGUGUUUACUUGGUUAAGGCAUGAGUGUCGCAUAUCAGGCGGCUUAAUCAUGUUUAAUCAAGCAAAUCCGAAGUGGAUCCGCCACACUCUGCCCCCCGGUCGGUCAUGCUGUUCGCGUCUGUCCCUUGGCCGAUCGUAUCAGUCAACGCUGCCCCCCAGUCGAUCACGCACUGAAAGGCACCGAUCCUCUUGCUCGCGCCAGUUUCUGCUAAUUGGCUCUGAUCCUCUAUCCCUUGAGCGAGAUCUCUUGAACGGAUGAUUAUUGCGAUAUGGACCGCUGCACUCUGGCCAAUUAUUAGCCGAUGGCAACCUGAGGUUAUUUUCCCAGCAAUGGAUGAAGAAAGGACAUCGCUAAUGAUCUUCGUGUCGUCGUAUUAUUUCUUCACGAUAUCUCGAACUGUCCUGUUGCCGCUGAUACUUGUUGAGCAAGAACUGGGAGGUAAUAGGUCUGCGCGGUCUUUCCGAUCCGUCACUCUCAUCGUCAACCCGUCUCUUCCCCUUGACGUCUUCGAUCGUAGCUUGAUUCCUGGGGUCCAUAGCGCCGUUCUUUUUAGCCGAUUCCGACGUCAGCACUUUGGUUUGAAGCGCGUUUCUUCCCGUAUCAACCAUGUUAGUGGGAAAAGGAUGCUGAUCGAUCUUCAUUGGCUUUGCUGGUUUUGUCGGGACCUCGAACUGGAGCCUGCCUCUCAAUGGCCGAUUGUAUCUGCUGUCGGAAGAUUUUGCACUCGUUUGUGUCACGGGACGUAGCAUUGUGCCAUUUGUAAUACUUCAUCUUUUUAGCUGUUCGGCCAAUGGGAUCGUAUGAUAAGUUGAGAGUUUGAUCUGCCCGUCUUGGAGGAGUAGGUCGAAAAUUUUGUCGGCCUUUGACGUGUCAAAACCGAACACCUCCGGUUCCUUUUUUCCGAAAGGACACGAUAUCGACUUCUUUCCCUUAACCCACUCUGCUAGUCCGAUUUCCACUUCCUCCUCAGAUUCAGAUCCCUCUAAGUAUGCCACCUUCUUCUGAAAAUUUCUUCGCUGAUCAAAGGGGCAUACUUCUUGAUCGGACAAUCGGUGGACAAUCUGACUCAGGCUCUUGAACUCCUGGGAAGCGUAUUUCUCCUUGAUAUGUGGUAGGAGGCCUUGGAAGGCAAUGUCGGCCAGCUGCGCAUCGGUCAGAACCAGGGUGUAGCAUUUGUUUCUGACUUCUCUGAACCUUUGCAUGUAAUUGGUCAUGGGCUCAUCGCUCCUCUGCCUGAAGCUGGUCAAAUCUGAGAGCUUCAUCUCAUGGACUCCCACGUAGAAGUACUUGUGGAACUAUUUUUCCAAGUCAGCCCAGGUGACGAUGGAAUUGGGCGGAAGCAUAGUGAACCACUGGAAAGCCAACCCGGACAGGUAUGAUGAGAACAGGCGCACCCACAGAGCAUCCUGUGUAGCCGCCUCUCCACAUUGGAUGAUGAAUCUGUUUACGUGUUCCAUGGUGGAGGUGUCAUCCAGCCCCAAAAACUUAGUGAAGUCGGGAACUUUGUACCGAUGGGGAAACGGUAGUAGAUCGUAGGCAGGCGGGUACGGCGUUUUGUACGUGUAAGUUUGUACCUUUGGCUUCAACCCGAAUUGAUCGUGGAUCACCUUUGCUAUCCUUGCCGUCUAGUCUACUUGCUGCUGAUGAAUUACUGGCUGGGGAAUCAGCACAUGUUGGUGGAUCGGUGGCGGGAUGACCGGGUGAUGAAUCUAAGCGUGCGGCGGAUUCUGCGGUAACGUGGCCGGCUGAGCGGUUGACAUCUGGUGGCGCAGCAAACCGGCCAUCUCAUUGUACAGCAUCAUCGGCACCGCACUUCGGAGCACCUCAGCAACAUCUGCUCCCCUGCUAAUUUCUGACGUGGCAGGUUGAUACUGUGGAGCCGUCAGCCGAAUGGCCGAUUGGAUUGGUGCCUGGAUCGGAGGGCCUCCAUAGUCAGCCGAUUGAUCUAGAACGGCCGCUGUCGAUGGUGCCCCCCAAGGCACUGAGUUUGAUGGCAAUGAUUGGACGAAGGAAAUUUGAGUAGGUUGAGGUGGCGCUUGUGACUGAAAGCAUGGCGCACUGUUAUAUCCUGGAUGCAUUGAAGGCAGUGAAGCAUUGUGUCCUCCAUGUUGAGUUGGCAUUGGCUGAGGAGCAGAGUGAGAUGUGCUUGGAAAGCUCCUGACUGGGGUCGUAAUGGGCGAGGCAUAUGCUGGCCCCUAAUAUCCUUGAGAUACUGUGGCGGAACCGUCCAACUUAAACUGGUUUAAAUGCACCUAAUCACUGCUGACGCAGCCAUUAUUCGAAACACACUUAAAACAGUAUAAGUCCGGUCGUCUGUCGAGUGUCCCUAGGACUCCUCGAAGAUCCACGUCGUGUCUCAUAGCCAUACAUCAGGAUUGUAUCCGCGAUGGGAUAGCAUCAACAAAUAUUACAUUUUUACAUACAUACACGAGGUACGAGUUAAUACAAGACAUAGUUUGAAGCAAACUUAACAGUGCAGUGUUAGACAGAGUUCUAGGAUUUAAAACAUAAACGGUUUGGGUUGAGAUGAGCAUUAUAAGCCUUCUUCUAAGGGUAUUGUGAGAUUCAUAACAAUACCCUAGGGUUUCGGGGCUUCUUCCUCGGUGGACUCCUGCGGUGUUUCUGAAAAUAGCCACAAGGGAUAACCCUGAGUACGAGGUACUCAGCAAGGCUUACCCGACUAACCAAUAUAAUAGUUUUUCUUGGAAGUAUAUGAUAGCUUUUUCGAUGUGCUAGGCUGACACAUUUUUGCCAAAAAGCUUACUAAAAAAAAGAGACCUUAGCUUUAUCUUUUAUUCGGAUUAAGUCAUUACCUAACCAUUUUAGGUGAUGAUAAAAGAUUAUUUGUAAACAAUAAGGUAUUAAGUCAUACACCAAACAUUAUUAGAAAGAUAUGGCAUUCAUGAAUUUAUGCUACGAUGCUCAACAGUGAUCAAGUGCAUUCAUAACCGAGAAUUGCGGCGAUCCGGAUCAAAUUACAUCCUGCAGGAGAGUACCCUAAUCACCAGCUAUAUACGACUGUCCAGGUUGUACGUAACGACUUUUCAAUUAGCAAAACCCAUGAUUGGGAAUAAGACUACCCGGACCUAGGGACGCACCCCCACAUGGGACCCCACGUCUGGCCCGAUCACCAUGUGAGUUUCAGGCUACGCCCCUGCCAAUCUCCAGCACGUCAAGCAUGGGUACGAAGUAUUCCCGAUCAGAGGGUUUACUAACCUACUGGGCUUUACUGGUCCCAUACCCAGUAAGUGAUCAGAUGUCUUUCACUUGAUUAAAGGUUAAGACAAUGAAUCGGGCCUUAACCAGAUUAAUCUAGCAGACAGAACUACAUCCUUAGCUUCUGUCCACUUCUUAAUUUCCAAGUCAUGUUUCCAUAAUUAACAUGCAUGACUCAAAAUUUACCUUAAGGUUUGGUAAAGCAAGUAUUUAAGCAGCUAAGCCAUUCUAGACUUGGGUUAUCUACUAAAGGUUUGAACAAGUGGCAAAGAUGUCCUUAAAACAAGGUAUGAUCAUGCACAAGAAUGGGUUUCAAGCAACUCCUAGACUUAGUGCAUAUAUUUAGCAAAUAACCGAUAAUGGGCACAUGAAAUAUUGACUCCAAAUAAUAGGUAUAAUGCACUGGGGCUUGCCUUGUUCGCCAAAAAAGUUAGCACUGUCCGAAGGGUUGGCCUCGUAGGGGACCAAUUCAAAGACUUCCUCAAAUUCCGGAGAUCCUUCUGAAUAAUCCGAGAAAUCUCCUUCUGGUGCUUCGGUGUCUAUAACACAACAUAUGCACAGGUUAGGAAUGCAAAUUUUUGAAUACAAGACUAUAAAACUUUCCUUCAUGAUAGAGUUGCAAGCCAACAAGGACUAUACAAUUUAUCAUGAUAAAGUUGCAAGCCAACACACGAAAACCCGAAAAGAUUAACCCAACAAUUUUAUUUCCUUAACUAACCUUACUUAGGGCCUUUUCUUUUAUUUUAGAAGAUGUUAUAAUUAUUUUCUAGCUUUAAAACCUAAUUUCCUAUGAGUUAAUACUAAUUUGUGAUUAUGAAAAUGUUAUUCCAUAUUUUAUGCAUUUAAUAAAGAUUAAGUAUUUAUUUAAAUACCUUUAAAAUAAAGGCAUUAAACAAAUACCCAAAUUUUUAUUAUUUUCCUAGGGUAUAAAAAUUUUAAUGCAUAAAGGAAAAUAAAACAAGCCUAACAGAAUUGGUUUCAAUAAUUUUGGACACUCCUAGAAAUUUCUGUGAUUUAAAUGGUGAGAUUCGGAUUUAAACUAAUUAUUCUAUAAAGGAAAUCUAAUUUUUCGCGAAAAAAACCCCCGGCAACUUUUCUCACGCGACCCUAUUCUACCCCCUCUCUCUUACACUGGGCCCGCGACUCGGACCUACCCCUUCUCCUAUUCAUCCUACCCGCCGGCCUACCCCCUCCUCUAACGGGCUCUCUAGGCCGAUUCUUCUUUUCCUUUUCUCUUCUCGGACCGGCACCGGCCCAACGGCCCACUCCUUCUUUUCUUUUUCUCCCGCAAAACCUGGCCUGUUGAAAGCUUGGGCCUCUGGCCUUUCUCUUAACGGCCGACCACACCGGCUCCUUGGGCCUCCGAAACGCUGGCCCAACUGACGCCCGCGCCCGACCGGCCUGCCUCCUUUUCUCCCCCGCCUCCUCUGACUUGCGGGCCCGUGGGGGCGGCGCGGCUUGCCGGCCGGCACCCUACCGGCGACGGGGCUAAGCCGGGGAAGCAUCCCCAUGCCCUAGCGCACCCGUGCGCGGUGACAGCUUCCCGGGAGAUGACCGGAGUUACUUCCUCCACGGUGGCGGGCGGCGACGCCUACGGCCGGUUGUGGCUAGGCACAACGAUGGCGCAACCUACCCCGACAACCACUGCUAUAGCUUCCUAGCACCCUAAGGACUCGCCUACGACUACCCAAGAAGAAAGAGAACAAGAGCAAGGAGGUGCUCACCGUGAGCAGGAGGUGCGGCGACGGCGGAUGGAAACGACGACGGUGCAGGGUAUUCCGGCAAGGAUGUUGGACAACGACUCGACUGGGGUGUAGCUGGGGUAUCUGUGGAGGAGUGGGAGAGAGGAAUCGACGGGAGGUGAGGCAUGGCAGAGGAAUUUGGCCGACGGCGAUGGCUUGGACAGAAGGGCGGCGGCGGUAAAAAGAAUAGGCAGUAGAAACGGUCGGCGGGAGCGGUAGUUAUUCAAGGCUUUCACCGCGCGCAUGGGUGACACCGUGGUCUACUCGUAGGCUUGCGUGGUGAGGAGGUGGCGUAGCUGCCGCGCUGGCGGGCGACCGAGAACACCGGCGGCGACACGUCGAGCUCGGCUCUGUCAUCCUCCCCCUCUUUAUUUGUGACGCCCGAAAUCUUCAGAGCUCAAUCACGGUCAAAAGUGCAUCCGACGGCCCACAAGUGUCUUAACCAAAGUUGUAGAUAAGUUUGAGCUCUACAAUUCAUAUUUAAACUCUUGCCCAAGAUUUUCAUUCAUUUGUUGGCAAUUUCAAAAUGUUUGGCCUCAGGUGACUGAAUUCCAUUGAAUUCCGAUUCAUUUCGUCAGUCACUUGGUCAUGGUCAUUUACCCUACUUUGUAAAUCAUUUCAGUGAUCCAAAUCCUUUCCUUUCAGUCCAACUUCUUCCCAUUUGUGUUCUACAACAUUCAAAGGUUCCAUUUCGCCCAUAAACACUUACACCUUUUGUUCUACAGUUUUCUGAAAUUAGCUCCAAAUUCAGCCACAUAUUGCUGUUUUCAGACUUAGUCAAUUUCAGCAAUGCAGUCUACCGUGACAAUGUGCUGACUUUGAGCUCAAAUUUGAAUUUGUUCCCCUUACUGUUCCUGAUCAACAACACCCAAAUAUAUAUGUCCAAAGUCCAUACUGCAUCACUAUGUAGUUGUCUUAGUCCACUUAUUUGGAAAAUUGGUCGGAAAUUAAUUUCCAAAAUGGACUCUGCUGCUGUUUUUCUGAACUCCUUAUUGUCGGAUGGUGAACAGUAUUUGGGUUUUUAAUUUCUUUCUUUGAGUUUUCUUGAGGUAUUUGGGACCAUGUCUUGUCCCAAAUCUUGAUCUUCAAGUUCUAAUCACCCUUACACCUCCAUUCCAUAUUUUUGCUGAAUUUUUCUGAAUUUCGAAUUCAAAAUUCAAAUUUCGGUCAAAUUUGACCCGAAUUUGAUUUUUAGCCAAUUUCUUCUCCUCUUCUUCAUGAAUUGCUUCUUUUUCUUCAGAGCUACUUUGAUGACUAAAAAUGGUAGGUAUUACAGCCUCUCCCCCUUAACAGAAUCUCGUCCCGAGAUUCCCGGGGUUAAACCCUCGGCUUUGAGAAUGGAAAGGAAACUGCGUCAGGCCAACUAUCUUUCUGUUUUCUGUACAAGGAUAGUGGGGUGGUGGCUUUUGUUCAUCUGAUCCUGAUGGUUUCAAAUAACUCAGGAUAUUUAGACUCUAGGUCUUCAGCCUGUUCCCACGUAGCUUCCUUCGAAGUAUGAUUUUUCCAUUGUACCUUGUAAAAUGUAAUACUUCGAGUUCGGGUAUCUCUUGUCUUUUGAUCCAGAAUUUUAAUAGGCCUUUCUUCAUAGGUUAGAUCUGAUUCGAGCUCAAUUUCUUGAUCUUCUAGAAUCUCUUCUGGAACUCUUAAGCACUUCUUAAGCUGGGAUACAUGAAACACAUCAUGUAUAGAAGUAAGUUGGUCUGGUAAUGACAGCUUGUAUGCUACCGGACCCUUUCGUUCCAGAAUUUCAUAAGGACCAAUGUACCUUGGACUAAUUUACCCUUUAUUCCAAAUCAUUGUAUUCCUUUCAUCGAGGAUACCUCCAAGUAUACAAAAUCUCCGAUAUGAAAUUCCAAGGACCGUCUCCUUUUAUCUGAAUAACUCUUUUGUCGAGACUGGGCUAUUUCCAAAUGUUUACGAAUUUUCUAGACCUUUUCCUCGGUUUCCAUAACCAAGUGUGAUCCCAAAUGUGUCCUUUCUCCUAUUUCCGACCAAUUCAAUGGGGUUCGACAUCUUCGACCAUACAAGGCUUCGAAAGGUGCCAUUUUGAUACUAGCUUGAUAACUAUUAUUAUAGGAGAACUCAGCUAGGGGCAAACAUUCAUCCCAUAGCUUAGAGAAGGUAAGGACACAUGCUCUUAACAUAUCUUCCAAGAUUUGGUUUGUUGGGAUACGAGGUAGGCUACGCUAGCGCAAAUCAAAAUUUCUACCGCGUAUAACCAGGAAGAACUGCCGUAUAAGGAUCACGGGAUUACCACUCGACGCACUACUGGUGCGGAAGAUGUAGAUAUGCGUCGGUGCAGUGAAGACGAUCACGUAGUCGUUCGUAGUCGAACAACGUAAUCGUACGUAGUCGAUCACGUCCAGCGGCUCCUCAGCAGCUCGUCCACGUGCACAGCAAGAUCGCCUCCGGUGCCGCGGCUCGUCGUCGGCUCGUCGUGGCUCGUCGGCGGCUCGUCGAUGGUUCGUCCAAGUGCUGCAGGCGCAACACCUCCAAGGUAUCCACACGUGCAGGGAGGAAGCGUCGCAAGCUGGAUUGCUAGAUCCGCGAGUUGCAACAGGCGAGGGCGUGGGAGGCGCGGCAAGUGUGUUCAGCCAAAAGGUGUGAAACCCUAGGGCGCCCCCACCCCUCUAUUUAUAGGGGUUCCUGAUGAGCCUCUGGAUCCGAGGCCCAUUAGUACUCCUAAACCUAAUCCAACUCGGAUCAGAUCCGAAUUGGGCUUCCAGCCCCUUAAGUGUGUGACCCUAUGGGUUCGGAUACGUAUAGACAUGGCCCGAGUACUCCUACUCGGCCCAAUAGUCGGUAGCGGCCUCUAGCAAGACGUGCCAACUCCUAUACGCAUACGAAGAUCAUAUCAGACGAACCAUCACAACAUAAUAUACAUGCUAUUCCCUUUGCCUCACGAUAUUUGGUCUAGCUUCAAGCCGACCGCUCUUUCUCGAUCCUGUGAUUCGGAAUCCCUUUGUAGGUUAACUCUUAACCGUACGUAGCAUGGCCAUGCAUUUUCGGAUCCGAUCACUCGAGGGGCCCAGAGAUAUCACUCUCAAUCAGAGAGGGGCAAAUCCCAUCUUGAUUGACCAUGUCUCAUAGCAUGCUUCUUGACAAACCCGAAAGCUACCUUUAUAACUACCCUGUUACGGCGUAGCGUUUGAUAGCCCCUAAGUAGGUCGAUCCACAUCUAGAAUACAUGCGACAAUCUCAGGUCUAAGGACAAAGCGUAUAUGUUGUUUAAAGAGAGAACUACUUCUCGUGCUGGGUCAGUCCUAACACAUGUCUCCACAUGUGUCCACAUUAUUAGUUCAACAUCUCCAUGUCCAUGACUUGUGAAACAUAGUCAUCAACUAAUACAUGUGCUAGUCUAAUAUUCAUGUGUGUCCUCACAUGAACUCCGACUAGGGACAACUUUAGAAUAACCAUACAAGUAAAGAGUUUCACAUACAAUUCACAUAAUUGCAAAUCAAUUCAAGUAGCCUUUAAUGGAUAUUCAAUGAACACAAUAUACAAAUCAUGGAUACAAAUGGAAUAUCAUCAUCUCUAUGAUUGCCUCUAGGGCAUACCUCCAACAGUCUCCCACUUGCACUAGAGUCAAUCUAGAAGGUACCUAAUACCCAUAGCUCUUACAUGCGCAUCAUGCUUAGCCUGCGGGAGUGGUUUUGUCAACGGAUCAGAAAUGUUCAGAUCCGUGUGUAUCUUGCAUAUCUUGAUCUCACCCCGGUUAACGAAGUCUCGAAUGAGAUGAAAUCGCCGCAUUACGUGUUUGUUCUUCUGGUGGUUCCUUGGCUCCUUUGCUUGCGCAAUUGCCCCAUUGUUAUCACAGUAGAGAUUCAAUGGGCUGGACGCAUUUGGGAACACACCAAGCUCAAUGAGGAAAUUCCUUAUCCAAACACCUUCCUUCGCGGCUUCCGAAGCCGCGAUGUACUCGGCUUCUGUCGUAGAAUCGGCCACCGUCUCCUGCUUGGAACUCUUCCAACUAACAGCACCACCAUUUAGCGUGAACACAAAUCCUGAUUGUGACUUUGAAUCAUCUCUGUCGGUUUGGAAACUAGCAUCGGUGUAACCUGUUACAACGAGCUCCUCCUGACCUCCAUAGACGAGGAACAUAUCUUUAGUCCUUCUCAAGUACUUAAGAAUGUUUUUCACCGCUGUCCAGUGACUCUCACCUGGAUCAGAUUGGUGUCUGCUUGUCAUACUUAGCGCAUAUGAAACAUCUGGGCGAGUACUUAUCAUUGCAUACAUGAUAGAUCCAAUAGCCGAGGCAUAUGGCACUCUACUCAUGCGAUCCCGCUCAUCAGCAGUCGAAGGACACUGAGUCUUGCUGAGAUGUAUGCCAUGUGACAUAGGCAAGAACCCUUUCUUUGCCUCUUCCAUGCUGAACCGCUUCAACACUUUGUCAAUAUAAGUAUCUUGGCUCAAACCUAUAAGCCUUCUCGAUCUAUCUCUAUAGAUCUUAAUACCCAGAAUAUAUGCCGCUUCCCCUAAGUCCUUCAUCGAAAAACUAUUUUUCAGUGAAGUCUUUACGGACUCAAGCAUAGGAAUGUUAUUUCCAAUCAGUAAUAUGUCAUCCACAUAUAAGAUUAGAAAUACUACAGAGCUCCCACUAACCUUCUUGUAAACACAAGACUCUUCUUCGUUCUUGGUGAAGUCAAACCCUUUGACUACUUCAUCAAAACGAAUGUUCCAACUCCUAGAUGCUUGCUUCAAUCCAUAAAUGGAUCUCUGAAGCUUGCAUACCUUUCCAGCAUUUUUCGGAUCGACAAAACCCUCGGGCUGUAUCAUAUACACGUCCUCAGCUAGGUUUCCAUUCAGGAAAGCUGUCUUGACAUCCAUCUGCCAUAUCUCAUAAUCGAAAUAUGCAGCUAUAGCUAGAAUAAUCCGAAUGGACUUAAGCAUCACUACGGGCGAGAAGGUCUCGUCGUAGUCAACUCCUUGAACUUGUCGAAAACCUUUUGCGACAAGUCGUGCUUUGUAGAUGUGAACAUUUCCAUCCAUGUCCUUUUUCUUCUUAUAGAUCCACUUGCACUCUAUGGCUUUAACACCAUCAGGCGGGUCAACCAAGUUCCAAACUUGAUUGUCUCCCAUGGACUCUAUUUCGGAUUGCAUGGCACUCUGCCAUUUUUCGGAGUCUGGGUCCAUCAUUGCUUCUGCAUAUGUCGCAGGCUCAUCAUUGUCCAACAAUAAUAUUUCCCGCAUUUCGCGGAGCCUUGCCGACCUUCGUGGUUGUGGCGGUGCUUCUCUUGCCAUGGGUAUCUCAACUUGUUCUGCUACGUUAGCAUCACUCAUUGAUUCUUGCCCGAUUGGCUCAUCUUGAACUUCUUCAAGAUGCACUGUCUUUCCACUCUUUUCUCCUUUGAGAAACUCUUUCUCUAGGAAAACCCCGUUCCGAGCGACAAACACUUUGCCUUCUGAUCGGUUGUAGAAAUAAUAUCCCAAAGUUUCCUUUGGAUAUCCCACAAAAAUGCACUUAUCCGACUUGGGUGUGAUCUUGUCCGACUGAAGUCGCUUGACAAACACUUCACAUCCCCAAAUCUUUAGAAAAGACAAACUAGGAACCUUUCCAGUCCAUAUCUCAUAUGGUGUCUUAACUACGGAUUUAGAUGGUACCCUAUUUAGUGUGAAAGCUGCUGUUUCUAGAGCGUAUCCCCAAAAUGACAAUGGUAGGUCCGACUGGCUCAUCAUUGAUCGAACCAUGUCUAACAAAGUUCGAUUACAUCGCUCGGACACACCGUUUCUCUGAGGUGUUCCAGGCGGCGUAAGUUGUGGAACAAUUCCGCAACUCUUUAGAUGAUUGCUAAACUCGUGGCUCAAAUACUCGCCUCCAUGAUCAGAUCGUAAGGCCUUAAUUUUCUUGCCACGCUGAUUUUCAACUUCAUUCUGAAAUUCCUUGAACUUUUCAAAGGUUUCAGACUUGUGCCUCAUCAAGUAGACAUAGCCAUAUCUACUAAAAUCAUCAGUGAAAGUUAUGAAGUAUUGGAAUCCUCCUCUAGCCGUCGUGCUCAUUGGUCCGCAUACAUCACUAUGUACGAGUUCCAACAAGUCUACUGCUCUCUCAGGAAAUCCUGUGAAAGGCGUCUUGGUCAUCUUGCCUAGCAAGCAAGCCUCGCAUGUCUCGUAUGAUUCAAAAUCAAACGAAGUUAGAAGUCCAUCAGAAUGGAGCUUCUUCAUGCGCUUUUCACUUAUAUGACCCAAACGACAAUGCCACAAGUAGGUAGGACUCAAAUCAUUAGGCCGAGGCCUUUUAGCACUUACAUUACAGACAGGUGAACCAUCAAGAUUUAAAACAAAUAAUCCAUUCACAAUGGGUGCAAAAGCCAUAAACAUAUUAUUCUUAGAGAUCACACAACCAUUGUUUUCACUCGCAAAUGAAUAACCAUCCUUCAUCAAACAUGAAGGAGAUAAAAUAUUUCGACUUAAACUAGGAACAAAAUAACAAUUAUUCAACUCCAUAAUAAAUCCUGACGGGAGGUGGAGUUGCAUCGUCCCGACGGUCAAAGCAGCAACUCUUGCAUUAUUGCCCACGCGGAAAUCAACUUCUCCUCUUUCCACGCUUCUACUUCUUAUCAUUCCCUGCAUCGAAUUGCAAAUAUGAGCAACCGAUCCGGUAUCAAAUACCCAAGAAUUAAUAACUGUAUCAGCGAGAAAUAUGUUGUCUAUAACAUAAACAACAAGCGUACCUGAGGUAGAAGUACUCUUACUUCCGCCGUUCUUCAACGAAGCUAGGUACUGCUUGCAGUUUCUCUUCCAGUGACCAAGUUCAUGACAGUAAAAGCACUCUUUAUCUGGAGCAGGUCCAGGUCCAGCUUUAACCUUGGGCGGUGGGUUUGGCUUGGACGUUCCAGCCUUGCCCUUCUUCUUCCAAGAAUUGCCCUUCUUCUUAAAGCUGGGCUUGUUCUGUAUCGCCAUCACAUGGCUGGUACUAGCGCUUUUCUUUAUGUCAGCCUCUGCUGUUUUAAGCAUGCCACACAGCUCAUUCAGACCCUUCUCCGUCCCAUGCAUAUGGUAGUUCGAGAUGAAGUUCCCAUAGCUAGGAGGAAGAGACGAAAGAAUGAAAUCAGUGGCCAACUCUUGGCCCAGUGGGAAGCCUAGCUUCUCCAACCGUUGAGUGUAACCAACCAUCUUGAUUACGUGUGGUCCUACUGCUGCGCCUUCUGCUAGCUUGCUCUCAACAAAGGCCUUAGACACAUUGAACCUUUCAGUCCUGGCCUGUGUUUGGAACAUGUCUCUAAGCGCCACGAUCAUAUCGUGCGCCUCAUGGUUUGUUUCGAACUGCAUCUGCAGCUCGGGUUCCAUGCAAGCAAGCAUAAGGCAGCUUACUUCGAGGUUAGCAUCACAUGCUUUCUUGUAAGCAUUCUUAGCAGCAGCGGGUGCAUCCUCAGCAGGUUCUUCUGGUAGUGGGUUGUCUAGAACAUCUUCCUUUUUCUCAGCCCUGAGAACAAUUCUCAGGUUACGGAUCCAAUCCGAGUAGUUUGUUCCAUUCAACUUGUCCUUCUCAAGGACCGAACGCAAAGCAAACGAUGUGGUGGUGUUGCUAGGUGCCAUUUAAUCUACAACAAAAGUAAUGCAAAAUACACUAAGACAAACGUAUCCAUGAUAGAGCAAAUUACAUUAAACUAUUUUAACAGAAUCUACUCCCACUAAAAUCAAUAUCCCUCUAUUGAAACUUAGUGAUUCAGGAUCCACAACUAACAAGUCCACUAGUGAGCUUUAGCAUCACCGCUAGCAAACGAGGUAGAUCGGUAAGCAACUUUUGCUAAUCAUAUCACAUAUGACUCCUGUUGUUGGGUGACAUCUCUAUGUCUCGGCGCCCAACCUUUAUGCCCCAAGGUCCUUAACCGUUAAGAUGACCUCGUUAAGCAAACCAACCCUUAUGCGUGUAAGUGUCCGACACAAACCCGUCUAGUCAAGGAAAACUAGUGGUACCCUAAUUUCAUAGACCCACCACUAAUUGUACAAGACAUGGGACAGUGCAAGUUUUAGUUGGGAGGGCAUACUAACUUAAACUUUGUGAGGGAUCGUUCUACUUCUAACAUCACAGCAUGCAGAAAGUAAAACAUAAACAGAAUAGCAUUCACACAGUUGUGACACAGUAUGGCCCGUUUUUCUUAUGGUGAUCUCCGUCUCCAUAGAACCUGUUCACCAUGGUGAUCUCCAUCUCCAUGUUCCAUGUGCGCCAUCCUCCUGGUGAUGAGUCCUCCAAGAACUAGAGCAUGCUAUUACGCCUAAUAGCUAGUAAAGAAUCUAGUAAUGAAGAUUACAUAGUUGCUUGGAUCAUCACAGAUUGGUACGCAGACCAUUAAAUACAAUAAAGUGACAACACAUAUGGCUCCUGCCGUGUUGCCGUACGUGCGACACGCAGGUCACGAAUUAGUUACACACAUGCAUCACAUACACAAGGGGGCCAUACUGAUCACAAGAUACAUGCAUACAUCCUGCAAAAUAGAGUUAGGCGUCCUAACGUUCCAAACUUCGGAGGCCCGAAACUCCAUCUUCCAAGCCAAAUUUGGGAAAUCUAAUCUCACCGAAAACGGCGAAGCGGUUGAAAUUCACGUGUAACUUUUUCUGUAGAUCAAUUUUCGUAUAGAAAUCGCCUCGAUCCGAGAUCGUACCGAAAAGUUACGGCUGAUUUACCGAAGCAUACGCAUACGGCAAAAUCCCGACCCCGACAGUAGAUCCCAUCUACCAUUGCACAUCUAAUGCGCCUGGCGUAUGACCCUGGAUCUCGAUUCGACCAAUCAUAUUGAUCUUCGCUCACUGCAACUGGAUUUACGUGUAUCACUUAACUCCGAUGGCGGAAACCGACCGGUAGGAGUAUGUCGUUACACUACCAUUGCAGCAAGGGCACGAAAUCAGGACAUAGAUCAAACAGAGAACUCGCAUAUCUCCAUAUGCACACAUCCCGAAUCCAAAACUAAGCAGCUACGGCUCUUGAUACCACUGUUGGGAUACGAGGUAGGCUACGUUAGCGCAAAUCAAAAUUUCUACCGCGUAUAACCAGGAAGAACUGCCGUAUAAGGAUCACGGGAUUACCACUCGACGCACUACUGGUGCGGAAGAUGUAGAUAUGCGUCGGUGCAGUGAAGACGAUCACGUAGUCGUUUCGUAGUCGAACAACGUAAUCGUACGUAGUCGAUCACGUCCAGCGGCUCCUCAGCAGCUCGUCCACGUGCACAGCAAGAUCGCCUCCGGUGCCGCGGCUCGUCGUCGGCUCGUCGUGGCUCGUCGGCGGCUCGUCGAUGGUUCGUCCAAGUGCUGCAGGCGCAACACCUCCAAGGUAUCCACACGUGCAGGGAGGAAGCGUCGCAAGCCGGAUUGCUAGAUCCGCGAGUUGCAACAGGCGAGGGCGUGGGAGGCGCGGCAAGUGUGUUCAGCCAAAAGGUGUGAAACCCUAGGGCGCCCCCACCCCUCUAUUUAUAGGGGUUCCUGAUGGGCCUCUGGAUCCGAGGCCCAUUAGUACUCCUAAACCUAAUCCAACUCGGAUCAGAUCCGAAUUGGGCUUCCAGCCCCUUAAGUGUGUGACCCUAUGGGUUCGGAUACGUAUAGACAUGGCCCGAGUACUCCUACUCGGCCCAAUAGUCGGUAGCGGCCUCUAGCAAGACGUGCCAACUCCUAUACGCAUACGAAGAUCAUAUCAGACGAACCAUCACAACAUAAUAUACAUGCUAUUCCCUUUGCCUCACGAUAUUUGGUCUAGCUUCAAGCCGACCGCUCUUUCUCGAUCCUGUGAUUCGGAAUCCCUUUGUAGGUUAACUCUUAACCGUACGUAGCAUGGCCAUGCAUUUUCGGAUCCGAUCACUCGAGGGGCCCAGAGAUAUCACUCUCAAUCAGAGAGGGGCAAAUCCCAUCUUGAUUGACCAUGUCUCAUAGCAUGCUUCUUGACAAACCCGAAAGCUACCUUUAUAACUACCCUGUUACGGCGUAGCGUUUGAUAGCCCCUAAGUAGGUCGAUCCACAUCUAGAAUACAUGCGACAAUCUCAGGUCUAAGGACAAAGCGUAUAUGUUGUUUAAAGAGAGAACUACUUCUCGUGCUGGGUCAGUCCUAACACAUGUCUCCACAUGUGUCCACAUUAUUAGUUCAACAUCUCCAUGUCCAUGACUUGUGAAACAUAGUCAUCAACUAAUACAUGUGCUAGUCUAAUAUUCAUGUGUGUCCUCACAUGAACUCCGACUAGGGACAACUUUAGAAUAACCAUACAAGUAAAGAGUUUCACAUACAAUUCACAUAAUUGCAAAUCAAUUCAAGUAGCCUUUAAUGGAUAUUCAAUGAACACAAUAUACAAAUCAUGGAUACAAAUGGAAUAUCAUCAUCUCUAUGAUUGCCUCUAGAGCAUACCUCCAACAUGGUUGACCCUUUCCGUCUGUCCUCCGGUCUGGGGAUGAUAGGCAGAGCUUCUGAUUAAAGUAGUGCCCAUGUCUUUUCGCAGUUGUUCCCAAAAUCUGGAAACAAACUGGGAGCCUCGAUCGGAGAUAAUUGUCUUUGGUAUUCCAUGCAAGGAUACGAUCUGGGCUAUAUAGAGUUUCGCAUAUGUCGACACUGGGUAGGUAGUCUUGCCGGGGAUGAAAUGGGCUGACUUAGUGAGUCAGUCGACAAUAACCCAUAUGGAAUCAUAUCCUUUUGAAGUGGUAGGCGAUCCAACUAUAAAGUCCAUGGAAAUAUCCUCCCAUUUCCAGACAAGGAUUUUUAAAGGUUGAAGCAAACCUGCCGACUUUUGUAGUAUGGGUUUAACUCUCCGGCAGGUAUCACACUCGGCUACAUAUCUUGCAAUUUCAAGUUUCAUUUUGGCCCACCAAAAUCUUUGCUUUAAAUCUUGGUACAUUUUAUUGCUUCCGGGAUGAAUGGUGAGCUUAGAUAGAUGUGAUUCAUCUAAGAUCAAUUUUCUUAGGCUUUCAUCCUUAGGAACUACUAUCCUUUUUCUGAAAUACAGUCCCCCAUCCUCUUCUUGAGUAAGUUCAGAAAUCUUCCCUUCUGCCUUCUGUUGAUGAAGCACCUUGAUCCAAGGAUCUUCUUUUUGGGCUGUUAUGAUUCUCCCCUUUAGAGUGUCUUGCACAACAAUGUUCUGGAGGGUGCCUUGUUUCACUAUUUCCAAGUUUAAAUCCUCUAAUUCUUCACAUAAGGUCUUAAGAUUAGGCUAAACAGUGGUACAUUGGCACUGGGCCUUUCUGCUCAAAGCAUCAGCCACCACAUUAGCCUUACUAGGAUGGUAGUGAAUCUCUAGCUUAUAAUCUUUUAUUAGCUCCAACCACCGUCUUUGCCUCAUAUUCAAGUCCAUUUGAGUGAAGAUGUACUUUAAGCUUUUGUGAUCAGUAAAGAUACGACAUUCACUACCUAGAAGAUAGUGUCACCAUAUCUUUAACGCAUGGACUACAGCAGCAAGCUCUAAAUCGUGGGUAGGGUAAUGCUCUUCAUGACGCUUUAGUUGACGAGAAGCAUAAGCAAUAACUCUGCCUUCUUGCAUAAGAACACACCCUAUCCUUGUUCCUGAGGCAUCACAGUACACGUCAAAGGGCUUCUCUAUAUCAGGUUGAGCUAGCACUGGGGCUGUAGUCAGUAGCUUCUUUAGGGUUUGAAACGAUUCUUCACAUUCGGGUUUCCACUCAAAUUUCACUUCCUUCUUUAAUAACUCUGUGAUUGGUUUGGAAAUUUUUGAGAAAUUGGGGAUGAACCUACGGUAAUACCCGGCCAUUCCCAAGAAACUUCUUACUUCAUGUACCGAAGUUGGUGAUUUCCAAUCCAAUAUAUCUUUGACUUUUCUGGGGUCUACUUCAAUUCCUUUUUCGGACAGUAUGUGCCCAAGGAAUGGAAUUUUCUUUAACCAGAAUUCACAUUUACUGAACUUGGCAUACAACUAGUGUUCCUGGAGUCUACUUAGAACAAUACGCAGGUGUUGCGCAUGUUCCUCUUCAUUUUCAGAAAAGACGAGGAUAUCAUCUAUAAAGACGACCACAAAUUUAUCUAAUUUUGGCAUGAAUACCGAAUUCAUGAGGUACAUAAAAUGUGCUGGGGCAUUUGUCAGUCUGAAAGACAUAACCAAGUACUCAUAUAAUCCAUAUUGGGUUGAGAAGGCUGUUUUAGGUAUGUCUUCGGAUUUUAUCUUAAUCUGAUGAUAUCCUGACCGGAGGUCGAUUUUGGAAAAGACCUUGGCUCCAGCUAGUUGAUCAAAUAACAAGUCAAUCCGUGGCAACGGAUACUUGUUUUUAAUGGUUACCGCAUUCAAAGGGCGGUAAUCCACACACAACCUUAAUGUGCCAUCUUUCUUUUUAACAAAUAAAGCAAGGCAGCCCCAUGGUGAAGUGCUAGGUCGGACAAAACCUUUAUCCAGCAAUUCUUGGAGUUGUACUUUUAAUUCUGCUAACUCCUUAGGCGGCAUCCGAUACGGCCUUCUCGAGAUAGGAGCAGUACCCGGUUCUAACUCGAUGGUAAACUCUACCGCUCUAUCAGGUGAUAGUCCAGGAAGAUCUUCUGGAAAUACAUCUACAAACUCAUUAACCACAGGAAUAGAUUCUAGAGUUACUGCUCUAGUCUUUUUAACCAUCUGGUCCAGACAGGGAUGAGCGGGUAAUUGGAGCUCAAAAGUAUGGCCUUGGUCAUCUCUCAUACUAACAACCCGGUUAUUCAUAUCGAUUUGAACUUUAUGUUCCUUCAUCCAAUUUACCCCCAAAAUAAUAUCUAUUCCUUGAUCUUCCAGAAUUAAAGGAUAAGCACCCACCUUAUUUCCUUCUAAGUUCAAAAUCACAUUGCGAGCUACCUGAUUUGUAUUUUGAGUAGCCCCAGUAGCUUGAAUAGCAUAUUUGACAUUUAAGAUGUGCACUUCAAGUUGGUGUUGUGUAACAAACUUUCUACUUAUAAAAGUAUGUGAUGCACCCGAAUCGAAUAAAAUCAUGGCAGGAUAAUCAUUGACAAGGUACAUACCUGCCAGAAUAGGCUCUCCUUCCGGAAUCUCCUCCACAUUCAUAUAAUGAGCCUGCCCCAUUUUGGUGUUCAGAAAUUUGCGACGAACAAACUUCUAUCCGGUGCCCUGACCAGAGGUUUGAGCCCUUAAAUUCACGUUUCCCCCAACCUUGGGAAAACGGAAGUCCCGGGCAAAGUGUCCCGGCUUCCCAUAGUUAAAACAAACCUGUGGAUUCCCUGGAGGAGUAGGGUUACGAAACCCAACAGGUGGUGCAUUUCCAGGACGAGGAGCAUUAAUAGGAGCUCUGACAUUCCAGAGCUGAAAGGGCCUCUGUUGAAAAGAAGGCCGAUAUGCGGGUCGAGGAGGACCUCGGUAUACCACCUUCAUUCUCUGUGGGGCGCUUCCGAAGGUUCCAAAAGGAAUAUUCUUCCUCUUCAAGGAUUCCUCUCUCUUCAAAGUUUCAUCUAAGAUUCUCAUCUUCUCUUCUGCAGUAAUGGUUGUGCUUACCGCAGAGCUAUAAUCAGCAAAGGUGCAGGUAGAUAGCUUCUCCUGCAUUCGUGCAUUAAGCCCACAAAGAUAACAAUCUCUUUUCCUGGACUCCGUAUUGACAUGUUCUCGUGCGUACUGGGCCAAGUGAUCAAACUCAUUGGUGUACUCCUGAAUGCUACGGGUUCCUUGCUGCAGCCCUAGGAAUUGUUCCAGCUUCAUUCGCAUGAUACCUUCUAGCACAAACUGUGUCCGGAAGGCUUCCUUGAAGUUCUCCCAUGUAACUUCCCUUCCAACUAGUUGCCUUGCCAGAUAACUGGUCCACCAGGUCCCAGCGGGACCUUGGAGCUGGAGUCCAGCAAACUCCGCCUUCUGGGCGGUGGUGCACUGGGGAAUCACUCGAAAUUUCUGCUCCAUCGUCUGAAGCCAUUCAUUAGCUUCUAGUGGGUGCUCAGCUUUCAAGAAUAUUGGAGGACGAGUUUCCAAGAACUGGGUGUAGGAUACACCCUGUUCUGGGUCUCAUCGGUUUCCACCAUUUCCGGUGUUUUGUACGAUCAUCUGAAGCAGUCGAGCCUGUUCGGCUCCUGAAUUCAUGAGGCUGGCUAUGGCAUCAGCCAGCGUUGGGGCUCUAGGUAAAUUCUCCUCGUGGCCCCCUGACCCUAAAGCUCGAGGACCUCUCGGAUCCAUCAUGCUGCCAAAACCAAACAGAGUAUUAAUAUCUAAGUUACAUUUCACCAACAGUUCUCUAUGCGCACUAGUAUUUCACACAUCACAUCACGACUAUUGUAAUUACACACAAAUCACACUUAUAUACAUAUUUAUUUAUUUACAUGACUUGAAGUUACUUUUUACAAAACCACCGUACUACUUCAUCCACUGCAUUUAUCUUACAUAUCUACAUCACAACAUCUCUUGGUUAAGAUCUUUCUUCAACCAUCGUAGGGGUAGAUGCCUAGCUCUUCGGCAUUCAGUCCUAGCCGGGCCAUCGCAGCCUGCAGAACAUCUUGGUCCACUGUCAUCAAUGUCUGUCCCGGAGGAGCGAUAGGUGGGGCCUGAUUCACUGAGUUCUCACUUUCUGACUCUGGCCCGGGGUCACUUGAAGUGUAGGAAGUGUAGGAUGCAGAGGUACUGACUCCGGAAUUUCCCUCCAUUUCUUCGGGGUCUUAUUCUUCUUCCCCGUCUUCCUGCUCAGCUUCACCCCACUGUUGCAUUGGUCCGUAGCCUUGUGGAUCUAGCCCAUCGGCGUUUGCAUUGGCCUAGGCAAAUUGUUGGUUUCCCAUGGGAGCUUCACCCAGAUCAUCUUCCAUGUCGACAUCAAUCCCUUCUAAAUUCUCGUGAGCGUAUAAGUCGAUCUCAGGAGCUGCAGGUGGAGCAAUAUCACCCUCCAUUCCUACAACGUCCACCAACUGAUCUGCUUCUUCUGGGUUCGGCGGCUGGUGUUCUUCCAGUGGUGGAGGCGGUGGAACAUUGACUAUGUUCUGAGCAGGUACCUGGGCCUGCAUUUCCUCCAAAGCCAGACGAAGAGAUAAGAUUUCGUCCAGCUGCUGGAAUCUUUCUGCCUCGAGCCUAUUAACAUUGGAUUCAGGUUGUUCUCUUGCCCUGUCUGCCAUACUCCUACUGGCAUCCAUGAAUCCCUGCAUUACCCUGAGCUUCUCUUCAUAUUCAUCUAUUCUUCUGGACUGCUCUCUCAUGAUUUUCUCCAUGUCGUGUUCCCUUGCUAAUGCCGCCUUCUUGUACAACUCCUUAUCGUGUCUGGCACCCAUUAAUUCCAUUUUGGCAUCCUCAUUUUUCUUUCUCUGAUUAUAGUAUUCCCUAAUGCAAGACUGGUGCAGGUUGUACAUGGCCGUCAUAUAGUCGGAGGCAGCAGCAACCAAAAUAUCAUGCUCUACACGAGAAGAGUUCUUUAGGGCUUUAAUCCUUCUCUUCCAGAUUCCAUCAUCUUGAUGUUUUAUAGGAUAGAAUCGAGCACAGCUCGACCCUAUUUCUACCUUGUGCUUCUCACACAGGUCUGUGAGAGCAGUCAUAGCUGCCCUUUCAAUUGUGUCGUUGAACUCGAAGCCUGACUCCAUCACUUCUUCUAGAUGCCAAUUGGGGUUGGUGUCUUCAUGUAGGAUAUGCACAUAAACAGUACAGUACUGCUUGUGACACGUGUCCUCCUUCCUCCAAUAGUACUCUGGAGGGUUGUGGAAGCCUAACUCCUGCAGCGUUUUCCACAGCAGCUGCGCAAACCCUGGCUUGUCCAGGUAAUGCCCUCGGGUCCAUCCGUCCUGGUCGGUGUAGCCUUCUUGGAACAUCCUAUAAAAGAAACGAGGUCAGGUCUAACGACACUCACCAAACCCAAAAGUUUUUAAAACAUGCUUAUGCAACAUGAUGCAACGACUCCUACGUACUCACAGACUCAUAUACACACUCGUAGAGAAAUUUGUGGCAUCGUAAUCUCUCCCUAAUAAUAUACUACCGAAUACUAGCGACACGCAGCAAUCAGUUAGCAACUGCAAAACAAACAACCAGUUAACACUACUGCCACCUGUGACUCACGUUUUCUUUGUUUAAAAUAGAGUCUCAAUGUUCAAAUGGUAAUAUCUGUUGAUUAUACCAACCUACGGCUCUGAUACAAGCUGUGGCAGAACCGUCCAACUUAAACUGGUUUAAAUGCGCCUAAUCGCUGCUGACGCAACAAUUAUCCGAAACGCACUUAAAACAGUAUAAGUCCGAUCGUCCGUCGAAUGUCCCUAGGACUCCUCGAAGAUCCACGUCGUGUCUCAUAGCCAUACAUCAGGAUUGUAUCCGCGAUAGGAUAGCAUCAACAAAUAUUACAUUUUUACAUACAUACACGAGGUACGAGUUAAUACAAGACAUAGUUUGAAGCAAACUUAACAGUGCAGUGUUAGAUAGAGUUUCGUAGCCAUACAUCAGGAUUGUAUCCGCGAUGGGAUAGCAUCAAGAAAUAUUACAUUUUUACAUACAUACACGAGGUACGAGUUAAUACAAGACAUAGUUUGAAGCAAACUUAAUAGUGCAGUGUUAGACAGAGUUCUAGGAUUUAAAACAUAAACGGUUUGGGUUGAGAUGAGCAUUAUAAGCCUUCUUCUAAGGGUAUUGUGAGAUUCAUAACAAUACCCUAGGGUUUCGGGGCUUCUUCCUCGGUGGACUCCUGCGGUGUUUCUAAAAAUAGCCACAAGGGAUAACCCUGAGUACGAGGUACUCAGCAAGGCUUACCCGACUAACCAAUAUAAUAGUUUUUCUUGGAAGUAUAUGAUAGCUUUUUCGGUGUGCUAGGCUGACACAUUUUUGCCAAAAAGCUUACUAAAAAAAAGAGACCUUAGCUUUAUCUUUUAUUCGGAUUAAGUCAUUACCUAACCAUUUUAGGUGAUGAUAAAAGAUUAUUUGUAAACAAUAAGGUAUUAAGUCAUACACCAAACAUUAUUAGAAAGAUAUGGCAUUCAUGAAUUUAUGCUACGAUGCUCAACAGUGAUCAAGUACAUUCAAAACCGAGAAUUGCGGCGAUCCGGAUCAAAUAACAUCCUGCAGGAGACUACCCUGAUCACCAGCUAUAUACGACUGUCCAGGUCGUACAUAACGACUUUUCGAUUAGCAAAACCCAUGAUUGGGAAUAAGACUACCCGGACCCAGGGACGCACCCCCACAUGGGACCCCACGUCUGGCCCGAUCACCAUGUGAGUUUCAGGCUACGCCCCUGCCAAUCUCCAGCACGUCAAGCGCGGGUACGAAGUAUUCCCGAUCAGAGGGUUUACUAACCUACUGGGCUUUACUGGUCCCAUACCGAGUAAGUGAUCAGAUGUCUUUCACUUGAUUAAAGGUUAAGACAACGAAUCGGGCCUUAACCAGAUUAAUCUAGUAGACAGAACUACAUCCUUAGCUUCUGUUCGCUUCUUAAUUUCCAAGUCAUCUUUCCAUAAUUAACAUGCAAGACUCAAAAUUUACCUUAAGGUUUGGUAAAGCAAGUAUUUAAGCAACUAAGCCAUUCUAGACUUGGGUUAUCUACUAAAGGUUUGAACAAGUGGCAAAGAUGUCCUUAAAACAAGGUAUGAUCAUGCACAAGAAUGGGUUUCAAGCAACUCCUAGACUUAGUGCAUAUAUUUAGCAAAUAACUGAUAAUGGAAUAUUGACUCCAAAUAAUAGGUAUAAUGCACCGGGGCUUGCCUUGUUCGCCAAAAAAGUUAGCACUAUCCGAAGGGUUGGCCUCGUAGGGGACCAAUUCAAAUACUUCCUCAAAUUCCGGAGAUCCUUCUGAAUAUUCCGAGAAAUCUCCUUCUGGUGCUUAGGUGUCUAUAACACAACAUAUGCAGGGGUUAGGAAUGCAAAUUUUUGAAUACAAGACUAUACAACUUUCCUUCAUGAUAGAGUUGCAAGCCAACAAGGACUAUACAAUUUGUCAUGAUAAAGUUGCUAACCAACACACGAAAACCCGAAAAAAUUAACCCAACAAUUUUAUUUCCUUAACUAACCUUACUUAGGGCUUUUUCUUUUAUUUAGAACAUGUUAUAAUUAUUUUCUAGCUUUAAAACCUAAUUUCCUAUGAGUUAAUACUAAUUUGUGAUUAUGAAAAUGUUAUUCCAUAUUUUAUGCAUUUAAUAAAGAUUAAGUAUUUAUUUAAAUACCUUUGAAAUAAAGGCAUUAAAUAAAUACCUAAAUUUUUAUUAUUUUCCUAGGGUAUAAAAAUUUUAAUGCAUAAAGGAAAAUAAAACAAGCCUAACAAAAUUGGUUUCACUAAUUUUGAACACUCCUAGAAAUUUCUGUAAUUUAAAUGGUGAGAUUCGGAUUUAAACUAAUUAUUCUAUAAAGGAAAUCUAAUUUUUCGCAAAAAACACCCCCGGAAACUUUUCUCACGCGACCCUAUUCUACCCCCUCUCUCUUACACUGGGCCCGCGACUCGGACCUACCCCUUCUCCUAUUCAUCCUACCCGCCGGCCUACCCCGUCCUCUAACGGGCUCUCUAGGCCGAUUCUUCUUUUCCUUUUCUCUUCUCGGACCGGCACCGGCCCAACGGCCCACUCCUUCUUUUCUUUUUCUCCCGCAAAACCUGGCCUGCUGAAAGCCUGGGCCUCCGGCCUUUCUCUUAACGGACGACCGCACCGGCUCCUUGGGCCUCCGGAACGCUGGCCCAACUGACACCCGCGCCCGACCGGCCUGCCUCCUUUUCUCCCCCGCCUCCUCUGACUUGCGGGCCCGCGGCUCCAGUACCUUCUUCCUCCUCCCACCAAAAACCGGCACGACAGGGGGUGGCACGGCUUGCCGGUCGGCACCCUACCGGCGACGGGGCUAAGCCGGGGAAGCAUCCCGAUGCCCUAGUGCACCCGUGCGUGGUGAUAGCUUCCCGGGAGAUGGCCGGAGUUACUUCCUCCACGGCGGCGGGCGGCGACGCCUACGGCCGGUUGUGGCUAGGCAAAACGAUGGCGCAACCUACCCCGACAACCACUGCUAUAGCUUCCUAGAACCCUAAGGACUCGCCUACGACUACCCAAGAAGAAAGAGAACAAGAGCAAGGAGGUGCUCACUGUGAGCAGGAGGUGCGGCGACGGCGGAUGGAAACGACGGCGGUGCAGGGUAUUCCGGCAAGGAUGUUGGACAACAACUCGACUCGGGUGUAGCUGGGGUAUCUGUGGAGGAGUGGGAGAGAGGAAUCGACGGGAGGUGAGGCAUGGCAGAGGAAUUUGGCUGGCGGCGAUGGCUUGGACAGAAGGGCGGUGGCGGUAAAAAGAACAGGCAGUAGAAACGGUCGUCGGGAGCGGUAGUUAUUCAAGGCUUUCACCACGCGCAUGGGUGACACCGUUGUCUACUCGUAGGCUUGCGUGGUGAGGAGGUGGCGUAGCUGCCGCGCUGGUGGGUGACCGAGAACGCCGGCGGCGACACGUCGAGCUCGGCUCUGUCAUCCUCCCCCACUUUAUUUCUGACGCUCGAAAUCUUCAGAGCUCAAUCACGGUCGAAAGUGCAUCCGACGGCCCACAAGUGUCUUAACCAAAGUUGUAGACUAGUUUGAGCUCUACAAUUCAUAUUUAACUCUUGCCCGAGAUUUUCAUUCAUUUGUUGGCAAUUUCAAAAUGUUUGGCCUCAGGUGACUGAAUUCCAUUGAAUUCCGAUUCAGUUCGUGAGUCACUUGGUCAUGGUCAUUUACCCUUCUUUGUAAAUCAUUUCAGUGAUCCAAAUCCUUUUCUUUCAGUCCAACUUCUUCCCAUUUUUGUUCUACAACAUUCAAAGGUUCCAUUUUGCCCAUAAACACUUACACUUUUUGUUCUACAUUUUUCUGAAAUUAGCUCCAAAUUCAGCCACAUAUUGCUGUUUUCAGACUUAGUCAAUUUCAGCAAUGCAGUCUACCGUGACAAUGUGCUGACUUUGAGCUCAAAUUUGAAUUUGUUCCCCUUACUGUUCCUGAUCAACAACACCCAAAUCUAUAUGUACAAAGUCCAUAAUUCAUCACUAUGUAGUUUUCUUGGUCCACAUAUUUGGAAAAUUGGUGAAAAUUAAUUUCCAAAAUGGACUCUGCUGCUGUUUUUCUGAACUCCUUAUUGUCGGAUGGUGAACAGUAUUUGGGUUUUUAAUUUCUUUCUUUGAGUUUUCUUGAGGUAUUUGGGACCAGGUCUUGUCCCAAAUCUUUAUCUUCAAGUUCUAAUCACCCUUACACCUCCAUUCCAUAUUUUUGCCAAAUUUUUCUGAAUUUGGAAUUCAAAAUUCAAAUUUCGGUCAAAUUUGACCCGAAUUUGAUUUUUAGCCAAUUUCUUCUCCUCUUCUUCAUGAACUGCUUCUUUUUCUUCAGAGCUACUUUGAUGACUAAAAAUGGCAGGUAUUACAGAUACACCGUUGGCCAGGGAGUUGAUUACGGCAUUGUAUACCGUGUUGGCCAUCACUGGGGAUUGAUCGAUGAAAGCCUGGUAGACGGAUUGCCGAACCAUAUCGGACAUCUUGCCCGAGUCUUCAGCAAUGGUGAUCUGGCGGGGAGCUGGGAAAGGAGCUUUCUUGACGGUCUCCCCGCUCCUAGUACGACUAAAAAAUUGCAGGCAUGUUUUCCGGUAUUGUUCUAUCUGCUUUUCCAACUCUUCUUUCUGGUCGUCCUUGAGAUCUGCUUCCGUCACUUCGAUGAUGUUGUCUUCGGAGAUUUCGGCAACUUUCGACAAGUUAGAGGUUGUAUUGGUCCCACCGAUCAUGCCAAAAGUGUGUUGGCGCUAAAAGUCAGCCGAUUGACCCUCAGCGUCGGACACACGACCCGGGAGAAUCUGCUUAGCUUCUGUUCGGGUGAUUGCCCUGGUGCGGUUCGUACGGCAUGCCAGCCAAUCUGACCUAUUGAUUGGCAAGGAAGAACAAUGUGUCAAAUUCCAGGGGUUACGAUCGACUAAAGGUUCUGAUCUCAAAAAGCGUAUCAGCGAAUCGGCUGAUUUGCUAUAUGAAGAUACUCGGCUAUAAUACAGCCGACAAUCACGUAACGAUUGCGAAGGAAACUACUAGAGUAAACUGAACAAGGCUACGAAAGCAACACUUGAAAUGGAUCUAAUCGGCUAUAUGAUGAAUGAAAAUAACAAUAACAAAGCUAACAGCUCAAGUCCCAAGCUGGAUAACUGGUGAUAAAACUAGAACAACAGAUAAAACCUAUAAUUCUAGUAAAUAUCGAUAACUUGUGAACAAAUCUAAAUGAAACAACAGCGAUGCGCCCGAAGUUAAAGCUUAAAUAUUACUCGAUAAAUGAAACUUACAGAAUCGGCCGGAGAUCAUGUUGAUGCAGCCCUGCCAACCCAUACGAACUCGUUAAAGAAGAAAAGUAUUGGCGAAGUCGCCGACUUGAAAGUAAAGUGUGAUGAAAAAGUAGAUUUGUUUGUAUUGAUUGAUGUGUUCUUUACAAAUCUCUAAAGGCGGCUAUUUAUAUCCUGUUACAACCAAUUUCCUAACUGACUAGGAUCUAUCUCUAAUCUUAAACAAAAACGAAUAUUUACAAACACAACUCGUAUCGGAGUUGGUUAUUAUACUCCCGCGGGCCAAUCUUUCUCUAUCUUCUUUUCCUAAUCCACUUUAAGCCCAAUUGGCCCAAUCGCUCCAGCCUUCCAGUCGGCCGAUCUCCACCAACUCCAUCCGCCAAAAUAGUGUAGCGCCAAUCGGCCGAUUCCCAAUCGUGACCUUUUAAUCUGCAGCGUCGGCCAGCCCUCUCCUUCCUUGAUGUUGAUGCCAUACGUGUCACAAUCCGGCGUCAACACAUUUUUAUUGUUUCACCCCAUCUAUAAUUUCAUAUUCAUUAUCACUAUGUACUAAUUAACAAAUCUUGAACUGUUAGCCCUCUGGAUCGAUGAAGCGAAAUAAACUACGAGGUCGUACAAAGAUAAUGGAGGGAAAGCUUCACAUCACAGAAGUGAUAGAUGAGGGCAAGCCAAUUGCUCCCAAACAUGUGGCUAGAAAGUUCAUGAGUUAGAUGAGGGCUAUUGUAAGGGACAAUGUGCCCAUCAGCAUUAGAGAAUGGAAGGGUAAACAAGAUGAGCCAUACAUGCUCCCGCAGGCUCAAAAGGAUAUCUUGUGGGCAGAUGUCAAGAAACACUUCACACUUCCUGAAGGUGUUAAAGAAAAAUAUGUGAAAGAGUGGACAUUGAAGAAGAUGGCAACCCAAUUCCAAACCUUCAAGAAGAAUCUGGAUGCCAACUUUAUCAAGGAGGGCUGAACUCCAGAUUUUGAUUAGUGGCCAAAGUUAAGGGACCACUGGAACUCAUUUGUCCAAUACAAGAUGAGCGAAGGUAGUGCGAAUAAGGUUGGCAUCAAUGUUGCCAAUGCUAGCAAGGAGUACCAUCAUCGUCUAGGGCAAGGUAGUUACAUGAGUGCAAUUCCCAAAUGGAAAAAGAUGGAACAAGACAUGUUCGAUCGAGGUAUCAUACCAGCAACUAUUGAUUGGCCCGAUCGAUCAAAAAAUUAGUAAUACGCUCAUGGAGGCAACUUGAGCCAAGAGGAUAGGACACAUAUGUUCAAUGAAACAAUAUGUGAGAAGGCCGAAAGGCUUAUCAAAAAUAUUGAAGAUGCUAAAGCUAGGAAGUUGAAGGUUGAUAGAGAGAACGAUGAGCUCACUUUGGCACUCGAGAAUCCCGAACACCCAAGAUAUUGCCGAGGCUAUAGGGUCAUUCUGUGGAAGUUUGCUUUUCGUAGGAACAUCGACUCAUACAGAAGCCGCAAGCGAAGAAAGGAACAGCAAGAGGAGAGCAAGCGGUGCAUGUUAGAGGCCAAAGUGCAUUCACAAGAAGUAAGAAUGCAGGAAGAAAUUAAUCGUCGAGUGGCCCUAGCAGUUAUUGAGAUGGCCCAAUCUGGAGCACUACCGGAUCCCAACGUCGUCAGCCCUUCUCAACACCGAAGCAGCUAUGCUUCCACAGGGGUCCCCGAUGAGCACAUGUCAAGAUUACCCGUGGACAACCAACGGUUCCCUAUGGAUGACAUCACUCAUCGCACCUCAUGUGAGUUGCAUAGACCAUUCGGCAACAUCACUAUUAAGGUAUACAUAUAUAUAAUUUAUGCAAUCUUCUCAAUUGAUCCAUGCCUCAGGAGUUUAAUAACUUCUUUAUUUCUCCUAUAUGUACAGGUGGCGUACGGGAGUGCUUUACCAAUCCUGCCAGGGCAAACAAGCCAUGGCAUGGAGAUUCCACUUGGCUACUCCAGCGUUGGCCUAGAGCAUAUUGUUGAUAGUCAAUAUGAAGGCCUAGAGCUCAACCUCCCAACAGGUUAUGGGGAAAGGACACUAGGAUAUGCACUUAACGGGAUCAUUCUAUGGCGCAAACGCUACAUGAUCAUCCCCGGUAAGGAGGCAUCAUUACUCCUCGUAGAUCCCCCGUAGCGACCAUCUCCUCAAAACUCAAGACCGUCAUCUCCAGUACAUCCACCUCUAGGAUCAUCAUCACCACUGGGACUGUCACAUCCUGCUCGAUCACCGUCUCCAUCUCCAUCAAAUCGUGGUGGUGCGAGCGACGACGACCACAACACCCCUCCCCGAUCACCGUCGCCGGGCCUAAGACCCGCAGUGAGCAAGGAACCUGCAGCACCUCUGAAGAAGCCAUGACCACCACCUUCCAAGCCAAGGCAGCCAAAGAAAAUAAAGAAGUCUGAACCCAUUCAGAAGGUACUGGCCGAUAUGACUACGGAGGAAUUGCGGGAGCUAUCGCAUGCAACAGUGAAGGAGUUCUUCAAAAAAUGUGCUGAACAAAGAAAAGCAAAGCAGAUGGAGCCAAAGCUAGUAGAUUGAAGCGUCCCCACAUAAGUAGAGACUAAAUGUGAUACAAAUAUCAGUCCCAGGAGGCUGAUAACACAUUUAUUCGAUAGGUAAUUCAAUUACCGUACAACUCCCGAGGGAGUGGGCGUGAGAGCCACGCAGCAAUAAGAAGUAAAUAAACAAUAGCGGCUAACCAAGCAACUGCCAAAAGACAGCACUCGGGACUACACGGCAGCAGCAGCAUCUUGGAAAGGGCCAACACCACAGGCAGCGUUGGGUGCAGACACAACCUCUACUCAAGGUCGUCGGCGAUGAAGUUCGUGUCUUCCUCUGUAGCAACGAAGCAAGGGUGAGUACGAACGUACUCAGCAAGUCCAACCCCAUCCACGGAGGGGGAUACAAACAAGUAUAUGCACAGGAUACAACAAGGAUAGGCUAGAGUUUAUUUGCAAUAAAGCUAAAUUUUUCAACACGUGCAUAGGCUCGUUUGCAAACAAAUUUUUGUAAAGCUUUUCUUUAGUAACCGAACAAAAAGUAGGGUUGAUCCUACACAAAGGAUCCAUGUUUUUAUCGCUAUCGGACUCCCCGUCCGCCAUAGCGCACGGCACAACUGCCAGACUCUUCCAAAAUGCAACCCACACACACAAACACACACCAUCCAUGCCCAAGUGCUAGUUAUGUGACCAAGCUGUAACUCGUCCAAUGCUGUGGACACGGCUACCCGGAUAGGUUUUAACUCUGCAGAGGUUGUACACUUUUCCCACAAGCAGGGUACCGCAGUACGAUCACUUUAGUGCUGGUGCGGAUCCUAACAAAGCCAUUACCCACCUUAGCUAAGACUGGCUAGCCCUCACGGAAGCACCCAAGGGGUUCACGGCUCAUCCUCGAGACCGUAACCAGGACCUAAGUCACCAAGAUCUUAUUCCUUUUCCAUGGGCUCCCGCUGCUCACCAGCACCCCUGAAGACUAACAGUUCAGCUAGUGGGAUUUAUGCUAAGCCGUUGCCCAUACAACGGUCGAGUGGUUGCACGAUGGUUGAAUUAGGCAAGAUGACACAUCAACUCGGUCCUUAACCAUGACAAGAUGGAUAUCUCACGACAUUGCUCAACCACCAAGGUACGAGCACAACACCCUGGCAUCCCACACAAGGAAUACCCAUCCAUCCUAUCUACACAUCCUUUCCCUUGAACCCAGAAAGUCAUUUUCCCUUAUUUGCACACACACACACAUGUUUAUUUUUCGAAAACAUAAUUGUAGUGAUGAUUGUAUUUGAGUAGUAAUUUCCUAAGCAUUCUAGCGGUGGCUAUCGACCAAAUAGAGUGAAUCAUAUUUAGAGACAACCAUAGGAUAACAAGGAAUGUUCAUAACAAUCAAGGGGUGGCUAUCCAACCAUGUCUUGCAAUAAAACAAUAUGCAUUUUAUAAAACAGGCCAAUAGGUUGUGUUUGAAAAACUGGGUAUUAAGUAUGCAUCAAAGGGUGAGAUUGGACUUGCCGUCUUCAAAGUCUUCCGGGAGUUCCGGCUCAUGUUGCUGAUCCUCGGGCUUGGGCUCACGGUCAAACUCCUCCUCGGGAUCCUCCUUGGGCAAUCCGCGAUCUACGGCACACACAAACGGACACACAAAUAAAUAAAAGAAAUAGCGGUUUUUAACUGUGAGCUCCGAACAGAAAAUGUGAAUGGAAAAUAGGUAGAAAGAUUACUUUUCAGAAAUUUGGAUAUAGAUCGGCGGAAGUAUUUUGGAGGAUGAUGUGGUAAAAUUUGGGAUUAAUUGGAGGAAGUUUGGCGCAUGAAAUGACGGGUUAAACAUGAAUUAGGGGCUUAAACGGAGGUUUAGGACUGAGUUAUAAUAAACCAGGGACUUAUUUGCGAAUACUUUUGGAGGUGGAGGGGUCGAUCUGCGAAAUAGCCUUUGAAAGAGUUGGAAGGACCUAUGUGUAAAUUGGGGAAACUUGGGGGUCGGAUCGAGAUUGGAGGACUUUAGCUUUUCUUCUUCCAGGAAGGGAGAGAGAGUGGGGAGUUGGGGAUCCGGCGGCGGCCGGCCGGCGGGGCUUCGCCGGCGGCGAGCCAUGGGCCGGGGGCGGCGGAGGGAGGGGGAUCCAUUUGGCCCCUUACCUUGGAGUUUCGGAGAGGGAAAAAGGGGGGCGGCCGGCGGUGGUCCGGUGGAGGCAGCGUUUGGGCGGAGGAGUUUGGGUGGUGGCGGCGCUAUUUGCGGCGGCGGGGCUCGGCGCGGGCACCCGGGUGGCGGUGGCGGGGGUUGGGUGUGGAGGAGGUGGCCGAGGCGCCCCUCCUUUUAUAGGCCGGCAGUGGCGUACUAACCGGCGGGAAGGGUGGGGGUCCGGGUCCGGCGGCGUACGGCGGAGGUAGGGGUCAGACAGGUCGGGCCGGCGGCGUGGGCGCUGGGUGGAGUCGUUGCGGCGGUCGGCAUGGCAAGGGGCGGGACCGGCGGCGUGCGGGAGGUGGGGGUCCGGUGGUGGCGCGCCGGGCAGAGUGGCCGAUGGGCCAAACCGGCCGGGGAGCCGGCGCGGGGCGGCGGCACGUGGCCCAAGUGCGGGCCUAAGGUGGCUGGGCGGCGUGGCGCCUGGGGGCGUGGGCACCGGCGGGAGUAAUGGCACCGGGCCGAAUGGAGCAGUGGCGCCAGUGGAAGUGGUGCCGGGUGCCAGGGAGAAGAAAGGAGGAGAGAGAAGAAGGAAGGAAGAAGAAAGAAGGAGGAAGAAAGGAAAGAGGAAAAAGAAAAGAAACGGGGAGGGAAAAAGAGAAAGAAAAAGAGAGGGACCGGCGGCGUUCGCGGCACGCGGUUAGAGCACGCGCGCGGCGUCUGGUGACGGCACGCGGCGGAAAAUACGGGCACGGAUAAAGAGAUAGGGGUCGGCUUGGGUGCCGGGACGGCGAAAUCGCCGGGAAGGUUUUGGAAUUCCGGGAGCUCAGCGGUAAAAAGAUUUUAAAGACGAUUUUUAACGGGUGAUUUUAGUUGGUGAUUUUCGCGGAUGUUACAAACCUACCCCACUUAAAUUGAAUCUCGUCCUCGAGAUUCGGCUGAGUCCUGAAGAGGUGGGGAAAUUCCUUCUUUAAUGUGUCCUCACGUUCCCACGUGGCCUCUUCUUCGCCAUGUCUACUCCAUUGCACUCUGCAGAUCCGGACUGCUGUAUUUCUUGUCCUUCUUGUGACGGUGUCCAAAAUCUUGACGGGCACUUCUUGAUACUGAAGGUCCUUUUGUAGGUCUAUUGUCUCCACCGGUACUUGUUCCUCCGGUACUCUCAACCAUUUCCUCAGCUGAGAGACAUGAAAUACCGGGUGUAUAUCCGACAUUUCUUCGGGCAGUUGGAUACGGUAUGCUACGGCUCCAACUCUCUUUAACACCUGGUAUGGUCCAAUAUACCGAGGGGCUAGUUUUCCUUGCACUUGAAACCUUCGAGUACCCCAAAUCGGAGAGACCUUGAGGUAGACAAAAUCUCCCUCAUUGAAGCACAAUUCCCGUCUUCUUUUGUCCGAGUAGCUCUUCUGUCUGGACUGUGCAGGCUUCAGCUUCUCUCGGAUUUCUGCCACAUGGUCUUCUGCUUCCUUGAUGAAAGCUGGUCCGACCAGGGAGCGUUCUCCCACUUCUGACCACAUCAAAGGGGUCCAACACUUUCUACCAUAAAGGGCCUCAAAUGGUGACAUGCCUAGGCUGGCUUGAUAACUAUUGUUGUAUGAGAACUCUGCAUAGGGUAAACUUUGUUCCCAAUCCUUGCCACAGGUGAGGACACAUGCUCUCAACAUAUCCUCCAUGAUUUGAUUUACCCGCUCUGUUUGGCCAUCGGUCUGGGGGUGAUAGGCUGAACUAAAGUCCAAUUUAGUGCCCAUGGCUUUAUGCAAACCUGUCCAAAACCUGGAGGUGAAUUGGGUCCCUCUAUCCGAGACGAUCCUGCUGGGCACACCAUGCAGCUUUACUAUGUUAUCGACGUAGAGUCGGGCUAGCCUUUCUCCACCAUAAGUGGUCCGUACGGGUAAAUAGUGAGCAACUUUAGUGAGUCGGUCUACUAUUACCCAUAUGGAGUCAUUUCCCUUCUGAGUUCUAGGCAAGCCUACUACAAAAUCCAUGCCAAUCUCAUCCCACUUCCAAACCGGGAUAGGCAAGGGUUGCAGCAAGCUGGCUAGCUUCUGGUGCUCGGCCUUGACCCUUUGGCAAGUAUCACAACGGGCGAAAAACUGAGCUAUGUCCUCCUUCAUUCCAUUCCACCAGUACUUCUGUUUCAAGUCCAUAUACAUUUUGGUGGACCCGGGGUGAAUGGAGUAUGCCUAGUUAUGGGCUUCGUCCAUGAUGGUCUGCUUGAACUCUUCGUCCUUGGGGACACAAAUUCUAUCCUUGUACCACAGGGUUCCUUUGUCGUCCACCCUGAAAUCUGGGGCUUUAUUUUCUCCGGUCUGCUUGCGGAUUUUUACUAAGUCCUGAUCUGAACUCUGGGCUUCUCAGAUUUUAUCCUCCAAGGUGGGCUGGACACUUAGCUUGCGGCUAGUAUUCUGGGGAACUAUGUGUACAUUUAGCCGAGUUAUCUCCUCUUGUAGGCGGGUGUUCUCGGGUCCGGGCUGUCCAUAGGACUUUCGGCUUAAGGCGUCAGCCACAACAUUAGCCUUACCGGGGUGAUAGUGGAUUUCUAGGUUGUAGUCCUUUACCAGUUCUAACCACCUCCUUUGCCUUAAAUUCAGAUUGGGCUGGGUGAAAAUGUACUUUAGGCUCUUAUGGUCGGUGUAGAUUUCACACUUAUUCCCAAUCAGAUAAUGUCUCCAGAUCUUGAGGGCACGCACUACGGCUGCAAACUCUAAGUCAUGGGUUGGGUAGUUCUGUUCAUGGGGCUUAAGUUGUCGGGAAGCGUAUGCCACAACCUUCCCAUCCUGCAUGAGGACACACCCUAAUCCUUGUCGGGAUGCAUCACAGUAGAUGACGAAGUCUCGCUGGAUAUCAGGUAAGGUUAAUACUGGGGUUGUCGUCAACCUCUUCUUCAGCUCUUGGAAGCUCCGCUCACAUGACUCAGUCCAGGUGAACUUCUUAUCCUUCCUGAGCAGCUCUGUCAUGGGCCGGGCUAUCUUGGAGAAUCCCUCAAUAAAUCUCCGGUAGUACCCAGCUAAACCCAGAAAACUCCUGAUCUCACUAACAUUGGAGGGUUGCUGCCAGUUGGAGAUGGCUUCAAUUUUCUCAGGAUCAACUGCAACUCCUUCUGCGGUCAGGAUAUGACCAAGGAAUGCCACUUUCUCGAGCCAAAAUUCACACUUGCUGAAUUUAGCAUAGAGUCGGUGGGCUCUCAAUUUCUCUAACACCACCCGUAUGUGUUGUUCAUGCUCCUGAACACUCUUGGAGUAAAUAAGUAUGUCGUCAAUAAAGACUACGACAAACUUAUCUAACUCAUCCAUAAACACCUUGUUCAUGAGAUUCAUGAAAUAAGCAGGUGCAUUGGUCAAUCCAAAAGACAUCACGGUAAACUCAAAUUGACCAUAAUGGGUGACAAAAGCCGUCUUUGGGAUGUCGCUCUCCUUGAUCUUGAGCUGAUGAUACCCUGACCUUAGAUCUAUCUUAGAGAAAUACUUGGCUCCUUUCAGCUGGUCGAAUAGGUCAUCUAUUAUGGGGAGGGGGUAUUUGUUCUUAAUGGUGACCUCAUUCAGUGCGCGAUAAUCUACGCACAUCCUCAUACUCCCAUCUUUCUUCUUGACAAAAAGUACGGGGGCUCCCCAUGGGGAUGAGCUAGGCCUGAUAAAGCCACUCUGCUGCAAUUCCCCCAACUGCUUCUUCAGGUCGGCUAACUCUGAGGCUGCCAUCCUAUAGGGUCUCUUGGCUAUAGGGGAGGUUCCGGGGACGAGGUCAAUUACGAACUCUAUGUCCCUGUCAGGGGGCAUUCCAGGUAGUUCCUCAGGAAAGACAUCCGGGUAUUCACUCACUACCGGGACCUCUUCUAUGGUCUUGGUCUCCAUGCUAAACACCAUGGGGUCUGGACCACUUCCUCGGGUGUGACAGGUCGCUUGCACACCAUCCCUAUUGGUCAGGCGUACUACCUUAUCAGCACACCCUAUAUGACCGUCAUGCAGGCUCAACCAGUCCAUACCAAGAAUCACAUCUAUCCCCUUAGACUUAAGUACUACUAGAUCUGCUAUAAAUUCUACCCCACUUAAAUUAAUCCUUACCCAGGAACAACCUAGUCGACACUGGAUGUCGGCCCCAGGAGUCCGGGUUAAUAGGGGUAACUUUAGUAAUACUGUGGGUAUAUGGUGUUCUUCCACAAAACUUGAGGAUAUGAAGGAAUGUGAUGCUCCAGAGUCAAAAAGUAUUGUUGCCAAGACUGAGCUGACUAAAAACUCACCGAGUACCACGCCCUGAGCUUCGCGAGCCUCUUGCGCGCUGAUGUGGUUGACAUGGGCUCGUCCAAAUGAUUGCUGGGGCGGCCUCAUCUACUAACUGUUGUUGUUGCUGGGCUUGUUGUUGCUGCGGCCCUGGAGAAGGCUGCUGGCUUGUUGGCAUAGAGGCAGUUGGCGAUGAAAUGACCUGGCUCUCUGCAGUUGAAGCAUGCCCUGCCGUUGCUGGUGAUUUGGCUGGCGCUGCUCUGUGGGGUCUUGGCAGGGUUCUGGCUCCUGAACAGGGCAGCGGUCUGGUGCGAACCGGGUGUUUGGGACUGGGUCCGGUAAUGCAUGGGAGCUUGGGACCUAGGUAAGGGGUGACCGAAGCUCCUUUGCUUCUGGAAUCGGUCCUACUGGUGAGUCUUGCUCUCCAGGAACCGGCACUUGUUGUCCCUCCGUUCUUCUGCCUUGGCCCUCUCGGUCAAGAUGGCCAUGUUCAUCAAGGUGUUGAAGUCGGGGUAGAUCUGGGGAGUGAGUAGGGUCCUCAGUUCUGCGUUCAAGCCUUUCUUGAACAUGUCCUGCUUCUUCUCAUCCUUAUCCACCUCCUCUAGAGCAUAACAGGCCAGCUCCAUGAACUAGAAGGUGUACUCCUCCACAGAUCUGUUUCCUUGGCGGAGCUCGUGGAACUCAUCCGCCUUGCGCUUCAUGGUGGCUGUGGGGAUAUGGUAGCGACGGAAUUCCAUCAUGAACUCAUCCCAGGUGAUCGUGGAGGCAUCCUGGGCGGCAGAGCAGUAGUUCUCCCACCAGGCUAGGGCAGUUCCAAUGAGCUGGUGGGCCGCCAAGAGAACUUUGUCCCUGCCCUCGCAACCAAAUGGCUCCAGCUUCCUCUGGAUGAUGCACAACCAGUCAUCUGCGUCCAGCGGGUUGACGGACCCACCAAAAGUGGGUGGCUUGGUCCAGAGGAAGUCCGUCAACUUCUCAUUCAUGUUCUGCCCGCAGGGCCUCUGGUGGGUAACGGCGUUGGCCAGAGCUUCCAGUAGAAGGGUCUGGUUGUUCAUUACUUGAACCAGAUCAAUAACUGGUGGGGGUGGUGGCUGCUGUGUUCCCACUUGGCUUUCUCCCCUUCCUUCUGGCUGGCUUACUUCCUGUUCCUCAGGAAGCACUGCCGGAGGUGGUUCUUGCCUUUUUGGCUGCCUCUCAGCACUGGGGGUGGCAUGGGCCUGACUUGGGGAAGUCCUGGUGGUACACUUGGGCGGCAUCUGCAGAUUGAGUGAGACUUUAUGAGAGUGGGAUUUGGAUUUUAGUGAUCUUUAAAGUGGUUAUUUCGUAUUUUUGAAGAGACAGAAUCCACCUCCUGUCGACAAACACACAGACUAACAAGCAACAAACACAAGCGAUUUUAUUUAUUUUGCCAUGAGGGGGGGUACAACACUGCUGGGGUAAGGCCAAAACACGUACUACACGACCGGUUACAACAACACAACUGGAGGGGGUACAACUCUAAACUAUGGACCAUGUCGGCUUCAUUCUCUGGACAUCUUUGGGCGGGGCAUACUACUCGCGGGGCGAGUCUUCUCCCUGGACUAAGUGGUCUUCUAGCGGGAUGAGGAGGGCCAGCACCUCAUCCUUCAAAGUCCCGCCCGCUGGAGGGGUCUCGGGCGCCUCUCCAUCCGACACCUCAGAGUUCCUUUCCGAGGGCGGUGGCGCUGGGGUGGCAUCUGGGCUCUUCCGUUUACUGGACCCUGGGGCGAUGGGAAUUCCUUCAAGGAUCGGGGCCUCUUCAUCCUCGGUGGCCACCAUCCUCCUCCUGGCACGAAUGGUGAGGUGGGCAUCCUUCAGUUCCUUGGAGUGCUGAUCCUCAGCCUCCUUGAGAGCCUCCACGGCAAUGGCCUCGUUGCUUUGAGCGGCUGCGGCUCGGGCUUCGGCGGCGGCUAACUUCACCUGAAGCCUUCUCACCAUAACCUCUGCAUCCUCGGCCCUACGAGUCUACUGCUUCAACUUAGCAGCCUACUCGUCGUAGAGCUCGUCCAAGGUGAGAAGGUAGGCAGCCAUGUGGAGUACAAUGGGAUCGUCCUCGCGCUGUCCACGUCCUUCCAAGGUUCUCACCCGGGCCAGCCAUACCGGGCGGUUCUUCUUGAUAGGCGGGUAGAACCUCAUCGGAGUGCGGCCGAUGUGCCUCUCGUAGAUCUGGCAUAGGAAACGGAGGGCCUUCCGAGCUGCCACUUGAUAAGUAUCCUUGUGUCGGAAGCCGGUGGCAGUCACAUUCCAAGGCUGGAUGUCGGGGUAGCGGCUACUCCGCCCGAUGUAGAUAAUCAUCUCACAUCGAGGGGUUCCGCGGUCCUCGUAUUCCCUGCUGGUGUACUCCGGACGCUCGUAGAUUCCGAGGCGGUCCAUGCAAGCGAACAAUAAUCUAGGAAAACCGGGCUCCUCCAGGCAGUGGCUGUUGACCCAUCCUUCCUCGGCCAUCUGGAAAAGAUCCGGGCAUAAAUUAGUUUCGCAAUAGAGCAGAGGUAGGCAAAAAUUUUAUAAAUCUUUUAUUUUGGUCAAAAAGGGCUAAUCCAGUCCUAAGGUCGCGUCCUACAGCCAACGAUGGCUCUGAUACCACCUGAAGCGUCCCCACUUAAGUAGAGACUAAAUGUGACACAAAUAUCAGUCCCAGGAGGCUGAUAACACAUUUAUUCGACAGGUAAUUCAGUUACCGUACACUCCCCAUGUAAGUAGAGACUAAAUGUGACACAAAUAUCAGUCCCAGGAGGCUGAUAACACAUUUAUUCGACAGGUAAUUCAGUUACCGUACACUCCCGGGAGUGUACGGUAACUGAAUUACCUGUCGAAUAAAUGUGUUAUCAGCCUCCUGGGACUGAUAUUUGUGUCACAUUUAGUCUCUACUUAAGUGGGGACGCUUCGUAGAUUCAGGAAAAUUAAAAAAAUUUAUUGGCAUGUCAAAAGAAGUAAAGAGGAUUGUACUAUCGAACUACGAGUGUUCGUUAGUUAAGUCUGAUUAGAAGAAAAAAUGGCGAGGAGUGUCGUUUUUUAGUCGUACUGCCCCCAGCUCAGGGAUCUAGCAGAUAAAGAUGCUCAAACUAUAGCAGCAAUGCCCUUAGAACAACAAAUCAGAGUCAUUGGAUUUAUGCAAGAUACAUGUAUGUCGCUUGCUAAUGUUCUAGGGCAAUUUGAACUGCUAGCUCCAGAGCCAAUUGUAUCUUAAUGGUGCUUUGAGGUAGGCAAGCGUCUAGUAAGGCUGAAUUGGUAUGGAAGCUCUCCACGAAGAUAUACGAAUUCCAUGAAUGGUACAUGGAGCAAGCUGCCAACGAGAGGCUCAUGUUCGCUCUUCGGGUUAAACCGAUUGAUUUUUUCGAUGAAGGUGAGAAACUCCUAUGGAUGGAAUUCAAGGCCUUGACGUCUCUCUCAUGAGCACCUGGUUCUGUAAGUGUCUCUUUAUCAGUAUGUAAAUUUUUGCUCAGGUCAUUAUUUUUUAUGUGUGCGUCAUCCUACUAAAUUCGUCUUCCAUUGUAUGUAGAAUGCAAAUUCAGAGGUGCCACAGAGAAUCAUACUUUAAUGUUGGCUUCAUAGAUCCAUUGUUCGUUAACCAAAAUCAAAUACGGGAUCAGCCAAAGAAAACAUUGGAGGCAGUAUACAAUUUUUUGGAGAAACAAAAUUACAAAGAAUACAUACUACUACCAUACAACUUUAAGUAAAUGUGGGUACCAUCUAUUUUCAUUUUCUUAUUCCUUACCUAAUUAAUGGUAGUUAGAUCUAAUAUGAACAUUUAUGUACGCAGUUUUCAUUGGAUCCUCCUAAUAAUUAUGAUUGAUAAAAGCCAUGUCGUUGUGUUCGAUUCAUUGAGGAUUUCGAUUCAUUGAAGAAACCACCGGUGAAGUACCAAGACAUUCAAGAUAUGCUAAACUCUUGGAGAAGGGGAAUAUUUUGGCAAUAUGUGAAGGUCUCAUAGGAUUCCUGGUGGACGAGGUGAUAAAUCCCGCGGGAGAAUUUUAUUACGACGGACGUUCAAUAGCCGCACCGAGCAACACCACGACAGGACGAUGCUAGAAAUGAAGUGGACAAAUUAUUGUAUAUAUAGUAAUUAUACAAAUACUAGUUUGAUGUGUAUAAUAUACUAAUAAUUGUAUUUAUAUAUAUUACUACUAUGAAAUAUAUAUACAACUUGCAUACAAUAUUAAUAUGACUUGAAUACAAUAUUAAUAUGGAAAAGAAUUUUUUUAAAAAAAUCUGUUGGCGCUAAAAAUCAGCCGAUUGACUCUCAGCGUCGGACACACGACCUGGGAGAAUCUGCUUAGCUCCUGUUCGGGUGAUCGCCCUGGUGAGGUUGGCGUGGUGUGCCAGCCAAUCUGACCUGUUGAUUGGCAAGGAAGAAACAUGUCAAAUUCCAGGGGUUGCGAUCGGCUAAGGUUCCGAUCUCGAGGAAGCGUAUCAGCGAAUCGGCCGAUUUGCUAUAAAAAGAUAAUCGGCUAUAAUACAGCCGACAAACACGCAGCGAUUAUAAAGAAAACUACUAGAGUAAACUAGAUAACGCUACAGGAGCAACACUUGAAAUAGAUCUAAUCAGCUAUGUGAAGAUAAUGAAUGAAAAUAACGAUAAUCAAGCUGACAGCUCUAAUCUCAAGCUGGAUAACUGGUGAUAAAACUAGAACAACAGGUAAAACCUAGAAUUCUAGUAAAUAUCGAUAACUGGUGAAUAAAUCUAAACGAAACGACAGCAAUGCGCCCAAAAUUAAAGCUUAGAUAUUACUCGAUAAACGGAACUUACAGAAUCGGCCGGAUAUCGUGUCGAUGCAGCCCUGCCAACCCGUACGAACUCGUGAAAGAAGAAAAGUAUUGGUGAAGUCGCCGACUUGAAAGUAAAGUAUGAGGAAAUAGUAGAUUGUUGUAUUGAUUGAUGUGUUGUUUACAGAUCUCUAAAGAUUGCUAUUUAUGGCCUAUUACAACCAAUUUCCUAACCGACUAGGAUCUAUCUCUAAUUUUAAACGAAAACGAAUAUUUACAAGUACAACUCGUAUCGGAGUUGGUUGUUGCACUCCUGCGGGCCAAUCCCCCUUCGUCUUGUCUUUCUGAUCCACUUUAAACCCAUAUUGGCCCAAUUGCUCCAGCCUUUCAAUUGGCCGAUCUCUACCAACUCUAUCCAUCAGAAUACUGUAGCGCCAAUCGGCCGAUCUCCAACUGUAGCACCAAUCGGCCGAUUCCCAAUCGUGACCUUUUAACUUGCCGUAUCAGCCAAUCCUUUCCUCCUUGACGCCGAUUCCAUACGUGUCAAAAUCUGGCGUCAACACAUGCCCCCCAGUUUCGGAGUAAAACAUAAUCUUUACUUCGAAAUUCCUUUUCAACUUCUCCUCCGAAACAAACGCAUUAAAAAUAUCCUUCCAUUUCGCGGUCUUCUGCCUGAUGAUUGCAAUCUUUUUGAAACGGGUGCCUGAGACAAGAACUCCCUCCUCAGGGUCUUCCUCCUCCUCCGGGGCGAUAUGCUCAUCUAGCUGCAUUUCUAAAGCAUGGAUAGCAUUGACCUCGGCAUGGUGCUCGGCCAAGUGUGCAUUAGCAACUGCGAGCUCCAUCUCAACCCCUAGCUUUUCCUCCGUGAGCAGCACCAUAUCAUGCUCCAUGUUCGUCACUUCUUCUUCGAGCUCGGAAAUCCUGGUCUGCAUAUUGGAGACCUGUAUGGCCCUUUGGAUAAGCUGAUAUGACUGUUCUGCCAAGUCUCUCUUGGUGGUGUUGAAAUGCUCCUGGGUGUCUACAGCUAUCCGAGCCAAGACAGCCAUAGCCCGUCCUUGAAGCUCAAUCAGUCGGUACAAAGCUGACAUGCACCUUGUCGUGGUAGAAAUAGUGACCAGCGAGUGUGAGGCUGCCAACACCUCCAUGUUGUUGACGCGGUCAAGCCAAGCCAGGUCCAGCCGAUCCCUAGCAGGGAACAAACUCAUCGGGUCCAAAAGGACCUCAAACGGGUGUAGCCGGCAAAACUGAGUGAGAGCUUGCAAGGCAGCUGACUCCCAAGUGUCCUCAAGGGUAUGACCGUAGGUCGAGACCUCAAGCUGGGGCCACUCGGGCUGCACAGCGGAUGGAGGUACAACCACUUGCACAUUGCACCGUUGUACUCCGUGUUCUUGGUACUCACGUCCCGCGUAAAGAGGCGGUGACUGGUACCCGAACCACCUCAAAGUAUCCCACAAAAUAGCAGGAAAGCCCUCGAAGUGUAGGCAUGUGGAGUGGGAAGUGCCAUCGACGCCACGAAACACAUGUCCGGAAGCAGCCAUCUGGAACUAAGAACCAAAACAAGCGUGAGAUAGAAACCUCAAAAGAGAAUAGAUCGGGCAGGGUGAGACACUCAGAUUUCUAACCAGAGCGCAAACUAAGAAGGUAACUAGAAAUCCUUAAAGUGAAGAAGAGCUUAAAACCAGGGCAAGGUUGUUUUAGGGAUGUGGGUUUACAGAUUUUUGUUCAUGAUGCAUGCACGACCUACAUCGUUCUCUCAACCAAAAUAACUGCCAAAAGCCUUGGUCUUACGCAGUCAGUGUCGGUGGCAAGGCAACAAUUACGUCACUCCCUAUAGUAGCUAGUCAGUUGCUAACAUCGUUUUCCUUUGCGAACGCGGUUAGUGUACCUGCAGAAAACACAACCACAUGAACCUUUCAUGCCAGCACUCAUGAAAGCGUCCCCAAGCAUUACCGUUCACUAUAGAAACGGUACCCAUGCGUUUAACGCUGCAUGGACAGUGCAACAACCGUGGAAAUAGGUCCCCUUUGAAUAGGACCAUAUAACCCUUCGCAUACUCGCGAUGCGGAAUCUGCACACGUAUAAUAGACGUGGGCGAACAACCGUGACGAUAGGCUUGUUGGAAUCGAACCAUACCACCCUUCGUAUCAGUUAACAUAUGGAACCUGCGCAAGUAUAACAAAUGUGGGUGAAAACAACCACGAUGAUAGGGUCCCUUGAAUAGAACUCCCUAUCAACCCUGCAUACUCGUGAUGCCGAAAUCGGCACACGUAUGAUACACGUGGCGAAGUGCUGGUGGUUAGCAAAAUAACUAAUAGAUAGUAGCCACCUGAAAUAACCCCAAAAUUCCCCUAGGGCCUCUCGUACUAAGGUCAUCCUUAACAAUCGUACGAGAUUUUUCAACACAUUUCUUGCAAGUUUUAAUUUUUGAAAAGGUGUUUAGGACCUAUUGUGUUCUCUGUCCUGCUAAACCUGGUUCUGAUACCAGCUAUGGUGGAACACCUCAGAUUAACUUAGCUAAAGCACAUUUGAGUCGCCUAACACGCGAUCAUAUCCUUUAAUCAAGUUAACUCGACGAUCCGUUGGAUUUCAUCCGAUAAAACCACUUUACAGGACCGGGUUAGCAUAGCCUACCCGAGGGUGAGUGGUUCCAGAGAAAACAACAGAUCAACCUCUUAAACAAGUUCAAAUUGUAUUCCAACAUUGGUUUGAAAAUCAGAGUUUUAACAAGGUUCAAAAGCAAUGGAAAAAAAAGAUAAACAGAACAGCGGAAGCUAGAGCCGGGUUGGAUGUCCCUAAUGAGGCCGAUCAGGACAUCAAUGAUCCCUCUCCUCGCCGUCCGAGGAGGGAUCCCACUCAACCAUCCACCCAGGAGGAAGCUGGGGAGGCCAAGUGCCAACAGCAGCACACUCCAAAGCUUCAACAUCACCUGAAAGAUGUGCCACAAACAAGGCUGAGUUACUAAGCUCAACAAGACUUAACCAACAGGUGGAAAAACUACUCUGCCACUUCUAGACAUGCAAGGCUCUUUGGUUGAGGGGUUUAUUUUGCCAAAAGUGACUACAGUAGGUCCUUACUUUCAAUAUUUUAGCUCCGGUUCUAAGUUCACUAACCAGUCUACAUUGGCACUUAGGCUAAACAAACAUAGUUUCCAAACAACAUAUAUAUAGAACAAGCAUCAAGUUCAUAUCAUCAUCAUGUUCCAUCUUUACUCAGUGUAGCAUAGCGAUCAAGCAGUCUCAAGCUGUGAGAGGCAGAUGAAUCGAUUUGAAUUUCUUAACCAUGCAUGGCGAACCUAAUCUCACGACAUCUGCGCACCACCGAGGGUCGCUUCCUGUGUGGCCCGUCCCCAUCGAUCCCCUAACCCGUGUCGGGCCCACUUCUCUUGGUGCAAUGUUCCACAGACCUGGCCUCUGCUGUUCUGUGACCACACUUGCCACCACAUGCGUCCGCAAGGGAAAACUCCAUUCCAGAGAUAGUGGAUCGAACCGCUCACAUCCAGGUUCAAUCAGGUACUAGGCUUCCCCAUCCCAUACUAGGUAUAAGAUUAGUACUUUCAAACACAUGAUCACGAACACCAUCACUUUUAGAACUUAAUUAGAUUCAAGUAGACAGACGGGGCGAUCCACCGACCACCAAAAAGAGUUCACAAGGCCCUGCCCCGUCCACCGUCCUUAUAGUUUUAACCAGAAGGAGAACAACCAACUCCUAUAACUCGCGAGUGACAGGAAAUCACUCGACUUUUACCGAGUCCUCUUAAGCACUACAACUACUCGGACUUAUCAUGCUAGUGUUCAGAUCAAGGGAACUGAGUCAUGCAUCUAUGGUUUCAAACAACUCCUAUAACAUAAAUGCACAUACAUACAAAAGAAGGCAUGCGCAAGUUUAGAAAGAUUGGGUUAUGCUCCGGGGCUUGCCUUUGAUCGGGGUGGAAGCAAACUAGUCUUCAGCGCACUCGGCUUCAGCUCCUGCAGUCGGCAGCUCAGCUACCGCUCCGUCUUCAGGCAUCGGGUGCAGCUCAUAGGUGCCAUCAGCGAGGUUUAGUUCUACACAGAAAUGCAAAUGCAGAGGUUAAACACUUAGACGGUUAUUUCAACAACACUUGCACGCUUUAGCUCAGAAACUUGUAGCAAAGCUACAUGAAAAGGUGUGGAAUCCCAAGCUUCUGUUGAUAGAGAACAAGAUAAAGGGGUCGGGUCAGGAAAACUCAUGAUCUGACCCUCAGACGUAAGGAAUAACUGUACCAGGGUUCUCAGACUUGACACAGAGAAGUCCCGAAUUUUUAAACAGAUACCCUUGGUCAAAAGAAAGGAUACAGCCGAGCCCUCGGGCGAGGCGGACAAGGGUUGGCAAAACAGACAGGGUCGGACAAGAUGGAAAAGGGUUUGGGCGAAACGAGAAGGGUCAGGUGAGAGGGAAAGGGUUUGGGCGAGAUGGAAAGGGGUCAGGUGAGACGGAAAGGGGUCGGGCAAGAUGGAAAGGGGUUGGGCGAACCGGACAGGGGUCGGCAGCUUACCUUUAGGCCUACUGAUGAAGUCUUGGGGUCAGGAAGGAACAGACUCAGGUGGAAAGACUUUGGGCGGCGGCGGGGUUCGAUAGUGCUUCAGCGGUGGCAACGCUUCUUGUCAACAACAAGCAAGCUCUAGCACCGUGCAGAGGACACAAGUGGCUGGUAGGUUGGGAAAAGCGGGUGUUGAGCAGAGAGGGGGGGUUUCUCAAGAGCUUAUGCGGCAGUGCUUGAGUGUGAAACAGAGAAAGGUGCGGCAAGGCAACGAUGGUGAAGGGAACUCUGAUAGAGGCUCUGGUACUCCCAUUUAUAUCUGCGCGGAAGAGAAGGAGUUCGGGCAGCACGAGGAUCAGGUCGAAGAGGAUGGAGUGCUCUGCCGAGGUGGCGAUUGGUCAACACCUCCAUUGGCCGGCAAAGCGGAGCUUCGGGGAUAGGGUCUUCGGUCAUUGGGCACUAGAGACAGAGCUUGUGCAGGCGCGGUUUUGCCGGAAGGAAGGAUUGGUGAGGGUGAGCGCGGGUCUGGUUGCGUUAAGCGGCGGAUUGGGGGCGGCGGCUCAGCUAGCGUGCGGCAGGAAGGAACGAAGGCGCACUGCAGGCAAGGGCGCUGCAGGCGAGUUGACAGGGCGAGCGGCGACGCUAGUAGGCGCAGACCAGCGGCUUUAUCAGGGCAUGCUACUGGCGAGGCGGAAAAAGGAGUUGUCACUGCCGGAGAUGGGGUUGGCGAGGGUGGUAUCGUCACGGUGCGUGCGCGGGGGCAGCGCAACUGAGGGGACGACAGAAAAGAUGGAAGGCAUUGGGACACGGCCGGGGAUCCAAGUGAGAUGAUGAGCACGGGAGGUGAGCUGGUCUGGCGCGGCAGCGGCCAAUCCUUGGUCACAGCGGCGACAGGGCGCCUGGCGCGGCUGGCGAGGUUUCGGGCGAGACGAGACGAGGCAGAAAGGGCUGCAGGGCGCUUCCGCGUGCGAUUGGGAAGGAGGCGAGCUGAUCCAUCUUGUCGCGGCCGGCGACUUGGCGAGGCGGCGCUCGUCGGGGAGGUGGAGCCACGCGGCGGAGAGGCUCUAAAACCGGGCGCACGCUUGCUCGGGUGCGCUUGACCCGAGAGAUCCGUGGGAUCUAUUUCUGGGUCCACCUUCCAGUCUCUCGCUCUCCCAAACCCCCCAAGUUUGGAGGAACACUAGUUUUUGGGACAUAGAGAGAAAAAUGGCGGUUUGGCUGGGUUUCAAGGGUCGGGAUUGAGUCGAACGGCAGAUUUGGGAACUUGUCUCAAGACUAAGCUCGGCUGAUAAACCUAAGUCGUUACACCUGGGCUUCGCGUUUGGCCUUGCCCUUGUCCUAGCCGCCGUUGAAGACCACCCCGACUGUCUCCUUGCCAGAGGUGUGGUUUGUGGUGAUGUCAAGCAAGUCACAGGUGGUCCGGGGUUUGAUGCAGCCGAGCUUGUGGAUUAAAGAUUUGUAGGUCAUCCUAGAGAGGAACGUGCUGACAACGUCAGGGAGGGAGUUGCAUUGCUUGGAGAACCUGCGGACCGCAAGGACUCAUUGGGCUCCUAUUUACAACUUUUGAUGUCCUAGGAGUUCCUAGGGCGGACGUAGGUCCCCUAGAAGUUCCCUAUGAAGACCUUCUUGAGGUCCGCCUAGUCGCAGAUGCUUUUGGGUAGAAGGAACUCGAGCCAAGCUCAAACGAACUCCCCUACAUAGAUGGGGAUGUACUGGAUGAUAAAGUAAUCAUCAUCUACGCCAUCGGCUCGGCAGGCGAGCUGGAAGUCUUCCAACCAUACACCAGGUUUCAUCUCCCUAGUGUACUUGGCGAUGUUGAUGGGCGGUUGGAAGCGCUGUGGGAAUGGCGCUUUCAAGAUGCGGCAACCAAAAGCCCGUGGUCCCGAUUCAUUUGGGCUAGGACUCCGGUCGCCAUUCCGGUCACUCGGUCGGCCACCACACCUAGGGUGCACCUCCUCGCGUUCCUCGUCGGACCGGUCAUGGCCCGCGCCGCCUGCGCUCGCCACCAUUCGGUGGAUGUUGGUGUCAUGUCGAGCCAGGCGUCUCACGUGGAUGACACUGUGUGCGUCACGAUUUGGCCCAAGCUGCUCAUGCACGCGCUGGCACCAUGGAGCUAGUGCCGGGUUAAGCUGCGGCGUGGAUGCAGCAUUCCAUCCUGCACGAUGCGGCUGCGGGGGCAACCGGAUGGAGCGAUUCGGCUGGUGCGGCCCUAAUCCCUCGGUCGGGCAAAAGGCCGUGUGCCACUGUCGUGAUGCGGAGCUUUCUGCCUGCUAGAUGGCGGUGGUCUCUAUCAAUGCCCGGAGGUUCCGGUGGAUUGCCUGCUCCUGCGGGUCUAUUGCGCAAGCAAAGGAGCCAAGGAAUCACUAGAACAACAAACACGUAAUGCGAUGAUUUCAACUCAUUCAAGACUUCGUUAACUGAGGAAAGAUCAAGAUAUGCAAAAUACGCAUAGAUUUAAAUAUUUUGAUCCUUUGACAAAGCCUCUCCCACAGUCUAAGCAUGAUGCGCACAUAAGAGCUAUGGGUAUUACAUAUCUUCUAGAUUGACUCUAGUGCAAGUGGGAGACUGUUGGAGGUAUGCCCUAGAGGCAAUCAUAGAGAUGAUGAUAUUCCAUUGUAUCCAUGAUUUAUAUUGUGUUCCUCGAAUAUCCUUUAAAUGCUACUUGAAUUGAUUUGCAAUUAUGUGAGUUGUGUGUGAAACUCUUUACUUGUAUGAUUAUUCUAGAAGUUAUCCCUAGUCAGAGUUCAUGUGAGGACACACAUGAAUAUUAGACUAGCACAUGUAUUAGUUGAUGACUAUGUUUCAUAAGUCAUGGACAUGGAGAUGUCAAACUAAUAAUGUGGGCACGUGUAGAGACAUGCGCUAGGAAUGACCCAACGCGAGUUACAUAGUUCUCUCUUUACACAACGUGUAUGCUUUGUCCUUAGACCUGAGAUUGUCGCAUGUACUCAAGAUGUGGAUCUACUUACUUAGGGGCUAUCAAACGCUACACCAUAACUGGGUAGUUAUAAAGGUAGCUUUUGGGUUUGUCAAGAAUCAUGCUGUGAGGCAUGGUCAGUCAUGAUGGAAUUUGCCCCUCUCAACUUGAGAGAGAUAUCUCUAGACCCCUCAAGCAAUCGGAUUCGAAAAUGCAUGGCCAUGCUAGGUGAGGUUAAGAGUUAACCUAGAGAGGGAUUUCAAAUCACAGGAUUGAGAAAGAGAGGUCGGCUUGGAGCUAGACCAAAUAUCGUGAGGCAAAGGGAAUAGCAUGUACGUGAUGUUGUGAUGGUUCGUUUGAUAUGAUCUUCGUGUGCGUACAGGAGUUGGCACGUCUUGCUAGAGGCUACUGCCAACUAUUGGCUGAGUAGGAGUAGGGCUGGAAGCCCAAUGAGGAUAUGAUCUGAGUUGGACCAGGUUUAGGAGUACUAAUGGGCCUCGGACCUAGAGGCCCGUCAGGAACCCCUAUAUAUUGAGGGGUGGGGGCAGCUUAGGGUUUGAUCUCUUUUACACGAGCAGCAGCCACGCCUCCCACGCCCUCACCUUAUUGCACUCGUGGACCUAGCAGUCCAGCUUGUGACACUUCCUCCCCGCACGUGUAGAUACCUUGGAGGUGUUGCAUCUAUAGCACUUGGAGGAGCCACCGCACAAGAGCUUGACGAGCCAACGAGGAGCCUGACAAGCCUACGAGGAGCUUGACGAGCCAGCGCACGAGGAGGAAGUCGCUGCACAUGGACGAGCUGUUGAGGAGCUAUUGGACAUGGAGGUUUCGACCACGCUACCCUAACAAAGUGAUCGACUACACUACUCGACACGGUUCAUCAACUUCCGCAUCUGCGGGUCUAGUGGUAACAACAGUAUUCCUGGUUUACGUGGUAGAAAAUUUUGUUUUUGGCACUAGCGUAGCCUACCUACUAACCCUUCAGUGGUAUCAGAGCCGAUGCUAUUUAGUCAUGGGUUCAGGAUGUGUGCAUAUGGUGAUAUGCGAUUUUCAGAUUGAUCUAUGAUAUGGUUUUGUGAUCUUGCUGCAAUGAUCGUGUAACGACAUACUCCUACCAGUCAGAUUUCUGCCAUCGGAAUUAAGUGAUGCACGUAAUGUCAGUUGCAGCGAGCAAAGAUCAAUGUGAUUGGUCAAAUCGAAACCUAGGUUCAUACGCCAGAUGCAUAUGUGUUGGAGGUAUACCCUAGAGGCAAUCAUAGAGAUCAUGAUUAUAGGUAUGCCCUAGAGGUAUGCCCUAGGUCCAUUUGUAUCCAUGAUUUAUAUUGUGUUCCUUGAAUAUCUCUUAAAUGCUACUUGAAUUGAUUUGCAAUUAUGUGAAUUGUAUGUGAAACUCUUUACUUCUAUGGUUAUUCUAAAGUUGUCCCUAGUCGGAGUUCAUGUGAGGACACACAUGAAUAUUAGACUAGCACAUGUAUUAGUUGAUGACCAUGUUUCACGAGUCAUGGACAUGCAGAUGUUAAACUAAUAAUGUCGGCACAUAUGGAGACAUGUGCUAGGACUAACCCAACACGAGAAGUAGUUCUCUCUUUACACAACAUGUACGCUUUUGUCCUUAGACCUGAGAUUGUCGCAUGUACUCAAGAUGUGAAUCGACUUACUUAGGGGCUAUCAAACACUACACCGUGAUAGGGUAGUUAAAAGGUAGCUUUCGGGUUUGUCAAGAAGCAUGCUGUGAGAUAUGGUCACUCAAGAUGGGAUUUGCCCCUCUCUGAUUGAGAGUGAUAUCUCUGGGCCCCUCGAGUGAUCGGAUUCAAAAAUGCAUGGCCAUGCUACGUACGGUUAAGAGUUAACCUACAAAGGAAUUCCGAAUCAAAGGAUCGAGAAAGAGCGGUCAGCUUGAAGCUAGACCAAAUAUCAUGAGGCAAAGGGAAUAGCAUGUACAUAAUGUUGUGAUGGUUCGUCUAAUAUGAUCUUCGUGUGCGUAUAGGAGUUGGCAUGUCUUGCUAGAGGCCGCUACCGACUAUUGGGCCGAGUAGGAGUACUCCGGCCAUGUCUAUACGUAUCCAAACCCAUAGGGUCACACACUUAAGGGGCUGGAAGCCCAAUUUGGAUGUAAUCUGAGCUGGAUUAGGUUUAGAAGUACUAAUGGGCCUCGGACCUAGAGGCCCGUCAGUAACCUGUAUAAAUAGAGGGGUGGGGGCGCCCUAGGGUUGACACCUUUUUGAAAAAACACAUCUGCCGCGCCUCCCACGCCCUCGCCUAUUGCAACUCGCGGACCUAGCAGUCCGGCUUGCGACGCUUCCUCCCUGCACAUGUGGAAACCUUGGAGGUGUUGCGCCUGCAGCACUUUGACGAACCGCCGACGAGCCACGACGAGCCGCCGAUGAGCCGCGGCAUGAGGACGACCUUGCUGCAUGUGGACGAGCUGCUGAGGAGCUGCUCGACGUCGACGUGAUCGACUACGUGUUCGACUACGCUGAUCGACUUCACUGCCCCAACUCGAUUCUACAUCUUCCGCACCAGUACGUUGAGUGGUAAUCCUGUAAUCCAUAUACGGCAGUUUUCCUAGUUUACACGGUAGAAACAAUUUUGUUUUGUGCUAGCGUAGCCUACCUCGUAUCCCAACAGUGGUAUCAGAGCCAUAGCUGUUUCAUUUUGGAUUUGGGAUGUGUGCAUAUGGAGAUAUGCGAGUUUUCAGUUUGAUCUAUGUCCUGGUUUCGUGUUCUUGCUACAAUGGUUGUGUAACGACAUACUCCUACCAGUCAGAUUUCCGCCAUCGAAGUUAAGUGAUACACGUAAUGCCAGUUGCAGCGAGCGAAGAUCAAUGUGAUUGGUUGAAUCGAAAUCCAGGUUCAUACACCAGGCGCAUGAGAUGCACAAUAGUAGAUUGGAUCUACUGCCGGGUUGAAAUUUUGCCGUGUGCGUGUGCUUCAGUAAAACAGCCGUAACUUUUCGGUACGAUCUCGGAUCGGGGUGAAUUUUAUAUGAAAAUUGAUCUACAGAAAAGGUUACACAUGAAAUUCAACCGCUUUUCUAUUUUCGGUAAAAUUAAUUUUCCCAAAUUCGGCUUGGAAGAUGGAGUUUUGGGCCUCUGAAGUUUGGAACGUUAGAACACCUAACUCAGUUUUGCAGACUGUAUGUAUCUUGUGAUCAGUAUGGCCCUUUGUGUAUGUGAUGCAUGUGUGUAACUCAUUCAUGACCUGCAUGUCACGCGUACGGCAACACGGCUGGAGCCAUAUGUGUUGUCACUUUAAUGUAUUUAAUGGUCUGCGUACAAAUCUGUGAUGAUCCAAGCAACUAUGUAAUCUUCCUUACUAGCUAUUAGGCAUCAUAGCAUGUUCUAGUUCUUGGAGGACUCAUCACCAGGAGGAUGGCGCACAUGGAACAUGGAGAUGAAGAUCACCAUGGUGAACAGGUUCUGUGGAGAUGGAGGUCACCAUAAGAAAACGGGCCAUAUUGUGUCACAACUGUGUGCAUGUUAUUCUUUAUGUUUUACUUCCUGCAUGAUGUGAUGUUAGAAGUAGAACGAUCCCACACAAAUUUUAAGUUAGUAUGAAAUUAGGGUGCCACUAGUUUUCCUUGACUAGACGGGUUUGUGUCGGACACUUACACGCAUAAGGGUUGGUUUGCUUAAAAAUGUUACCUUAACGGUUAAGGACCUUGGGGCAUCAAGGUUGGGCGCCGAGACAUGGAGAUGUCACCCAACAACAGGAGUCAUAUGUGAUAUGAUUAGCAAGGAAUUGCUUACCGAUCUACCUUGUUUGCUAGCGGUGAUGCUAAAGCUCACUAGUAGACUUGUUAGUUGUGGAUCCUGAAUCACUAAGUACCAAUAGAGGGAUAUUGAUUUUAGUGGGAGUAGAUUCUGUAAAUAGUUUAAUGUGAUUUACUCUAUCAUGGAUACAUUUGUCUUAGUGUAUUUUGCAUUACUUUUGUUGUAGAUUAAAUGGCACCUAGCAACACCAUAUCAUUUGCUUUGCGUUCGGUCCUUGAGAAGGACAAGUUGAAUGGAACAAACUACUCGGAUUGGAUCCGUAACCUAAGAAAAGUUCUAGACACCCCAUUACCAUAAGUGCCUGGUGAUGAUGCAUCUGCUGCCGUUAAGGCUGCUUACAAGAAAGCAUUUGAUGCCAAUCUUGAGGUUAGCUGCCUUAUGCUCGCUUGCAUGGAACCUGAGCUACAAAUGCAGUUCGAAACGAAUCAUGAGGCACAAAAUAUUAUCGUGGCGCUCAAGGAUAUAUUCCAGACACAGGCUAGGACCGAAAGGUUCAAUGUGUCCAAGGCCUUUCUGGAGUGCAAGCUAGCAGAAGGCGUAGCAGUAGGACCACACGUAAUCAAAAUGGUUGGUUACACUCAGCGAUUGAAGAAGCUGGGCUUCUCAAUGGGCAAAGAGUUGGUCACUGACUUCAUUCUUUCAUCUAUUCCUCCUAGCUAUGGGAUCUUCAUCUCGAACUACCAUAUGCAUGGGACGGAGAAGGAUCUGAAUGAACUGUGUGGCAUGCUCAAGACAGCAGAGGUUGACAUUAAGAAAAGCGCUAGUAGCAGCCAUGUGAUGGCUAUACAGAACAAGCCUAGCUUCAAGAAGAAGGGCAAUUCUUGGAUGAAGAAGGGCAAGGCUGGAGUGUCCAAGCCAAACCCAGCGCCCAAGGCUAAAGCUGGACCUGCUCCAGACAAAGAGUGUUUUUAUUGUCAUGAACUUGGUCACUCGAAGAGAAAUUGCAAGCAGUACCUAGCUUCGUUGAAGAAUGGCAGAAGUAAGAGUACUUCCACCUCAGGUAAGCUUGUUAUUAAUGUUAUAGACAACUUUCUCACUGAUACAAUUAUUAAUUCUUGGGUAUUUGAUACCGGAUUGGUUGCUCAUAUUUGCAAUUCGAUGCAAGGAAUGAUAAGAAGUAGAAGCGUGGAAAGAGGAGAAGUUGAUUUCCGCGUGGGCAAUAAUGCAAGAGUUGAUGCAUUGACCGUCGGGACGAUUCAACUCCACCUCCCAUCAGGAUUUAUUAUGGAGUUGAAUAAUUGUUAUUUCGUUCCGAGUUUAAGUCGAAACAUUUUGUCUCCUUCAUGCUUGAUGAAGGAUGGUUAUUCAUUUGCGAGUGAAAACAAUGGUUGUGUGAUCUCUAAGAAUGAUAUGUUUAUGUCUUUUGCACCCAUUGUGAAUGGAUUGUUUGUUUUAAAUCUUGAUGGUUCACCUAUCUGUAACGUAAGUGCUAAAAGGUCUCGGCAUAAUGAUUUGAGUUCUACCUACUUGUGGCAUUGUCGUUUGGAUCAUAUAAGUGAAAAGCGCAUGAAGAAGCUCCAUUCUGAUGGACUUCUAACUUCGUUUGAUUUUGAAUCAUACGAGACAUGUGAGGCUUGCUUGCUAGGCAAGAUGACCAAGACGCCUUUCACAGGUUUUCCUGAGAGAGCAGUAGACUUGUUGGAACUCGUACAUAGUGAUGUAUGCAGACCAAUGAGCACGACGGCUAGAGGAGGAUUCCAAUACUUCAUAACUUUCACUGAUGAUUUUAGUAGAUAUGGUUAUGUCUACUUGAUGAGGCACAAGUCUGAAACCUUUGAAAAGUUCAAAGAAUUUCAGAAUGAAGUUGAAAAUCAGCGUGGCAAGAAAAUUAAGGCCUUACGAUCUGAUCGUGGAGGCGAGUAUUUGAGCCAUGAGUUUAGCAAUCAUCUAAAGAGUUGCGUAAUUGUUCCACAACUUACGCCGCCUGGAACACCUCAGAGAAACGGUGUAUCCGAGCGACGUGAUCGAACUUUGUUAGACAUGGUUCGAUCAAUCAUGAGCCAGUCGGACCUACCGUUAUCAUUUUGGGGAUACACUCUGGAAACAACAGCUUUCACACUUAAUAGGGUACCAUCUAAAUCCGUAGUUAAGACACCAUAUGAGAUGUGGACCGGAAAAAUUCCCAGUUUGUCUUUUCUAAAGAUUUGGGGAUGUGAAGUGUUUGUCGCGACUUCAGUCGGACAAGAUCACACCCAAGUCGGAUAAGUGCAUUUUCGUGGGAUAUCCAAAGGAAACUUUAGGAUAUUUUUUCUACAACCGAUCAGAGGGCAAAGUGUUUGUCGCUCGGAUCGGGGUUUUUUUCCUAGAGAAAAAGUUUCUCAAAGGAGAAAAGAGUGGAAAGACAGUGCAUCUUGAAUAAGUUCAAGAUGAGCCGAUCGGACAAGAAUCAAUGAGUGAUGCUAACAUAGCAGAAUAAGUUGAGAUACCCAUGGUAAGAGAAGCAUCACCACAGCCACGAAGGUCGGCAAGGCUCUGCGAAAUGCGGGAAAUAUUAUUGUUGGAUAAUGAUGAGCCUGCGACAUAUGCAGAAGCAAUGAUGGACCCAGACUCCAAAAAAUUGCAGAGUGUCAUGCAAUCCGAAAUAGAGUCCAUGGGAGACAAUCAAGUUUGGAACUUGGUUGACCCGCCUGAUGGUGUUAAAGCCAUAGAGUGCAAGUGGAUCUAUAAGAAGAAAAAGGACAUGGAUGGAAAUGUUCACAUCUAUAAAGCACGGCUUGUCGCAAAAGGUUUUCGACAAGUUCAAGGAGUUGACUACAACGAGACCUUCUCACCCGUAGUGAUGCUUAAGUCCAUUCGGAUUAUUCUAGCUAUAGCUGCAUAUUUCGAUUAUGAGAUAUGGCAGAUGGAUGUCAAGACAGCUUUCCUGAACGGAAACCUAUCUGAGGACGUGUAUAUGAUACAGUCCGAGGGUUUUGUCGAUCCAAAAAAUGUUGGAAAAGUAUGCAAGCUUCAGAGAUCCAUUUAUGGAUUGAAGCAAGCAUCUAGGAGUUGGAACAUUCGUUUUGAUGAAGUGGUCAAAUGGUUUGACUUCACCAAGAAAGAAGAAGAGUUUUGUGUUUACAAGAAGGUUAGUGGGAGCUCUGUAGUAUUUCUAAUAUGAUAUGUGGAUGACAUAUUGAUGAUUGGAAAUAACAUUCCUAUGCUUAAGUCCGUAAAGACUUCCCUGAAAAAUAGUUUUUCGAUGAAGGACUUAGGGAAAGCGGCAUAUAUUCUGGGCAUUUAGAUCUAUAGAGAUAGAUCAAGAAGGCUUAUAGGAUUAGGCCAGGAUACUUACAUUGACAAAGUGUUGAAGCGGUUCAGCAUGGAAGAGGUGAAGAAAGGGUUCUUGCCUAUGUCAAAUGGCAUAUUCUCAGUAAGACUCAGUGUCCUUCGACUACUGAUGAGCGGGAUCGCAUGAGUAGAGAGUCAUAUGCCUCGGCUAUUGGAUCUAUCAUGUAUGCAAUGAUAAGUACUCACCCAGAUGUUUCAUAUGCGCUAAGUAUGACAAGCAGACACCAGUCUGAUCCGGGUGAGAGUCACUAGACAGCGGUGAAAAACAUUCUUAAGUACUUGAGAAGGACUAAAGAUAUGUUCCUCGUCUAUGGAGGUGAGGAGAAGCUCGUUGUAACAUGUUACACCAAUGCUAGUUUCCAAACCGAUAGAGAUGAUUCAAAGUCACAAUCAUGAUUUGUGUUCACGCUAAAUGGUGGUGCUGUUAGUUGGAACAGUUCCAAGCAGGUGACAGUGGCCGAUUCUACGUUAGAAGUUGAGUACAUCGUGGCUUUUGAAGCCGCGAAGGAGGGUGUUUGGAUAAGGAAUUUCCUCAUUGAGCUUGGUGUGUUCCCAAAUGCGUCCAGCCCAUUGAAUCUCUACUGUGAUAAUAAUAGGGCAAUUGCGCAAGCAAAGGAGCCAAGGAACCACCAGAAGAACAAACACGUAAUGCGGCGAUUUCAUCUCAUUCGAGACUUCGUUAACCGGGGUGAGAUCAAGAUAUGCAAGAUAUACCCGGAUCUGAACAUUUCUGAUUCGUUGACAAAAUCACUCCCGCAGGCUAAGCAUGAUACGCAUGUAAGAGCUAUGGGUAUUAGGUACCUUCUAGAUUGACUCUAGUGCAAGUGGGAGACUGUUGGAGGUAUACCCUAGAGGCAAUCAUAGAGAUGAUGAUAUUCUAUUUGUAUCCAUGAUUUAUAUCGUGUUCCUUGAAUAUCCAUUAAAGGCUACUUGAAUUGAUUUGCAAUUAUGUGAAUUGUAUGUGAAACUCUUUACUUGUAUGGUUAUUCUAAAGUUGUCCCUAGUCGGAGUUCAUGUGAGGACACACAUGAAUAUUAGACUAGCACAUGUAUUAGUUGUUGCCUAUGUUUCACGAGUCACGGACAUGGAGAUGUUAAACUAAUAAUGUGGGCCACGACGAGCCGUUGACGAACCACGACGAGCCGACGAUGAGCCGCGGCACGAGGACGACCUUGCUGCACAUGCAAAAGCUGCUGAGGAGCUGCUCGACGUCGACGUGAUCGACUACGUGUUCGACUACGCUGAUCGACUUCACUGCCCCAACGCGAUUCUACAUCUUCCGCACCAGUGCGUCGAGUGGUAAUCCUGUGAUCCAUAUAUGACAGUUUUCCUAGUUUAUGUGGUAGAAAAAAUUUUGUUUUGCACUAGCGUAGCCUACCUCGUAUCCCAACAAUAUGAUGCGCAGUAGUCGAUUCGAUCAACUACUAGAUCAGAUUAUUUACCGAGAUCAUGUGUUUUGGUAAAACGGACGUAACUUUUUGGUACGAUCUCGGAUCAAGGCAAAUUUUAUAUGAAAAUUGAUCUACAGAAAAAGUUACACAUGAAAUUCAAUCACUUUGUCAUUUUAGGCGAUAUUAGAUAUCCCAAAAUCGACUUGCAAGAUGGAGUUUCGAGCCUUUUAAAUUUGGACGAUAGAACGUCUAACUCUGUUUUGCAGGAUUUUGUGAUCGGUAUGGCCCUUGUGUAUGUGAUGCAUGUGUGUAACUAAUUCAUGACCUAUGUGUCAUGCGUACGGCAAUUCGGCUGGAGCCAUAUGUAUUGUCACAUUAAUGUAAUUAAUGACCUGCGUGUCAAUCUGUGAUGAUCCAAGCAACUAUGUAACCUUCUUUACUAGUUGAUUAGAUGUAAUAGUUUGCACUAGUUCUUGGAGGACUCAUCACUAGGAGGACGGCGCACAUAGAUCAUGAAGAUUGAGAUCAUCAUGGUGAACAGGUUCUGUGGAGAUGGAGAUCACCACUAGAAAUCGGGCCAUACUGUGUCACAACUGUGUGAAUGCUAUUCCUUUUGUUUUACUCCUUCAUGAUGUGAUGUUAGAAGUAGAACGAUCCUUCGCAAAUUUUAAGUUAUUAUGCCCUCCCAACUAAAACUUGCACUGUCCCAUAUCUUGUACAAUUGGUGGUGGGUCUAUGAGAUUAGAGUAUCACUAGUUUUCCUUGACUAGAUGGGUUUGUAUCGGCUACUUACACGCAUAAGGGUUAGUUUGCUUAAACAAGGUCAUCUUAACGGUUAAGGACUUUGGGGCAUGAAGGUUGGGCGUCGAAACAUGGAGAUGUCACCCAACAAUAGGACUCAUAUGUGAUAUGAUUAGCAAGGAGUUGCUUACCGAUCUACCUUGUUUGCUAGCGGUGAUGCUAAAGCUCACUAGUAAGCUUGUUAGUUGUGGAUCCUGAAUCACUAAGUAUCAAUAGAGGGAUAUUGACUUUAGUGGGAGUAGAUUCUGUUAAAUAGUUUAAUGUGAUUUGCUCUAUCAUGGAUACGUUUGUCUUAGUGUAUUUUGCAUUACUUUUGUUGUAGAUUAAAUGGCACCUAGCAACACCACACCAUUUGCUUUGCAUUCGGUCCUUCUCUCGUCCUCACCCCACUUCAUUCUCUCCAAUGGCGGCUCCAUCAGCGACCAUGAACUUCAUCCCAGAGGUAAACAUCUAAAGCUUUACCUUUUACUUUUUAGUGCUCAUGCGUCUUUUAUUCUUAGUUUUCCCUUUUUCAUCUUCCUUAGGCGAUUAGGCAGCGAAUUACCAUCCCUUUCUCAGACGCACCUGGUCUCAUCGGCCUUGGCCCUAUGGGAAACCCAGAUCCAACCGACUUCAUCAAUUUGGAAACCCACAGAAUUCCUUUCAAGCAAUCACCCAUGGAUCUGGAUCAAUGGACGGGCGCAUUUAGAUCUUGGCCGAACGAGACCCUUGGUUGGAAGGAAUGGUUUCAAAGGAUGGCCGAUUCUAAGAGGGUUCUGGGGGAUGAAUAGAAAAUUGGCCAUUGCAUAAACUUGUCUUUAUCUCAGAUGGAGAAGAAUGAGCCCCUGGUUAUGGCAGCGUCUUAUUUCUGGUCUGACACCCUCAACGCAUUCCUCUUUGGCCAUGGGCCCAUGACUUCGACUCUAGCCGACGUCAUGUUAUUGACCGGCCUUGACAUUUCUUCACCCGACAGACCCUUCGACUUCCAGAUCAAGCCCACCCAUCGCCUUGAAAUGAAAGGAAUCAGCAGAUGGAAAGGCUAUAUCGAUAGGAAUAUGAAGACCGGAACCAUCGGCAACAGAGAGCACACAGCCUUCCUGAUGACGUGGCUAGAAAACAUUUCUUCUGUGGCCAAGCAGUCGGCCCUUCGUCGAACACGCAAGCUUUGGAUGAAGCAUUAGCGAGGGGUUCCAAUGUUCCUCUAGGAAAUCACAUGUUGGGAUCGGCCUACCAUAUGCUACAACAAAUUUCCGUAAAGUUGUCGACUGGAGAGGCGAUUGGAAACCCCAAUGGCCCUUGGUGGUUCAUUACCCUUUGGCUCAAUCUAUACAUGAUCAAAGUUUCUCGGGAACGAAUUGAAACCCAAACAUUUCCCAAUAUUGAGUUAAGGGAAAAUCCAACAGUUUGCUGGCAUUGCACUUCUUUUGGUGAAGCAGCGUCGGUGCUCCCCGGUAGUAAAUUCACUCCCACCAAGACCGCUGAGUACUUCAGGUGCUUCUAUGCUGGCUUCAGUGAAGAAGCCAUAAGCUGGUAUCCAUAUCAAAGAACUGAGCCACUCUUUGAAAACCUUGCCUGUUUUAAUUCAACCACCAAUUCUUUUGACAAUGAACUUAUGGAUAUCUUGAUCAAGCCUAGGAUUCUGCCAGCGAACUCCUUUUCGGGGAAAGACUCCCCGACUUAUGAGUUUUACAACCCAUCAGUGGCAGCAUGACAAUUCGGCCUUGGACAAUUGCCGAUUGGGAUUUAUUUUGGUGGCCGCGUGAAAUUUCGGGACGAGCUUACCAUGGGGCUCGAAUAUAAUCGGCUAUCCAGUUGGCACCAGAUUCCAACACCAUUGACUUGGCCAACUGGGUGGUGGUUCCCUUCACCGUCCAACAAUUCAUGUUAUGGUGGGGCGAAUGGAAACAACAUCUCUUCUGCAUGUACCCCGCAACAUACUGCAACGACCUGGAUCCCGCCAACAUUGAUCCAAAUGUAGCGGUACUACCCCUUUUUUAGCCGAUUUUAACAUAAUUCCUUUGCACUGCAAGAUUACCACUGACUUUCUUUUUCUUCUGCAGUCUGGAAGUCAUCUCCCCCCAACGCGCAGUCGCAGCGGAAGGCCGAUAGAUAAUCGCCAUCCUUAUACUUCAUUUCCAAUUAUUGGUUUCCAGGCUCCGUCCAUCAAAGAUAUCUCAAUUGAAACAGAAGCUAAAGAUAUCUUCUUUAAAGAAAACGAGCCGUCGGGUGCGCGCUCGUAUAGAAUCGGCGGACCAAUCAGCGGCGGCACCGGUUGAGUCUUUGGCCAUACCGACCCCGCCGAUUGUCGAAGAAGUCGACCCCCAAGCUGCUGCAGAAGCCGGAUCAGCGGCCGCAUCUUUACUGCUAGAAGCUGUUCAGGUAACUUCAUACUCUUUGAAUUUUUCCAAGUACACUGUCAGUAUUAAUUUCUUCUUUCUGUUAGGCUGCACAAACCAUCCUAGAGCAAUCUCCACAGCAAUCGGCCACACUCCAGGUAGAGACUGAGAUGCCAGCAAUCCCUCCCACCGAGGAAGAGAAUAUUUGUUUUACUCAAAUCUCUUAAUCCUUAGUCGAAAUCUGACCGAUUUCUAAUGCAGGCUACUUUGGGUGCGUCGAUUGUGCCCUUCCAAUGAUCGCCGGCUGGACGACUCGUAGAGGUAGAGCAGUUAUUAUUCAUCAUCAGAUUUAACCAUUGCUUCAUACUUAUAGAGAUCCAUUUCAUGUAACUUUCCAGGAGGCUGGCCCGAGUACGGCACCGAUAAUCGUGGAAUCUUCUUCUUCCAAUGAGCCAGCUGCGUCGAUUCCCGAAAUGAGGGUAGCACUCCCACCAACACAAAUAGAAGAAAUCCGUUUUAAAGAGGUGAGAAACUUGAUGUCCAAAUCGGCCGAUUUUUUGCUACCGUCGGCUAAUCCGUCUCUUUAUUUUAUCAGGAGCAGGACACUCCCAACAACAGCCAUUUUUCUUUUGCGGUCGCAAUUUCUGAUGAUGAGGAGGUCACCUCACACCAGGUUGCUCUGAGUUCAAUCCCUGAUGAAGUUCACACCAAGCUCCAGAGCAUACGAACCCUUCUCCAGGAUGAUAUCGGCCGACUGGUGGAAGAUGCCUCGCCGAUUUGGCAGCUCUUCAGUGAAAUCAGAGGCCGAGUUCCAGAAGAAGCAGAAGAAGCCCUAGCACCCGCAGCAUAUAUCGAGUCAAUGCGAAUCCCGAUGUUCAGAGUUUUACAACACAUGGUCGAUCGUGCCAAACUAGCAAAAGCAUGUGAAGAGGAGGAUUCCUACAAACACCAAGCUCAAUAAGUACACCAGCGAAUCAGCUUUCUCGAAAACUCUCACCCAGACAUCGUUGGCACCAUAGACCGCUCAAACGGCAAAGGGCAGAGCUCGCCAAGGAAAUGGAGGAGGUGACCAAAGCUAUAACCGCCGAAGAGAAGAAACUCCAUGAUCUCCCAUCUGUUAUCGCCGAUCUGAAGCAGGAGAGGCAAAACCUUGCCCAUGAAGCCAUCAGACUUCAUCGCAACAUGCCAGAAGUCCCUGGAUCAGCUGACGACGACCAAAGAACCUUAGAUUCGGCCGAUCAGAUCUGGGAGCGAGCGAUCGCGGUCAUUAAUGCUCUCCUCGGGUGAACCGUAGAAACACUAAAUGCUUUUGUACAAACAUUUAAUGCUCUUUUUCCAUUGCCGUGCGAAUUUAAACUUGGACGGUCUUUUGUUGCAGCAUUUAAUGGCCCUUUACUCCGACGGGACGUGUUUUACCAACCGUUACCCUUCAUCUUUUCCCUCUAUAAGUAUGAGACCCCUGAGCUGCUUCUAGGGGCAUUCGCACCUUGCCCAGCCUUCCAUCCUUAAGUUGUCUUAUUUCCAUACUCUUAAGCUAGGUGCCAAGAUGUCUUCCUCUUCCUUCGUCAAUCAAGUUUGAAAUCCCCCUUCGUUCCUCUGCCAGAUGCUCAUCAAUCUGACGACGGGCGAUUAUUUGUUAUUUUCCCAGCUGAGACGCCUUAGCCCUGGCCUGGAACGGGCUAUCAAGAUUAUGCACUCCGAGGAAUCACUGACGCAGGCGGAUAAAGAUCUGAUCAAGGCCCAUCGCGAAGAACUCAAAGAUCACAUCCCCGCUCAUAUCCACAAGAUCUUGGAUCAUAUUGAAGCCAACUGCUCCAGGCGGCCGCCAACCGAGAAGAGCCACCAGCUACCUUGUCAGAUCGUUCUUGAGGAUGCCAUGGCAGGAACAUCCCAACCACCUCUCAACAGAAGCCACCAACUUCCUCGUCAAGUUGCCAUUGAAGCCGCCAUGGAGGAUUUGGAGGAAAAGAGCACCCGUCUCUUAAUAGAACUAGGCCGGGUCGAAAGAGAGAUUAAAAAGAACAAAGCUCAGCUGAAACAUGGUCAAUGAAUGUAUUGGUACUUUUGGUCUAAGGGCGACUUGUACCGUGUCAGCCAUGUAUCCUAUUGCUAUACCGAAUAAUAAAUCGGCUAGACUGGUCAAAGGUUCCAUCCUCAAGGCGAUGUCUCCUUGCACUGGCUAUAUGAACACGAGUCAAUAGGAGUCGGCCACAACGUCUCAAUACGCCAUAUCGUCGGCUACGCAUCCACCCAUAUGCAAGGAUAAUAUCUCUUCAGAUACCUUCCAUUUAAAGCUCUUGUGAAUUCCUCUCCUUCGAUAGUCUCUAAUAUGUACGCAUUUCCUGGAGCGCAUCAGCUGAUUCUAUACGGCCCUUCCCAAGUAGGCGACCAUUUACCAAAUUUGGGAUCUUUAGACCCUAUCGGCAGCACCAGCUUCCAUACCAAGUCUCCUUGAGAGAAUUGCUUGACCUUGACCUUCUUGUCGUACCACCUAGCCACCCUUUUCUUAUUUUCUUCGACACUGAUCAAGGUCCUUAAUCGCUGACCCGCCAAAUCAUCAAGCUCCCCCUUCAUGAGGAGGGAAUAAUCACCGGCUGUCAACUGAUCUUGAAGUGACGUGCGUCUAGACCCGAUCCUUAAUUCCUAAGGCAAUACUGCCUCGUGACCGUACACCAAUUGAUAAGGAGAUAUUUUAGUAGCUCCAUGGCAGGCCAUCCUGUAGGCCCAUAAAGAUUCAGUCAAGGAUGCGUGCCACAUCUUGGGCUGCUCCUCUAUCUUCCUCUAGAUCAACUUGAUUAUCCCCUUAUUGGAUAACUCGGCCUGACCGUUAGCUUGAGCAUAAUACGGAGAAGAAUUCAACAAUUUAAUUCCCAUAUCGGUGGUGAACUCUUCAAACUCUCCCGAAGUGAACAUUGUCCCUUGAUCAGUUGUGAUGGUUUGAGGGAUACCGAACUGAUAAACAAUGUGGUCUCUCACAAAAUCGAUCAUAGCGGCCGAUGUCACGAUUUUCAGGGGAACUGCCUCCACCCACUUGGUAAAGUAAUCAGUGGCUACUAAUAUGAACUUGUGUCCCUUGCUUGAUGCAAGAUAAAUCUAUCCCAUGAGGUCUAUUCCCUAACCCCUAAACAGCCAUGGAUUAAUUAUUGGGUUCAUAGCUGAGGCUGGUGCAUGCUGCACGUUGCCGAACUUCUGGCAAUCCUAACACCCUUUAUUAUAUUUAAAGCAAUCCUCGAGUAUCGUCGGCCAAUAAUAACCAUUGUUCCUGAUCAUCCACUUAAUUUUGUAAGCUGAUUGAUGAGCCCCGCAUACGCCAUCGUAAAAUUCUCCCAUCAGAACCUUCGCCUCUUCCAUUCCAAGGCACUUGAGCAGAACCCCAUCAAUCGUCUAGUAAAACAAAUCAUCCUCAAGUAACACAUACUUCGUGGCCUGAAAACGUAUUUGCCGAUCCACUUUCUUGGACGGAUCUUUUAAGUAAUCGGCGAUCUCCUUUCGCCAAUCGUCAGCCGCAAGCUCCAGAGUCAUGGCACCUUGAAUCGGCCGAUACCCGGAAGCAUGUUGGGCAAGCCUGUUGGCCUCUUCAUUGUAAUUUCUAGGAAUAUGCUCAAUAACCGCAGACUUGAAUUCUUUUAACAACCGAAGGCAAUAUUCGUAGUAAAUCCUUAAGACAUCAUCUUUGCAUUCAGAUUUCCCCGUCAAUUGAUCGACAAUGAGCAUGGAAUCCCCAAAAAUCUCCACUCCAUCGGCUUUGAUCUCUCUCAAUAAUUGGAUACCUUUUAGGACAGCCCGGUACUCUGCCUGAUUAUUGGUGGCGGACGCCUCUAUCGGCAGAGAGAAAUCAUAACUUGCCCCCCGAGGCGAUAUGAGGAUGAUGCCGAUUCCUGAUUCGGCCCCACAUGAAGAACUAUUGAAGUACAGUGUCCAUGGAGCUGGCUCGACGAUGGCGAUUUCCGAUCCACGAUGCUGGGCCACAAAAUCGGCCAUAACUUGCCCCUUGACAGCUUUGGCCGAUUCGUACCUCAGGUUGAACUCUGAUAGAGCUAGAAUCCAUUUUCCAAUUCUUCCUUUCAAAAUCAGCAAUGACAGCACGUACUUUACCACAUCAUCUUUGCACACGACUACGCACUCCGCUGAUAACAGGUAGUGUCUGAGUUUGGUACAUGAAAAAUACAGACAAAGGCACAGCCGUUCCACUGGGGAAUAUCUAGUCUCAGUGUCUAGGAGCCUUCUACUGACAUAAUAGACUACCCUUUCUUUUCCUUCAAAUUCUUGUACCAGCGCCAAUCCGAUAGCUUGUUCUUCGGCCGACAAGUAUAGUCUGAACGGCUUGUCAGCCUGUGGCGGGACCAACACCGGUGGUGAGAUCAGGUACUGCUUGAUGUCUUCCAACUCUUUUUGUUGUUCUUCUCCCCACACGAAUUCCGGGUCGGGUUUCAAUUUCAACAAAGGGGUGAAGGCUUGAAUACGCCCGGACAAGUUGGAUAUGAACCUUCUAAUAAAGUUAACUUUGUCGAUUAGGGACUGCAGCUCAGUUUUGUUCUGUGGGGCCACAACUUUAUUGAUGGCAGCUAUAAUCUUCCGGUUGACUUCUAUCCCGCGCUCAUGUACCAUGAAUCCUAGAAAUUGUCCAGCUGAAAUGCCGAAGGCACAUUUGUUUGGGUUCAUUUUCAAUCCAUGCUUUCUCAUGCACUCCAACACUUCUCACAAAUCAGCUAGAUGCUCCUAAUGUCCUUUUGACUUGAUCACGAUGUCAUCAAUGUAAAUUUCCACCAGGACACCAAUAAGCUUGUGGAAAAUAUAAUUCAUAGCCCGUUGAUAUGUAGCUCCGGCGUUUUUUAAACCGAAGGUCAUCACCACCCACUCGAACAAACCGAGGUGGCUUGGACACCUGAAAGCCAUCUUUGAAAUAUCUUCUUCGGCCAUUAAUAUUUGAUUAUACCCAGCAUUACUGUCCAAGAAACUGAUGACUUUAUGUCCUGAGGCGGCGUCUAUCAAAACAUCAUCUGUUGGCAUUGGAUACCCAUCCAUCGGCGUAGCCUGAUUAAGAUUCCUGAAGUCAAUGCACACGCGUAGCUUUCCAUUUUUCUUGUAUAUGGGUACAAUAUUAGAAAUCCACUCGGCAUAACGGCACUGCCGAAUAAAUCCUGCUUCAAUCAAUCUUGUAAUGUCGGCCUUUAUAUCAGGUAGGAUUUUAGGGUUGCACCGUCAUGCGCGUUGCUGAUACGGCCGGUAUUCUGGUUUUAUAAGCAACCGGUGCUCGACCAUGGAUCGGUCUAGACCGGGCAUCUCAUGGUAUUCUCAAGCAAAACAAUCUUUAAACUCUUUUAAUAAACUUGUCAAUUUACGCUUGUACUCGGGGUCUAAACUAGCACUAAUAUACGUCGGCCUUGGCUUGCUGCCAUCUCCUAAGUCCACCAUUUCCAACGAAUCGGCCGACGUAAAUCCGUGCCCAAGCUUCCAGUCUUCUCGGAUGAACUGAUCCAUCUAGUCCGAUUCUUCAGAGCCGACUGCUUGGAUCGGCUGUAGACCAAAAUCGGACACCCUUAGGAAAUCGGUGUCCCAGAUUCUGCCAGAUAUGCACCUGACGUGUUCGCAGCUCCACUGUUGCACAUCGGUCACGGCAACACUGUAGGCGGAAUCGGUAGUGACUAUCUCGAUGUUGUCGCUGACCCACUGGACGAGGCACCGGUGCAUUGUAGAUGGGACACAGCAAUUCGCGUGUAUCCAAUCGUGCCCGAGCAACAUGUUGUAGGACCCUUUGCUAUUAAUGAUAAAGAAAGUAGUGGUAGGGUCUUACUGCCGAUGGUGAGGUCGACGCACAGUGCUCCACGGGCCGGGGACACGUUCCCUUCAAAAUCCUUGAGCAUCAUAUCUGUCUUGGUCAGAUCUUCAUCAUUUUUGCCCAAUUUCCGGAACAUAGCAUACAGCAUGAUAUUGACCGCAGCGCCUCCAUCUACCAGUAGCCUAGUGACUGGCCGUCCGUUGACGUGUCCUUUGAGGAAUAGGGCUUUGAGAUGUUGUCGUUUUUCAUCGUCGGGUUUCUCAAAAGUGGUUGUCAUUGGCUCCAAAGCCAAUUGUGCCAUUUGCUCCUCUAUUGUUGCAUCGUCCCGAUCGGCGGGAGUCAUGAACUCCAUCAGCAAGAUGAACACCAAGCUGACAUCAGCUACCGAUCCCUAAUUGUCGUCGUCCUCAUCGGUUUUUCUUCUAGGGAGCCAGACUCGAGGCCUAUCCUCCUUCUUAUCCAUCGUCUGCCUCUGUUCUUCUUCUUCUUGUUCCCAUUGGCGCAGACGCUGGAUUCUUCAUUUCUGGGAUUUGGUCAAGCCGUCUGGGCACCAUCUGGGGUUCACCGGUUUGACCGGUGGUUUUGCACGCUUCCAGUCUGGUUCUCAUCCUAGGGGGUUUUCAUCAGCCGCUCUGGCAUUGGCCAUCUUCUCCAGUCGAUCAUGUGUGCUGGCCUUGCCCCCCAGUCAAUCACGCUGGUCAACUCUGCCCCCAGCUGAUCACGCACUGAAAUGCGCUUAUCCUCUUGUUCACGCUAGUAUCUGCUGAUCGGCUCUGAUCCUCGAUCCCUGGAUCGUGACCUCUUGAACGGGCGACCGCUAUGAUACUGACCGUUGCACUCAGGGCAAUUAUUGACUGAUGGUAACCUGAGGUUGUUUUCCCAGCAGUGGAUGAAGAAUAGGCACCGCCAGGGAUCUUCGUGUCGGCAUAUCAUCUCUUCAUGGCAUCUCGAACUUUCUUGCUACCGUUGAUACUUGCUGAGUAAGUAUUGGGUGGUGAUAGGUCGACGUGAUCUCUCUGAUCUUUUGCCCUCGUCUUCAAUCCGUCCUUUUCCUUUGAUGUCCUCGACCGUGGCCUGAUUUCUAGGGUCCACGGUGCCGCUUCUCCUGGCCGAUUCUGAUGUUAGCACCUUGGUCUGGGGUACGUUCCUUCCUGCAUCGACCAUGUUAGUAGGGAAAGGAUGCUGAUCAAUCUUCAUUAGCUUUACUAGCUUUGUCGGAACUUCGAACUUGAGUCUACCUUGCUCAAUGGCCGAUUGUAUCUGCUGUCGGAAGAUUUUGCACUCGUUCGUGUCGUGGGACGUGGCAUUGUGCCAUAUGCAAUACUUCAUCUUUUUGAGCUGCUCGGCCGAUGGAAUCGUGUGAUAAGGUGAAAGCUUGAUCUGCCCCUCUUGGAGAAGUAAAUCGAAGAUUUUGUCGGCCUUUGAUGUGUCAAAGCCAAAUGCUUCUAGUUCUUUCUUUCCAAACGGGCACGAUAUCGAUUUUUUCCCUUUUACCCAUUCUGCUAGGCCGAUUUCCGCCUCUUCCUCCGAUUCAGACCCCUCCAAGUAUGCCACUUUUUUUUGAAAAUUCCUCCGUUGGUCGAAAGGGUGCACCUCUUGACUGAACAGUCAGUGGACGAUCUGACUUAAGCUUUCAAACUCCUGGGAGGCGUACUUCUCCUUGAUGUGUGGCAAGAGACCUUGGAAGGCGAUAUCGGCUAGCUGAGCAUCAGUCAGGACUAGGGUGUAGCACUUGUUCCUGACCUCUCUAAAUCUCUGUACGUAACUUGUCACUGGUUUGUCGCUCCUCUGCCUAAGGCUGGUGAGAUCUGAGAGCUUCAUCUCAUGGAUUCCUGCGUAGAAGUACUUAUGGAACUGCUUCUCCAGAUUGGCCCAAGUGACGAUGGAAUUGGGCGACAGCGUAGUAAAACAUUAGAAGGCCGAUCCGGAUAGGGAUGAUGAGAAUAAUCGCACUCGUAGAGCAUCUUGUGUGGCGGCUUCCCCACACUAGAUAAUGAAUCUAUUCACAUGCUCCACAGUUUAUGUGUCGUCCAGUCCUGAGAACUUGGUGAAUCGGGAACCUUGUACUGAUGGGGAAAUGGCAACAGGUCGUAGGCAGGCGGGUAUGGCUUCUUGUACAUAUAGGUUUGCACCUUUGGUUUCAACCCGAAUUGAUCUUGAAUUACUUCUGCUAUCCUUGUGGUCCAAUCCAUCUGCUGCUGAUGUAUGACCAGUUGAGGAAUCAGUACAUGCUGCUGGACCGGCGGUGCCAUGGCUGGGUGAUGGAUAAGAGUGUGCUGCAGAUUUUGCGGUUGCGUAGUCGGCUGAACAGCCGAUAGUUGGUGGCGCAGGGGAUCUGACGCCCCAUCGUAUAGCAUCAUCGGCGUCGCACCCCUGAGUGUUUUUGCAGUGUCUGCCCCCCGCCAAUUUCUAACGAAGCCGACUGAUAUUGUGGGACCAUCGGUCGGAUGGCCGAUUGGAAUGAUGCUUGGACCAGAGACUUCCCAUAACUGGUUGACUGAUCCGGCCCGGCUAUCGUCGCUGGUGCCCCCUAAGGCACUGAGUUUGAAGGCAGUGACUGUACGGAGGAAAUUUGAGCAGGCUGAGAUGGCGCUUGCGAUUGGUAGCAUGGCACGCCGUUGUACCCUAUGGGCAUUGAAGUGUUGUAUCCUUCAUGUUGCGUCGGUAUCGGCUGAGGAGCUGACUGAGAUGUGCUUGGUAACGCUGAGGAGCCUCUGAUUGGAGCUACGAUGGGUGGGGGUGUACGCUGGUCCCUGGUACCCCUGAGCUACUCCGAUGACCAAGGAACUGAUGACGGUGUUGUAUACCGUGUUUGUCAUUACUGUGGACUGGUCGAUCAUAGCCUGGUAAACAGACUGCUGAAUCAUGUAAGACAUCUUCCCCGAGUCCUCAGCGAUGGUGAUGUGGCGGGGAGUUGGAAGAGGAGCUUUCUUGACGGUCUCCCUGCUUCUGGUACGACUAAAGGAUUGCAAACAUGUCUUCCUGUACUCUUCUAGGUGUCUUGCCAAUUCUUCCUUCUGGUCAUCCUUGAGAUCUGCUUCAGUAACUUCGAUGACGUUGUCUUCGAAGAUCUCGGCAGCCUUCGACAUGCUGGAUGUUGUUUCUAUCCCACCGGGCGUGCCAAAAGUGUGUUGGCACUGAAAAUUGGCCGAUGACCCUCAACGUCGAACACACGACCCGAGAGAAUCUGCUUAACUCCUAUUCGGGUUAUUGCCCUGGUACGGUUCGCGCGGCAUACCAGUCAAUCUGACCUGUUGAUUGACAAGGAAAGAAAAGUAUUAAAUUCUAGGGGUUUCGAUCAGCUAAGGUUCCGAUCUGUCUUGAAAAGAGUAUCAGCGAAUCGGCCGAUUUACUGUAGAGAUGACCGGCUAUAGAGCAGUCGAUGAUCACGUAGCGAUUGUAAAGAAACUACUAGAGCAAUUUAAACAACGCUACAAAUGCAACACUUGAAACAGAUCUAAUCGGCCAUAUGGCAAUAAAUAAGAAUAAUAAUAAUGAAGCCGAUAGUUCGAAUCUCAAGCUGGAUAACUGGUGAUAGAACUAGAGCAAUAUAUGAAACCUAUAGUUCUAGCUAAUAUCGAUAACUGGUGAAUAAAUCUAAAUGAAACAACAACGAUGCGCCCGAAGUUAAAGCUUAGAUAUUACUCGAUAAGCAGAACUUACAAAUCGGCCGGAGAUCGUGUCGAUGCAGCCCUGCCAACCCGUACGUACUUGUGAAAAGAAAAGGUUUUUGGCGAAGUCGCCGACAUAAAAGUAAAGUGCGAGGAACAAGUAGAUUUGUUGUAUUGAUUAAUGUGUCCUUUACAAACCUCUAAAGGUGACUAUUUAUAGCCUGUUACGAUUGAUUUCCUAACCGACUAGGAUCUAUCUCUAAUAACAAUAAAUAUUUACAAACAUAACUCGUAUCGGAGUUGGUUAUCAUAUCUCACGGGCCAACCUUCCUCUCUAGCUAAUCUUUUCUCUGGCCCACUUUAGGCCCAUACUGGCCAAGCCACUCCAGCUCCCAAUCGGCCAAUCCUUGCUGACUCCUUUUGCCAAUCGGCUGAAACACUAUAGCUUCAAUUGGUCGAUUCCCAACUGUAGCUUUUAGCUUGCCGCAUCGGCCAAUCUUUUCCUUCCUUGACGCCAAUUCAAAAUACGUGUCAAAAUCCGACGUCAAUAGUAUCAAUAGAGGGAUAUUGAUUUUAGUGGGAGUAGAUUCUGUUAAAAGUUUAAUGUGAUUUACUCUAUCAUGAAUACUUUCGUCUUAGUAUUUUGCAUUAUUAUUUGUUGUAGAUACAUGGCACCUAGCAACACCACACCAUUUGUUUUGUGUUCAGUCCUUGAGAAGGACAAGCUGAAUGGGACAAACUAUACGGAUUGGAUCCAUAACCUGAGAAUUGUUCUCAACGCUGAGGAAAAGGAAGAUAUCCUGGACACCCCAUUACCAGAAAAACCUGCUAAUGAUGCACCUGCUGCCGUUAAGAAUGCUUACAAGAAAGCAUGUGGUGCUAAUCCUUAAGUAAGCUGCCUUAUGCUUGCUUGCAUGGAACCCGAACUGCAGAUGUAGUUUGAAACAAAUCAUGAGAUGUAUGAUAUGAUCGUGGCGCUUAGAGACAUGUUCCAGACACAGGCCAGGACUGAAAGGUUCAAUGUUUCUAAGGUCUUUUUUGAGAGCAAGCUAGCAGAAGGUGCAGUAGUAGGACCACACAUAAUCAAGAUUGUUGGUUACACUCAACGGUUUGCAAGCCACUAAUUUUAUUCUUUUGUCUGUUCCGUCUAGCUAUGAGAACUUUAUCUCGAACUACCAUAUGCAUGGGAUGGAGAAUGGUCUGAAUGAACUAUGUGGUAUGCAUAAAACAGCAAAGGCUGACAUUAAGAAAAGUGUUGUUAGCAGCCAUGUGAUAGCAAUACAGAAUAAGCCUAGCUUUCAAAAGAAGGGCCAUUCUUGGAAGAAAAAGGGCAAGGCUAUCUCCAAGCCAAACCCAGUGCCCAAGGUUAAAGCUGGACCUGCUCCAGACAAAGAGUGCUUUUAUUAUCACGAACUUGGUCACUGGAAGAGAAAUUGCAAGCAGUACCUAGCUUCGUUGAAGAAUGGCGGAAGUAAGAGUACUUCCACCUCAGGUACGCUUGUUAUUAAUGUUAUAGAUAACAUAUUUCUCGCUAAUAUAAUUAUUAAUUCUUCGGUAUUUGAUACCGGAUCGGUUGCUCAUAUUUGCAAUUUGAUGCAGGGACUGAUAAUAAGUAGAAGCGUGGAAAGAGGAGAAGUUGGUUUCCACGUGGGCAAUAAUGCAAGAGUUGCUGCAAUGACCGUGAGGACAAUGCAACUCCACCUCCCGUCAAGAUUUAUUAUGGAGUUGAAUAAUUGUUAUUUUGUUCCUAGUUUAAGUCGAAACAAUAUGUCUCCUUCAUGCUUGAUGAAGGAUGGUUAUUCAUUUUCGAGUGAAAACAAUGGUUGUGUGAUCUCUAAGAAUAAUAUGUUUAUGGCUUUUGCACCCAUUGUGAAUGGAUUGUUUGUUUUAAAUCUUAAUGAUUCACCUAUCUAUAACAUAAGUGCUAAAAGGCCUCGGCCUAAUGAUUUGAGUCCUACCUACAUGUGGCAAUGUCGUUUGGGUCAUAUAAGUGAAAUGCGCAUGAAGAAGCUCCAUUCUGAUGGACUUUUAACUUUGUUUGAUUUUAAGUCAUACGAGACAUGUGAAGCUUGCUUGCUAGGUAAGAUGACCAAGGAAAAUUUCACAGGUUUUCCUGAGAGAGCACUAGAUUUGUUGGAACUCGUACAUACCAAUGUAUGCUGACCAAUGAGCACGACAGCUAGAGGAGGGUUCCAAUACUUCAUAACUUUUACUGAUGAUUUUAGUAGAUAUGGCUAUGUCUACUUGAUGAGGCAUAAGUCUGAAACCUUUGAAAAGUUCAAGGAAUUUCAAAAUGAAGUUGAAAAUCAGUGUGGCAAGAAAAUUAAGGCCUUACGAUCCGAUCGCGGAGGUGAGUAUUUAAGCCACGAGUUUAGCAAUCAUCUGAAGAGUUGUGGAAUUGUUCCACAGCUUACGCCGCCUAGAACACCUCAGAGAAACGGUGUAUCUGAGCGACAUAAUCGAACCUUGUUGGACAUGGUUCAAUCAAUGAUGAGCUAGUCAGACCUACCGUUAUCAUUUUGGGGAUACACUCUAGAAACAACAGCUUUCACACUUAAUAGGGUACCGUCUAAAUCCGUAGUUAAGACACCAUAUGAGAUGUUGACUAGAAAGACUCCCAGCUUGUCUUUUCAAAAGAUUUGGGGAUGUGAAGUGUUUGUCAAGCGACUUUUGUCCGUACGCUCAAAUUUCUAAGCCCUCAGAUAUGAAACAAACGGUUGAGAUCAUCCUCUCUUCCUCCUUUUGUCUUCUAACUUGGGCAUUCUUAUCCACUCGUUAGCGUGGCCCGUCCUCCCUCCUCCUUCUCCCUUCGUCGUUCGUUCAUGUUGUCAAGCUCACCUUCAGCAGCAUUCGUGUUAUGAAGCCUCUACGGCCAGUGUUGGCCUACCCAUCUCCGACUGCUAGAUCCACCACCUCUAUCUCAACCACCGCCACACCAACUCAUUGUUGCUGCUCGCCCCCACCUCUCCACGGCCCAAUCGAGGGGUCCACUGCUACCUCGGUGGGUGGCUACGCCGUCGCCUCAACCGGCGUCUCUAUCGCCACCACCGCCUACUAUCUUUCUAUCCCGAAGCUUUGUCUUGGUGCGUUGGAGAUAGGUAAGACCCAUCCCCGAACCCCGAACUCUAUUGGCAUAGUUUAGCUUUUCCUGAAGGUAAACUUUGCCAUAAGUUUUUUGAGAAAAGAUAGAGAAAAUCCUAAAAAAAUUUGGGGCUUGCUGGGCCGGUGCGCGAGAGGUGGGCCGCGGGCUUGUCAAGCCAAGCGCAACGCCUGGGCCAUCUUGGCUAGGACCCACCCGCCAGCCAGACUUCGCCAUCCCUCUCCUCUCCCCGCCUAUAUAACGGCCGUGCCCUCCACCUGUUGCCCGGAACGGAAGCCAAAACCACCAGAGAGCAGAGAGGCGAGACCGCGAGCGCCACCGCUAGCCGCGCAGCAGCACCGAGAGCCCGGUGAGGGAGGGACACAUCACGCCGGCGACCCGAUGGCGACCGGGAGUGGUGUCCGCGUCGUCAACACGGAGGGGCGGGACGAGGGCGACGCCUACAUGGCCGCCGCCGCCGCCGCCGCCGCCGCCGCCUCCGCCGCCUCCGCCGCCUCCUCCGCCGCCUCCGCCGCCGCCUCCGCCGCCUCCGCCGCCGCCUCCGCCGCCGCCGCCUCCGCCGCCGCCGCCUCCGCCGCCGCCGCCGACGACGACACCGACGCCGCCGACGACGACGCCGACGCCGACGCCGACGACGACACCGACGCCGACGCCGACGACGACACCGACGCCGCCGACGACGACGCCGACGCCGACGACGACACCGACGCCGCCGACGACGACGCCGACGCCGACGCCGCCGCCGCCGAUGCCGCGCCUGGGGGCCAGCCGCACGAGGACGAGGACGGAGACGCGACCCCUCCUCCUCCCUCGCUUCCUCGCCACACCGUCGAUCACCGCAGGCCGGGCCCGGCUUCUUGGAGCCCGUUCUUCUCGCGGGUGCGGGCGGCGCUCCUCAUCAUGGGCACAGCCGCCGCCGCAGCCGCCGCGCGCGACCUGUUCCCUUCCAUGGUCCAGGUCCCGCCACUGGACUCCCGCCCCAUCAGCGCCGUACCAGGUGUCUAUUCUUCUUUUCCUUUUUCUUGUUUUCUUGUUUAUGUCCUUAAUAGUCCCAACUUCUUGAUUAUGAUGACUGAAGCAUGAUCGAAAUAGAUCAGCACAUAAUCCUAUGCUCUGAUUAAACCAAACAUUCUUGAUUGCGUUGGCAAUGAAUUACAAUCUGGACCCUUGUUGCAUAAAAAAAUAUACUGUUGCUCCAAAUCUUGUUUUUAAAGAUUAGCAUAAACUUCUUUUGAUGCUCUGUAUUACUUAUCAUCAUGUGUUAUGACAAUUGUAUUUGUAUCUUUCCGUACUUUGGUUACUGAAUCUUUUAAACUGAACUCAGGGGUUUUACCAAACCUGCUUGAGCACCAGUUGGUGUGGUCCAACAUCCCCCGUGGCGGAACCUCCAUUGUACUAUCCCAUGCUCCGGGUAUGACUACAGAAGAUGAACUCAAUUUCCGACUUUCUUCUGAUAAUCUAGAAAAGUAAAUAAGCUUAUAAUAAUGUACAGUUACCGCUUGUUGACAUUGCCAAAUAAUCUGUAUCUCUCAACAUAUUUUGUUGUUACAGUCUGUGUUAUGUGAGAUUGCAAAAAUACAACCUGAAAAGUAGUCACUUGACACAAUACUGGUGCCUGUUGCCCAAAGCCCUCUUUGAAUUUUCAUCUACUCACUGUUCUUUAUUCUGCUAAUGAACACUUGUCUGGUGAAAAAUAUUUGUUCAUAGUUGCUGCAAUCCCUGAUUCUGUGUAUGCAUUAUUCUCUAUUUGGUGCUGAGUUCAAUUGAGUGGCAUUUAUUAUUUCAGAUCAACUUUCACCUGGUAGGUGGUUAACACAUUCUGUGGCCCUAGUGUUAAUGAAAUGCAUUAGAGUAUUUUCUGGACAUUUAUGUAUUUGUUGUUCCUUGGAAGGACUGUUUUCACCAUCCAUAGAGUUGCUGCUAGACAAAUCUUGUUUUUCUAGAUUAGCAUAAACCUUGCUUUGAUGCUCUGUAUUACUUAUCAUGAUGUGUUAUGACUGUUGUAUUUGUAUCUUUUCGUACUUUGGUUACUGAAUAUUUUAAACUGAACUCAGGGGUUGUAGCAAACCUGCUUGAGCACCAGUUGGUGUGGUCCAACAUCCCCCGUGGCGGGACCUCCGUCGCACUAUCUCAGGAUCCAGGUAUGAUUACCAAAAGAUGAAAUCAAUUUGCAACUUUGUUCUGACAAUCUAGAAAAGGAGAUAAGCUUAUAAUAUUGUACAGUUACUGUUUGUUGACAUCUUGCCAAAUAAUCUGUAUAUCUCAACAUAUUGUGCUGUUACAGUCUGUUUAUGCGAGAUUGCAGAAAUGCAAACUGAAAAGUAGUCACUUGACACAAUACUAGUGCCUGUUGCUCAGAGUCCUCUUUGAAUUUUCAUCUACGCAUUGUUCUUUAUUCUGCUAAUGAACACUAAUCUGGUGAAAAAUAUUUGUUCAUUUUGCCGCUAUCCCUGAUUCUGUGUAUGCAUUAUUCUCUAUUUGGCUCUGAGUUCAGUUUAAUGACAUUUAUUAUUUGGUCUUACUUGACAGCCACUGUGCAUUUCUGUUGAGAUCUGUUAGUUUGUUGUCCUUAUGAUCUGAUAAAUUUAUGUGUCAAACAGAAAUUCAUGUCAGUCCAGAGGCCUUGCCUGUAGAUCAGAUUUCUCCUGGUAAGUGGUUAACACAUUCUGCGGCCAUAGUGUUGCAAAGAACUGGAUCAGAUUAUUUCCUGGAUAUUUAUGUAUUUGUUGUUCCCUUGGAAGCAGGACUUUCUGCCCCUCCCAGUCUCAUCAUGGAUGAUCCGGUGCCACGGGCUAUGCAUCAUACUCGUAGAGGAACUUCAAUUGCAGUGCUAAGUGACAUCCAACAAUCAGGUAACCUUGGCAUAUAAAGGCAUUGCCAUAUGCAUGCCUCCUAGUAAACACUGGAGGCCUUUUGGUUGACAAAAAGAAACUGUCACUUACGUUUGCCAUAAUAAGCAGGUACACUGGCAUCGGAGCCUGGGCCUGCAUCAGCAACUGUAGGACCUUGGUCAGCCUCUUGGGCGCAAGGCACUAUCUACUUCCUCAACUUCAUGAUAGUCAUGGUACUUUUUUCAGCAGUGGUGGCUAUGUUACAGGAGCCUUGAGAGAAUUGGAUCCUUUGGUCCUCAUGGCUUAGAGGAAGAUUCAUGUUCCUGUGGUAGUUACUGAAACCAGGGAUAACACUAUACUCUGUGGCAGCAUAUGCAGAAUCCUCUAGAUUUUCUCUGCCUGCUUAGCUUCUGAGGACAAGUCAUCUUGUGUGGUCCUUUGAAUGGUGAUUGAUGGUGGAGAUUUGGAUUUGUGCAGUACCUGCUAGUAGGAUGAUGUGCUGCAUGUGGAAUGGAUAUUGUGAAGUACACUUGGCGCCUUUUGUGGUUUUGUCUGAAAAUGCUGAUGCUUCUGCUUUGAGUCCUAAAGUUCAGUUGUUUUGAUAUUGCCUUUAUUUUGGGUGUGUCCAGAUGAAAUUAAGAAGAGAGGGGAACAUAGUUGAGUAACAGUCCUGGAAUAUGCAGUGUUAUAAAGGAAAAUACAGAAUAGUACAAGAUCUUGGGACAAAAGCAACUGUCUGACAACCUAAGGGUUCAAGUGAAUUGAUGAUACUUUCAUGCAUAUCUGAAAUCUGUUGAAUUGAAUAAGUAAUACAGUAUGGAUUCUUGAUAAAUCAAUCACAGGCGUCAUUGCUUCAUUUUAUUUGAAGGUGCGCUGGGGGGAUGAAACCCCCUCCUGUAUUCAAUUAAACCACAGACUUCUGGCUACUGAAUUCAUCCUGUUGGCUUCGCAGCCUCUGCGCCAUGGGACAGGCCCGUGUUGCUUUGUAUGAUGAUUGAUGGUCAACGUUUGGAUUUGUGCAGCACCUGCUAGUAGGAUGAUGUGCUGUAUGUGGAAUGGAUAUAGCGAAGUACACUUGACGCCUUUUGUGGUUUUGUCUAAAAAAUGCUGGAGCUCCACUUUGAAUCCUAAAGUUGAGUUGUUUCAAGAUUUCCUUUAUUUUGGGUGUCUUCAGAUCAAAUAGAGGGAGAAAAUAGUUGAGCUACAGUGCUGGAAGAUGCACAGCCGUAUAAAGGAAAAUACAGAGUAUUACAAAAUCUGGGGACAACAGCCACUGUCUGCCAACCGAGUUCAGGUGAAUCUACAAGAAAUGUGGUGCGGGUACUUGAUCUAUCCAUCGCAGGCAGCAUUCCUUCCUGUUUGCAUUCAGUUGUAGACUACAUCUGCCCCUUAGGUAGAUUUCUGGCUACUGAAUUCCUCUAGUUCUCCUUCCAGCCUCACUAUGCCAUCGGAUGGGCCCAUGUUGCAUGCAAGCUUCUGCUAGGUGACAGUGACACUCCCCCACGGCCACGUCUCCUCUCUGGUGCAGUGUUUUCCGUUGAGAUCUUAGUGCUGUUCUAGAUUAUUUGUCAUUUGCAUCAGUGUUUUUUAUGUGCAGCCACACCAAUAUUUUCUGCGCUUGCAAACUUCUCAUUAUACUUUCUCCCUAUGCACUAUUCUAUACUCUGCCAGCGUACUCUGUCGUAGUAAACACUUGAGUUACAUGCUGAUCAUAUGUCUGUUGCAGAUGUUGUCCCUGAUUGGCUGAGUCAGUAUCCACACCGAUGGAGGAGGUUCCACCAGCCUCUGUUCUAGCCCGGUCAGACAUUCCAGUGCCUGGUCCUCAAUUAUCUGAAGGUUAAGUGGUUAAUGACACAUUUUUCCUGUUGUGCUAGAGUAAACCAGCACGUGCCUUUGUUUGACUUACUAAUUUCAUUUUUAUGUCUUUGUUGUUCUAUCUUGAACUCCAAGGACCGUCGGGCUUGGGCUUUGGUCAAUCAGUCAGAGUACUACAGAGACUCAGCCACUCAGGUACAAUUAGCAUGAAAAAGCAUUUGGAUCCAGUCACUCUGGUGAGGACUAAGAAGUCCUCAAUACAGCUAGUUUGCUUCUCUGUGUUUGUUGAGUUGGUUUUUCAUCCUAACCAAUGAUCUGAUAAAAUAAAAUAGUUCAGCAGAUUGUGCAAGCUUGAGUCCCCACUCCCCAACAUGAUAUACCAUCAUUUAUCUCUUUAUGGUUACCUUUCUGAAAUAGAGAUCGAGGUCACUCCAGAAUACUCAUCUACUUCUGAAAUGUCUGAAGGUAGGUGUCCAACAUAUUUCUACUGCUCCAGGGUUUCAGUGAACCAGCAGAACUCUUGGGCAUGAUCUUUUUGUCUUUGUUGUUACCACGGAAACCGAGUUCUACUUUGAUUGAAUCUUGCAAUGCUUGAUUCAUCUCUGCUGCACUCAGUCAGGUCUGAUACUUUGCUAGAUUUGUGUCCUUAGACUCUUAAGCAAAAUCUUGUUGUAGUCUUUCUGAAGCAAAAUUGAUUCCUGUUUUGCAGUCUACUUAGACUCUUAGACCGCUGUUAGUUGAAACUGACGAAUCAUACUGGCACCUAGGUGGUAUCUUGUAUCACAAGUAGUGUUUGCCUUGGCUUGGUGCAGCGUUGUUUCUUGAGUCAGUGUCCAUGCAGAUGAUAGACGAGGUUGCACCAGCCACUCCGCUGUCCCAGUCAGGAAUUCCAAUGGAAUGCCUGGUCCUGGUCCAGGACUUUCUAAGGGUUAAAUGUUAACAACACCAUGUCCAAAUACUAACACUGCUUUUGUGCCUUUAUCCUUGCCAUGGAAACAGGGUUUGCUUCACUUUCUAUCCUAAACAAUCACAUUCCUUGGGCUUGACUUUGCAUAAUUAGCCAUGGUACAACAAAUAGUGUUAGGUAAUUAGCACCUAAAAAACAUUUAGGUUCAGUCUGAUUACUCUGUACAUACGUUAUAUUGGUGGUCUUACCUGGUAGUGCAUAUUGUGCAAGCUCGAGUACUGUACACAAUUCAGCAAACCAGCACAACUUGUUUGGCCAUCAAUUUAAUUUGUCUCUUUGGUCUUAACAUAGAAAUAGAAUUCUCUGCUGCGAUUCAGUGUCACCGUGCACGGCACCAGGCACUAGUGCCACCAGAACAGCCAACGUACACCGUUGUCCUCAAAUUUGUUCAGGGGUGUCACAUGCGUCCUACACUUUUAAAUUUGCAGAUUAUGUCGCUCAAGUUCCAAACAUCAGUAAUUAGCAUAUGCUUGCCUUUACCAUGCCAUUAAGUUGUUACACUCGCUUUCCUUUAGUCACUUGGUCUAUUUUGCAAAUUUUUACCGCUUUCGAUUGUGUUGUCAUCAGUCAUAAAAAAUAGGGAUAUUACUGAAAGUAGUUCCAUUAGGCUAUUGUCUUGUGAUUUUGGUGGUUGAGUGGUUUUGUAAUCACUAGGACUAAUAUGUUUGUAAAGUAUAUGUUUUGGAAGGGUUUCCUAGCUCUCAAGAUGAAAUACAAGUGAAGCAAGCAACCAUGGCGCAAAGAAUGGAGCAAAACAAGCAAAGAUGUACACUGGAGUGUUUGGUCGGUCACUGUGACUGAAAAAUAGUAUGUGGGACUGAAAUAGUUGAAGAUACACUAAAGAUAUACAUGUGGGACUGAAAAAUAGUAUUACAGAAGGGCGUAUACUCUGAUGUUUCAAGUGGGAAGUUAUGCAGAAAAGAAGAUUCUACAUGCCAGAUGAUCCAGCGUUGGUAAAAAAAAAAUAUAUAAACUACACGGCAUUGUAUUCACUACAUUACUGACGACUCAGACUAUCUGUAUAAUCGAUUUGAAUAGAAUGAAAUUAAUUCAAAGAGCAAAAAAAAAAUACCGAAAUUCAAGUAAGGAUUUUGGGAUUCGAUAUUUCGGGGGACAACUCCGAUUUGAAUUUUUGGUACUCAACCUGUAUCCGGAUAGGAUAAAUAGACGACCCCAAGGUUGAAACUGACGAAUGAGGAUUAGCUCAUGGCUUUGAGUGUGAACUCAACUUGAGAUAAUGAGCUCUGACUCAGCGGGAUUCUAAAUUGGAGAUGACGUGGGAAAUUGAUAAGGACUCGACGUUUAACAUUGAAGGGAAUUUGUAUUGACAAGUUAUAUAGGGAUAACGGCUUAAAUUCUGAGCUAGGUUUAAAUUUAAACCCGCACACAAUUAAUAUCCAAGAAGACUUGAACAAACCCAGAGAAACCCAAAACAAAAACAAUCAACACCUUACCUUAUUAUUAGCUAGCAAGAUUCACAUGUAAAUAAUUAGAAUAAAGUUUUAAAUGAAUAGAAAUAUCCAUAGUCCAUUCCUUUGCUAUCUACUCUACCCAUUUAAAUACAGGUGCUCUUUGCUCGGUAGCAACCCGCGGGCAUGUUUGCCUAUUAUGAAUAAAAUAUAUGUUCCUUAAUAAUGUAUUAUUUUAUCUAUUUAUUUUGUUUAUUUAUUUAUUCUAUCACACCUGUAAUAUUUUUCUCACACGUGUAGAGAAAUGCUUCUGGUAUUUUUUCUCACACAUGUAGAGAAAUGCUUCUGGUAUUUUUCUCCCCAAAUAGUACGACCAUAAAGAUACUUAGACUUUUUUAAAAUCAUUUAGGUGAAAACCUUGCAUGUAGGGAACUUUUUUUUAUUUUUAACCCUUUUUUUUCUUUAUUUUUAAAAAUAACCUCAGCUGGGUUUUAUUUGCGGGGCUGACCCUUUUGGCCUUUUGGCCGCGCCAGACCGCCUGGCGCGGCAGGAAGAUGCUGCCGCGCCACAUGCACUGGCGCGGCAGCCCCCUGCCACGCUGGCGCGGCGAGUCGCGUCGCCAGGCGGGCGCUGACGUGGGCGUGCGUUCGCCGCGCCAGCCCGCCUGGCGCGGCAGGGCCAACACUUAGGCCGCGCGCCGGUCCCUUCCUCCUCCCUCCCUCCUUUCUUCCUCCUCCAGAAACACCACACAGCAGCACCUUGCAGCGCCGGCCCCCGCCACCCCACCCCCAAAUCCACCAAAAAUCCGGCGUUUUUGGUGGGGGAAAGUAGUGGGAAUCGAUCCCUGCUUCGUGUGGAAGGUAUUCCCCUACUUAUUCUCGUGUUUUACCGUUGCAUUUGGUAGAUCGGAGGAUGUUUAGGUGACUUAGGGUUAGGUUAGUGAUUUGAAAUUUCAAUAAAAUGCAAUGGUGUUUUGUGUUAGAUGAUACGUAGUUCAUACGCAAUUGAGUCUCUGCCCGCGAUAUUGACGUGUAGAACUCGUUGAAUGCUUCGAUUAAGGUAUAUAUUCAUCCAAUUGUGUGGUUUACAUGACAUGUAUUUUUUUAUAUGUUCAAUUAAUUAGUCUCAUUUCUGUUUCAGUGUUUGUAUUUUGUAGAUCGAUUGUUUACAUUUUAUCAAAAUGAUGUAUAUAGCUAGUAUGGAUUACGUGUGUAAAGUUUAUUUGUAUAUUAAAUUUGUUGCACUUGAUUUCCAGGUGAGAUGGCGUCGUUUGGUUGUGAAUACAAACGGUGUAGGUGGUAUGUGCGUUAUGUCGGGGAGUCCAACGUUGCUGGUCCCGUACCUCCUGCUCUUCUGGUACCACUUUGUAGAUGUGGCGCGCAAGCAGAGGUGAAACAAUCAAGGCAUCCAAAGACAGCCGGAAGAGCCUUCUAUGUAUGCAAAUGGACUUUUGAUCCAUUGCCUGCCGCACCUUGCGAUUUCUUUCAGUGGAUCGAUGGACCCGACAAAUAUGAUCCUAGGAUCCGCCUAUUCCCAUAUCAUAGCACAGAGCUUAAACCAUACCAUUAGUUUAGGCGUUGGGUUCCUCCUUCACCAAACCCACCUAGGAUGACCGAUGAGGAGAAGCAGGAGGCUGCUUGUAGGCGUGUGAGGGAUCCUCCCAUGUGCAAGUGUGGUGUUCCUGCUAAGCUUAUGCGUCCUAACUUAGGGGAUCCACCUAAAUUUACUCCAUUCUUUCGAUGCUCCCUAAAGACUCAUGUAAGUAUAUUACGAGAAUAUUAGUAUGUCGUUUAGCUAGCAGUUAUAAUUUUGCAGUAUAUUGUUCAUACUUUAAUUUGAUGUUAUUGCUUGGAAGUUGGAGUAGCGUUUUGUAGUUACUUUACAUAUGAGUAGUUCACGUCGUGGGUUUUUUGCAGGAUGGGUGGCCGUUGUGUGAUUUCAAUGAGUAUAUAUACGGCCCAAUGGCAAUGUGGCCAACAGAGGAGGAAGUGCAGGAGUUUGAAAGUGAAAAUGCACCGUGGCCAUGUGUGUCCUCUCCUAGUGAUAGAUGCAAGUGUGGUAUAUUGGCAACAGAAGGUGUGGUGCCUUCUGAACUUGGAUAUGGUUCGUUCUGUGGAAAUGCACAUGGCGAUUACUGGGUUAGUAACUACUCGUCUCCUAUGUUUUAUGAAGGUUGUAACUUGAUUCAAAUUUGUAAGAAUAUUUAAUUGUUGUUGCAGGAGGGAAGGACAUGUGAUUGGGAAGAUUUUUGUGGUCGAUAUGAUUUGUUAUUAAAGUUGGGAAAUACAUCGGAACCAUGGAAGUCAAGGAAACAACAAGAAAUUAAAGAAAAGAUUAGGAAGAAGUAUGAUGUGCCUAUUCCUGACGACGACUUGCUUUGGGGAAAAAUAUAUCAAGAUAUGGUGCAUGAGACUGGAGUGGAACCUAAAGGACUUUAUGCAAGGGAAACUAUUAUUAAGUAUUGGAGGCAAAAUAGAUCCAAGUAUCCACGACCUCUAACUGAAAAUGAGAAGAGAGAAAAUAGGAGGAAGUUGCAGGAGGAGAGGGAGUUGGAGAAACAAAGGUUGAUGGAGGAAAGAGAUCGCUUAGGUUAUGUGGUUGAUCCGAAUGUGAAAUACCCUGAGGGUUCAUGGGAACAAUAUUUGCAGCAAGUUAGGGCAAGAAAAAGAAGGCUUGAAAUGGAAGAGUUACAACAAAAAGCGGAAGAGGCACAGAUGGAGACGAUGAAGGCUCUUGUUGCCGAUUUACCUGUUGGUAAGGUUAAUGUCGAUAAGAAAGGCAAGGGAGUUGUUGUUGCCGGAGAUGAUGAUGAUGAUGAUGAUGACGACGAGUUACUAUAUGAAGGUGAAUCGGACUAGAUGAACGUGUUGAUGUAGCUGGAUCAUGUUUCUCUGUAGCUGUGAAAACUAUGUAGAACAUUAUGUUUAUGUUUAUUCUGGAAACUACAAUUAGUUGUCAAAAAUUAUUUUCAUUUCCGAGAGAACUAUGUUCAAACGCAUCAAAGUUUCCAAAGGUAGACCUGAAUGGAAACAAAGGCAAACCGACGAAACAUCCCGACUAGACGACGACGUAGUGAACUAUGCGAGAGAGGCCAGGCCGUGCACAGGCCGUGCACAGACCAGCGUCCAAUUUCCACGCGUUUCCUUGGGUCGCUUGUAGGAAACCGGACGGUGGAUUCCUUGGUUCCUUUUUAUUUCAUCUUUUUUCUGUUUCUCACAUACAGCACUUCUCAGGCAGCUGAUCUGAUUUGCUACCUACUCCUAGUAUUCUGUACUACUAGCUGAUCGAGUGCGUAGAGAGUGAGGUAGUGGAGUGAGAAUCACUGUAAACGUGUCGAACGUUUCGUAACCCCCUAAUUUUCAACUUUUGCAAAUUAAUAAAAUUUGUUAGAAUUUACAAGAAUUUAAUUACUUUUGCUUAAAGAUUUAAGGAAUUUCUAAGGUUUUAUUUAAUUUCUUGGGCAUUUAAAUCUUUUCUGAAAUGAAUCAUAGGAGUUAAUCAGGCGCAUUGAUUUUGGUCGUUUGAAUUCAAAUUAGUAUUUGAAUUGAUGUUUGAAUCCUUUUCAACCAAUAGGAAAAUCUUUUCAGUAGGGUUGGCCUUGCCGCGCCAGGCGGCCUGGCGCGGCAGGGGUGAGCUGCCGCGCCAGCUGCAACCUACUUUCAGUGGGUUUCGGGGCGGUGGCCGGCCGUGCCACGCCAGGCUGCCUGGCGCGGUAGGGGUGAGCUGCCGCGCCACCUGGAACCUACUUUCAGUAGGUUUCGCCGGGUGGGAGGCCGGCCUUGCCGCGCCAGGAGGCCUGGCGCGGCAGGGGUGAGCUGCCGCGCCAGCUGCAACCCACUUUCAGUAGGUUUCGGGGCGGUGGCCGGCCUUGCCGCGCCAGGCGGCUUGGCGCGGCAGGGGUGAGCUGCCGCGCCAAAUGCAACCCAAUUUCAGUAGGUUUCGCCGGGGGGGAGGGGGUGGCGCUCUUGCCGCGCCAGGCGGCCUGGCGCGGCAGGGGUGAGCUGCCGCGCCAAAUGCAACCCAAUUUCAGUAGGUUUCGCCGGGGGGUGGUGGCGGCAAGGGUGCGCGGCCGAGCCAAUUUUAGUAAACUUUCAUUAGGUUUCGGCCCAGGGGGGUGGGGCAUCAGGAGCGCGCUGCACAAUCCGAAACGUAUUUUUGUGCUAAACAUUUAGGGAAAAAUACACGAAAUACAAGUACAUCAUGGAGCAAACAUAUAACAUUGUACGGACAUAAAAAACGUAACAACCAACUUAGUCUUUUACAAACGUGACAUGAAUAAACCUAACAUGCUUAGUCUUUUACCAACUUAGUCUUUUACAAACGUGACAUGAAUAAACGUGACAUGGAAUAAUUGGGCACAUGAUAGGUUCAGUGGCGUGACCGCCGCUCAUCCGGAGGGCUAAAAGGAUCUCUUGGGCGACGCUCCCUCCUUGGAUGCGUGGGCAGCACAUUGGCGCUGCCAACAUCGGUGUGGUCCCGGGAACGACGACGUCGGCGUGGCAACCGGGUAUGAGUUGCAGGUUCCUAUUGAAUAAUUGGGCACAAAUCAUAAAAUUUGUAUGACACUUCGGGAGCGAACAUUAAAAUGUAUAAUUGAAAUUAGAGGAACUUCUGAAUAUACCUGGCUGGACUCUCCCUGCGUCUGAGUCACAGGUGGAGCAUCGUGAGAAAUCUCGAGUUCCUCACCAUACGUAGGGUCAUCAUCCUCAGACUGCUCACCUUCCGAGUCCUCGCUUUCCUGAGGGGAUGCGGGUUCCUUACCUCGCGAUCUCCUGCUAGGACCUGCCGCAGUGGACGGUGUUGCAGCCCUGGGGGUAGUCACCAAUGCAGUCCGACGUGAUCCUGAAGAAGUACCCUGGACAUUGGCCCCGUCGUGCGCAUCUGAGGAUGUCAUGCAGUUCAUCCUCUGCGCCAUUCGCCUGCAACUUUUACGAACCCUCUGCCAUAUAUUCACGACUAUGUUAUUGAUGGUUACAAAGAUAGUACGAGUAUAAGUGAAAAUUUGUUUGGGCUUCUACCUCUGCAAAAGCACGAAGCAGACUAUCACCUUCCCCAACAGUGUGCUCCAUAAUCACGCCCGCCUCGUUAGAGAGCCUUGCAAGCUGCUGUCCCUGCACGCAGUAGUUUUCAUUCCAUAAGUGAUCAAUGUGACGAUACUAUAAUUACAAACCGAAAGCUUACCAUGUAGUCGUGGAGAGGUGCACGCUCAGGCUGUGUCCCAUGGCGUGUCACGGUGUCGUACGCGUCAGCUAUGUCAGCAUCAUCAUCAGACGGUGCAUCCUCAAUGGGCACAUUAGUCCAAGAUGGUUUCACUUUGGUUCUCGUCGAAGUACAGUACCAUCUUAUGUACUCAUUGUUGGGUCGCCAGUACAGUCCACCUUUAGGAUCGCAUCCUUCCUUGUUCUGCCACAGGUGGAUGUACCGGUCAUGCUUCACCCUCCAAUCAUUUUCCUUGUACCACUUUCUGCGGUCGAUACUGCAUCAGAAAUUAGUGAAGUAUUAGUAUAACACGUUAAUUGCGUUAAUUGAAUACCCUCCAAUAGUUAUUUAUUCCUGCGUACCUGUGCAGCUGCUGCGAAGUCGAUAAUUCCAAAGGAGGGCACGGUUGCAUCCUCCCAAACUGCCGCAUCACCCUAUGCGGCAUAUGAAACUCUACCACGUAGUACAGUAUCAUUGGGGUCGUGCACUUCCACAGCUCUCUGUCUCUAUAGCACGUCGGUGAAAAGACGAUCUCGCUAAGCUGCUGACGGUCAUACGGUUUCCAUUCCACCUUCAAAAAUUUUCACGCAAUACUUAUUUCAUCUACCAUUAUACGCAAGUUAGCUUAAAAAACUAUUAUGGUUACCAAAUUACCUGGUACUCUGCGUGAGAACAUCAAACUCGUUCGUGUAGGCCCUGUAGCGCCUAUCCGGAUUGCCACGAACGGGCCGCACAUGCUUCCACACGUGAUAGAACGUGGGAAGAGCAUCGUCUCGAUGCCAUGGCUGAAAUUGCAAGUAAGUCCAAUUGGUCACAUGAUACAAUAGUUUUUCGAACAUUAACGUAGAAAAAGGAAUUAGCCGUUGUGACUUACAUCAACACGGAGGCGGGAAGGUCGACCCACGGGCAUUCGCUCCCAAAUCCAUAUCUGGAGCAUAUAAGUGCACCCUCCAACAUUAGAAUCUCUCGCUGUGCGCCGGCAAGCCUCACAUAACUGUCUGUACAGCCAGGCAAGAGCCGCUGAGCCCCAACUGUAAGUGGCUAUGUUUUCCCAAACUUGACCUAGAAUGGGGAGAACCAUCCACGAUACUGUGUUCCCAGCUGCAUCUGGAAGGAGGAAUGUACUGACAAAGUGCCAUAGCCACACUCGAGCAAAGCGCUGCACGACCUCGUCAUUUGCUCCCGGAGGACACACCUCGAAGUGCUCCCUCAACCAUGCCGAGCUAACACCGGACGUCUUCUUCGAGCUAUCUCCGCCCUCUGGCUCUGGCGGCCUAAUCCCAAUAUGCAUCUCGACCAUAUCACGCCAAUUCUCAUUCUGGAUAAUACCUGUCACUGGCAGCCCAUGCAGUGGAAGGCCGAGUAUCAUAGCCGCAUCCUGCAUUGUGAUGGUCAUUUCUCCGAAGGGCAUGUGGAACGUGUGAGUCUCCGGACGCCACCUGUCGACCAUAGCGGUCAACAGUGGUCCGUCCAUUGGAGGGAGACCCCCCACGACCUGAACAGCGAUAUCCAAGAAACCUGCUCUCUGCAGGUACUGGGCGUACCGCUCAUCCCACCUAAGUGGUGAGUGCACCCUAGCCCUGAGUGGUGUCAAAUUCUGCAAAACAUUAUAAGAUUAUUACCAAAAUGAGAAGUCAAUCCAAUUGUGAAUAACGGGCUUCUAAAGUGGUAAGUAACACAAAUAUGAUACAAAUGACAUUUGCAGUAUGAAAUUGUUUACACUCUACACAAGCGAAUAGUAACGAUAGGCACAUCCUUAAUUAAUUUAUAAGAACAUUUCAUACGAAAAUCUUGCAAUUCUCAUCCUAAGGUAUGCAUUCAUCAGCAAAAAUUAGCAACCAUUGUUAUACCUCAUUCAUGUCCGCGAGGUGGUGGGCACGGUAGUGCAAGUCGUAAGCAGCCUCAAGAAGAGGGUACCCCGGGGCCGCCAUCCUAAAGAAACAACAUAAAUGAUCGUUAGUAAAAAGCUUCAUUACAUGAUAAGUACGGAAAAUAUGAUAAUGUACUACUAUAAAAAAGAUAAAAUAAUAGCCACGCAUAAUACAAGCAACGCGCAUACCCAAUUGUUCGAAGUACGCGGCCUAUUACUGCUCGGUCUAGAUUUAGUGCCUUUUGAUUUUCUACUGUGGCAUGUGCAAUUCCUGAUGAUCUUGUGGCACUUGGAGCAACGAUUUUCCGACUUGUCAAUAUCAAAAUCACCAGUAUCAUAAUCUGCAGAAAGCCUCCCUUCCGACACGUCCAUCUCGCCUGUGAAAUGCUUCUUCUGCCGCCUUCCUACUUUAUUUCUCAUUAAACUGGGGUUAGGCACGUACCCUACCCCUUCAUAUGCCGGCCAUUGUGACGGAUCUAGGUAAGGUUGAAAGCUUGAUUCCCAAAUUUUGAUGGUGUGCUCCCUAGAGUACAACGGUGACAUGUACAUGGGGCUUUCAAAGUUAAGACCUCUUGCCUUGCAAGCUGUAAUGAAGUGUGAACAUGGAAGGUGCAACAAUUGAGGAACAUUGCAGGUGCACGAAACUUCGUGCAGAUCCACUCUAUAGUGUCGGCCUCCAUGACUCUCACCCCCAAUGUUAGUCGUACCGUAACUUCUUAUAGAAUACACCAUCCUUUCUGGCCCGUACGGUUCUGCUAAGUGGUGCACGGAUCUAAGCUCAGCCUCUGAUAAAUAAUUAUCUGCAACUUGCCCAAUUCUAUAGCCUUGAUCUAACAUUUCACGCGCCUUUCCCCAUCGGUUCACAAAGUAGGCGUUGCAUUUUUCGAAUGUGUAUUCAAUAAUUCCAGCAACGGGCCUACUUCGGAUGCCUUUGAAAACUCCGUUGAGUGAUUCCGAGAAGUUCGUGGUCAUAAUACCCCACCGCAUCCCUCCCUCAUCGAAAGCCUGCGCCCAUUUAUCCUUGUCCCCCAUUUCACCCUUCAACCAUUCUUUUGCGUCGUCGUUCAAGUCCUUCACUAAAUCUUCUAACUUCUCACGAAAUUCUCUCUCUGUAUGAACCGUGCAUAAUAAUUUCAAUUUUCCAAUCACACGAUUGCUCUUCUACCGACGCGACAUGUUGGCAGCAAAAUGCCUCAUGCACCACCUAUGCACAAGCGGUGGAAAACCAUCAAUGUGGUCCUUUGCACAAUUUAGAAGCCCAUGAUGCCUAUCUGAUAUCAUACACACUAUCCGUGAAGGUCCAAGAACAUUUACCCGAACAAGUUUCAUAGACCAUGACCAACUCUCAUUAUUCUCACUCUCGACCAAGGCAAAAGCAAGAGGCACAAUCUGUUGUUCUGGAUCUACAGCAACUUCCAUCAUUAAUGUACCCUUGUACUUGCCAGUCAAGAAUGUACCGUCCACCAGUAUCACAGGACGGCAAUGUUGAAAUGCCUCACUACAUUGAGGGAAGCACCAAAAUAACCUUUGCAGUAUAUGCUUCAACACUCCAUUGUCAGGAACCAUCAUGCCACAUGAGUCGAUCCACCAUUUAACUCCGGGAUUGUAGUAGGUUAUAGCUGAGAGUACCCUAGGAACCAUGCCGUACGACUCCUUCCAGUCGCCCCAAAGCAGGGCAACAGCGUGUUGCUUCGCCCGCCAAGCCUUCGAAUACUUCACACGGUACCCACUAAAGAUAAAGAUGGACUCCACGAGUGAUGGCACCGAUGUCUCGCUGUCUUUACGGAUAAUGCCUAGGAUACGCCGUCAAAGGUACUUUGCUGUGCACUGUACAUGCUCUCGCUUCGGCUGUGACGACCGACAAGUAUGCGGUUGCACAACAUUUGAAAUUCUCCAUUGUGCGGUGCUUGAUAUUAGCCGAGACCAUACACGCCAAUGGCAUCCUUGCUUGCACAUCACAUUGUAUCUUAAGUUCUUGUCAGAGUGAACUACGCUAAAAGGUCUAUGUAACCUCACCGCGUAGUCAGCCAAGAAAAACUUCAGCUCCUCAAGACUAUUGAACUUCAUCCCCUUCUUAAUCACUGGACUCUCACCAAUGGACGUCCCUUCGGCAUUCACAAUACUAGAUUCACAUAUUGCUUUGUGAACCAUACUUAUGUCCUUAUCAUUGGGAACGGAUGGCAGUUCGACAUCACGUUCUUUUAACAUCCGCAACUCACACUGGGUGUAAGAAAAACAAUCGUCCAUACGACGAAUGCCUUCUACAUCAUGUACGGUUGCGGUGUCAAAUUGCAGUCCAUCCUCUUCAUUUUCUACCCUGACGUUCUCAUAUUCAUGCCCACCACUCUCAAAUAGUGAUUCCUCCUCUACCUCCUCACCUACUACCCCAUCUUCCUCCAAUUCACAAUCUUCGGAACCCAUAGAGACAUUAUCAACAUCUAUAUUUGCUUCAUCCCUCUCAAAAAUGUUAUUGGGAAAAUCAUCAUUGGCAAUAGCCAAGUCAAAAUCACGUUCUGUUUCACCUAACACGUGAUGCAACAUUUCUGACUCCUGGGUACCAUUAUGGUUCACUACCGUCACUUCCUCCCUCAUGACAACAUUUGGGCCAGGCAUACGAACAAUUUCGACUAUAACCUCCAAACAUGCAACAUUAGCUUCGUGCACAACAUCCUUAUAGUGCUUCCAAUUCGCAUCGGAUGCUAACUUCAUGAGAACAUAAUGAGCUCUAGCUUUCCCACAAUCAAAACAACCUCUCAAACUGAUCUCAUCCACUCUACAUCCAUACUUCGUCAUUACACGGUCAACUAAAUCACUAAAACUUGGAGGACCAUCAAAUAUUUCAAUUGACUCAUUCAUAUUCUCUAACUCCCCAUUUUGUUUCACAACACCACCAUGAAAAAAUCGAACUAAACGAUCCAUCUACAAAAUACAAACAUUUCACCAUGUCAUAUACACUACACAUUGCACAUAUUCGACAUAUCAACUACACACAUUACAUAUAUUGGACAAAUUGCAAACAAAAAAUACACAUAUACAUUGCACUAUACGAUUCAAUGAAUAUAUCCUUAAAUCAAUAAGUUCUACACGUCAAUAUCGCGGGCAGAGACUCAAUUGCGUAUGAACUACGUAUCAUCUAACACAAAACACCAUUGCAUUUCAUUGAAAUUUCAAAUCACUAACCUAACCCUAAGUCACCUAAACAUCCUCCGAUCUACCAAAUGCAACGGUAAAACACGAGAAUAAGUAGGGGAAUACCUUCCACACGAAGUAGGGAUCGAUUCCCACUACUUUCCCCCACCGAAAACGCCGGAUUUUGGGUGGAUUUGGGGGUGGGGCGGCGGGGGGCGGCGCUGGAGCUUCGGGCUCGGGCGUUUCUGGAGGAGGAAGAAAGGAGAGAGGGAGGAGGAAGGGAGCCGGCGCGCGGUCUAAGUGUUGGCCCUGCCGCACCAGGUGGGCUGGCGCGGCGAACGCCCGCCCACGUCAGCGCCCGCCUGGCGCUGCGCCUGGCGCCGCGACUCGCCGCGCCAGCGUGGCAGGGGGCUGCCGCGCCAGUGCAUGUGGCGAUGCAGCAUGUUCCUGCCGCGCCAGGCGGUCUGGCGCGGCCUAACCGGCCGCGCAAAUAAAACCCCGCUGAGGUUAUUUUUAAAAAUAAAGAAAAAAAAGGGUUAAAAAUAAAAAAAGUUCGCAUGUAGGUUGGGCAGCUAAGCAAAUUGUUGUGUGGAAAGGUAUUAGCGUUUCAUCAUAUCUAUUUUUUUUUGCGGGCAAGGCUUUCAUCGUAUCUUUAAGGUGAGAGAAUCACCAAGUCAUCAUUUUAUCGUUAUAUCUCAUAGUUUCGAUAUUAUUGCAGCCAAAUGUUAGUACCAGUGUCUUGGUCCAGUACAGUAAAGCAUGGGGAGUUUUGGCACUAAUUCUACAGAUUUUUGUUUUUUUCUACCUAAAAUAUUGAAAUGAUUGUUUAUCAGUUCUAUUGAGCUCCAUCUCGUACGCAAAAAAAAAGACAAAGGAACAAUCGGUCCACGACACUGGUUGUAAAAGAAAGCAGACAUAUAGCGCACAUAGGGCAUAUCACUAGGAACAUCUCAGCCGUCAAGAUUUGAGUGAGAGUGGGCAGUCUAGAGCCCACUCGAGCAUUUUUAGGCCAGUCCACACCCGAAUUUCCAUCCAUCCAUUUAAUCCAAGUCCAUCCCCUACCCUAGUCUCUGCAUCAUGGUCAUCUUCACGCACGCGAAACGCAGCAGCCGCACGCCCGCAAGCAAACCUUGUAGGUUGCAGCGCCGAAGCACCCAUAGCUUGCUCCACCGAUUUCGGCGAGGCCCCGUGGCAGCAAUCACCACCAGCCUCCCAUUUUUCGACUCUGGCGAACUUGUUCAUUGUGUUGCCAUCCCCACCCCGCCCUCCUUCCUCGUCUCUAGCGGCUCUCGCCACUGGAUACGACCCUGCCGUCCACCCCCACGCUAAAUCACCGUUGGUGCUCUCCCUACUAGUAGGGUGCUUUUGUCCCGGUUAACUUUGGAUUCAUGACUAAAGUGCCUUUAGUACUGGGCCAAAAAUGUGCCACCGAAGGCCACCGCCAGGGGGGGUUGUCGUUGUCAAGAAUCACAGGUCAAGACCGUGCAAGUGAAUUUGUCUUCUAUGCGCGUAAGGCUCGGAUGGUUGCACGAGAGGACACGAGGUUUAUACUGGUUCGGGCAGGUAUAGCCCUACGUCUAGUGUGGGAGACUGCUUGUGUUACUCAUGCAGAGUUUGCAGUAGGGGUUACAAACGGGGGAGAGAGGGAAGCUAGUCCCAAAUCUCUUUGGGUGUGCACUGAUGCUCGUGUGGAAGGGUUGUGGGUGGAGAGUAGCUCUGGUUUGCUUGAGAGCCAUCCUUGUCUCGGGCCUCCUGGUCCUCCUUUUAUAGCGUAAGGAGGGCACAGGAGUUAUAAUUGAGCCAGGAGCAGAAGGGGGAGUGAAGAAGGUAAGCAGGGAAGUAAGGAGGGAGAAGGAUCGAGCCCCCGGGGUUGCCGCCUUCCCUUCCGGUCUCUGUCUCCUGUCAGCAUGACCACUGGAGGGAGAUGGUUGUCGUUGGGCCCCAUCGACGAUCCUCCGGUUGGCCGUCGUAGCCGAGCGCACGAGAUAUGCAUGGCGACCGAUCGCUAUAGCCAUGCAUGAUGAUGAUGAUGACUGGUCGCCGUAGUUGUGCACUCGUGGAGGACAGUCGACCUCUGUAGCCUCACGUAUUGACCGGGAGGCGCGGCUAACACGCCCCUGCCGCCAGGUCGAGCGGGAGACCGGGCGGCGCAUCCUCCUUUGUCAGGUGGCGUGGGCGAUGAGUGCCCUAUAACGAAUGUUACAGGGGAGGAUUAGGACGGUGCAGCUGUAGCCCUGUGCAGUCGUGGCUACAGUGUGCCACCCAAAAACUUUGGCCGGUCACGUCGAAGAGCGCGGGCGUCUUUCUGCGUGCUAGAGCCGUAUCGCAUUUAUGGAGAGAUCGGUGGGGGCCUACCAGAUCUGCGCCCUCAUCUGCUAAUCCGCGCCCGCCCUCCGACGAGGCGAAGCUCUGUCGUGUGAGUCCGGAUGUGCCCAACCUCUAGCACCUGGGGUCAUGCGAGAUGGAGCCUUGCGGCGAGGGGUCGGGCGCGUCCGACCCCUCGCGCCCGACCCCUUGCACCCGGGGUUAGGCGAGGCGGAGCCUUGCGGCGUGGGGUCGGGCGCAUCCGACCCUUGGACCAUGGGUUGGGCAAGACGAAGUGGAAUAUUCCCUAGCCGUGACAAGUCGGUGGAGGUUACUGUCGCUGCAGGUGGGCCCGGGCCCUUAUGAUCGUUGUUUAAGGAAUAUAAGGAGGUCAUUAAUAUUUCCCCCUAACAGUAGCCCCCGAGCCAUUGGUGGAGCAAAAAUGCUCCUCCAGAGGCUGCAUUCGUUGUUUGUCAAGGACCUUUGUUUGUUCUGCAACCUUUAUUUGAUCAGGGAGAAAGAGUUUUGCUCGUUUGGUUUGGCUGUGGAGUUUGGGUAGGCAAGGUGCUCCGAGGAUGGCUCAGCUCGGGAAGAUUCCCUAUCGUUCCGACGACCACUCCUACUCCAAGACUCCAAAUUGUGACCACACGCGUGGUCGUUGGUUGUGAUGCCAGCCCCCGAGCCCCCGCACAUUGCAGGAGACUGAUCAAGUGGUUAGAUCGACUUUUGAUCGUUACCCCUCAAGCGCCCGUUCGCUGGGAUGGAGGGUGUGAGCCGUGCCACGUUAUCCUCGUUGGAUGAACCGUGGUGCUCGUUGAGCUGCGAACGGGUCAGUUGGAGUGGAGUCCCGGUCCCCGUUCGGGGGGGGGGGUCCGGCUCGGGCCAAGCUGGUGGCAUACUCCAGAUUCCGGAUGACCAGUUCAUAUAGUUCCCGGGUCCAUUCGAUUGGAUCUGGGGGCUCGUUGCCUUUCUUCAGGGAAAAACCAUGAACUUAAAUGCCAGUGGGUCCUGUGGGUCCGGAUGUGCCCGACCUCUAGCGCCUGGGGUCGGGCGAGACGGAGCCUUGCGGUGAGGGGUCGGGCACGUCCGACCCCUUGCGCCCGGGGUCGGGCGAGACGGAGCCUUGUGGCGAGGCGUCGGGCCCCUCCGACCCCUUGCGCUCGGGGUCGGGUGAGGUGGAGCCUUGCGGCGUGGGGUCGGGCGCGUCUAACCCUUGGACCAUGGGUCGGGCGAGGCGGAGUGGAAUAUUCCCUGGCCGUGCCAAGUUGGCGGAGGUUACUGUCGCUGCAGGUGGGCCCAGGCCCUUAUGACCGUUGUUUAAGGAAUAUAAGUGUUGAUGCUAGAUUUCAACACGUAUGGAAUCGGCAUCGAGAAAGGAGAAGAUUGGCUGAUGCGGCAGAUUGGAAGGUCACGAUUGGGAAUCGGCCGAUUGGUGGUACAAUUGGGGAUCGGCCGAUUGGCGCUACAGUGUUUUGGUAGACGGAGUUGAUGGAGAUCGGCCGAUUGAAAGGCUGGAGCGAUUGGGCCAAUAUGGGCUUAAAAUGGGUCAGAGAAAGAAGAUGGAGGAAGAUUGGCCCAUGGGAAUACAAUAACCAACUCCGAUACGAGUUGUACUUGUAAAUAUUUGUUUUCGUUUAAAAUUAGAGAUAGAUCCUAGUCGGUUAAGAAAUUGGUUGUACCAGGCUAUAAAUAGCCACCUUUACGGAUUUGUAAAAAACACAUCAAUCAAUACAACAAUCUACUAUUUCUUCGUACUUUACUUUCAAGUCGGUGACUUCGCCAAUACUUUUCUUCUUUCACCAGUUCGUACGGGUUGGCGGGGCUACAUCGACACGAUCUCUGGCCGAUUCUGUAAGUUCUGCUUAUCGAGUAAUAUCUAAGCUUUAACUUCGGACGUAUCGCUGUCAUUUCAUUUAGAUUUAUUCACCAGUUAUUGAUAUUUACUAGAAUUAUAGGUUUCAUCUGUUGUUCUAGUUUUAUCACCAGUUAUCCAGCUUGAGAUCUGAACUGUCGGCUUUAUUAUUCAUUAUUCAUUAUUUUCAUAUAGCUGAUUAGAUCUAUUUCAAGUGUUGCUCCUGUAGCGUUAUCUAGUUUACUCUAGUAGUUUUCUUUAUAAUCGCUAUGUGGUUGUUAGCUGUAUCAUAGCCGAUUAUCUUUUUAUAGCAAAUCGGCCGAUUUGCUGAUACGCUUUCUCGAGAUCGGAACCUUAGCCGAUCCGAACCCCUGGAAUUUGACACGUUUUCUUCCUUGCCAAUCAACAGGUCAGAUUGGCUGGCACGCUGCGUGAACCGCACCAGGGCGAUCACCCGAACAGGAGCUAAGCAGAUUCUCCCGGGUCGUGUGUCCGACGCUGAGAGUCAAUCGGCUGACUUUUAGCGUCAACACACUUUUGGCACACCCGGUGGGACCAAUUCGACCUCCAACAUGUCGAAAGCCGCUGAAGUCUCCGAAGACAACGUCAUCGAAGUGACGGAAGUAGAUCUUAAGAAUGACCAGAAGGAAGAGUUGGAAAAGCAGGUAGAACAAUACCGGAAGACAUGCCUGCAAUCUUUCAGUCGUACUAGGAGCGGGGAGACUAUCAAGAAAGCUCCUUUGCCAACUCCCCGCCAGAUCACCAUCGCUGAGGACUCGGGCAAGAUGUCCGAUAUGGUUCAGCAGUUCGUCUAUCAGGCCUUCAUCGAUCAAUCCCCGGUGAUGGCUAACACGGUGUACAAUGCCGUCAUCAGCUCCCUGGCCAAUGGUGUAUCUCAAGGAUAUCAGGGGCCAGCAUACACCCCACCCAUUACGACCCCAGUCAGGAGCUUUCCAAGCACAUCUCACUCGGCUCCUCAGCCGAUGCCAGCUCAACAUGGAGGAUCCAGCACUUCCCUGCCUUCAAUGCAUCCAGGAUACAACAGUGCGCCAUACCUUCAACCACAAGCACCACCACAGCCUGCUCAAGUUUCCUCUGUGCAAUCAGUGCCAUCGAACUCAGCACCUUGGGGGGCACCGUCGACAACAACCGUUCUAGAUCAAUUGGCUGGCUAUGGAGGCCCUCCAUUCCAGGCACUAUUCCAAUCGGCCAGUCGGCCGACGGUUCCACAGUAUCAAUCUACCAUGUAAGAAAUCGGCAUGGGGGCAGACGCUACUGAGGUGCUCCGAGGUGCGGUGCCAAUGAUACUAUACGAUGAGACGGCCGGUUCACUGCACCACCAGAUGUCAACCGCUCAGCCGGCCACAUUACCACAGAAUCCGCCGCAUGCAUUGAUUAAUCACCCGGUUAUCCCAACGCCGAUCCACCAACACGCGCCAAUUCCCCAGCCAGUAAUUCGUCAGCAGCAAGUGGAUUGGACGGCAAGGAUAGCUGAAGUAAUUCAAGAUCAGUUCAGGUUGAAGCCGAAGGUACAAACUUACACAUACAGGACGCCAUACCCGCCUACCUAUGAUCUACUGCCGUUUCCCCAUCGAUACAAAGUGCCCGACUUCACCAAAUUUUUGGGGCUAGAUGAUACUUCAACUGCGGAGCACGUGAACAGAUUCAUUAUCCAAUGCAGGGAGGCGGCUGCACAAGAUGCUCUACGGCUGCAUCUGUUCUCAGCGUCCCUGUCCGGGUCGGCUUUCGAGUGGUUCACUACGCUACCGCCCAACUCCAUAGUUACUUGGGCCGACCUGGAGAAGCAGUUCCAUAAAUACUUCUACGCGGGGGUCCAUGAGAUGAAGCUUUUGGAUCUGACCACCCUCAGGCAAAGGAGCGACGAGCCAGUGUCCAAUUAUGUGCAGAGGUUCAGAGAGGUCAGAAACAAGUGCUACACCCUAGUCCUGACCGACGCGCAGCUGGCCGAUAUCGCCUUCCAAGGCCUCCUGCCGCAUAUCAAAGAGAAGUACGCUUCCCAGGAGUUCGAGAGCCUGAGUCAAAUCGUUCACCGAUUGGCCGGUCAGGAAGUACGCCCUUUUGAUCAGCGGAGAAAUUUUCAGAAGAAGGUGGCAUAUCUAGAGGGAUCUGAAUCUAAGGAGGAAGCGGAAAUCGGUCUAGCAGAGUGGGUUAAAGGAAAAAAGCUGAUAUUGUGUCCUUUCGGGAAAAGAGAACCGGAGGCGUUCGGUUUUGACACGUCAAAGGCCGACAAAAUUUUCGAUCUACUUCACCAAGAAGGGUAGAUAAAACUCUCACCCUACCAUACGAUCCCGUCCGCAGAGCAGCUAAAAAAGAUGAAGUAUUGCAAGUGGCACAAUGCUACGUCCCACGACACGAACGAGUGCAAGAUCUUCCGUCAGCAGAUACAAUCGACCAUCGAGAAGGGCAGGCUCAAGUUCGAAGUCCCAACAAAGCCAGCAAAGCCGAUGAAGGUUGAUCAGCAUCCUUUUCCCACUAACAUGGUUGAUACGGGAAGAAACGCGCUCCAAACCAAGGUGCUAACGUCGGAAUCGGCUAAAAAGAGUGGCGCUGUGGACCCCAGAAAUCAAACUUCUGUGGAAGAUGUCAAGGGGAAGCGACGGGUUGAUGACAAGGGUGAAGGAUCGAAAAGGCCGCGUAGACCUAUUACUUUCCAAUUUCUGCUCAACAAAUAUCAGUGGCAACAAGAAAGUUCGAGAUAUCGCGAAGAGAUGAUACGACGACAUGAAGAUCAUUGGCGAUGCCAGUUCUUCAUCCAUUGUUGGGAAAAUAACCUCAGGUUGCCAUCGGCCUAUAAUUGCCCGGAGUGCAGCGGUCCAUAUAGCAAUAAUCGCCCAUUCAGGAGGUCUCGCUCCAGGGACAGAAGAAUAGAGCCAAUCAGCAAAAACUGGCGCAAACAAGAAGAUCAGCGCCUUUCAGUGCGUGAUCGGCUGGGGGGCAGAAUGGCCUGAUAUGAUCGGCCAAGCGAUAGAAGCGAGCAAUAUGAUAGGCCGGGGGGCAGGUGUGGUGAAGCACCUCGGAUUAACUUAGCUAAAGCACAGUUAAGUCGCCUAACACGUGAAUCACAUGCUUUAAUCAAGUUAAUUCGACGAUCCGUCGGAUUUCAUCUGAUAAAACCACUUAGAUAGGACCGAGUUAGCAUAGCUCACACAAAGGUGAGUCGUUUAAGAGAAUACAACAGAUCAAAUAAACAGUUCAACGAUUUAUUACACACUGGUUCGAAAAUCAGAGUUCUACAAGAUUCAAAAGCAGCGGAAAGAUAAAAUAGUGGAAGCUAGCGCCGGGGUCGGAUGUCCCUGAUGAGGCCGAUUAGGACAUCAAUGAUCCCUCUCCUCACUGUCCGAGGAGGGAUCCCACUUGACCGUCCACCCAGGAGGAAGCUAGGGCGGCCAAGUGCCAAUAGCAACACACUCAGAAGCUUCAGCUUCACCUGAAAAGAGAUGCCACAACAAGGCUGAGCUUCUAAGCUCAACAAGACUUAACCGACCAGUGGGAAAAACUACUCCACCACUCCAAGACAUGCAAGGCUCUUUGGCUGAGGGGUUUGUUUUGCCAAAAGCGACUACAGUAGGUCCUUACUUUCAAUAUUUUAGCACAGAUUCUGAGUUCAUUAACAAGUCUACAUUGGCAACUUAUCCGAAACAAACAUAGUUUCCAACAUCAAUAUAUAGAACGAGCAUCGAGUUCAUAUCAUCUUCAUGUUCCAUCUUUACUCAGUGUAGCGUAUAAAUCAAGCAGUCUCAAACUGUGAGAGGUAGACAAAUCGAUUCGAGUUUCUUAACCAUGCAUGGCAAACCUAAUCUCAAGACAUCCGCGCACCACAAAGGGUCGCUUCCUGCGGUCGGCGGCUCAACUACUACUCCGUCUUCUCGCACCGGAUACAGCUCGUAUGUGCCGUCGGCGAGAUUUUGUUCUACACGGAAAUGCAAAUGCAGGGGUUAAACAUUUAGUCGGUUAUUUGAACAACACUUGCACGCUUUAGCUCAGAAACUUGUAGCAAAGCUACAAUAAAGGUGUGGAAGUCCAAGCUUCAGUUGAUGGAGAACAGACGAAAGGGUCGGGUUGGGAGAAACUUAUGAUCUGACUCUCAGAACUAAGGAAUAACUGUACCGGGGUCCUCAGACUUAACAUAGAGAAGUCCCCAAAAUUUUACAUAGAUACCCUCGGGUCAAAGAAAAAGACACAGCCGAGCCCUCGGGUGAAGCGGACAAGGGUCGGCGAAACAGACACGGUCGGGUGAGACGGAAAAAGGGGUCGGGCGAAUCAGAAACGGGUCAGCAGCUUACCUUUAGGCCUACUGGUGAAGUCUUGGGGUCGGGAAGGAACAAACUUAGGCGGAAGGACUCGAGGCGCUAAGGCUUGGGUAGCGGUGGGGUUCGGCAUUGCUCCAGCGGCGGCGGUGCUUCUUGUGGACAACAAGCGAGCUCUAGCACCAUGCGGAGGAACAGGCGGCUGGUGGGUUGGGAAAAGCGGGUUUGAGCGGAGAGGGAAAGUUCCUUAAGAGCUUAAGCGGCAGCGCUCAAGUGCGAGCAGAGUAAGGUGCGGCGAGGUAGCGAUGGCGAAGGAAACUCCGGUAGAGGCUGUGGUACUCCCUUUUAUAGUUGCGUGGAAGAGAGAGAGAGAGAGAGAGAGAGAGAGAGAGAGUCCGAGCAGCGCAAAGUUCAGGUCGAAAAGGAUGGAGUGCUCUGCCGUGGCAGCGAUUGGGCGGCGCCUCCAUUGGCUGGUGAAGCGGAGCAUCGGGGCGCGCGGUCAGGGAUCCGGGUGAGAUGAUGGGUGCAUGAGGCGAGGCGGUCUAGCGAGGCAGCGGCCAAUCCUCUGUCGCAACGGCGACAGGGUGCCUUGGCGUGGCCGGUGAGGGUGCUAGCGAGACGAGGUGAGGCGGAAAGGGCUGCAAGGGCUUCUGCACACGAUUGGGAAGGAGGCGCACUGAUCUAUCUUGUCGCGGUCGGCGACUGGGCGAGGCGGCGCUCGUCGGGGAGGUUGAGCCACGCGGCGAAGAGGCUCUGAAGCGGGGCGCACGCGGGCUCUGGCGUGUCUGACUCGAGAGAUUCGUAGGAUCUGGUUUUGGGUCCACCAUUCAGUCUCUAGCUCUCCCAUAGCUCCAAGUUUUGGAGGAACACUGGUUUCGGGACUUAGAGAAGAGCUGCCAUUUGCUGGGUGGGUGCGAUUUUGCUGGGUUUCAGCGGUCGAGCUGAUGGAGACUGUAGAUUUAGGAUUUUCCUGGAGAUUAAGUCGGCUGAUUAAACCAAGGUCGUUAUAGCCUACCCGUCUUAAAAAGAAUCUCAUCCUGAGAUUCGGGUGUAAGGGCAAUCGGUGGGGGUGUGCGGUUCUUACCUUCUCAGCUGAAAAGAAAACCUCUGAAGUGCUUGUUCAGAUACUCCUUUGUUUCCCAGGUUGCUUCCUCCUUCGUGUGGUUGCUCCAUAGUAUCUUGUACAUUUUCAUAACCUGCCGUCGGGUGUGUCUCUCCUUAUGGUCGAGGACUUUGGCCGGGUACUUGGCGUAGGUCAGGUCGGGCUCGAUUUGAAGCGGCUCCUGUUCCAAGACCUCAGUUGGGACUUGGACACAUUUCUUCAGUUGGGAAACAUGGAAAACAUCAUGAAUGGCCAAAAGCUGUUCUGGUAGUUGGAUCCGGUAAGCAACGGGCCCGCAAAUUUCCACAAUCUCGUAAGGGCCAAUGUAACGGGGAGCCAAUUUCCCUUUUACUCCAAAUUGUUGCACUCCUUUGGUCAGGGAGACUCGAAGAUAUACGUGAUCACCGAGGUUAAACCGCAGGGGUCUCCUUCUCUUGUUGGAGUAACUCUUUUGUCGACAUUGGGCUGCCUUGAGAUUUGCCUGAAUCACCCUAACUUGUUCUUCAGCUUCUACUACUAGAUCAGGACCGUAGGUUUGUGUUUCUCCAACUUGUGACCAUCUCAAUGGUGUCCGACACCUCCAACCAUAUAAGGCUUCAAACGGUACCAUCUUCAAGCUAGCCUGGUAGCUGUUGUUGUAGGAGAACUCUGCCAACGGUAAGCACUUAUCCCAAUUCUUAUCAUAGUGGAUGACACAAGCUCGUAGCAUGUCUUCAAGGAUCUGAUUUACUCUCUUAGUCUGACCAGCGGUUUGAGGGUGAUAGGUCGAGCUACGAAUGAGCUUGGUGCCAAGUGAUGCUUGUAGCUGUUCCUAAAAACGUGCUACAAACUAAACACCUCGAUCAGAUAUGAUCGUCCUAGGCACACCGUGCAGAGAAACAAUGCGGUCAAGAUACAACUCUGCAUAUUUCUUGGCCGGGUAGGUGGUGUGAAUAGGAAGAAAGUGGGCAGACUUGGUGAGGCGGUCCACGAUAACCCAAAUGGAGUCAUGCCACUGAAAUGUAGGGGGCAGUCCAACAAUGAAAUCCAUGCUGAUGUCCUCCCAUUUCCAGGAUGGGAUAGGUAGCGGUUGCAGGGUACCGGCUACCUUCAAAUGGCUGGCCUUAACACGUUGGCAGGUGUCACACUCCGAGAUAUAGCAUGCAAUUUCUAGCUUCAUUCUACCCCACCAAAAAGUUUGACGGAGAUCAUGAUACAUCUUAUUGCUGCCAGGGUGGAUUGAGAACUUGGAGAGAUGGGCUUCAUCGAGGAGUUGCUUCUUAAGAGUGGGGUCGGAUGGGACAACAAGUCGGUUCCCAUAGUACACUCUCCCAUUCUCAUCCUGUCGGAAAUGCUUGUACCCUUCAUCUUUCCAGGAAAUCUUCCUUUUAAUUUGCUUUAUUUCCUCAUCCUCUAACUGUGCUGACCCAAUUUGGUCUUCCAAAGCAGACUCAAGGGAAAUAUGAAUGAGGGUUCCUUGGGAAAUAAUUUCCAAACUAAGUUUUCCCAUCUCAUGACACAGAGUUUCGGUGAAGUUGAUUACCGACAAGCAAUUGCAAUGGGUCUUGCGGCUGAGAGCGUCUGCUACUAUGUUGGCUUUGCCGGGGUGAUAAUGUACCUCCAAUUCAUAAUCUUUGAUCAACUCCAACCAUCUUCUUUGGGGCAUGUUGAGGUCGGCUUGAGUGAAGAUGUACUUGAGGCUCUUGUGAUCGGUGUAGAUGUUGCAGUGGGUGCCCAUCAGAUAGUGUCUCCAUAUCUUUAAGGCAUGAACCACUGCUGCUAACUCAAGAUCAUGGGUCAGAUAGUUCAGCUCAUGAGGUCGCAACGCCCGUGAGGCAUAGGCAAUGACUCAGUUGUCUUGCAUAAGAACACACCCAAGUCCAGUGCUAGAGGUGUCACAAUAUACGUCAACCAGCCUGGAAGGGUCGGGUUGAGCUAAAACUGAGGCAGAAGUCAGCAAGCGUUUCAAGGUGUGGAAAGCUUCUUCGCAUUCGUGACUCCACAUAAACUUGACUUCCUUUUUCAGUAGCUCGGUCAUCGGCUUAGCUAUCUUUGAAAAAUCCGGAAUGAAACGCCGAUAGUAGCCUACUAGUCCACAAGAUCUGUGUUCUCAUCGGCUGGUCAGCACACAACCUUGGGCGAGUCAAAACCUCAGCCAGUGGGUCCCACUAUGUCCGACCUUAAGUGUCUGGGUCGGGCGAAGCAAAACCGUGCAACAAGGGGUCGGGUGAGGCGGAGACCUGCCGUGAGGGGUCGGGUGCGUUCGACCUCAUGACCCUGGGUCGGCCAUGCUUGGACAGACCCAAAGGAACAGAAACCUACGUGCGGUCACAGCACAAAAACUCACACAACUUUGGCAUCAAAGGCGUGUCCCAAAAAGGAAUUGAUUUUACCAAGAUCAUUACAUUGCUGGUCCUUUAACACAGAGGGAGUACUCAACUCAACGCUAACCCAUUACAUUGCUACCCAAAAUUUAGGUUGCCGAGGAGUACAACAAAAGAUUAGCUUCCUACAUCCUUCAACCUAAAAAUCAUCUAGGUUGCCUACUGAGGGAACACUAUGCAUCGGAGAAGGGGCAUCGCCAUCUUCAAUGUCCAUACUAGAGACUCCCCCUACCUCCUCAGGGUCUUCCUCCUCCUCCGGAGCCAUUUGCUCAUCUAGCUGCAUUUCCAAAGCAUGGAUGGCAUCGAGCUUGGCGUGGUGCUCGUCCAAGUGUGCAUUAGCAACCGCGAGCUCCAUCUCAACCUCCAACUUCUCUUCAGCAAGCUAAGUUAUGUCAUGCUCCAUGUCUGUCACUUCUUCUUUGAGCUCGGAAAUCCUAGUCUGCAUGUCGGAGACCUGUAUGCUCCUUUGGAUAAGCUGAUAUGACUGUUCCACCAAGUCUCUCUUGGCAGUGUUGAAAUGCUCCUGGGUGUCUACAGCUAUCCGAGCCAAGAUAGCCAUAGCCCGUCCUUGAAGCUCAAUCAGUCGGUACAAAGCUGACAUGCACCUUGUUGUGGUAGAGAGGGUGACCAACAAGUGUGAGGCUGCCAACACCUCCAUAUUGUUGACGUGGUCAAGCCAAGCCGGGUCCAGCUGAUCUCUGGCGGGAAAAAAACCGAUCGGGUCCAAAAGGACACCAAACGGGUGUAGCCAGCAAAACUGGGUGAGAGCCUGCAAGGCAGCUGACUCCCAAGUGUCCUCAAGGGUGUGACCGUAGGUCGAGACCUCAAGCUGGGGCCACUCGGGCUGUACAGGGGAUGGAGGUACAACCACUUGCACGUUGCACCGCUGCACUCCGUGCUCCUGGUACUCCCGUCCCGCGUAAAGAGGCGGUGACUAGUACCCAAACCACCUCAAGGUAUCCCACAAAAUAGCAGGAAAGCCCUCGAAGUGUUGGCAUGUGGAGUGGGAAGUGCCAUCAGCGCCGCGAAACACAUGUCCGGGAGCAGCCAUCUAGAACCAAGAACCGAAACAAGUGUGAGAUAGAAACCCCAAGGAGAACAGAUCGGGCAGGGAAAAGCACUUGGAUCUCUAACCAUAUCGCAAACUGAGAAGGUAUCUAGAAAUCCUUAAAGCAAAGAAGAGCCUUAAACCAGGGCAAGGUUGUUUUAGGGAGGUGGUUUUACAGAUUUUGCUCAUGACUCAUGCACGACCUACCUCGUCCUCUCAACCAAAAUAACUGCCAAAAGCUUUGGUCUUACGCUGUUAGUGCCGGUGGCAAGGCAACAAGUACGUCGCUCCCUAUAGUAGCUAGUCGAUUUCUAGCAUCGUUCCCUAAGCGAACGCGGUUAGUGUACCUGCAGAAAAGACAACCACAUGAACCUUUCAUGCCAGCACUCAUGAAAGCAUCCCCAAGCAUUACCGUUCACUAUAGAAACAGUACCCAUGCGUUUAAUGCUGCAUGGACAGCACAACAACCGUGGAAAUAGGUCCCCUUUGAAUAGAACCAUAUAACCCUUCGCAUGCUCGCGAUGCGGAAUCUGCGCAUGUAUAAUAGACGUGGGCAAACAACCGUGAUGAUCGGCUUGUUGGAAUCAAACCAUACCACCCUUCACAUGAGUUAACAUGUGGAACCUGCGCACGUAUGAUAAACGUGAGCGAAACAACCGCGAUGAUAGGGUCCCUUGAAUAGAACUCCCUAUCAACCCUCGCAUACUCGCGAUGCAAAACUCGGCACACGUAUGAUACACGUGGCGAAGUGCUGGAGGUUAGCAAAAUAACUAAUAAGUAAUAGCCACCUAAAAUAACCCCAAAAUCUCCUAGGGCCUCUCGUACUAAGGUCAUCCUUAACGAUCGUAUGAGAUUUUUCAACACCUUUCUUGCAAAUUUUAUUAAAAAAAGGAAGUGUUUUAGGACCUAUUGUGUUCUUUGUCCUGCUAAACUAGCUCUGGUACCAGCUGUGCCGGAGCACCUCGGAUUAACUUAGAUAAAGCACAGUUACGUCGCCAAACACGCGAAUCACAUGCUUUAAUCAAGUUAAUUCGAUGAUUCGUCGGAUUUCAUCCGAUACAACCACUUAGACAGGACCGAGUUAGCAUAGCUCACACGAAGAUGAGUGGUUUCAGAGAAUACAACGGAUCAAAUAAACAGUUCAACGAUUUAUCACACAUUGGUUCGAAAAUCAGAGUUUUACAAGAUUCAAAAGCAGCGGAAAGAUAAAAUAGCGGAAGCUAGCGCCGGGGUCGGAUGUCCCUGAUGAAGCCGAUCAGGACAUCAAUGAUCCCUCUCCUCGCCGUCCGAGGAGGGAUCCCACUCGACCGUCCACCCAGGAGGAAGUGGGGCGGCCAAGUGCCAACAGCAGCACACUCAAAAGCUUCAACUUCACCUGAAAAGAGAUGCCACAGCAAGGCUGAGCUUCUAAGCUCAACAAGACUUAACCGACCGGUUGGAAAAACUACUCCACCACUCCUAGACAUGCAAGGCUCUUUGGCUGAGGGGUUUGUUUUGCCAAAAGUGACUACAGUAGGUCCUUACUUUCAAUAUUUUAGCUCAGAUUCUAAGUUCAUUAACCAGUCUACAUUGGCAACUUAUGCGAAGCAGACAUAUAUAGAACGAGCAUCGAGUUCAUAUCAUCCUCAUGUUCCAUCUUUACUCAGUGUAGCGUAGCGAUCAAGCAGUCUUAAACUGUGAGAGGCAGACGAAUCGAUUCGAGUUUCUUAACCAUGCAUGGCGAUCCUAAUCUCAUGACAUCUGCGCACCACAAAGGGUCGCUUCCUGUGUCGGCCAUCCUCAUCAAUUCCCAGGCACGUGUCAGGUCCAAAACUUCCCUUGGCAUGCAAUACUCCAUAGUCCCGACCUCUUGUCGUACUGUGGCUGCACUUGCACCCACAUGAUGCACCAUGGGAACCUCAUUCCAGGGACAGCAGGGGUAUAAGCCACGCCCUAGUUCAAUCAGGUACUAGGCUUCCCCAUCCCAUACUAGGUAUGAGAUUAGUACUUUCAAACACUGGAUCAUGAACGCCACCACUAUCAGACCUUAAACAGAUUCAAGUAGACAGACAAGGCGAUCCACCAACCACCAAAAAAGUUCACCAGACCCUACCCCGUCCACCGUCCUUAUAGUUGUAACCGGAAGGAUAACAACCAACUCCUAUUGUUGGAGGUAUGCCCUAGAGGCAAUCAUAGAUAUGAUGAUAUUCCAUUUGUAUCCAUGAUUUGUAUGUUGUGUUCAUUGAAUAUCCAUUGAAGGCUACUUGAAUUGAUUUGCAAUUAUGUGAAUUGUAUGUGAAAAUCUUUACUUGUAUGGUUAUUCUAAAGUUGUCCCUAGUCGGAGUUCAUGUGAGGACAAACAUGAAUAUUAGACUAGCACAUGUAUUAGUUGAUGACUAUGUUUCACAAGUCAUGGACAUGGAGAUGUUGAACUAAUAAUGUGGACACAUGUGGAGACAUGUGCUAGGACUGACCCAACACGAGAAGUAGUUCUCUCUUUAAACAACAUAUACGUUUUGUCCUUAGACCUGAGAUUGUCGCAUGUAUUCUAGAUGUGGAUCGACCUACUUAGGGGCUAUCAAACGCUACGCCGUAACAGGGUAGUUAUAAAGGUAGCUUUUGGGUUUGUCAAGAAGCAUGCUAUGAGACAUGGUCAAUCAAGAUGGGAUUUGCCCCUCUCUGAUUGAGAGUGAUAUCUCUGGGCCCCUCGAGUGAUCGGAUCCGAAAAUGCAUGGCCAUGCUACGUACAAUUAAGAGUUAACCUACAAAAGGAUUCUGAAUCACAGGAUCGAGAAAGAGCGGUCGGCUUGAAGCUAGACCAAAUAUCAUGAGGUAAAGGGAAUAGCGUGUAUAUUAUGUUGUGAUGGUUCGUCUGAUAUGAUCUUCGUGUGCGUAUAGGAGUUGGCACGUCUUGCUAGAGGCCGCUACCGACUAUUGGACCGAGUAGCAGGACUCGGGCCAUGUCUAUACGUAUCCGAACCCAUAGGGUCACACACUUAAGGGGCUGGAAGCCCAAUUCGGAUCUUAUCCGAGUUGGAUUAGGUUUAGAAGUACUAAUGGGCCUCGGAUCCAGAGGCCCGUCAGGAACCUCUAUAAAUAGAGGGGUGGGGGCGCCCUAGGGUUUACACCUUUUUGGCGAAACACACCUGCCGCGCCUCCCUCGCCCUCGCCUGUUGCAACUCGCGGAUCUAGCUGUCCGGCUUGCGAUGCUUCCUCCCUGCACGUGUGGAUACCUUGGAGGUGUUGCGCCUGCAGCACUUGGACGAGCCGCCGACGAGCCACGACGAGCCAACGACGUGCCGCGGCACCGGGGGCGAUCUUGCUGAACGUGGACGAGCUGCUGAGGAGCUCCUGGACGUUGACAUGAUCGACUACGUACGACUAUGUUGAUCGACUACGUACGACUACGUGAUCGUCUUCACUGCAUCGACGCAUAUCUACAUCUUCCGCACCAGUAGUGCGUUGAGUGGUAAUCCCGUGAUCCUUAUACGACAGUUAUUCCUGGUUUUACGUGGUAGAAAUUUUGAUUUGCGCUAGCGCAGCCUACCUCGUAUCCCAACAGUCGUAUCAGAGCCGUAGCUGCUUAGUUUUGGAUUCAGGAUGUGUGCAUAUGGAGAUAUGCGAGUUUUCCGUUUGAUCUAUGUCCUGGUUUCGUGCUCUUGCUGCAAUGGUAGUGUAACAACAUACUCCUACCGGUCGGUUUCCGCCAUCGGAGUUAAGUGAUACACGUAAAUCUAGUUGCAGUGAGCGAAGAUCAAUAUGAUUGGUCAAAUCGAAAUCCAAGGUCAUAUGCCAGGCGCAUUAGAUGUGCAAUAGUAGAUGAGAUCUACUGCCGGGGUUGGGAUUUUUGCCGUAUGCGUAUGCUUCGGUAAAUCAGCCGUAACUUUUCGGUACGAUCUCGGAUCGGGGCAAAUUUUAUAUGAAAAUUGAUCUACAGAAAAAGUUACACAUGAAAUUCAACGGCAUAGCCGUUUUCGGUGAAAUUAGAUUUCCCAAAUUCGGCUUGGAAGAUGGAGUUUCGGGCCUCCGAAGUUUGGAACGUCAGGGCGCCUAACUCUGUUUUGCAGGAUGUAUGUAUGUAUCUUGUGAUCAGUAUGGCCCCCUUGUGUAUGUGAUGCAUGUGUGUAACUCAUUCGUGACCUGCGUGUCGCGCGUACGACAACACGGCAGGAGCCAUAUGUGUUGUCACUUUAUUGUAUUUAAUGGUGUGCGUACCAAUCUGUGAUGAUCCAAGCAACUAUGUAAUCUUCAUUACUAGCUUCUUUACAAGCUAUUAGGUGUACUAGCAUGUUCUAAGUUCUUGGAGGACUCAUCACCAGAAGGAUGGCGCACAUGGAACAUGGAGAUGGAGAUCACCAUGGUGAACAGCUUCUAUGGAGAUGGAGAUCACCAUAAGAAAAACGGGCCAUACUGUGUCACAAUUGUGUGAAUGUUAUUCUGUUUAUGUUUUACUUUCUGCAUGCUGUGAUGUUAGAAGUAGAACGAUCCCUCACAAAGUUUAAGUUAGUAUGCCCUCCCAACUAAAACUUGCACUGUCCCAUGUCUUGUACAAUUAGUGGUGGGUCUAUGAAAUUAGGAUGCCACUAGUUUUCCUUGACUAGACGGGUUUGUGUCGGACACUUACACGCAUAAGGGUUGGUUUGCUUAACAAGGUUAUCUUAACGGUUAAGAACCUUGGGGCAUAAAGGUUGGGCACCGAGACAUAGAGAUGUCACCCAACAACAGGAGUCAUAUGUGAUAUGAUUAGCAAAAGUUGCUUACCGAUCUACCUAGUUUGCUAGCGGUGAUGCUAAAGCUCACUAGUGGACUUGUUAGUUGUGGAUCCUAAAUCACUAAGUUUCAAUAGAGGGAUAUUGAUUUUAGUGGGAGUAGAUUCUGUUAAAAUAGUUUAAUGUGAUUUGCUCUAUCAUGGAUACGUUUGUCUUAGUGUAUUUUGCAUUACUUUGUUGUAGAUUAAAUGGUCGUGGCGCACGAUAUGAUCGUGGCGCUUAGAGACAUGUUCCAAACACAGGCCAGGACUGAAAGGUUCAAUGUGUCUAAGGCCUUUGUUGAGAGCAAGCUAGCAGAAGGCGCAGCAGUAGGACCACACGUGAUCAAGAUGGUUGGUUACACUCAACGGUUGGUGAAGCUAGGCUUCCCACUAGGCCAAGAGUUGGCCACUGAUUUCAUUCUUUCCUCUCUUCCGCCUAGCUAUGGGAACUUCAUCUCGAAUUACCAUAUGCAUGGGACGGAGAAGGAUCUGAAUGAGCUGUGUGGCAUGCUUAAAACAGCAGAGGCUGACAUUAAGAAAAGCGCUAGUACCAGCCAUGUGAUGGCUGUACAGAACAAGCCUACCUUCAAGAAGAAGGGCAAUUCUUGGAAGAAGAAGGGUAAGGCUGGAGUGUCCAAGCCAAACCCAGCGCCCAAGGCUAAAGCUGGACCUGCUCCAGAUAAAGAGUGCUUUUACUGUCAUGAACUUGGUCACUGGAAGAGAAACUGCAAGCAGUACCUAGCUUCGUUGAAGAACGGCGGAAGUAAGAGUACUUCUACCUCAGGUACGCUUGUUGUUAAUGUUAUAGACAACAUAUUUCUCGCUGAUACAAUUAUUAAUUCUUGGGUAUUUGAUACCGGAUUGGUUGCUCAUAUUUGCAAUUCGAUGCAGGGAAUGAUAAGAAGUAGAAGCGUGGAAAGAGGAGAAGUUGAUUUCCGCGUGGGCAAUAAUGCAAGAGUUGCUGCGUUGACCGUCGGGACGAUGCAACUCCACCUCCCGUCAGGAUUUAUUAUGGAGUUGAAUAAUUGUUAUUUUGUUCCUAGUUUAAGUCGAAACAUUUUAUCUCCUUCAUGCUUGAUGAAGGAUGGUUAUUCAUUUGCGAGUGAAAACAAUGGUUGUGUGAUCUCUAAGAAUAAUAUGUUUAUGGCUUUUGCACCCAUUGUGAAUGGAUUAUUUGUUUUAAAUCUUGAUGGUUCACAUGUCUGUAAUGUAAGUGCUAAAAGGCCUCGGCCUAAUGAUUUGAGUCCUACCUACUUGUGGCAUUGUCGUUUGGGUCAUAUAAGUGAAAAGCGCAUGAAGAAGCUCCAUUCUGAUGGACUUCUAACUUCGUUUGAUUUUGAAUCAUACGAGACAUGUGAGGCUUGCUUGCUAGGCAAGAUGACCAAGACGCCUUUCACAGGAUUUCCUGAGAGAGCAGUAGACUUGUUGGAACUCGUACAUAGUGAUGUAUGCGGACCAAUGAGCACGACGGCUAGAGGAGGAUUCCAAUACUUCAUAACUUUCACUGAUGAUUUUAGUAGAUAUGGCUAUGUCUACUUGAUGAGGCACAAGUCUGAAACCUUUGAAAAGUUCAAGGAAUUUCAGAAUGAAGUUGAAAAUCAGCGUGGCAAGAAAAUUAAGGCCUUACGAUCUGAUCGUGGAGGCGAGUAUUUGAGCCACGAGUUUAGCAAUCAUCUAAAGAGUUGCGGAAUUGUUCCACAACUUACGCCGCCUGGAACACCUCAGAGAAACGGUGUGUCCGAGCGACGUAAUCGAACUUUGUUAGACAUGGUUCGAUCAAUGAUGAGCCAGUCGGACCUACCGUUGUCAUUUUGGGGAUACGCUCUAGAAACAGCAGCUUUCACACUUAAUAGGGUACCAUCUAAAUCCGUAGUUAAGACACCAUAUGAGAUAUGGACUGGAAAGGUUCCUAGUUUGUCUUUUCUAAAGAUUUGGGGAUGUGAAGUGUUUGUCAAGCAACUUCAGUCGGACAAGAUCACACCCAAGUCGGAUAAGUGCAUUUUCGUGGGAUAUCCAAAGGAAACUUUGGGAUAUUAUUUCUACAACCGAUCAGAAGGCAAAGUGUUUGUCGCUUGGAAUGGGGUUUUCCUAGAGAAAGAGUUUCUCAAAGGAGAAAAGAGUGGAAAGACAGUGCAUCUUGAAGAAGUUCAAGAUGAGCCGAUCGGGCAAGAAUCAAUGAGUGAUGCUAACGUAGCAGAACAAGUUGAGAUACCCAUGGCAAGAGAAGCACCGCCACAACCACGAAGGUCGGCAAGGCUCCGCGAAAUGCGGGAAAUAUUAUUGUCGGACAAUGAUGAGCCUGCGACAUAUGCAGAAGCAAUGAUGGACCCAGACUCCGAAAAAUGGCAGAAUGCCAUGCAAUCCAAAAUAGAGUCCAUGGGAGACAAUCAAGUUUGGAACUUGGUUGACCCGCCUGAUGGUGUUAAAGCCAUAGAGUGCAAGUGGAUCUAUAAGAAGAAAAAGGACAUGGAUGGAAAUGUUCACAUCUAUAAAGCAUGACUUGUCGCAAAAGGUUUUUGACAAGUUCAAGGAGUUGACUACGACGAGACCUUCUCACCCGUAGUGAUGCUUAAGUCCAUUCGGAUUAUUCUAGCUAUAGCUGCAUAUUUCGAUUAUGAGAUAUGGCAGAUGGAUGUCAAGACAGCUUUCCUGAAUGGAAACCUAGCUGAGGACGUGUAUAUGAUACAGCCCGAGGGUUUUGUCGAUCCAAAAAAUGCUGGAAAGGUAUGCAAGCUUCAGAGAUCCAUUUAUGGAUUGAAGCAAGCAUCUAGGAGUUGGAACAUUCAUUUUGAUGAAGUGGUCAAAGGGUUUGACUUCACCAAGAACGAAGAAGAGUCUUGUGUUUACAAGAAGGUUAGUGGGAGCUCUAUAAUAUUUCUAAUCUUAUAUGUGGAUGACAUAUUACUGAUUGGAAAUAACAUUCCUAUGCUUGAGUCCGUAAAGACUUCACUGAAAAAUAGUUUUUCGAUGAAGGACUUAGGGGAAGCAGCAUAUAUUUUGGGCAUUAAGAUCUAUAGAGAUAGAUCGAGAAGGCUUAUAGGUUUAAGCCAAGAUACUUACAUUGACAAAGUGUUGAAGCGGUUCAGCAUGGAAGAGGCAAAGAAAGGGUUCUUGCCUAUGUCACAUGGCAUACAUCUCAGGAAGACUCAGUGUCCUUCGACUGCUGAUGAGCGGGAUCGCAUGAGUAGAGUGCCAUAUGCCUCGGCUAUUGGAUCUAUCAUGUAUGCAAUGAUAAGUACUCGCCCAGAUGUUUCAUAUGCGCUAAGUAUGACAAGCAGACACCAGUCUGAUCCAGGUGAGAGUAACUGGACAGCGGUGAAAAACAUUCUUAAGUACUUGAGAAGGACUAAAGAUAUGUUUCUCGUCUAUGGAGGUGAGGAGGAGCUCGUUGUAACAGGUUACACCGAUGCUAGUUUCCAAACCGACAGAGAUGAUUCAAAAUCACAAUCAGGAUUUGUGUUCACGCUAAAUGGUGGUGCUGUUAGUUGGAAGAGUUCCAAGCAGGAGACGGUGGCUGAUUCUACGACAGAAGCCGAGUACAUCGCGGCUUCGGAAGCCACGAAGGAAGGUGUUUGGAUAAGGAAUUUCCUCAUUGAGCUUGGUGUGUUCCCGAAUGCGUCCAGCCCAUUGAAUCUCUACUAUGAUAACAAUGCUAUGAUUACAAUGGGGCAAUUGCGCAAGCAAAGGAGCCAAGGAACCACCAGAAGAACAAACACGUAAUGCGGCGAUUUCAUCUCAUUCGAGACUUCGUUAACCGGGGUGAGAUCAAGAUAUGCAAAAUACACACGGAUCUGAACAUUUCUGAUCCAUUGACAAAACCACUCCCGCAGGCUAAGCAUGAUGCGCAUGUAAGAGCUAUGAGUAUUAGGUACCUUCUAGAUUGACUCUAGUGCAAGUGGGAGACUGUUGGAGGUAUGCCCUAGAGGCAAUCAUAGAGAUGAUGAUAUUCCAUUUGUAUCCAUGAUUUGUAUGUUGUGUUCAUUGAAUAUCCAUUGAAGGCUACUUGAAUUGAUUUGCAAUUAUGUGAAUUGUAUGUGAAACUCUUUACUUGUAUGGUUAUUCUAAAGUUGUCCCUAGUCGGAGUUCAUGUGAGGACACACAUGAAUAUUAGACUAGCACAUGUAUUAGUUGAUGACUAUGUUUCACAAGUCAUGGACAUGGAGAUGUUGAACUAAUAAUGUGGACACAUGUGGAGACAUGUGCUAGGACUGACCCAACACGAGAAGUAGUUCUCUCUUUAAACAACAUAUACGCUUUGUCCUUAGACCUGAGAUUGUUGCAUGUAUUCUAGAUGUGGAUCGACCUACUUAGGGGCUAUCAAACGCUACGCCGUAACAGGGUAGUUAUAAAGGUAGCUUUCGGGUUUGUCAAGAAGCAUGCUAUGAGACAUGGUCAAUCAAGAUGGGAUUUGCCCCUCUCUGAUUGAGAGUGAUAUCUCUGGACCCCUCGAGUGAUCGGAUCCGAAAAUGCCUGGCCAUGCUACGUACGGUUAAGAGUUAACCUACAAAAGGAUUCCAAAUCACAGGAUCGAGAAAGAGCGGUCGGCUUGAAGCUAGACCAAAUAUCGUGAGGCAAAGGGAAUAGCAUGUAUAUUAUGUUGUGAUGGUUCAUCUGAUAUGAUCUUCAUGUGCGUAUAGGAGUUGGCACGUCUUGCUAGAGGGCACUACCGACUAUUGGGCCGAGUAGGAGUACUCGGGCCAUGUCUAUACGUAUCCGAACCCAUAGGGUCACACACUUAAGGGGCUGGAAGCCCAAUUCGGAUCUGAUUCGAGUUGGAUUAGGUUUAGAAGUACUAAUGGGCCUCGGAUCCGGAGGCCCGUCAGGAACCUCUAUAAAUAGAGGGGUGGGGGCGCCCUAGGGUUUACACCUUUUUGGCGAAACACACCUGCCGCGCCUCCCUCGCCCUCGCGUGUUGCAACUCACGGAUCUAUCAGUCCGGCUUGCGACGCUUCCUCCCUGCACGUGUGGAUACCUUGGAGGUGUUGCGCCUGCAGCACUUGGACGAGCCGCCGACGAGCCACGACGAGCCAACGACGAGCCGCGGCACCGGGGGCGAUCUUGCUGAACGUGGACGAGCUGCUGAGGAGCUGCUGGACGUUGACGUGAUCGACUAUGUACGACUACGUUGAUCAACUACGUACGACUACGUGAUCGUCUUCACUGCAUCGACGCAUAUCUACAUCUUCCGCACCAGUAGUGCGUCGAGUGGUAAUCCCGUGAUCCUUAUACGGCAGUUAUUCCUGGUUUUACGCGGUAGAAAUUUUAAUUUGCGCUAGCGUAGCCUACCUUGUAUCCCAACACCUAUAACUCGCGAGUGAUAGGAAAUCACUCGACUUUUACCGAGUCCUAUUAAGUAUUGCAACUACUCGGACUUAUCAGACUAGUGUUCAGAUCAAGGGAAUUAAGUUAUGCAUCUAUGGUAUCAAAAAACUCCUAUAACGUAAAUGCACAUACAUACGAAAGAAGGCAUGUGCAAUUUUAGAAAGUUGGGGUUAUGCUCCAGGGCUUGCCUUCGAGCAGAGCGGAGGCAAACUUGUCUUCUGCGGGUUUUGCUUCAGCUUCUACGGUCGGCAGCUCAGCUACUACUCCGUCUUCUAGCACCGGAUGCAGCUCGUAUGUGCCGUCGGCGAGAUUUAGUUCUACACGGAAAUGCAAAUGCAGGGGUUAAACAUUUAGUCGGUUAUUUCAACAACACUUGCACACUUUAGAUCAGAAACUUGUAGCAAAGCUAUAGGAAAGGUGUGGAAGUCCAAGCUUCAGUUGAUGGAGAAUAGAUGAAAGGGUCGGGUUGGGAGAAACUUAUGAUCUGACUCUCAGAACUCAGGAAUAACUGUACCGGGUCCUCAGACUUAACACAGAGAAGUCCCCAAAAUUUUACACAGAUACCCUCGGGUCAAAUAAAAAGAUACAGCCGAGCCCUCGGGCAAAGCGGACAAGGGCCGGCGAAAUAGACAGGGUUGGGCGAAAUGGAAAAAGGGGUCGGGCGAACCGGAAAGGGGUCAGCAGCUUACCUUUAGGCCUACUGGUGAAGUCUUGGGGUCGGGAAGGAACAGACUUAGGCGGAAGGACUCGAGGCGCUAAGGCUUGGGCGGCGGCGGGGUUCGGCAGUGCUCUAGCAACGGCAGUGCUUCUUGUGGACAACAAGCAAGCUCUACCACCGUGCGGAGGAACAGGUGGCUGGUGGGUUGGGAAAAGCGGGUUUGAGCGGAGAGGGGAAGUUCCUUAAGAGCUUAAGCGGUAGCGCUCAAGUGCGAGCAGAGUAAGGUGCGGCGAGGCAGCAAUGGUGAAGGAAACUCCGGUAGAGGCUGUGGUACUCCCUUUUAUAGUUGCGCGAAAGAGAGAGAGAGAGAGAGAGAGAGAGAGAGAGAGAGAGUCCGAGUAGUGCGAAGUUCAGGUCGAAAAGGAUGGAGUGCUCUGCCGUGGUGGCGAUUGGGUGGCGCCUCCAUUGGCCGACAAAGCGGAGCUUCGGGGACAGGGUCUUUGGUCAUGGGGCACUGGAGAUAAAGCCGGCGCAGGCGCGGUUUUGUCGGGAUGAAGGGUUGGCAAGGGCGAGCACGGUAUGGUCACGUCAAGUGGCGGAUUGGGUGCGGCGACUCGACUAGCGUGUGACAGGAAGGAAGGAAAGGCACUGCAAGCGAGGUUGCAGCAGGCGAGGUGACAGGGCGAGCAGCGACGCUAGCAAAUGCAGAUCAGCGGCUUUGCCAGGGCACGUUACUAGCAAGGCGGAAAAAGGAGCUGUCUCUACCGGAGCCGUGGUUGGUGAGGGCGGUAUCGUCAUGGAGCGCGCGCGUGGGCAGCGCGACUGUAGGGGAGACGAAAAAGUCGGAAGGCAUCGGGGCGCGCGGCUGGGGAUCCGGGCGAGAUGAUGGGUGCGGGAGGAGAGGCGGUCUGGCGCGGCAGCGGGCAAUUCUCUAUAGCAGCGGUGACAGGGCGCCUUGGCGCGGCCGGCGAGGGUGCGAACGAGAUGAGGCAAGCCGGAAAGGGCUGCAGGGGCUUCCGCCCGCGAUUGGGAAUGAGGCGCGCUAAUCUAUCUUGUCGUGGCCGGCGACUGGGUGAGGCGGCGCUCGUCGGGGAGGUUGAGCCACGUGGCGGAGAGGCUCUGAAGCGGGGCGCACGCAGGCUCUGGCGCGUCUGACUCAAGAGAUCCGUGGGAUCUGGUUUUGGGUCCACCAUUCAGUCUCUAGCUCUCCCACAGCUCCAAGUUUUGGAGGAACACUGGUUUCAGGACUUAGAGAAUAGCUGUCGUUUGCUGGGUGGGUGCGAUUUUGCUGGGUUUUCAGGAGUCGUGCUGAUGGAGACUGCAGAUUUGGGAUUUGCCUGGAGAUUAACUCGGCUGAUUAAACCAAAGUUGUUACAGCAGGUCUGAUCAGCAUGACUGACCAGAGAGCAGAGUCAGCGCACACGAUCGACUACAAGAGAUGGCCGAUGCUCGGGUGUCAGAUGAAAAUCCCCUGGGAUGGGAGCCAGACUGGGAGCGCGCCAGACCGCCAGCCAAAUCGGUGAACCCCAGGUGGUGCCCUGACGGAUUGACCAAAAUCCCAAAAACGAAGAAUCCAACGCCUGCGCCAAUGCGAACAACAGGAAGAAGAGCAGAAGUAGAUGGUGGAUAAGAAGGAUGACAGGUCUCGAGUCUGGCGCCCCAAAAGAAACAACAAUGAGGAAGAUGGCAACCAGGAAUCGGCAGCUGACGUUAGCAUGGUGUUCAUCUUGCCGAUGGAGUUCAUGGCUCCCGCCGAUUGGAAUGACACGACGAAGAUGGAGGAACAAAUGGCGGAAUUGGCUUUGGAGCCAAUGACAGCUACUUUUGAGAAACCAGAAGAUGAAAAAUGACAACACCUUAAGGCACUGUUCCUCAAAGGGCACGUCAACGGUCAGCCCGUCACCAGGCUACUAGUAGAUGGAGGCGCUGCAGUCAACAUCAUGCCGUACGCCAUGUUCCGAAAGCUGGGUAUAAGCGAUGAGGAUCUAACCAAGACGGACAUGAUGCUCAAGGACUUCGAAGGCAACGUAUCCCCCACCCACGGAGCACUUUGCGUCGACCUCACCAUCGGCAGUAAGACCCUUCCCACUACCUUCUUUAUUAUUAAUGGCAAAGGGUCCUACAAUAUGUUGCUCAGUCACGAUUGGAUACAUGCAAAUUGCUGUGUCCCAUCUACAAUGCAUCAAUGCGUCGUGCAGUGGGUCGGCGACAACAUCGAGAUAGUCAUCGCCGAUUCCGCCUACAGUGUUGCUGCGGCCGAUAUGCAACAGUGGAGCUGCGAACAUGUCAAGUGCAUAUCCGGAAGAACUUGGGACACCGAUUUCCUGAAAGUGUCCGAUUUUGGCCUACAGCCGAUUUGAGCAGUCGGCUCUGAAGAUUCAGAUUAGAUGGAUCAAGUCGUCCGAGAAGAUGGGAAGCUGGGGCACGGGUUUACGUUGGCCGAUUCAUUAGAGAUGAUAGAUCUAGGUGAUGGCACCAAACCGAGGCCGACGUCCAUUAGUGCUAACUUGGAUCCAGAAUACAAGUGUAAAUUGACAAAUUUAUUGAAAUAAUUUAAAGAUUGUUUUGCUUGGGAAUAUCAUGAGAUGCCUGGUUUAGACCGGUCCACUGUUGAAGACCCGUUGCCUAUAAAGCUGGGAUAUCGGCCAUAUCAGCAGCCCGCGCGAUGAUGCAAUCUUAAAAUUCUACUUGACAUAAAGGCCGAAAUUACAAGACUAUGUGAGGCAAAAUUUAUUCGGCAAUGCCGUUACGCUGAGAGGAUCUCUAACAUUAUACCCGUAUACAAGAAAAACAGAAAACUGCGCGUAUGCAUUGAUUUCAGGAACCUUAAUCAGGCCACGCCGAUGGAUGGAUAUCCGAUGCCGACAGCAGAUGUGUUGAUAGAUGCCGCCGCAGGAUGUAAAGUCAUCAGUUUCAUGUACGGAAAUGCCGGGUACAAUCAAAUAUUAAUGGCCGAAGAAGACAUCUCAAAAAUGGCCUUCAGGUGUCCGGGCCACCUCGGUUUAUUCGAGUGGGUAGUAAUGACCUUUGGAUUAAAGAAUGAUGGCGCUACAUAUCAACGGGCUUUGAAUUACAUCUUCCACAAGCUCAUCGGCGUCCUGGUGGAAAUCUACAUCGACGUCGUCGUGGUCAAAUCAAAAGGGCAUCAAAAACAUCUAGCCGAUCUGCGAGAAGUAUUGGAAUGCACGAGGAAACAUGGGUUGAAAAUGAACCCGAACAAGUGUGCAUUUGGCAUAUCGGCCGGGUAGUUCCUAGGAUUCAUGGUCCACGAGCGCGGGAUAGAAGUCAACCGGAAGAUCAUAGCGGCCAUCAACAAGGUUGUAGCCCCACAGAACAAAACUGAGUUGCAAUCUCUAAUUGGCAAAGUUAACUUUAUCAAAAGAUUCAUAUCCAACUUGUCUUGGCGUAUUCAAGCCUUCACGCCGUUAUUGAAGUUAAAGCCCAACCAGGAAUUUGUGUGGAGAGAGGAACAACGGAAAGCAUUGGAAGACAUCAAGCAAUACCUGAUCUCGCCACCUGUAUUAGUCCCACCACAAGCUGACAAACCAUUCAGACUAUACUUAUCGGCCGACGAAUGGGCUAUCAGAUCAGCGCUGGUACAGGAGUUCGAAGGGAAGGAACGGGUGAUAUAUUAUGUUAGCAGAAGACUUCUGGACGCCGAGACAAGAUACUCACCGGCAGAGCGGCUGUGCCUAUGUCUUUAUUUCUCAUGUACCAAGCUUAGGCACUACCUUUUGUCGGCAGAAUGCAUAGUCGUAUGCAAAGACGACGUGGUAAAGUACAUGCUAUCAUUGCCAAUUUUGAAAGGACGAAUCGAAAAAUGGAUCCUGGCACUGUCAGAGUUUGACCUAAGGUAUGAAUCGGUCAAAGCUGUCAAGGGUCAAGUCAUGGCUGAUUUCAUGGCCCAACACUGCAGACCAGAAAUCAUUGUCGUGGAGCUGGCUCCAUGGACUCUAUACUUUGAUGGUUUGUCAUGUGGCGCCGGAUCAGGAAUCGGCAUCGUCCUCAUAUCGCCUCGGGGGGCAAGCUAUGAUUUCUCUCUGCCGAUAGAAGCUUUCGUGACCAAUAAUCAGGUGGAAUACUGAGCUGUCCUAAAAGGCAUUCAAUUAUUGAGAGAGAUCAAAGGUGAUGCUGUGGAGAUUUUUGGGGAUUCCAUGCUCAUCAUAGACCAGCUAAUAGGAAGAUCAGAAUGUAAAGAUGACGUCCUGUGGAUUUACUACAAAGAUUGCCUCCAACUUUUAAAUAAGUUUAAGACUGCAGUUAUUGAGCAUAUUCCUAGAGAUUAUAACGAAGAGGCCAAUAGGCUCGCACAACACGCGUCCGGGUAUCGGCCAAUUUAGGGCGCCCUGACUCUGGAACUCGCAGCCGACGAUUGGCGAAAGGAGAUCGCUGAUUACUUAAGGGACCCGUCCAAGAAAGUGGAUCGGCGAAUACGUUUUCAAGCCACAAAGUACGUGCUACUCGAUGAUAAUUUGUUUUACCGAACGAUUGAUGGAGUUUUGCUCAAAUUCCUAGGGACGGAAGAGGCACAGAUCCUGAUGGGAGAAAUCCACGAAGGGGUGUGCGGAGCCCACCAAUCGACCCAUAAAAUGAAGUGGAUGAUUAGGAAUAACGGAUAUUAUUGGCCGACGAUACUCAAAGACUGCUUCAAAUAUUAUAAAGGUUGUCAAGACUGUCAGAAGUUUGGCAACGUGCAACGUGCACCAGCAUCGACUAUGAAUCCGAUAAUCAAGCCAUGGCUGUUCAUGGGUUGGGGAAUAGACCUCAUCGGACAAAUUUAUCCUCCUUCAAGUAAGGGGCACAAGUUCAUAUUGGUAGCCACUGACUACUUUACCAAAUUGGUGGGGCAAUCCUACUAAAGGCUGUGACAUCGGCCGCUAUGGUCGAUUUUGUAAGAGACCACAUUGUUUAUCAUUUUGGGAUUCCUCAAACCAUCACAACCGACCAAGGGACGAUGUUCACUUCGGAAGAGUUCGAGGAAUUCACUGCUGAUAUGGGGAUCAAGUUGCUAAAUUCUUCCCCAUAUUAUGCUCAAGCUAACGGCCAAGCUGAAUCGUCCAAUAAAGGGAUAAUUAAGUUAAUCAAAAGGAAGAUCGAAGAACAACCUAAGAAGUGGCACUUGUAAUUGACCGAGGCUUUAUGGGCUUACAGGAUGUCCUACCACGGGGCUACUAAGAUAUCCCCUUAUCAAUUGGUGUAUGGUUACGAAGCAGUGUUGCCUUGGGAAUUAAGAACAGGGUCAAGACGUACAUCGCUUCAAGAUCAGUUGACUGCCGACAACUAUUCCUCACUCAUGAAAGGAGAACUCAAUGAUUUGGCAGGUAAAAGAUUGAGGGCUUUGAUCAGCAUCGAGGAGAAUAGAAAGAGAGUGGCCAGGUGGUACGACAAGAAGGUCAAAGUCAAGCAAUUCUCCCAAGGAGAUUUGGUAUGGAAGUUGGUGCUGCCGAUAGGGUCUAAAGAUCCCAAAUUUGGUAAAUGGUCGCCCACUUGGGAAGGGCUGUAUAAAAUCGGCCGAUGCGCUCCAAGAAACGCGUAUAUACUGGAGACAAUCGAAGGAGAAGAAUUCACAAGAGCCUUGAAUGGGAGGUACCUAAAAAGAUACUAUCCCAGUAUAUGGGUCGAUGCAUAAGUAGUUACAGAGUAUAUCAAGAUGAUGCGGCUAGCUCCUAGUAGAUCUUGUAGCCGGUGCAAGAACAACAUCGCCUCAAGAACAAUACAUUCGUUCAAGUUGUCCGAUUUAUUAUUCGGUGCGAACGAUAGGGUACAUGGCCAACACGGUACAAGUCACCCUUAGAACAAAAAGUACCAACACGCCUACUGACCAUGCUUUUUCUUAAUUUUCCUCUCUACCCGAUCUAGUUCUAUCAAGAGAUGGAUGCUUUUCUCCUCCACAUCCUUCAUCGCGGCUUCAGCCUCAACUUGACGGGGAAGAGGAUGGCUCCGGUCAAGCAGUGGUUGAGAUAUUCCCGCUGCAGCGUCUUCAAGGGCGAUUGGGCGAGGGAGCGGAUGACUCCUUUCUAUUGGCGGCCGCCUAGAGCAGUUGGCGUCGAUGUGAUCCCAGAUCCGCUUGACUUCUGCAUGAACAUGAUCCCUGAGUUCUUCAUGGUGAGCUCUAAUCAAAUCCUUGUCCUCCUGCGACAACGGUUCAUCGGAGUGCAUGAUCUCGAUUUCCUUGUCCUUUCUAUUGGGGAUUGUUUAAAUGGUAUUCUGUGAGUUUCUAAGUUUAUCAGAUUGAUUGGGUCUGGACUUCCCAUAGGGCCUAAGCAAAUGAGACCGGGAGCUUCGGAAAGGCGAAUGGUGCUUUGGUGCCUAACCGCCUAAAAAGGUAAUAAGGGAAGAACUAAGAAUGGAUCUAAAAGCCAAUGCCUGGGCGGUAAAGGGUAAAAAGAAAAGUUCCGGGUAAAUACCUCCGGGAUGAAGGUCAUCGUCGCUGACGGGGCUGCUAGUAGAGCUGCCACCGCCGAAGCCGCUGGUGGGACCUAGGUCGCCGAUGGAGCUGCUGCCGCCGCCGUUGGAGCUGCCUCCGGAGUUUCUGUUGCUGGAGGGGUUGCCGAUGGUGUCGCCAUUGGGAAGAUGAGGCGAAAUGUGGAUGAACUAGGGGGUCGCCGGAGGGUUUGCUUGGAAGUCAAGAGGGCGCCAGAAGAAGAUGGAAACUAGUGCGCCAAAGAAAGGAAGUUACUGGCUUGUGAAGAAGUGCGGGACGUGCUAGUAUUUAAGGACGGUUCGAGAAGGGGUAAAGUCAGGAUUUUUACCGCGCCGUCUACACAAAUUUUGGGGGAGUGGUUGUCCUAGGCGCCCAUUUCGAAACGAUUGCAAUCAUCAGGUAGGAGACCGCGAAAUGGAAGGAUAUUUUUAAUGCGUUUGUUUCGGAGGAGAAGUUGAAAAGGAAUUUCAAAGUAAAAGCUAUGUUUUACUCCGAAACGGGGGGGCAUGUGUUGACGCUAGAUUUCGACACAUAUGGAAUCGGCGUCGAGAAAGGAGAAGAUUGGCUCAUGCGGCAGAUUGGAAGAUCACGAUUGGGAAUCGGCCGAUUGGUGCUACAGUUGGGGAUCAGCUGAUUGGCGCUACAGUGUUUUGGCAGAUGGAGUUGAUGGAGAUCGGUCGAUUGAAAGGCUGGAGCGAUUGGGCCAAUAUGGGCUUAAAAUGGGUUAGAGAAAGAAGAUGGAGGAAGAUUGGCCCAUGGGAAUACAAUAACCAACUCCGAUACGAGUUGUACUUGUAAAUAUUUGUUUUCAUUUAAAUUAAGAGAUAGAUCCUAGUUGGUUAAGAAAUUGGUUAUAACAGGCCAUAAAUAGCCGUCUUUAGGGAUUUGUAAAAAACACAUCAAUCAAUACAACAAUCUACUAUUUCUUCGUACUUUACUUUCAAGUCGGCAACUUUGCCAAUACUUUUUCUUCUUUCACGAGUUCGUACGGGUUGGCGAGGCUGCAUCGACAUGAUCUCUGGCCGAUUCUGUAAGUUUCACUUAUCGAGUAAUAUCUAAGCUUUAACUUUGGGUGCAUCGCUGUCGUUUCGUUUAGAUUUAUUCACCAGUUAUCGAUAUUUACUAGAAUUAUAGGUUUCAUCUGUUGUUCUAGUUUUAUCACCAGUUAUCUAGCUUGAGAUCUGAAUUGUCGGCUUUAUUAUUCAUUAUUCGUCAUUUUCAUAUAGCCGAUUAGAUCUAUUUCAAGUGUUGCUCCUGUAGCGUUAUCUAGUUUACUCUAGUAGUUUUCUUUAUAAUCGCUACGUGGUUGUCGGCUGUAUCAUAGCCGAUUAUCUUUUUAUAGCAAAUUGGUCGAUUCGCUGAUACGCUUUCUCGAGAUCGGAACCUUAGCCGAUCGGAACCCCUAGAAUUUGGCACGUUUUCUUCCUUGCCAAUCAACAGAUCAAAUUGGCUGGCACGCUGCGCGAACCACACCAGGGCGAUCACCUGAACAGGAGCUAAGCAGAUUCGCCCGAGUCGUGUGUCCGACGUUGAGAGUCAAUCGGCUGACUUUUAGCAUCAACAAUAAGGAGGUCGUUAAUAUUUCCCCCCAACAGGGGGGUAGUAGGGUGGCGGCUUUAGUCCCGGUUGUAAAGACCAACCGGGACUAAAGCCCCUUUUAGUCCCAAUUGUAACGGCUAUAAAAAUCGCACCGACGCCCCCCUUGUCCCGGUUGGAAAUUCCAACCCAGACAAAAGACCCCCUUUUGUCCCAGUUGGUAAUUCCAACCGGAAUAAAAGGGGGGUCUUUUGUCCCGGUUGGAAAAAUCACCAACCGCGACAAAGGGGGGAUACUUUGUCCCGGUUGGAAUUUCCAACAGGGACAAAAUCUCCUCCCCUAUAAAUCCAACCAGCCUAAAACUCUUCUUCCUCCCCCAACCAGAGCCACUCCACCAGAGACCGAGAGCUUCAUCCUCCUCUCCAUGGCGAGCAAGCAACCUUAGGGGAGGUGCUGCCCGAAUUUUUUUCCUCAUUUUCAUGGGGAUUUCACUCAUCCAAAGUGUUGUGAAGGUUAGCUACUUCAUCCUUCCUUCAUUUAUUGUUAUUAUGCUUUGUUUUAUGCUUUCUAGAGGGAGAAAAAUAAGUUUUUUAGAAUGAAGGAGAAUGGAGAGGAUUUUUAUUUAUACAUAUUUUUGAGCUAGAAUUUGAUGGAUAGCUUGUUAUAUAUGAUUCAUAUUAGUUAAAAGAACUUGAUCAAUAUUAGGUAUGUGAGGAAACAUAAAGUAAAUGUAUUUUUAAUAUUUAGUCAUUGCAAUAAAAUUAAGGUAAAUAAAUUUUAGGUGUAAGAAAUAGAAUUUGGUCAUUGCUACAAUUUUUCAUGUCACUGUAAUUUAACAAUAAUUGCAUUUAUUUGACCAAUAAUUUAUUUAUCUCAGGUUUAUUGCAAUAAUUAAAUAUUAUAAACACACUUACUCUAUUUUUCACGUAAUAUGAUGCAGAUAGACUGGCAAUGGAUGUACCACCACCGUUUCUCCAAUCCCAGAGAAUAGUGUUUGCACAUGGCAUGGAUGUGCUUACACUAUUCUCUACAUAUAACUCAAUCUUCUACAAAGUCUAUGGAGAGUUACCUCCGCUCCUCCAGUACCAGAAAAUAACUGUAGAACAGAAGAGCUUUGAAUCCACAAACUCGGGCUGAAUACCAUAAAAUAAUCUUGAAAUAGUAUUCCAAACGCCUUUCGGAGCUUAAUUCUCAUAAUAGAAGUCCAAUAUCCUGUUCAGGAAGAGAUUUGUUCACUAACCUUGAUCCAUAGCUUUUAGUUGGUUUUGCCUCGCUAAAAUAAGCCAUGCUCAGUGUGUUGGGAUAUGAGGUAGGCUACACUAGCGCAAAUCAAAAUUUCUACCGCGUAAACCAGGAAGAACUGCCGUAUAAGGAUCACGGGAUUACCACUCGACGCACUACUGGUGCGGAAGAUGUAGAUUUGCGUCGAUGCAGUGAAGACGAUCAACGUAGUCGUACGUAGUCGAUCAACGCAGUCGUACGUAGUCGAUCACAUCAACGUCCAGCAGCUCCUCAGCAGCUCGUCCACGUGCAGCAAGAUCGCCCUCGUGCCGCGGCUCAUUGUCGGCUCGUCGUGGCUCGGCGGCGGCUCGUCCGACUGCUGCAGGCGCAACACCUCCAAGGUAUCCACACGUGCAGGGAGGAAGCAUCGCAAGCCGGACUGCUAGAUCCGCGAGUUGCAACAGGCGAGGGCGUGGGAGGCGCGGCAGAUGUGUUUCGCCAAAAGGUGUGAACCCUAGGGCGCCCCCACCCCUCUAUUUAUAGAGGUUCCUAACGGGCCUCUGGGUCCGAGGCCCAUUAGUACUUCUAAACCUAAUCCAACUUGGAUCAAAUCCGAAUUGGGCUUCCAGCCCCUUAAGUGUGUGACCCUAUGGGUUCGGAUACGUAUAGACAUGGCCCGAGUACUCCUACUCGGCCCAAUAGUCGGUAGCGGCCUCUAGCAAGACGUGCCAACUCCUAUACGCACACGAAGAUCAUAUCAGACGAACCAUCACAACAUAAUAUACAUGCUAUUCCCUUUGCCUCACGAUAUUUGGUCUAGCUUCAAGCCGACCGCUCUUUCUCGAUCCUUUGAUUCGGAAUCCCUUUGUAGGUUAACUCUUAACCGUACGUAGCAUGGCCAUGCAUUUUCGGAUCCGAUCACUCGAGGGGCCCAGAGAUAUCACUCUCAAUCAGAGAGGGGCAAAUCCCAUCUUGAUUGACCAUGUCUCAUAGCAUGCUUCUUGACAAACCCGAAAGCUACCUUUAUAACUACCCUGUUACGGCGUAGCGUUUGAUAGCCCCUAAGUAGGUCGAUCCACAUCUAGAAUACAUGCAACAAUCUCAGGUCUAAGGACAAAGCGUAUAUGUUGUUUAAAGAGAGAACUACUUCUCGUGUUGGGUCAGUCCUAGCACAUGUCUCCACAUGUGUCCACAUUAUUAGUUCAACAUCUCCAUGUCCAUGACUUGUGAAACAUAGUCAUCAACUAAUACAUGUGCUAGUCUAAUAUUCAUGUGUGUCCUCACAUGAACUCCGACUAGGGACAAUUUUAGAAUAACCAUACAAGUAAAGAGUUUCACAUACAAUUCACAUAAUUGCAAAUCAAUUCAAGUAGCCUUCAAUGGAUAUUCAAUGAACACAACAUACAAAUCAUGGAUACAAAUGGAAUAUCAUCAUCUCUAUGAUUGCCUCUAGGGCAUACCUCCAACAGUCUUCGACUUGCACUAGAGUCAAUCUAGAAGGUACCUAAUACCCAUAGCUCUUACGUGCGCAUCAUGCUUAGCCUGCGGGAGUGGUUUUGUCAACGAAUCAGAAAUUUUCAGAUCCGUGUGUAUUUUGCAUAUCUUGAUCUCACCCCGGUUAACGAAGUCUCGAAUGAGAUGAAAUCGCCGCAUUACGUGUUUGUUCUUCUGGUGGUUCCUUGGCUCCUUUGCUUGCGCAAUUGCCCCAUUGUUAUCACAGUAGAGAUUCAAUGGGCUGGACGCAUUCGGGAACACACCAAGCUCAAGUAGGAAAUUCCUUAUCCAAACACCUUCCUUCGCGACUUUGGAAGCCGCGAUGUACUCGGCUUCUGUCGUAGAAUCGGCCACCGUCUCCUGCUUGGAACUCUUCCAACUAACAGCACCACCAUUUAGCGUGAACACAAAUCCUGAUUGUGACUUUGAAUCAUCUCUGUCGGUUUGGAAACUAGCAUCGAUGUAACCUGUUACAACGAGCUCCUCCUCACCUCCAUAGACGAGGAACAUAUCUUUAGUCCUUCUCAAGUACUUAAGAAUAUUUUUCAACGCUGUCCAUUGACUCUCACCUGGAUCAGAUUGGUGUCUGCUUGUCAUACUUAGCGCAUAUGAAACAUCUGGGCGAGUACUUAUCAUUGCAUACAUGAUAGAUCCAAUAGCCGAGGCAUAUGGCACUCUACUCAUGCGAUCCCGCUCAUCAGCAGUCGAAGGACACUGAGUCUUCCUGAGAUGUAUGCCAUGUGACAUAGGCAAGAACCCUUUCUUUGCCUUUUUCAUGCUGAACCGCUUCAACACUUUGUCAAUGUAAGUAUCUUGGCUUAAACCUAUAAGUCUUCUCAAUCUAUCUCUAUAGAUCUUAAUGCCCAGAAUAUAUGCCGCUUCCCCUAAGUCCUUCAUCGAAAAACUAUUUUUCAGUGAAGUCUUUACGGACUUAAGCAUAGGAAUGUUAUUUCCAAUCAGUAAUAUGUCAUCCACAUAUAAGAUUAGAAAUACUAUAGAGCUCCCACUAACCUUCUUGUAAACACAAGACUCUUCUUCAUUCUUGGUGAAGUCAAACCCUUUGACCACUUCAUCAAAACGAAUGUUCCAACUCCUAGAUGCUUGCUUCAAUCCAUAAAUGGAUCUCUGAAGCUUGCAUACCUUUCCAGCAUUUUUCGGAUCGACAAAACCCUCGGGCUGUAUCAUAUACACGUCCUCAGCUAGGUUUCCAUUCAGGAAAGCUAUCUUGACAUCCAUCUGCCAUAUCUCAUAAUCGAAAUAUGCAGCUAUAGCUAGAAUAAUCCGAAUGGACUUAAGCAUCACUACGGGCGAGAAGGUCUCGUCGUAGUCAACUCCUUGAACUUGUCAAAAACCUUUUGCGACAAGUCGUGCUUUAUAGAUGUGAACAUUUCCAUCCAUGUCCUUUUUCUUCUUAUAGAUCCACUUGCACUCUAUGGCUUUAACACCAUCAGGCGGGUCAACCAAGUUCAAAACUUGAUUGUCUCCCAUGGACUCUAUUUCGGAUUGCAUGGCAUUCUUCCAUCAUUGCUUCUGCAUAUGUCGCAGGCUCAUCAUUGUCCAACAAUAAUAUUUCCCGCAUUUCGUGGAGCCUUGCCGACCUUCGUGGUUGUGGCGGUGCUUCUCUUGCCAUGGGUAUCUCAACUUGUUCUGCUACGUUAGCAUCACUCAUUGAUUCUUGCCCGAUCGGCUCAUCUUGAAUUUCUUCAAGAUGCACUGUCUUUCCACUCUUUUCUCCUUUGAGAAACUCUUUCUCUAGGAAAACCCCAUUCCGAGCGACAAACACUUUGCCUUCUGAUCGGUUGUAGAAAUAAUAUCCCAAAUUUUCCUUUGGAUAUCCCACGAAAAUGCACUUAUCCGACUUGGGUGUGAUCUUGUCCGACUGAAGUCGCUUGACAAACACUUCACAUCCCCAAAUCUUUAGAAAAGACAAACUAGGAACCUUUCCAGUCCAUAUCUCAUAUGGUGUCUUAACUACGAAUUUAGAUGGUACCCUAUUAAGUGUGAAAACUGCUAUUUCUAGAGCGUAUCCCCAAAAUGACAACGGUAGGUCCGACUGGCUCAUCAUUGAUCGAACCAUGUCUAACAAAGUUCGAUUACGUCGCUCGGACACACCGUUUCUCUGAGGUGUUCCAGGCGGUGUAAGUUGUGGAACAAUUCCGCAACUCUUUAGAUGAUUGCUAAACUCGUGGCUCAAAUACUCGCCUCCACGAUCAGAUCAUAAGGCCUUAAUUUUCUUGCCACGCUGAUUUUCAACUUCAUUCUGAAAUUCCUUGAACUUUUCAAAGGUUUCAGACUUGUGCCUCAUCAAGUAGACAUAGCCAUAUCUACUAAAAUCAUCAGUGAAAGUUAUGAAGUAUUGGAAUCCUCCUCUAGCCGUCGUGCUCAUUGGUCCGCAUACAUCACUAUGUACGAGUUCCAACAAGUCUACUGCUCUCUCAGGAAAUCCUGUGAAAGGCGUCUUGGUCAUCUUGCCUAGCAAGCAAGCCUCACAUGUCUUGUAUGAUUCAAAAUCAAACGAAGUUAGAAGUCCAUCAGAAUGGAGCUUCUUCAUGCGUUUUUCACUUAUAUGACCCAAACGACAAUGCCAUAAGUAGGUAGGACUCAAAUCAUUAGGCCGAGGCCUUUUAGCACUUACAUUACAGACACGUGAACCAUCAAGAUUUCAAACAAAUAAUCCAUUCACAAUGGGUGCAAAAGCCAUAAACAUAUUAUUCUUAGAGAUCACACAACCAUUAUUUUCACUCGCAAAUGAAUAACCAUCCUUCAUCAAGCAUGAAGGAGACAGAAUGUUUCGACUUAAACUAGGAACGAAAUAACAAUUAUUCAACUCCAUAAUAUAUCCUGACGGGAGGUGGAGUUGCAUCGUCCCGACGGUCAACGCAGCAACUCUUGCAUUAUUGCCCACGCGGAAAUCAACUUCUCCUCUUUCCACGCUUCUACUUCUUAUCAUUCCCUGCAUCGAAUUGCAAAUAUGAGCAACCGAUCCGGUAUCAAAUACCCAAGAAUUAAUAAUUGUAUCAGCGAGAAAUAUGUUGUCUAUAACAUUAACAACAAGCGUACCUGAGGUAGAAGUACUCUUACUUCCGCCAUUCUUUAAGGAAGCUAGGUACUGCUUGCAGUUUCUCUUCCAGUGACCAAGUUCAUGACAGCAAAAGCACUCUUUGUCUGGAGCAGGUCCAGGUCCAGCUUUAACCUUAGGCGGUGGGUUUGGCUUGGACGUUCCAGCCUUGCCCUUCAUCUUAAAGCUAGGCUUGUUCUGUAUAGCCAUCACAUGGCUGGUACUAGCACUUUUCUUGAUGUCAGCCUCUGCUGUUUUAAGCAUGCCACACAGCUCAUUCAGACCCUUCUCCGUCCCAUGCAUAUGGUAGUUCGAGAUGAAGUUCCCAUAUCUAGGCGGAAGAGACGAAAGAAUGAAAUCAGUAGCCAACUCUUGGUCCAGUGGGAAGCCCAGCUUCUCCAACCGUUGAGUGUAACCAACCAUCUUGAUUACGUGUGGUCCUACUGCUGCGCCUUCUGCUAGCUUGCUUUCGACAAAGGCCUUAGAUACAUUGAACCUUUCAGUCCUGGCCUGUGUUUGGAACAUGUCUCUAAGCGCCACGAUUAUAUCGUGCGCCUCAUGGUUUGUUUCGAACUGCAUCUGCAGCUCGGGUUCCAUGCAAGCAAGCAUAAGGCAGCUUACUUCGAGGUUAGCAUCACAUGCUUUCUUGUAAGCAUUCUUAGCAGCAGCGGGUGCAUCAUCAGCAGGUUCUUCUGGUAGUGGGUUGUCCAGAACAUCUUCCUUUUUCUCAGUCCUGAGAACAAUUCUCAGGUUAAGGAUCCAAUCCGAGUAAUUUGUUCCAUUCAACUUGUCCUUCUCAAGGACCGUAGUGCUGCUAGGUGCGAUUUAAUCUACAACAAAGUAAUGCAAAAUACACUAAGACAAACGUAUCCAUGAUAGAGCGAGCAAAUCACAUUAAACUAUUUUAACAGAAUCUACUCCCACUAAAAUCAAUAUCCCUCUAUUGAAACUUAGUGAUUCAGGAUCCACAACUAACAAGUCCACUAGUGAGCUUUAGCAUCACCGCUAGCAAACAAGGUAGAUCGGUAAGCAACUUUUGCUAAUCAUAUCACAUAUGACUCCUGUUGUUGGGUGACAUCUCUAUGUCUCGGCGCCCAACCUUUAUGCCCCAAGGUCCUUAACCGUUAAGAUAACCUUGUUAAGCAAACCAACCCUUAUGCGUGUAAGUGUCCGACACAAACCCGUCUAGUCAAGGAAAACUAGUGGCACCCUAAUUUCAUAGACCCACCACUAAUUGUACAAGACAUGGGACGGUGCAAGUUUUAGUUGGGAGGGCAUACUAACUUAAACUUUGUGAGGGAUCGUUCUACUUCUAACAUCACAGCAUGCAGAAAGUAAAACAUAAACAGAAUAGCAUUCACACAGUUGCGACACAGUAUGGCCCGUUUUUUCUUAUGGUGAUCUGCAUCUCCAUAGAAGCUGUUCACCAUGGUGAUCUCCAUCUCCAUGUUCCAUGUGCGCCAUCCUUCUGGUGAUGAGUCCUCCAAGAACUUAGAACAUGCUAUUACACCUAAUAGCUAGUAAAGAAUCUAGUAAUGAAGAUUACAUAGUUGCUUGGAUCAUCACAGAUUGGUACGCAGACCAUUAAAUACAAUAAAGUGACAACACAUAUGGCUCCUGCCGUGUUGCCGUACGCGCGACACGCAGGUCACGAAUGAGUUACACACAUGCAUCACAUACACAAGGGGGCCAUACUGAUCACAAGAUACAUACAUACAUCCUGCAAAACAGAGUUAAGCGUCCUAACAUUCCAAACUUUGGAUGCCCGAAACUCUAUCUUCCAAGCCGAAUUUGGGAAAUCUAAUUUCGUUGAAAACGGCAAAGCCGUUGAAUUCAUGUGUAACUUUUUCUGUAGAUCAAUUUUCAUAUAAAAUUCAUCCCGAUCCGAGAUCGUACCGAAAAGUUACGGCUGAUUUACCAAAGCAUACGCAUACGACAAAAAUCCCAACCCCGGCAGUAGAUCCCAUCUACUAUUGCACAUCUAAUGCGCCUGGCGUAUGACCCUGGAUUUCGAUUCGACCAAUCAUAUUGAUCUUCACUCACUGCAACUGGAUUUACGUGUAUCACUUAACUCCGAUGGCGGAAACCGACCGGUAGGAGUAUGUCAUUACACUACCAUUGCAGCAAGGGCACGAAAACAGGACAUAGAUCAAACGGAAAACUCGCAUAUCUCCAUAUGCACACAUCCCGAAUCCAAAACUAAGCAGCUACGGCUCUUGAUACCACUGUAGGGAUACGAGGUAGGCUACACUAGCGCAAAACAAAAUUUUUCUACCGCGUAAACCAGGAAAACUGCCGUAUAAGGAUCACGGGAUUACCACUCGACGCACUACUGGUGCAGAAGAUGUAGAUUCGCAUCGAUGCAGUGAAGUUGAUCAACGUAGUCGUACGUAGUCGAUCACGUCGACGUCCAGCAGCUCCUCAGCAGCUCGUCCACGUGCAGCAAGAUCUCCCUCGUGCCGCGGCUCGUCGUCGACUCGUCGUGGCUCGUCGGCGGCUCGUCGUGGCUCGUCGGCGGCUCGUCCAAGUGCUGCAGGCGCAACACCUCCAAGGUAUCCACACGUGCAAGGAGGAAGCGUCGCAAGCCGGACUGCUAGAUCCGUGUGUUGCAACAAGCGAGGGCGUGGGAGGCGCGGCAGAUGAGUUUCGCCAAAAGGUGUUAAACCCUAGGGCGCCCCCACCCUCUAUUUAUAGAGGUUCCUAAUGGGCCUCUGGGUCCGAGGCCCAUUAGUACUUCUAAACCUAAUCCAACUCGGAUCAGAUCCGAAUUGGGCUUCCAGCCCCUUAAGUGUGUGACCCUAUGGGUUCGGAUACGUAUAGACAUGGCCCGAGUACUCCUACUCGGCCCAAUAGUCGGUAGCGGCCUCUAGCAAGACGUGCCAACUCCUAUACGCACACGAAGAUCAUAUCAGACGAACCAUCACAACAUAAUAUACAUGCUAUUCCCUUUGCCUCACGAUAUUUGGUCUAGCUUCAAGCCGACCGCUCUUUCUCGAUCCUGUGAUUCGGAAUCCCUUUGUAGGUUAACUCUUAACUGUACGUAGCAUGGCCAUGCAUUUUCGGAUCCGAUCACUCGAGGGGCCCAGAGAUAUCACUCUCAAUCAGAGAGGGGCAAAUCCCAUCUUGAUUGACCAUGUCUCAUAGCAUGCUUCUUCACAAACCCGAAAGCUACCUUUAUAACUACCCUGUUACAGCGUAGCGUUUGAUAGCCCCUAAGUAGGUCGAUCCACAUCUAGAAUACAUGCGACAAUCUCAGGUCUAAGGACAAAGCGUAUAUGUUGUUUAAAGAGAGAACUACUUCUCGUGUUUGGUCAGUCCUAGCACAUGUCUCCACAUGUGUCCACAUUAUUAGUUCAACAUCUCCAUGUCCAUGACUUGUGAAACAUAGUCAUCAACUAAUACAUGUGCUAGUCUAAUAUUCAUGUGUGUCCUCACAUGAACUCCGACUAGGGACAAUUUUAGAAUAACCAUACAAGUAAAGAGUUUCACAUACAAUUCACAUAAUUGCAAAUCAAUUCAAGUAGCCUUCAAUGGAUAUUCAAUGAACACAACAUACAAAUCAUGGAUACAAAUGGAAUAUCAUCAUCUCUAUGAUUGCCUCUAGGGCAUACCUCCAACAGUCUCCCACUUGCACUAGAGUCAAUCUAGAAGGUACCUAAUACCCAUAGCUCUUACAUGCGCAUCAUGCUUAGCCUGCGGGAGUGGUUUUGUCAAUGGAUCAGAAAUGUUCAGAUUCGUGUGUAUUUUGCAUAUCUUGAUCUCACCCCGGUUAACGAAGUCUCGAAUGAGAUGAAAUCGCCGCAUUACGUGUUUGUUCUUCUGGUGGUUCCUUGGCUCCUUUGCUUGCGCAAUUGCCCCAUUGUUAUCACAGUAGAGAUUCAAUGGGCUGGACGCAUUCGGGAACACACCAAGCUCAAGUAGGAAAUUCCUUAUCCAAACACCUUCCUUCGCGACUUCGGAAGCCGCGAUGUACUCGGCUUCUGUCGUAGAAUCGGCCACCGUCUCCUGCUUGGAACUCUUCCAACUAACAGCACCACCAUUUAGCGUGAACACAAAUCCUGAUUGUGACUUUGAAUCAUCUCUGUCGGUUUGGAAACUAGCAUCGAUGUAACCUGUUACAACGAGCUCCUCCUCACCUCCAUAGACGAGGAACAUAUCUUUAGUCCUUCUCAAGUACUUAAGAAUAUUUUUCAACGCUGUCCAUUGACUCUCACCUGGAUCAGAUUGGUGUCUGCUUGUCAUACUUAGCGCAUAUGAAACAUCUGGGCGAGUACUUAUCAUUGCAUACAUGAUAGAUCCAAUAGCCGAGGCAUAUGGCACUCUACUCAUGCGAUCCCGCUCAUCAGCAGUCGAAGGACACUGAGUCUUGCUGAGAUGUAUGCCAUGUGACAUAGGCAAGAACCCUUUCUUUGCCUUUUCCAUGCUGAACCGCUUCAACACUUUGUCAAUGUAAGUAUCUUGGCUUAAACCUAUAAGUCUUCUCGAUCUAUCUCUAUAGAUCUUAAUGCCCAGAAUAUAUGCCGCUUCCCCUAAGUCCUCAUCGAAAAACUAUUUUUCAGUGAAGUCUUUACGGACUCAAGCAUAGGAAUGUUAUUUCCAAUCAGUAAUAUGUCAUCCACAUAUAAGAUUAGAAAUACUAUAGAGCUCCCACUAACCUUCUUGUAAACACAAGACUCUUCUUCGUUCUUGGUUAAGUCAAACCCUUUGACCACUUCAUCAAAACGAAUGUUCCAACUCCUAGAUGCUUGCUUCAAUCCAUAAAUGGAUCUCUGAAGCUUGCAUACCUUUCCAGCAUUUUUCGGAUCGACAAAACCCUCGGGCUGUAUCAUAUACACGUCCUCAGCUAGGUUUCCAUUCAGUAAAGCGGUCUUGACAUCCAUCUGCCAUAUCUCAUAAUCAAAAUAUGCAGCUAUAGCUAGAAUAAUCCGAAUGGACUUAAGCAUCACUACGGGCCAGAAGGUCUCAUCGUAGUCAACUCCUUGAAGUUGUCGAAAACCUUUUGCGACAAGUCGUGCUUUAUAGAUGUGAACAUUUCCAUCCAUGUCCUUUUUCUUCUUAUAGAUCCACUUGCACUCUAUGGCUUUAACACCAUCAGGCGGGUCAACCAAGUUCCAAACUUGAUUGUCUCCCAUGGACUCUAUUUCGGAUUGCAUGGCACUCUGCCAUUUUUUCGGAGUCUAGGUCCAUCAUUGCUUCUGCAUUUUUCAGAUAGCAUGCUUCUUGACAAACCCGAAAGCUACCUUUAUAACUACCCUAUUACGGCGUAGCGUUUGAUAGCCCCAAAGUAGGUCGAUCCACAUCUUGAAUACAUGCGACAAUCUCAGGUCUAAGGACAAAGCGUAUAUGUUGUUUAAAGAGAGAACUACUUCUCGUGUUGGGUCAGUCCUAGCACAUGUCUCCACAUGUGUCCACAUUAUUAGUUCAACUAAUACAUGUGCUAGUCUAAUAUUCAUGUGUGUCCUCACAUGAACUCCGACUAGGGACAACUUUAGAAUAACCAUACAAGUAAAGAGUUUCACAUACAAUUCAUAUAAUUGCAAAUCAAUUCAAGUAGCCUUUAAUGGAUAUUCAAUGAACACAAUAUACAAAUCAUGGAUACAAAUGGAAUAUCAUCAUCUCUAUGAUUGCCUCUGGGGCAUACCUCCAACACAGUGAACAUAUCUUUUGCCUGGACAGGCUAUUGUGUGCGGCUAUUGUGUGCUACCAUACUUCUAUUAUGAGAAUAUAGCACUUGCUCCAAAAGAUGUUUGGACAAUGAUUUCUAGAUUCAUUUAUGAUAUUCAGCCCGAGUAUAUGGAUUCGAAGAUCUUCUAUUGUACCAUUAUUUUCUGGUACUGGAUAUGUGGAGGUGACUCUCGAUAGACUUCUUAGAAGAUUGAGUUAUGUGCAGAGAUGUCUUGGAGGCCGAACAUUCUACUAUAUUGUACCAUUCUUUUAGGAUAAUUGACUACAUGAACUAAAGUACGGAGCGUCUGUAAUCUUUAGUGUAUAUGUAUCUUUAUUGUCUUGUUAUGAGUGUAAUCUUUAUAUAUAUCUUUAGUGAAUGUUAUGAAUAUUGAUUGGUGUAAUUUUCAUGUGAAUUGUUUUUAUCGUUGAUUGGUGUAAAUUAUGAAUAUUGAUCAAUUUCUUUAUCUAAUACGAAGACCGAUGUCCAUUUCUCAUGUAAUAAUUGAUUCAUCUAAUCUUGUUUGCAAGGACUAAAUAUUAUAAUCACAUUAGCUCUAUUUCCCCCCUACCUAAUAUUGAGCAAGUUAUUUAUCUAAUACAAAGAUCUAUGUCCAUUUCUUACGUAAUACGAUGCAGAUGGACGGGCAAUGGAUGUAUAACAUAGAAAGAUGGACCAAGAAAUUUGUUGAUGGCUUGCAUUAUUUUUUUGAAGUGGCCAAAGCCAACAAGCUAGAGAAUAGAUUCAUAUAUUGUCCAUGCUUCCACUGCAGUAACAAGAAGGACUACUCUUCCUAGGGACUGUUCACGACCACUUAUUUAGAUAUGGUUUCAUGCCUAACUACUUGGUUUGGACCAAGCAUGAUAAAAAGGGGUUAUAAUGGAAGAUGAUGAAGAAGAGGAGGAUGAUAACAAUAUUCUGGAGUGGGCUGUAGGCCAAACUUUUACAGAUACUACAAUGGGCGAGGCUGAUGAAGAUGAGUUUACAGAAGAUGACCCUACUGAUGAUCUUGGUUAGGUGCUAUGGGAUGUACAGAGAGAUUGCAAAACUAAGAAGGAAUCAAAAAAGUUGCAACGUAUGAUACAUGAUCACAAAAAAAUUGUUGUACCCAGAUUGCAAGCAAGGGUAUAAAAAAAACUGGGUACCACACUAGAACUGCUACAAUGGAAGGUAAAAAAUGAUGUGUCCGAUAAGGCAUUUGAGGGGAUAUUGAAAAUUGUAAAGAAUAUUUUUCUUGAGAAUAAUGAAUUGUCGUCCACAACAUAUGAAGCUAAAUAGAUUGUUUUCCCUCUAGGAUUGGAGGUUCAAAAGAUACAUGCAUGCCCUGAUGAUUGUAUCCUCUAUUGUAGUGAUAACUAUGAGAAAUUGGAUGCUUGUCAUGUGUGCGGAUCGCUGCGGUAUAAGAUCAGGCGAAAUGAUCCUGAUGAUUUCGAGGGGAAGCCUCCCAAGAAGAGAGUUGCUGCGAAGGUGAUGUGGUAUUUCCCUAUAAUACCACAUUUGAAGCAUUGAUUCAGAAACAAGGCGAAUGCUAAGUUGAUGCGAUAGCACAAAGAAGAACGUAAGCAAGAUGAGAUGCUGAGGCACCCCAUGGAUGGGUCCCACUGGAGAUCAAUUAAUAGAGCAUUCCCGAGCUUUGAAAGUGAUGCAAGGAACAUAAGGUUUUUUUUAAGUACUAAUGGAUUCAAUCCAUUCCGUGAGUUGAGUAGUGGUCAUAGUACUUGGCCUGUGACCCUAUGUAUGUUCAACCUUCAUCCUUGGCUGUGCAAGAAGUGGAAGUUCUUUAUGAUGCCGAUGCUUAUUAAAGGCCUAAAACAACUCGGCAACAAUAUUGACGUGUACCUAAGAAAGUUGGUUGAUGAACUUUAACUGCUCUGGAAGGAAGAAAGUGUACGUGCGUGGGAUGAGGAUAAACAAGAGAGGAUUUACCUACGAGCAUUGUUGUUCGUAACCAUCAAUGAUUGUCCUGCGCUGAGUUAUCUUUCAGGAUAGACAAACAGCGGAUAUCGAGCCUGCACCCACAGUUUAGACGACACAGACAACAUGUAUUUGAAAUUCUAUAGGAAGGUUGUGUAUAUGGGCCAUCGUCGAUUUCUUCCUGCUAACCACCCGUUAAGAAAGAAAGGGAUGCAUUUCAAAGGGGUGCCAGACCAUCGUAAAAAACCUGCACACCGUAAUGGAAAGCGUGUAUUUGAGAUGAUAAAGGAUGUAAGGGUAGUCUUUGGAAAGGGUCUUGGUAGCGAAUCUGUUAUGAACGACGAUAACGGACGUGCACCCAUGUGGAAGAAAAAGUCUAUAUUUUGGAAGCUACCUUAGUGGGAAAUCCUAGAGGUUCGCAACACAAUAGACGUAAUGCACCUAACAAAGAAUCUUUGAGUGAACAUGCUAGGCUUUAUGGGUUGUUAUGGUAACUCAAAAGUUACAUUGGAAACAUGAUAGGACCUAAAACAUAUGAAGUAACGAGAUGACCUACAUCCGGAAAAAAGAGAUAAUAGACAACACUACUUACGUCUUGUCAGUUACACUCUUAGCAAGGAAGAGAAGGAUAACAUGUUUGAAUGCAUGAAUAGUAUCAAGGUUCCAUUUGGGUAUCCUCGAAUAUAAAGGGAAUAAUAAAUAUGAAAGAAAAGAAGUUCACAAAUCUCAAGGCCCAUGAUUGCCACAUGUUGAUGACCCAGUUGCUUCUGGAUGCACUGAGGGGUAUUCUACUAGAGAAUCUACGAUUAGUGCUCGUAAAGCUAUGUGCGUUUCUCAAUGCAAUUUCGCAGAAGACAAUCAAUCCAACCAAGCUAGUAAAGCUACAGAACGAUGUGGUACAAUGUCUUGUCAGCUUUGAGUUGGUAUUUCCACCAUCCUUCUUCAAUAUUAUGACGCACCUCAUGGUUCACCUAGUCAAAGAGAUUACUAUUCUCGGUCCAAUAUUCCUGCACAAUAUGUGGUCUUUCAAGAGGUUCAUGUGAGUCCUAAAAACUAUGUUCUUAAUCGUGCCCUUCCAGAAGGAAGCAUCCCCAAGGGAUAUGGAAUAAAGGAGGUUAUUGAGUUUUGUGUUGAUUUUAUUGACUCAAUUAAUUCGAUUGGGGUUCCAAUAUUAGGCCACGAGGGGAGACUGCAGGGAACAGGCACCCUUGAAAGGAAAUCAAGUUUGAGAAAUGAUACUAAUUUGUUCCAUAAAGUACGCUUCACUAUUCUACAACAAUCAUCCUUUGUGGCUUCGUAUAUCGAGGAACACAAGCAGAUUCUAUUUUUCCAAUACCCGACGAAAUCCGAUGCCUGGAUAGUGGUGUCCGCAUAGAUGCCAUAGACAACAAUAGGAGCAAGGACUCGUAUUAUGGUUUCAUAGAGGAGAUCUGGGAACUUGAAUACAGACCGUUGAACAUCCCUUUGUUUCAUUGCCAAUGGGUGAAGCUAACUAGAGGUGGUGUAACGAAAGAUCAGUAUGGAAUGACAAUAGUGGACAUGACCAAGACUAGAUAUAAUGAUGAACCAUUCAUCCUUGCCAGUGAUGCGCACUAGGUUUUCUAUGUGAAGGAUAUGUCUAGCAAGCUUAAGAAAAAUUCAGAAGAUAAAGAAAAACCAUGGGAGCCAAAGCGCCACAUAGUUCUUCCAGGUAAAAGAAAAAAUCAUGGGAGUCGAGGACAAAACAAAAUAGUUAGAUGAUUAUGAUUAGUUUGAUGGCAUGCCUCCAAUCGCUGUCAAAGUUGACCCAAGCAUUAUGCUAGCCAAAGAAGAGGCUCCGUACUUACGCUAUGACCAUGACCAAGGAACUUUUGUCAAGAAGUUUUUUAAUGUUACAUUGUAAUGCACUAAAUAUGAUUCAUUUUUAUUAAAUGCUCUAUGGCCAUCAGAACCUUUGAAUUAUAUUGUAAUGCUCUAUGGAGAAAAUUUAUUCGAUCAAUAUAAACAAUGUUAACUUAACCACAUACACAAUUGCAUUUUUUCCACAUUGAAAUUAUUUUGAAUAGUUUGUUGAUGAUAGUAAUGCAUUAAAAUAAUUAUUUUAGAAACUUAAACAACUAGUAUAGAAUUAAUGAUAGAUUCAACCUUAUUUUAAAUAUACUUGCUAAUUUAAUAUAUUUUUGCAUGUUCAAAAUAUAUAAAGUUUUUAUUUUUUUUCUUUAACAAAACCAGUGGAAAACAACUAAAACAUACAUAAAUUAUAAUUGGAAAACAAGCGGGGAAUGAAAAUUUCCACUAAAGGGCCUUUAGUCCCGGUUGGAAAGUCAAUCCGGGACUAAAGGCCCCCCUUUAGUCCCGGUUGCAAUUUGCAACCAGGACUAAAGGGUGCAUUUUCAGCUCCCACGCGUAAAGCACCUGUUGGAUUUAUAAACCCGGCAGUCCACUAGGGGGUUACCCAAGUGGUUGAUUUGUAGGUGGAGGUGAUUGCGAAACCAAGAACUUGAAAGUGAUCGUGAGAACACGAGGGACACGAGGGUUUUAGACAGGUUCGAGCCUCCCGAGCGUAAUACCCUAUGUCCUGUAUGCUUGGUGGCUUGUAUUGCUUGAGAAUCUCGAUGCCCCUGGCCGCCUUAUAUAGGCUGAUGACCUCGGUUUACAACUCAGUUUGAAUCUAAUCUACUCAGUACUUAAUUAAAAGGUGAUCUGAGUUAGACUACAAUACGUAUCACACAAUAUCCGGGUUGGUUUGAACUGCCCGAUCUCCUUGGCGUGUACUCCAAGUAUCUUCAUAUCCAUAGCCCACACGCCCUGGUCAGGCGAGCUCAUUUGUCAGGUCCAGCCAGUAUCCUGGUCGGUAGGGACCCAUGAGGUAUCCAUAUCCCUCAAGCCCUCGAGUGAUGUGUAGGCGAAUAGGAACUUGAGGACAUCGUAGCGAAGCUUGGAAUGUGGUUAGUGUCAUAAUGACGGAGAGGCUGCACAGUGCUCAAAAAGAAGAAAAUUUGAGCGAACGCAGAGCCAUACGCGUAGAGCGAAGUCGAGUGCCAAGUUGAUGGAUGGCAGGCAUCCAGUAAGUUGAAGCGAAGGACAUGGAGGGCGUCGCAAAGAUGCACUCUAUAUGGAGUAGCCCCCGAGCAUUGAAGUGAUUAGUGUAAUCAGUCUAAUGGUUAAAAAGGAAGAAAAAAUUGAUCCCAGUACUCGAGCACAAGAAUAGGCAAAGCCACGGAGGCACACCAACCUGAAAUAGGCACCCAGCCCUUGAGCGUGAGCGCGAGGACUGGCAGAGCCACGGAGGCACGCCAACCUGAAAUAUGCACCCAGCCCCCUAGCAUGAGCGCGAGGACUAACGAAGCCAUGGAGGCAGCCGACUUGAAAUAGGCGCCUAGCCCCUAAGCCUGGGAGCCGGACGAAUCGCGGAAGCACAUCGAGUCGCGUCCCACCCCGAGCCAGAGAGGUUGGCCGGGAGAGAGGAGGCACGCUGAGUUGUUUGCGAAGCCCAACAUCCAAGCUUGGGAGCCGAAUGAGCUGCAGAAGAACGCUAAGUCACCUCCCGCCCCAAGCCAAAGAAGUCGGCUGGGCAACAGGAGGCACGCCGAUUAGUUUUUGAGCUGUAAAAGGACAGUACAAACAUUAUGUAGUGUAGUGUAGAUUAUUUAAUAAUUGAACAACUCAGAAGUUUAAUUCGCUUUAGAAGUAAAUUCUUGCACGUCCUGCUCUUGUAGGUCAUGUAAUUUCCCUAGGUAGUUAGCCUGUUACGUUUAAGCACCUAGACCUGCUAACCACUGCUCACGGAGAGGAUGGCUUAUCUCAGGCUAUAGCGCUAGGGCUGACCUGAUGCUUGCAUAUAGGAGACGUGCAAGAUGAGUUAAGGUUUCACGGAUUAAGGUGUGUGCUACCUGAGUACUUUAGCAACCAUUAAGAGAAGAUGUACAAGACAUGAAGGAGAUCGCAAAAUAGUAGAAACUGUACGAAAAAGUGAGAGUCUACAUUGGACACUCGUAGGUCGCAGUCCUGACUACCCGUGUAGUGGAUGGACCAAGCUGUAUGAGCAAUCGGGGUGGUCGGCAGAAGUCACAGAGACAUAGGAGAGCCAAGACGGGCGGCGAAAGUCAUGGAGACAUGGAGGAGCCAAAACGUAUGUAGGUAUAUGGAAGCCGCAAAAUAUUUAAUUGUAAAUAAGACUUAGCUUGAUUCAUGGCAGAGCUGAAAAGUCAGUGUCAUGCCCGAGUGGGCAACCGUCGGUGAAUAGUUGUUGAUGAAUCCGUUGACGGGUCUGGGUGGUCAAAGUUGUCAUAGGUGUGUCAGCGUCAAUCAUUGAUGCUGCUCUACUAUGGAAGGCAUCCAAGCUGAAGUCGUCGUAGACCCGCAGGCCGAGCCAUGCAAGGAGUAGUCCCAAUUUGCAUGUCAUUGCUAGUGCCAUGCAUCCCGAUCACUCUUGUAGUCUUGUUUAUCCCCGGCGAUAAACAAUCGCUUGGGCUUUUUGUUCCAUGCGGCAUUGUUUUUAGUUAGCCUGAUCCAUGCAUCUGUCAGACUUGAUAGCUCAUCCGUAUCACCAUUAGCCACCCCUCAAAUCUCCCAGUAGAUAACGAGACGGCAAGAGCUGCUAGUGCUAGCCCUCACAAGCAUCCAGGCUAGCACGUAGUAGCAUAUUCUUCCCAGCCAGCCCGGACACGCAAUGCAAUGCAUCGCGUCGACCCUCCUCUCCUUGUACGAGGAACCACCUGUGACGCAUGCCAUGGUAUGCAUGAUUACUCGCAUUCGUAUACGUUGUACCAAUCGCCGAUUGCGUCGCCAGUGCAUUCACCACCACUGCAACAUGCCCGGCGACAGCCAAUCUGAUCUGACUUGGCGACAGCAACGCAGUGGCGUUUGCUCGGUGCAAGGCCAACCUCCCUCCAUCCCCCGAGCUCGAGAACGAAACGGGACAUGCCCCGCGAUUAGGUCGGAGGACGUGGGUGGGUAGGUUGUAGCAAGGAUGUUGGGAAUCAUCUCGGAGAGGGACAGAUCACCGACCUACUGGGCAAGCGGCGUGAUGAUCCUCGGUUGAAGACCUUGGUCUGUCGAAGUAGAUCCGACGGAUGCUGAGUUGGCAGUGGGCGUCGAGUUGGUGGAGGAGGUGAUGGAGUCAGAUUCCAUCAGCAUGCUCCCGAAGCGGAACUAGAUCGGGUUGGCGAGGAAGUCCUUCAUGCCCUCGGGAAGAUGACACCGGGACGGGAUGCCAUCGAGCUCACUGGGGAGGAUCUCACAAUCACCCCAUAGAGCAUGUUGUCAGUGCGAACCCUAGCCCUCUCCAAGCACUCAUUGAGGAGAGUGCAAAAGCCUAUGUAGCGCACUUCGUCUCUAGAAAACGUACACCACUCCUUGGUCGUCAUCUGAAACAUGCAGUUAAGGGUUGUUAGAAAGUCGUAUAAGUCAGAGUAAACAAGGUAAUAACUAUAACAAUUCAAGGAGUUGUACACAGGUAGUUUAGGCUUCUUGAACUAAUGUCCAUUACUAGAGAUCAUCCUACGGUCAAGUAUGGCUCUGAUACUAGCUGAAACGGAUCCGAAUUCCUAUUUCUGAGAAUUCAAGCCUACGCACAUCGGUGAUAGUCCCAAGAAGGCUAUCACAUGCGAAUCCCUAUCUCAGAUAGUACAAAUCCAUACCAACACAGAAAUAGAAGGAGAAAUAGAGUACAAACAUCAUAGAUAACAUGAGUACGAGUACAUAUCAAUAGCACAUGUCGGUACAAGUCCCUCAGGACUAAAUCAGGAAAGGUAAAACAUCUACGCAGUGGAAACAAAAGCUAUGGUGAUCUCCAUCUUCGCUGGCGACUCGAGUGAAGAAUGGUCCCUAGUCCUCCCAACCGUCAUUGUCGAAGUUGUAGUGGGGCUACGAACCUAAAAAGCUAGCAUCUACCCGAGAAGCGGGUAGGCCAUGUCAACUCCCAAAAGUAGUAAAGCUAAAGAAACGGGGGAAUUAUACUAUAUGCAUGAAUAAGACCUAUAUAUGGCUGUAGAGGUUUAUGCAGCAGCAACAACAACAAUCAAGGUAGCAGCAAAGCAACAUCACCUCCGAGGUCAACACCUCAAAUAAGGAAGUUGGUACAAAUCAUCAGAUCCUUCACCCAAGGGUCUAGCACCCAAACACACUAGGCGAUGUAAGAGCUCCAUUCCCUCACAUCUCAAUGGCAAACGCCAGCCUAUCUCAAAAAGGAGAAAAGUAGAAGGAUGAGAAAAGUCUAGUUAGAAGUAGUGGUAGUCAACAGCACUGUCCAUAACCAGUGGACACAGACUAUAGCUAUAGCUUUAUACACUCUGCAAAGAUUUUAUAACUGUACCCGCACGGAUGGAGCCUGAAUGGUAGCGAUCCGUCCAAACCCCACCUAUUAGCCGGAGCCCUAGUAAGUGGAUAGCUCUCUCCUGUUUUAUCAAGUCUAGAACCAUCCUCAGCGGCAAGGCACGCUAUCACCAGUGAGGACCUCGAAGCUGUGGAACGUACCCACACCGGGGUGCAGUCUGGUUAGAGCAAGACAAUGCCUCAAACUCCUAAAAUGAUCCUCCAAUCUGCCUAUAGGCAGAGCACUAUCCACUACUAGUCUCGAACCGAACCCCGCCCAUAACGUAAGCGAGCGGUAAGUACAAAAAGUAGCUACUGUGAUUGGUGGUAAACUGACUCGGUCCUUAAGCUGCUGAGAGCAAGCACUCUACCAACAAGUACAUGCCAAAGCACCUGCAACGUACAAGUACGCCACCUGCUCCUUAGUAACAAACAAGGUACCUGCCACAUGUACGGGGUAUAGAAAAAGUCCAAAAAGCUCUCUCCUGGCUAGGCACUUCUCUGUACCAACCAUGGCUCACACCCACCAAGAACACAUCAAGGAGUCACACUCCCCCAAAACACAUGCAAGAGUGUUCAAGGAAUCCCAUCACCAAAUCCAUGGAAAAUGCACAUCCAUAACUCAAAAGCAUGUAUAUGGAUAAAUGAGCGGUGGACUAGCUAGGGGUCCGUAGCUAGUCCACAAAAGUAGGUGAACAAGGAAAAUAGGAUAAACAAUUAUCAAGGCAUGGCUAGAAACAUUGGCUAUGAAAUCCAUCAUCAUCAAGCAAUAUAAGUAAAAAGCUAGCAACUAAGCAUGCAUAGGAGCUAUAUGAUUGGAAGUAACAUGACACCUUGUUCGUAGUCGAACGGGUCCUACUCAGUGUAGUCGGGGUCUUGAAGGUCUUCCUGGUCGUAGCUUGGGUCUGAACAGAGCGAGAUACGAUGAAGCAUAAAUUAAACAACAAUAAAUCUAGGCAAAAACUCGAAGAAAGCUAAAUUAGAAGAUCCAAAUAACACCAAACUAGCUACAAAUAGCACAGGUUCGAUUUUAUGAAUUUAAUGCAACUAGUUUCAUAUUUUUUGAGUUAAAAUGAAUUACUUAUGACUUUUUAAAGAUUAAAGGAUCGAUUCGAUUAUUUAAUAAUUUCAGAAAACAUUUAUUUAAAGGUGACACAUGUCAGCUCGGGAUUGGUUCAUGUGGCAUCCCUAGGGGGCGCCAUGUGUCCUGCUAACAUCACAUUGACAUUAGCGUUGACUGGUCAACAUGGGCCCCAUGGGUGGGCCCAGCUUGGUGCGCCUGGCCUGGCCACAUCAGCCAUGUGGCACCUGUCGGGAUACGAGGUAGGCUACACUAGCGCAAAUCAAAAUUUCUACCACGUAUAACCAGGAAGAACUGCCGUAUAAGGAUCAAGGGAUUACCACUCGACGCACUACUGGUGCGGAAGAUGUAGAUAUGUGUCGAUGCAGUGAAGACGAUCACGUAGUCGUACGUAGUCGAUCAACGUAGUCGUACGUAGUCGAUCACGUCACGUCCAGCAACUCCUCCACGUGCAGCAAGAUCGCCUUCGGUGCCGCGGCUCGUCGUCGGCUCGUCAUGGCUCGUCGAUGGCUCGUCCAAGUACUGCAGGCGCAACACCUUCAAGGUAUCCACACGUGCAGGGAGGAAGCGUCGCAAGCCGGACUGCUAGAUCUGCGAGUUGCAACAGGCGAGGGCGUGGGAGGCGCGGCAGGUGUGUUUCGCCAAAAGGUGUAAACCCUAAGGCGCCCGCACCCCUCUAUUUAUAGAGGUUCCUGACGGGCCUCUGGAUCCGAGGCCCAUUAGAACUUCUAAACCUAAUCCAACUCGGAUCAGAUCCGAAUUGGGCUUCCAGCCCCUUAAGUGUGUGACCCUAUGGGUUCGGAUACGUAUAGACAUGGCCCGAGUACUCCUACUCGGCCCAAUAGUCGGUAGCGGCCUCUAGCAAGACGUGCCAACUCCUAUACGCACACGAAGAUCAUAUCAGACGAACCAUCACAACAUAAUAUACAUGCUAUUCCCUUUGCCUCAUGAUAUUUGGUCUAGCUUCAAGCCGACCGCUCUUUCUCGAUCCCGUGAUUCGGAAUCCCUUUGCAGGUUAACUCUUAACCGUACGUAGCAUGGCCAUGCAUUUUCAGAUCCGAUCACUCGAGGGGCCCAGAGAUAUCACUCUCAAUUAGAGAGGAGCAAAUCCCAUCUUGAUUGACCAUGUCUCAUAGCAUGCUUCUUGACAAAUCCGAAAGCUACCUUUAUAACUACCCUGUUACGGCGUAGCGUUUGAUAGCCCCUAAGUAGGUCGAUCCACAUCUAGAAUACAUGCGACAAUCUCAGAUCUAAGGACAAAGCGUAUAUGUUGUUUAAAGAGAGAACUACUUCUCGUGUUGGGUCAGUCCUAGCACAUGUCUCCACAUGUGUCCACAUUAUUAGUUCAACAUCUCCAUGUCCAUGACUUGUGAAACAUAGUCAUCAACUAAUACAUGUGCUAGUCUAAUAUUCAUGUGUGUCCUCACAUGAACUCCGACUAGGGACAACUUUAGAAUAACCAUACAAGUAAAGAGUUUCACAUACAAUUCACAUAAUUGCAAAUCAAUUCAAGUAGCCUUCAAUGGAUAUUCAAUGAACACAACAUACAAAUCAUGGAUACAAAUGGAAUAUCAUCAUCUCUAUGAUUGCCUCUAGGGCAUACCUCCAACAGUCUCCCACUUGCACUAGAGUCAAUCUAGAAGGUACCUAAUACCCAUAGCUCUUACAUGCGCAUCAUGCUUAGCCUGCGGGAGUGGUUUUGUCAACGGAUCAGAAAUGUUCAGAUCCGUGUGUAUUUAGCAUAUCUUGAUCUCACCCCGGUUAACGAAGUCUCGAAUGAGAUGAAAUCGCCGCAUUACGUGUUUGUUCUUCUGGUGGUUCCUUGGCUCCUUUUCUUGCGCAAUUGCCCCAUUGUUAUCACAGUAGAGAUUCAAUGGGCUGGACGCAUUCGGGAACACACCAAGCUCAAUGAGGAAAUUCCUUAUCCAAACACCUUCCUUCGCGGCUUUCGAAGCUGCGAUGUACUUGGCUUCUGUCGUAGAAUCGGCCACCGUCUCCUGCUUGGAACUCUUCCAACUAACAGCACCACCAUUCAGCGUGAACACAAAACCUGAUUGUGACUUUGAAUCAUCUCUGUCGGUUUGGAAACUAGCAUCGGUGUAACCUGUUACAACGAGCUCCUCCUCACCUCCAUAGACGAGGAACAUAUCUUUAGUCCUUCUCAAGUACUUAAGAAUGUUUUUCACCGCUGUCCAGUGACUCUCACCUGGAUCAGAUUGGUGUUUGCUUGUCAUACUUAGCGCAUAUGAAACAUCUGGGCGAGUACUUAUCAUUGCAUACAUGAUAGAUCCAAUAGCCGAGGCAUAUGGCACUCUACUCAUGCGAUCCCGCUCAUCAGCAGUCGAAGGACACUGAGUCUUGCUGAGAUGUAUGCCAUGUGACAUAGGCAAGAACCCUUUCUUUGCCUCUUCCAUAAUGAACCGCUUCAACACUUUGUCAAUGUAAGUAUCUUGGCUUAAACCUAUAAGCCUUCUCGAUCUAUCUCUAUAGAUCUUAAUGCCCAGAAUAUAUGCCGCUUCCCCUAAGUCCUUUAUCAAAAAACUAUUUUUCAGUGAAGUCUUUACGGACUCAAGCAUAGGAAUGUUAUUUCCAAUGAGUAAUAUGUCAUCCACAUAUAAGAUUAGAAAUACUACAGAGCUCCCACUAACCUUCUUGUAAACACAAGACUCUUCUUCGUUUUUGGUGAAGUCAAACCCUUUGACCACUUCAUCAAAACGAAUGUUCCAACUCCUAGAUGCUUGCUUCAAUCCAUAAAUGGAUCUCUGAAGCUUGCAUACCUUUCCAGCAUUUUUCGGAUCGACAAAACCCUCGGGCUGUAUCAUAUACACGUCCUCAGUUAGGUUUCCAUUCAGGAAAGCUGUCUUGACAUCCAUCUGCCAUAUCUCAUAAUCAAAAUAUGCAGCUAUAGCUAGAAUAAUCCGAAUGGACUUAAGCAUCACUAUGGGCGAGAAGGUCUCGUCGUAGUCAACCCCUUGAAUUUGUCGAAAACCUUUUGCGACAAGUCGUGCUUUAUAGAUGUGAACAUUUCCAUCCAUGUCCUUUUUCUUCUUAUAGAUCCACUUGCACUCUAUGGCUUUAACACCAUCAGGCGGGUCAACCAAGUUCCAAACUUGAUUGUCUCCCAUGGACUCUAUUUCGGAUUGCAUGGCAUUCUGCCAUUUUUCGGAGUCUGGGUCCAUCAUUGCUUCUGCAUAUGUCGCAGGCUCAUCAUUGUCCAACAAUAAUAUUUCCCGCAUUUCGCGGAGCCUUGCCGACCUUCAUGGUUGUGGCGGUGCUUCUCUUGCCAUGGGUAUCUCAACUUGUUCUGCUACGUUAGCAUCACUCAUUGAUUCUUGCCCGAUCGGCUCAUCUUGAACUUCUUCAAGAUGCACUGUCUUUCCACUCUUUUCUCCUUUGAGAAACUCUUUCUCUAGGAAAACCCCGUUUCGAGCGACAAACACUUUGCCUUCUGAUCGGUUGUAGAAAUAAUAUCCCAAAGUUUCCUUUGGAUAUCCCACGAAAAUGCACUUAUCCGACUUGGGUGUGAUCUUGUCCGACUGAAGUCACUUGACAAACACAUCACAUCCCCAAAUCUUUGGAAAAGACAAACUAGGAACCUUUCCAGUCCAUAUCUCAUAUGGUGUCUUAACUACGGAUUUAGAUGGUACCCUAUUAAGUGUGAAAGCUGCUGUUUCUAGAGCGUAUCCCCAAAAUGACAACGGUAGGUCCGACUGGCUCAUCAUUGAUCGAACCAUGUCUAACAAAGUUCGAUUACGUCGCUCGAACACACCGUUUCUCUGAGGUGUUCCAGGCGGCGUAAGUUGUGGAACAAUUCCGCAACUCUUUAGAUGAUUGCUAAACUCGUGGCUCAAAUACUCGCCUCCAUGAUCAGAUCGUAAGGCCUUAAUUUUCUUGCCACGCUGAUUUUCAACUUCAUUCUGAAAUUCCUUGAACUUUUCAAAGGUUUCAGACUUGUGCCUCAUCAAGUAGACAUAGCCAUAUCUACUAAAAUCAUCAGUGAAAGUUAUGAAGUAUUGGAAUCCUCCACUAGCCGUCGUGCUCAUUGGUCUGCAUACAUCACUAUGUACGAGUUCCAACAAGUCUACUGCUCUCUCAGGAAAUCCUGUGAAAGGCGUCUUGGUCAUCUUGCCUAGCAAGCAAGCCUCACAUGUCUCGUAUGAUUCAAAAUCAAACAAAGUUAGAAGUCCAUCAGAAUGGAGCUUCUUCAUGCGCUUUUCACUUAUAUGACCCAAACGACAAUGCCACAAGUAGGUAGGACUCAAAUCAUUAGGCCGAGGCCUUUUAGCACUUACAUUACAGAUAGGUGAACCAUCAAGAUUUAAAACAAAUAAUCCAUUCACAAUGGGUGCAAAAGCCAUAAACAUAUUAUUCUUAGAGAUCACACAACCAUUGUUUUCACUCGCAAAUGAAUAACCAUCAUUCAUCAAGCAUGAAGGAGAUAAAAUGUUUCGAUUUAAACUAGGAACAAAAUAACAAUUAUUCAACUCCAUAAUAAAUCCUGACGGGAGGUGGAGUUGCAUCGUCCCGACGGUCAAAGCAGCAACUCUUGCAUUAUUGCCCACGCGGAAAUCAACUUCUCCUCUUUCCACGCUUCUACUUCUUAUCAUUCCCUGCAUCGAAUUGCAAAUAUGAGCAACCGAUCCGGUAUCAAAUACCCAAGAAUUAAUAAUUGUAUCAGCGAGAAAUAUGUUGUCUAUAACAUUAACAACAAGCGUACCUGGGGUAGAAGUACUCUUACUUCCGCCAUUCUUCAACGAAGCUAGGUACUGCUUGCAGUUUCUCUUCCAGUGACCAAGUUCAUGACAGUAAAAGCACUCUUUGUCUGGAGCAGGUCCAGGUCCAGCUUUAACCUUGGGCGGUGGGUUUGGCUUGGACGUUCCAGCCUUGCCCUUCUUCUUCCAAGAAUUGCCCUUCUUCUUAAAGCUGGGCUUGUUCUGUAUAGCCAUCACAUGGCUGGUACUAGCGCUUUUCUUGAUGUCUACUUCUGCUGUCUUGAGCAUACCACACAGUUCAUUCAAACCCUUCUCCGUCCCAUGCAUAUGGUAGUUCGAGAUGAAGUUCCCAUAGCUAGGCGGAAGAGAUGAAAGAAUGAAGUCAGUGGCCAACUCUUUGCCCAUUGGGAAGCCCAGCUUCUCCAAUCGCUGAGUGUAACCAACCAUCUUGAUUACAUGUGGUCCUACUGCUGCGCCUUCUGCUAACUUGCACUCCAGAAAGGCUUUGGACACAUUGAACCUUUCGGUCCUAGCCUGUGUCUGGAACAUGUCCUUGAGCGCCACGAUCAUAUCGUGUGCCUCAUGAUUUGUUUCGAACUGCAUCUGCAGCUCGGGUUCCAUGCAAGCAAGCAUAAGGCAGCUUACCUCAAGAUUAGCAUCAAAUGCCUUCUUGUAAGCAUCCUUAACGGCAGCAGAUGCAUCAUCAGUAGGUACUGCUGGUAGUGGGGUGUCUAGAACAUCUUCCUUUUUCUCAGCCCUGAGAACAAUUCUCAGGUUACGGAUCCAAUCCGAGUAGUUUGUUCCAUUCAACUUGUCCUUCUCAAGGACCGAACGCAAAGCAAACGAUGCGGUGGUGUUGCUAGGUGCCAUUUAAUCUACAACAAAAGUAAUGCAAAAUACACUAAGACAAAUGUAUCCAUGAUAGAGCAAAUUACAUUAAACUAUUUUAACAUAAUCUACUCCCACUAAAAUCAAUAUCCCUCUAUUGAAACUUAGUGAUUCAGGAUCCACAACUAACAAGUCCACUAGUGAGCUUUAGCAUCACCGCUAGCAAACGAGGUAGAUCGGUAAGCAACUUUUGCUAAUCAUAUCACAUAUGACUCCUGUUGUUGGGUGACAUCUCUAUGUCUCGGCGCCCAACCUUUAUGCCCCAAGGUCCUUAACCGUUAAGAUAACUUUGUUAAGCAAACCAACCCUUAUGCGUGUAAGUGUCCGACACAAACCCGUCUAGUCAAGGAAAACUAGUGGCACCCUAAUUUCAUAGACCCACCACUAAUUGUACAAGACAUGGGACGGUGCAAGUUUUAGUUGGGAGGGCAUACUAACUUAAACUUUGUGAGGGAUCGUUCUACUUCUAACAUCACAGCAUGCAGAAAGUAAAACAUAAACAGAAUAGCAUUCACACAGUUGUGACACAGUAUGGCCCGUUUUCAUAUGGUGAUCUCCAUCUCCAUAGAACCUGUUCACCAUGGUGAUCUCCAUCUCCAUGUUCCAUGUGCGCCAUCCUCCUGGUGAUGAGUCCUCCAAGAACUAAAGCAUGCUAUUACACCUAAUAGCUAGUAAAGAAUCUAGUAAUGAAGAUUACAUAGUUGCUUGGAUCAUCAGAGAUUGGUACGCAGACCAUUAAAUACAAUAAAGUGACAACACAUAUGGCUCCUGCCGUGUUGCCGUACGCGCGACACGCAGGUCACGAAUGAGUUACACACAUGCAUCACAUACACAAGGGGGCCAUACUGAUCACAAGAUACAUACAUACAUCCUGCAAAACAGAGUUAGGCGUCCUAACGUUCCAAACUUCGGAGGCCCGAAACUCCAUCUUCCAAGCCGAAUUUGGGAAAUCUAAUUUCACCGAAAAUGGUGAAGCGGUUGAAUUUCAUGUGUAACUUUUUCUGUAGAUCAAUUUUCAUAUAAAAAUCGCCCCGAUCCGAGAUCGUACCGAAAAGUUACGGCUGAUUUACCGAAGCAUACGCAUACGGCAAAAUCCCGACCCCGGCAGUAGAUCCCAUCUACUAUUGCACAUCUAAUGCGCCUGGCGUAUGACCCUGGAUCUCGAUUCGACCAAUCAUAUUGAUCUUCGCUCACUGCAACUGGAUUUACGUGUAUCACUUAACUCCAAUGGCGGAAACCGACCGGUAGGAGUAUGUCAUUACACUACCAUUGCAGCAAGGGCACGAAACCAGGACAUAGAUCAAACAGAAAACUCGCAUAUCUCCAUAUGCACACAUCCCGAAUCCAAAACUAAGCAGCUACGGCUCUGAUACCACUGUUGGGAUACGAGGUAGGCUACACUAGCGCAAAUCAAAAUUUCUACCGCGUAUAACCAGGAAGAACUGUCGUAUAAGGAUCACGGGAUUACCACUCGACACACUACUGGUGCGGAAGAUGUAGAUAUGCGUCGAUGCAGUGAAGAUGAUCACGUAGUCGUACGUAGUCGAUCAACGUAGUCGUACGUAGUCGAUCACGUCACGUCCAGCAGCUCCUCCACGUGCAGCAAGAUCGCCUCCGGUGCCGCGGCUCGUCGGCGGCUCGUCGGCGGCUCGUCGAUGGCUCGUCCAAGUGCUGCAGGCGCAAUACCUCCAAGGUAUCCACACGUGCAGGGAGGAAGCGUCGCAAGCCGGACUGCUAGAUCCGCGAGUUGCAACAGGCGAGGGCGUGGGAGGCGUGGCAGGUGUGUUUCGCCAAAAGGUGUAAACCCUAGGGCGCCCCCACCCCUCUAUUUAUAGAGGUUCCUGACGGGCCUCUGGAUCCGAGGCCCAUUAGUACUUCUAAACCUAAUCCAACUCGGAUCAAAUCCGAAUUGGGCUUCCAGCCCCUUAAGUGUGUGACCCUAUGGGUUCGGAUACGUAUAGACAUGGCCCGAGUACUCCUACUCGGCCCAAUAGUCGGUAGCGGCCUCUAGCAAGACGUGCCAACUCCUAUACGCACACGAAGAUCAUAUCAGACGAACCAUCACAACAUAAUAUACAUGCUAUUCCCUUUGCCUCACGAUAUUUGGUCUAGCUUCAAGCCGACCGCUCUUUCUCGAUCCCGUGAUUCGGAAUCCCUUUGUAGGUUAACUCUUAACCGUACGUAGCAUGGCCAUGCAUUUUCGGAUCCGAUCACUCGAGGGGCCCAGAGAUAUCACUCUCAAUCAGAGAGGGGCAAAUCCCAUCUUGAUUGACCAUGUCUCAUAGCAUGCUUCUUGACAAACCCGAAAGCUACCUUUAUAACUACCCUGUUACGGCGUAGCGUUUGAUAGCUCCUAAGUAGGUCGAUCCACAUCUAGAAUACAUGCGACAAUCUCAGGUCUAAGGACAAAGCGUAUAUGUUGUUUAAAGAGAGAACUACUUCUCGUGUUGGGUCAGUCCUAGCACAUGUCUACACAUGUGUCCACAUUAUUAGUUCAACAUCUCCAUGUCCAUGACUUGUGAAACAUAGUCAUCAACUAAUACAUGUGCUAGUCUAAUAUUCAUGUGUGUCCUCACAUGAACUCUGACUAGGGACAACUUUAGAAUAACCAUACAAGUAAAGAGUUUCACAUACAAUUCACAUAAUUGCAAAUCAAUUCAAGUAGCCUUCAAUGGAUAUUCAAUGAACACAACAUACAAAUCAUGGAUACAAAUGGAAUAUCAUCAUCUCUAUGAUUGCCUCUAGGGCAUACCUCCAACAUCCCAGCGCAAAAGCGAGGCGCGGGCGGGGGUCACGGGCACGUGGGUGAGUGUGGAACUGCACUCCAAGAUCUUGACUGAGUUUCUUCAUACUCCAAGGAGUCUUGCAAGUCUAGUGCCUCAGUGUGAACCUGCUCCUUGGGAACCCUUGGACACUUCCUCAGCUGUGAGACAUGAAACACCGAAUGCACUCCAGCCUUGCUCUCCGGUAAGGCAACCUUAUAGGCAAGGUCUCCAAUCCUCUUAAUGACCUGGUAGGGACCCACAAACCUCGGCGCAAGCUUCCCCUUAAUCAGAAGUCUCUUGGUUCCUCGGAGUGGUGAGACCUUGAGGUAGAUGUGAUCUCCAACUUCAAAAGAUAAGUCUCUCCUUCUCUUAUCUGUGUAACUCUUCUGGCAACUAUAAGGAAUCUUUAGGUUCUCUCGGACCUUGCUCAUGUUCUCUUUAGCCUCCUUGAUAGUUGCUGGCCCAAAGUGAGUCCUCUCUCCAAUCUCGAACCACAUCAGAGGUGUCAUACACUUCUUUCCGUAGAGAGCCUCAAAUGGUGACAUCUGAAGACUGACUUGGUAACCAUGGUUGUAGGAAAACUCUGCAAAAGACAAACUGCUCUCCCAAUCAUCUCCAUAGGUAAGCACAUAAGCCCUCAGCAUGUCCUCCAGGAUUUGGUUUACUCUCUCAAUCUGCCCAUCUGUCUGUGGGGGAAUGCUGUGUUGUACUCCAACGUAGUCCCCAUAGCCUUGUGAAAGCUCUUCCAGAACUUAGCAACAAAUUGUGGACCUCUGUCAGAAACGAUACUCUUAGGUGCUCCAUGUAGCCUCAAAAUGUUGUCCACAUACAUCUCUGCAAGAACUCAGUUCUUAAGGUGUUCUUCACUGGUAUGAAGUGAGCUACCUUGGUGAGCCUGUCCAUAAUCACCCAAAUCGAGUCGUUUCCCUUCUAAGUCUUGGGCAAACCCAUAAUGAAGUCCAUGGAGAUGUCUUCCCACUUCCAAACUGGUAUCUCGACUGGUUUAUGCAACCCUGCCGAUCUCUGGUGCUCAGCCUUUACUCGCUUGCAAGUGUCAUAACAGGCGACGUGGUUGGCUAUGUUGACUUUCAUAUCUUUCCACCAAAACCUCUCCUUCAAAUCUUGGUACAUCUUGGUGCAUCCUGGGUGAAUGGAGUACUUUGAGUCAUGAGCUUCCUUCAGAAUAGACUCGUGAAUAGCUUGAUCUUUGGGUACACAGAUCCUGUCCCUCAGCAGAUAGUGCCUUUGUCAUCCAUCCGGUAAUCAGUUGCCUUACCUCUUUUCAUCUGCUUCCGAAGAGGCUCAAUUUUUGAACAUUGCACUUGUGCCUACCUGAUCUGAUCUUCCAAGUUGUAUGCCACUUAUAGUUCACAAAGUUGUCCCUGCUCAACGAUCUCCAGCUUGAGUUUCUCCAACUCCUCACACAGAUCAGGUUGCUCUUCCCUCACCAUCAGGUUGUUGCUAUAGGCUUUCCUACUUAGAGUGUCAGCCACAACGUUGGCCUUUCCGGGGUGGUAGUGGAUCUCCAACUCAUAAUCCUUGAUUAGCUCCAGCCAUCUCCUUUGUCUCAUGUUUAGCUCAGACUGAGUGAAGAAGUACUUCAAGCUCUUGUGGUCAGUUUAGAAUGCACACUUGUUGCUGAUUAAGUAAUGCCUCCAAAUCUUGAGAGCUUGCACAACAACUGCCAGUUUCAGAUCAUGUGUCAGGUAGUUCUCUUCAUGCUUCUUUAGCUGUCUAGACGCAUAGGCCACGACCUUUCCUUCCUACAUUAGCACACAGCCCAAACCCUGCUUGGAAGCAUCACAAUACACCACAAAGUCCUUGAUAUCUGGUAGAGUCAGCACUAGAGUGGUUGUAAGUUUCGACUUAAGCUCCUGGAAACUCUUCUCACAAGCUUCAAACCACUCAAACUUCAUGUUGUUCUUUAGCAGCUCGGUCAUGGGCUUGGCAAUCUUGGAAAAGUUCUCAAUAAACCUCUAGUAGUAUCCUGCCAAACCACAGAAGCUCCUGAUUCCUAUCACGUUGAGAGGCUACUCCCACUCUGUAACUGCUUCAAUCUUAGCUGGAUUAAUAUCUACUACCUUUCCUGACAACAUGUGACCUAUGAAGGCAACUUCCUCCAUCCAGAACUAACACUUGCUGAACUUGACAUAAAGCUGGUGUUGCCAUAACCUCUCUAGCACGAUCCGAAGGUGCUCCUCGUGCUCUUCUACUAUCUCGGAGUAGAUUAGAAUAUCAUCAAUGAACAUUGCCACAAACUUGUCCAACACCUCCAUAAAGAUCUUGUUCAUCAUGUUCAUGAAGUAAGCAGGUGCGUUGGUCAAGCUGAAAGAAACCACUGUGAACUCGUACAACCCGUACCGAGUAGUGAACGCGAUCAUGGAUAUGUCACUCUCUCGAAUGUUCAUCUGGUGGUAUCCCGACCUCAAGUCAAUCUUGGAGAAGUACUUUGCUUUCCUGAGCUAGUCAAGCAGAUCGUCAAUUCGUGACAAAGGAUACUUGUUAUUAAUGGUCAUGGAGUUGAGCGUUCGAUAACCUAGAUAGAUCCUCAUGGACCCAUCCUUCUUCCUCACAAAUAGAACAGGCGAACCCCAUGAUGAAGCACUUGGUCAAAUGAACCCUUGCUCUAGCAACUUCUUCAACUGCUUCAUCCAACUCAUCGGCCGACAUCUUUUGGAUUUAUAAGCCCGGUAGUCCACCAUGGAGUUACCCAAGUGGUUGAUUUGUAGGUGAGGGCGAUUGCAAAACCAAGAACUCGAAGGUGAUUGCAAGAAAAAGAAGGGGACACAAGGGUUUUAGAUAGGUUUAGGCCUUCGGAGAGUAAUACCCUACGUCCUGUAUGCUGGAUUCUAUUGCUCGAGAGUUAUUUGAUGAUAGGGAUACCCUCGUGGGCUGCCCUUGGCUGCCUUAUACAGGCUGACGACCAAGAGUUACAAAUCAAUUUGAAUCUAAUCUACUCAGUAGUUACAUGGAAAGAAAUCUGAGUCGGAUUUUAAUACAUGUUCCAUGAUAUCCGGGUAGGUUUGGACAGUCUUGUUACCUUCACAUGUACUCCAAGUAACUUCAUGUCCUCGGCCCACACGCUCUGGUCAGGCAGGCCUACUUGUUAGGUCCGGCCAGUAUCCUGGUCGAUGGGGACCCAUAGAGUACCCAUAUCCCUCAAGCCCCCGAGCAAUGUGUAGGGGAACAGGAACUUGAUGUCAUCAUAGUGAAGCUUGGAAAGAGGUCGGCUGAAGCUGCUAUGCCGUCAUGGUGACGGAGAGGCUGCGCAGUGCUCAAAAAAGAAGAAGAUCCAAGCGAGCACAGAGCAAACGUGCAGAGUGAAGAUGAGUGCCGAGUUGAUGGAACAUAGCAUCCAGCAGGUCGAAGCAAUUGUCACGGAGGGCGUCGCAAGACGCACUCUAUAGGAGUAGCCCCCGAGCAUUGAAGUGAUUAGAAUAAUUAGUCCAGUAGUCAAGGAUGAAAAAAGUUAUGUGUUGAAUUAGAUCCCAGUGCUCGAGUACAAGGAUAGGCAUAGCCACAGAGGCCUGCUAAAAAAGAGAUAUGCGCCAAAAUCUUCUGAAGAUAAGGACUCGUGCAAUGAUAGGUAAGCGACAAAAAUUCCUACUCAUGGGAGGACUCCACUGUCGGAGCAACUUCACAGGAGUACUGCCCGUCACUAUUUGAAGAUGAAGCCGAGCAUCACAUGAACACUUUAGAGUUGUAUCAGUAUGGAACCUCCUUGUCAUGCAACCUCACGAGUCUACUGUAGCACCUUGGAUGUUAGCUUGUGGCACAGCUAUAAAUAGACCAACGUUUAGCUUUGAGAGUCAUGGCUCGAGUAAUACCGCUCGUAGGCUUGAAGCUUGUAGUGUUUGAUAAGAGUAGCACCCGCCCAGAAGCAUGAUGCUAGAAGAAUUCUCAUGAGGGAGAUCAAGGUGCUCCUUCCCUUCACAGUCUCUACGAUAGAGUCAGGGGGUAACGAUGCUAGACGAAUCCUCGUGAGGAAGCUGUAUCGUGAACGCCGCCAACUUUGUCCAGAACACCGCUAGGGAAGUAUGUCGCACAACUUUCUUAUAUUGUGCCUUUUUCUUUUUCUACAUUCUAGCUUCUUAUCCUAGGAUGUCGGCUACCCCAGAGCUGUUCAUAGUUACUUGUAAUAUGUAAUGCCGAGAAUUUGAUAUUAGCUGAGUAAAAAUAUGCCCUUGCAUCUGUUUAUGGGGAUUUAUAAGGCCACAGAGGUGUGCUUUCCUCAAACUGGGCAACUAGUUCCUGAGAUUGAAGACUGGCUGUGCCACGGAGGCAAGUCGAGUAGAAUUAGGUGCCCAGCUCCCGAGGACGAGGACUGGCAGAGCCGCUGAGGCAUACCGAGUGGAAUUUAGGCGCCCAGCCUCCGAGAAUCAGGACUGGCAGAGCCGUUGAGGUGCGUCGAGUAGAAUUAGGCACCCAGCCCUCGAGUAUGAGGACUGGCAGAGCCACAGAGGCAUGCCAACCAGAAUUUGGCACCCAGCCCCCGAGGGCAAGGACUGGCAGAGCUACUAAGGCCCGCCGAGUAGAAUUAGGCGCACAGCCCCCAAGGAUGAGGACUGGCAGAGCUGCUGAGGCACCCUGACAAGAAUUCAGCGCCUAGCCCCGAGGAUGAGGACUGGCAGAGCCGCUGAGGCGCACUGACCAGAAUUUGGCAUCAGCCCCUGAGGGCGAGGACUGGCAGAGCCGCUAAGGCACGCUGAGUAGAAUUAGACACCUAGCCCCUGAGGACGAGGACCGGUAGAGUUGUUGAGGCGCACCAUUAAAAGUGCAACAGAGAUCCUGCAGAUUCAGUCCCAUGCACAUGGCGCUAACAGAAAAUCCCAUAGAUUACGCCCCACAUACACCACGAUAACAGAAGGCCCGCGAUUUCCAUCCAUGAGUUACGCCGUCAUCCUCCUCAGAAGCACGAUGUCACACCCGAUUUUAAGGACAAAAUCAAGUGCAUUAAAUACAUGUGCGCUAGGAUCAAGUUACACACAUGUACGACAUAAGCGAAUAUCAAAGAUAGUGCCAUAACGAAAUAAAGAGUGUUAACCAUUAUUACAUGACCGAAAGUCACAAAUAAACCACAAAGUCUAUUUAUUACACAACGGAACUCCAAAGAUAGCAACGACUCCAUAGGCAGCUGACUGAAGAACUGUACGCCUAGAACUCCUCAAAGUCGUGCAGGUACUCCUCCAAAUUAGCUUGGUCUGAACAACGGUUUUGCAAGGGUGAGUACACUUAUGAGUGGUACUUAACAAGUCAUGGGGAACAGUGUAGUGUAAGGCAAAUCAAGGUAUGGCUAAGGUUUAAACAACAUCAGCUUUUAAUUUAGUUGGUCAAAUUUUAUUAGCAAUUAAUUAGAUGUAAGUUUAUACCACCCGAAAUUAAACAAGGACAUGAAUAAAGUAAUAACAUAACCAUAAAUGAAAUGAUAACAAUUUAAAUCCAUCUUUCAAUAGCAUUAUCAUGUGAGGGUCCAGGCCGCUCUUAACCGUGAACACGGCUGACCGAUCAGUUUUACACUCUGCAGAGGUUGUACAUCUUUACUCACAAGUCGCGUAAAAGUUCAAAAGAACUUUGGACCCAACCAUGAGGUGUUUUUAAGGCACAUACCACACUUCCGAGGUAUGAUUGCAUAGAGACGCUACGAGGUCUUUACAAAUAUUCAUUAGUCAGUGGUAAUCCGCUAAGUUUCGGUGUCUGGCGUGCACAACCCUUCAUAGGCCGCUAAUGCAACGACUCAGUUCCCCCUCUUGCCUUAUCACAAGUAAGAUUACCCCAGACUAAUGUUUCUAAUUAUUCAGCCAAGACUAGAGCCAUUUAGUCUUGUGGUAGCAUUGUUUUCCAAGGUGGUUCUCAAGGUUCCGAUUAAACAUUCGUGAUCUUGACUUAAUGAAAGGUAUAUCAUAAAUAAUACCAAAUUAAUGAUGUUUCAGAUUAAACCACCAUAACCAUGUUUGAGCACUAAGCACGAGCUACCCGACAUAAAUUUAACCUGGUUGGUCAAGGCAAGGUAGAUAAAGUCUAGGAAAUUCUUAAUUGGGACCCAUCAAGUUUAAAUUAUACUGUGCAUGGCAUUGUUGUAUAGAACAUGAAAGUAAAUGUGAAUAGGACUGAAAAGGAGUGAUCAAGGACACAACUUGCCUUCUUAACCUUGCUCUUGCUAUUCGUACUCCUCGAAAGCUUGCUCUUCGAAUCCUUCGAAUUGCUGACCGUCUACACGCGUCACACGAGCACAUACAAGCAAACAAAUACAACAUAUAAGAAAACAGUACAUCAAUCAUAAUUAAACAGAGAAAACAAGUUUGAAAAGCUAUUCUACGCAUUAAAAUCAAUACACAUAUAUAAAGAACGCCAAAAACGAAGCUAUAAUGCAAAAACUACGCUUAAAAUAAGAUGCAGGGGCAUAACUGUGAGAAACCAAACUUCCAGGGACCUAAUUUAAAAUACUUUAAAACAGCAGGAGGGCAGCUGUGUAAAAACCAAAAACUGCAGGGCUAUAAUGUGAAGGCGCUGCUGCUGAUUCGGCUGACUCAAUGCGAACCGUUGGAUGGAUGUCCGGCGGCUGGUAGCUACUGCGCUGACGUCAGCGAUGGCAAGCGGCGGCGGAAAAAUGGCAGUUCGCCGGAAUCGCCUGGGAAUGCGCGACAAGGCGCAGAAUUGGGCGAGGAUUAGCCCAGGAGAGCAGGGGCUUGAGGCGGACUCGUUCCGGCAGUUGGUGAUGGCCGAAACGCGGUGAGGUGGCGCACACAACGCGACGGUGCAUGGCGGCGCUCCGACGAGGUCUCGCGGGCGAAAGGAACGAGGUACCGCGCGGGAGCAGCUUGGCCGGGUCCUCACCAGGAUGCGAAGCUUCGAGCGGCGCUGUUGGACAUGGAGAGAUGAUGGCGGCGCAGAUCGUCAAUGCACGAGCGGUGGCGCAAGUGCGAGCUUGGAGGAAGCGGGCGGUCUGUAGAUGCAAAAAAACAAGGGUUUGGUGGGGCUCAGAGGCGAUGGUUUUGCAGCGUCUAAGGGCAUGUACAUUGGGUGACUGUGAGCUGUCUACGAGCCGGCGUUUUUGCAAAAGUGUCCUCAUUUGAGCCAAGCAACGGGCACGCCGUCGUCUCGCGGGCUCGUGCUCCAACACUCGGCGACGACCUGCAGGCGCCGUUGUACGAUCCAUCGGCGCACCUCCGGAUCGAGAGCGAAAUCAGCCCGCGCUGCUCCAACCGAUUCCAACCACUUCCCUCCCUGCGUGCGGGACGCCGACGGGAGGCAAGGCCGGAUAGCUUGGCCGCCGCCGCGCCACGCCUCCUCCCUCCGCGCGGGACGCCGAUGGGAGGCGAGGCUGGAUAGCUGGGCUGCCGCCGCGCCACGCCUCCUCCAUCUCCGCGGCGUCACCGGAGGCGAGCCCCCCCUCCCCUGAGAGAGCAGAUCGAAAUCCCCCGUCACGAGCUCCCCUUCAGCAUCCAGAUCCGUGACUCCCUUCUCUCCGUCUCCACAUCGACACGAGCUCACGCUGCUGCCGAAGAGUAGCGCCUUCGUGUACGCGUCGUCGCCGCGGCUCCACAUCAUCUGGGGCUGCUUUGAUUGGGGACUGACGAUGACGCGCCGCCGACGGGCAAACAGAGGGGAAGAGGUGAGCCAUGACUCUUCUUGCCGAGAUUCAUCAGCUGAGCUGUUGUUUCUUUUCUUCCCUUUUGUUCACUUCACUAGUUCACUUCAGUAGAUCAAUCAAAGCACUGUCUCUGAACAUGAGGUGCUCAUGGCUCCGUCGCGAAAGGAAGGGAUGAACAGUGAAGAAGCUAGUUAACUCAAUUAUACUUGUACCUAUUCAGAUUUUUUAGACGACUACAAUAUGACUGUUGCUAUCUUCUAUUGUAUGUUCAUACUAGAUUACACUCAACAUGACUAGUCUGCAGUUUGAUAGUGAAAUUUGAUCGGUGAGGUAUUGGUGUCAAAAUCAUUAGUACUCUUUAGGAUUGGACCAUCGAUUGACGGUGUGAGCAGAACUGCAGAAGACAUUUGAUUGGCACUCAAGAUUACCUUCAGUUUGCUUUAGUUCUCUAAAGAUUCGAUCGUUUGGAAACCUGUCAUUUGUUAUUGGCAGACAUGCAUGUCUCGUUGAGCCAUCUCAUUCUCUAAUGCUCGUUUGGAAGGAAAGUUUGAGAAUGAGUUAGAGUGUGGGCUGAAUUGAGAUUCUGAUAACACUGUAAAUAUUUUGUUGGUCUUUGCAGUCUGGGAGAGCUAGCUUGCAGCUUCCAGUGGAUAUGAUCGAUAAGAUCCUAUCUCCCAUCACUGAUCCUGCCUCCCUAGCAUGCCUUGCUUCACCCUGCAAGUUUGGCGUAAUAUCAUAAAGGGGAGAAGCUUUCUUAAUUGCCUCAGGAAGCAUGCAUUGCAUUCAGCGAAUAAGCAACAAAAUGGCAUGCAUAGAUCAUAUUUAUACCUAAUCAUCUUGAUUUGAAUGAAUUAAAUAACUUGCAGAUAAGUUAAAAGACAAAUCAUUGUAUAAAAUCACUGUCUAUACGUGACUUACCGACGGUAGCUGUCUAAAAUGUUGAAGGUGCUCUAAAUGCGGCCUUGGCGUGCGGCCCCAGAGGCCAAGGUGGAUACAAACGGUUCGUUUCGCGAGUGUGACUCGGACCUGAGUCCGACGCGGAGAAGUCUCGUCAACCAGCUCGCGGAGAAGGAGCGAGGCGUUCGAGUUGGGCGUAAGCAGGCGGAAAGAAGGAGCUGAUGGCAGGGCCCCAGCGGCCAGAGGAAAGGAAUAGCGGUGCGUGAGGGAAAAGGGCAGCUGGGCCGCUGCUUGUUGGGCCGGCACAGGGAUAAACGGAACUGGGCCAGAGGGAGUAGCAGGUGCUGCGCUGGGCUAAAAAAGAAAGGGGCUUUGGGCCGGCGCAGCAAGGAAACAAAACUGGGCCGGAAAGCAAAGGAAACGACAGUCCAAAACAAAAAGGAAACUGCGCCCGCAGCUUGCUCCUGACUCAGAACUGAAAAUAGCAAAACAGGAACAACGCCCAGCAGACAGCAACUCUGAAACCUGACUGAACUUCCAGGAAACUGACAGAACUCCCAAAGACAGAACUGAAGCUCGACAGGAACAAGCAAACUGCAACCGAACUGAAGACAAGAAAACCACAUCAAAGAACUACAGAACUCUGAGCCGAAGAACUGAACCUGGACAAUGGCUUGACUGAAAACAGAAACACCACCAGAACUGAACUAACUGACAGAAAAAAAAAGAAACAGCCACCUAAAGCAAACCACAAGCUCGAAACCAAGCAAACAAGAUGAACACUAUGCAGCGGCAUGAAUGCACAAACAAAAUCCUAUGUUUCAUUAUUAAAUUAGAAAAAUGCUUAAAUGCCUAGUAAAUGCAAAAA
rnacentral:lncRNA from 1 species